UCUUGAUACAACUUUAUUUGUAUUUUAUUUCAGAAUUUAAACAACUAGUUUGGGCGGGUCACACACGACGUUGUGUGACACUUUAUUUGUCACCGCUGCAUCGACAUAUCCAUCGACUAAACAACGGUGAUCCAACUAUAUAUUACUAGAGACCUUUCCUUAUCAGUAGGCACCAACUCCGGUGCCAACGCUGAAUGGCACACUAGUGGUGGUUCUAUACAAGGGCACAUUGACACGGCACAUCGUUGGCAGGGUACGGAGCGCAAUGGAAGUCAUCACCUCAAGCUGAGCUAUCUGGUGUGGAUGCAAAAAGGUACCCUGUGCCAAUUGUUGUUGUUGAGGUUGUUGCCCGAGUUGCUGCUGCGACUGCUGUUGGGGUUGGGAAACGCAUUGGCCCAACUAUUGCGGUUGCUGCUGCUGAGUUUGGAUGGAACCCUGAACCUGUUGUUGUUCUUGCAGGACGAUGGAGUAGAUGAUAGCACGGAUUGCCUCAUAGCGGGAUUGCUGGGGGAUUUGCGGCAACUGCUGGCAACAUUGUUGUUGCAUCACAUGGCAACUGCUCUGCUGCAACAUUUGCGACCUAGCAAGACUUUGUGGCAUUGCCACAGGGCUGCAUUGCUGCUGGAGGAAUACCUUGCAUGGGUUUAGUUGCUGCAAGAUAGAUGGAUGAACAAAUGGUAUUUGUUGUUGCGGUAGAACUGAUUGUUGUUGUUGCGAAAAUGGUGGUUGUUGCGGUAGUACUGGUUGUUGUUGUUGCGAAAAUGGUGGUUGUUGCUGUGAAAAUGGUGGUAGUUGUUGCUGCGAAAAUGAUGGUUGUUGCGGUAGAACUGGUUGUUGUUGCUGCAAAAAUGGUGGUUGUUGCUAUGAAAAUGGUGGUUGUUGCGAUAGAACUGGUUGUUGUUGCUGUGAAAAUGGUGGUUGUUGCUGUGAAAAUGGUGGUUGUUGUUGCUGUGAAUAUGGUGGUUGUUGUUGCUGCGAAAAUGGUGGUUGUUGUUGCUGCGAUAAUGGUGGUUGUUGUUGUUGCUGUGAACAUGGUUGCUGUUGUGGAAAUGGUUGUGGUUGUUGUUGGAUAGGUUGUUCUUGUUGUUGGUGCCAUAAUGUUUGUUGUGGUGGUAAUGGUUGUUGCUGCGAUGGUCUCUCCAAACCAGGGAUGUGGCUAUUCUCCAUUUGUGCAAUGGCACUUGUCGCCGCAACGGCGAGGAGGGCAAAGAUGAGGAAGGUCUUCAUGGUGGAUUGGUGUUAACUAGUGUUGCUUGGUUUUGAUGCUUGUGCUUGUGACGAUCUUUAUACUUCAUGCCUAUUUAUAGUAGCCCGGGCACCACCUUUUUCUUCUUUGCAUUAGCUUUAAUAAUUUUGUUUGGAUGCAAAAAUGAUUUUUGGUACAAUGUGUUAGGUUGCACUAGCUACACGCGUACUUUUGGAUUGAUCAUCAAAGUUGCUUUUUAGUUGUGCAUAUGAUCACACAUAAAGUACAGAAACCUUGAUGUUUGGUAUAUAUGACUCACCUUAUUCACUUUACAUGUCACACACUUAUCUGGAUAGUAUCACUUUUGCAACCGAGUUUGGAACCUUGUAUAGGCUGUCAUCCAUAAACAAGAAAGGCAAAACUUGUGUAGGACUAAGUGUAGAACUAACUUUGUAUUUUUCCUCUAAAAUGAUUAGAUGAACCGACGCCUAUAGAGCAUGACAUGACUCAUCGAAUUCCCUUUACAUGUAAAGGAUGGUAAUUGCUUACAAGCUACUCCUACUAGCAUAUAUCCGGUCCUAACUCUUGACACGUCAUCAUCAGUUUCGCCUAUUUUUUUAGAUAAAUCAUCAGUUUCAUCUAUUUGUGAAGGGUUUUUUUGGGGGAAAUGAUAGUUUUUUUAUGCUAGGGGGAUUUUUUUGGGGGGGGGGGAUGACGCUAGGGGGAAAUGAUAGAUGGGGCUGGAACAGAGGCCCCCAGCCUGGAGCGAGAGAUUAGGCCCAACAUAAGUGCCGUGUGUUAGGGCACCAAUUCGAUUUGGGCUAUAGUUCUCGUAGGCCCCAACGACACAAGCCCAGCCCACACUCCGCGGAUCUGCGUCCCUCCCUUCCUCGUCCUCCUCGCCGGCCGGACCGCUCGCCGUCGCAGCCUCUCCCGGACGCCCACCGCUCGCGGCCCCUCCACGUACCUCCGCGGCAGCGGAGACGUCAGCCUCCCUCCCACCCUCAACAUCCGGCCCCCCACCACCACCACCACCGCUCGACAAAAAAGGUCACUUUUGAAGCUCCUCCGUCGAUUGUGGGCCGUACGUCGACGGCAGCCACUCCGACCUCCCCAUCAACACAAGGUAUCGAUUUGUUUCGUCUGUCUCUUCCAACGAUUCAAUGCACAUAAAUCCGAGAGGCAGACCCAUCUCCAUGCUAGCUGCACGGAUUAGGAGGGUCAGGCAUCAGAAUUCAGCUGGGAAGCCUGACAGUAAUGUACAUUUGUGGCUUUAGUAGCUGAAUAUAACUAUGUGCUUUCUGAGAAUUUCACUUCAAAAGUUCCAAUAAUCAUCAAAUUUCCCCCUAUGCGCGCUAAGCAGGUGGACCAUAUAUUUCUCAUGUCGACGAACGAAAAAACAAAACUCCACAACUAGAAGUCUAUGAUAUUGACACGGAACCGUGCUGUAGGGUCGCAAGUAAAAAUAUGAAAAGCAUGCCUAAUAAGCGAGAUGACGCAGUUCCUGACCGCCCCGCUACGACUAUUGGUUCCAGCGUGGCGUUUGAAUUAUGCCGCGCUAGAUGUCUUUUGUCCGGCGAGGAACAAGUGGGGUCAAGCGUGCUUCGGCAAUUCCCGCCGUCAGAAGACUUCCUUGUAGUCCGGUGUAGAGGUGAGGUUGUGGGGAGAUACAUCGACUAGCACUACUAGGGAAAAGGCUAGCAGCAGCGCGGGUUUUAGAUGUAUCAGUAGUGCGGGUACCCGCGCUACUAAUACGGCGCUACAGCUAACUCAUAGCAGUAACGCGUGAGCACCCGCGCUACUGCUACACAAGUGUAGCAGCAGCGCGGUUAUGAGAAGCUCGCUACCGCUAGUAGCGCUAGCGCUCUUUGGCCGGACGCUCUACUGCUAUUGAGGCGCUGCUGCUAACUUUUGUACACUCGCUACUGGUAAUUUAAGUAGUUUUUUGGCAUAUUUGUUUUGUAUUUGAACCGGCUUUGUAGAAGAAUCUUUAGCACAUAGAAAUGUCAUCAUGAUACACAUACAAAUGCCUGCGAGACCACAAAUGUAAUCAUAGCAUGUACAUACAAAUAGUCUCUUCAUAAUCAUCAUCCAACACAAAGUGAUAUCUUGUCAUCAUCUCGAAAAUAGCAAUACAUGCAAGUCUCGAAUACUUGCAACUACAACAACGUCAUCCAUCUAAACAAAGGUAUACGCAAGAAGUGCUAUCACUAUGAGUGAGAGCGGAACCAUGCAGUACAUGAGGUGGCGGUUAUGAGUCCUCUCUUGCGCUAGCGUGAACCUCAAGUAACUAGCUUCUCCUUCUUGUCUGCUUUUGAAGCCUUUAUGGCUGGCGCCCGUGAACCCAUUCACUUGCGCCUGACACUCAUGCCACUCGUUGUACACCCCCGGAACCUUCCCUUUGUACACGACAUAGCAUUUCCAUCUCGCCAUCAAGAAACUAGGUACCUGUUAGAGAUGCAUGUUCAUGAAGAGGAUGUACAAUCAUAUAUAUGCAACAAAAUAUACUAGAGCAACACUAAGAAAGAAAGGUUAGCAACUAGAUGCAACAUAUACAUUACGCAAAUUAAUUAACUAGAGGUACGCAGGUCAUCGUACGCAAACUAACAAAGUAGCGUUACGCAAGUUUGGCAGGGACCAUGGACAUCACAAAGUUUCAUCGCUACAAAAAGUAUACAAGUUCAACCGACACAUAUCAUCAUCAUCGGCAUCAUAAAUCACUAGAAGUUCCAUCCUUCCAUAUCAUCGAGGACGAACCCUAGCUGCUUGAACGGCGUGAGGUCUAGACGUUGCAUGCCUAUGCGAGUUCGGACGUCAGCUCGCGAUAUAGGGCCGUGGUGGAACAUCCCCUUCUCAUCGACGACUUCUUUCAUGAUGAUCAUCGCAAUGUCGCUUUGGAUGCGAAAGAAGUCAUCUCUAAGUUUAUAAUUCGCUUCUCCAUGAGAUUCUAGCCACUUGUGGAUAUGAUCAUCAUUUCUGCUGUUAAUGCGAAGCUUUUGGUGAUCCGUGUUGAACUGAAUCAUGAGAUGGACGAUGUAGAAUCCAUCCUUCUUGCUUGGUUUUGGGACGUGGAUGCAGGAGAAGUUAGUUUUAUGCGCGAAACCCAUCUUCUUGUUCCUUUGUUUCCUGAUAUGCACGUGGCCACCUCUAAAGUUGAAGCCUUGGAGAGCAUCAUCUAGAAUAUUCAUUAUGUGGGUGUAGUCCUUUUUCUCGUAGUCUCUAGAAGGGUCAAAAUACACGGCGUGGGAGACUUGCGGGUAAAGAAUGAUAAGGACGGCGCGCCCGUUGCUGCGGGGAAAAGACACCUCAAAUUAUUCCCCAUAUGAGAGAGAAGGAAUGAUUGAAAUGUACGAAAGGGUUGUCCGGAACUGACUUACUUUGGAUGAUAAGGCACGAGGACAAUUUCCCGGUCCUUAUUCUGUACCAUGAAGUUUUGGAGGUACUCCCUAGCAGUUUCACGCUCAAAGUCGCCGAGACUCAAGAAAGACUCGUGCAUGUAGUACGGAUCCGCCACACAGAUUUGCGAGACUUCUUCACUCUUCACGACGGAGCUCAUAUGUAGCGCAAAAAGGCGGACGAUAGUAAAAUCAAGCCGCCUUGUUAGAAACAUCUCAAAGAUAUGGUCAAACCGCAGGAAGAACACCUCCGUGGGCCGUGUGUCGACGUAGCACUUCCCCUCAGGCACACGAGCUGCGUAUGUCGGAUAUCCUGGAUCCUUUGAGGCUAGUAGGCUUUUCUCAGUCGACAGCACGUGGUCGUGCAGUCUCCUGAGAUUCCCUGAUAGUGCCUCCAGCGGUUUCGGCGGUAGCAUCGGCUCGCCCGUGAGAUGGAACAUGACCGCACCUUUCACGGGUACACGCUCUUCAGAAUGCAUCGUCUGGCUGCUGUGUGCUCUGGCUUGUUUGGAGGCAGUUACCUUCCCCAAUCUCUUCCUCUCCUUUUUCUUGGGCACACCUUCCAGACCCUUCCUUAACCCCUGCCCAAGUGUUCCCGGGCUAAGUAUUGUACGACCCUCACGCCCGGCUAGUUGAGCCUGUGUUGAGGCGGCAUCUUCAGGCGUGUCCUGUGAGGAUUUCAUGAAGAGAGACUUUUUGCAUUCCAUGGUACGGCCCUGCCCGGGCAUAUCAUCCAUAUCCUCAUUAGCAAGCUGAUAGCCCGAUUCGUCAUAUGGUUGACUCAUCAUAUCUAUGUCACAGUCAUACGCGUUUGUAUUGAGGUAAUCCAUCGGGUCGACCUCCGUCUCAUCAUCCAUUCUCUGUUCUACAGGAGAAAUUACAUCAGCCAGUACUAUUGCACCCCCUUCAUCAUGUCGUCCGCCGCUCUCACACGGCACUACUACAGGAGCUGGUAAUUGCGUAGGUGGGGUGGUGGUCUCCGCACAUGCUUGCUGAUGUGUGGUAGUUAUUGGUGUGCUCUCGGCCGGCUCCAGACGAAUAAGAUUCUUCGGCCAUAGCAGCACCCAACCCUUGCAGCGUCCAAUCCGCGGCGGGGUCUCGUCGUCCGCUCCCACCUGCUGUACUGGAGGAGGCAAAUCCUCGUGCCCCGAUUUCACACUGGUCAAGCUAACCCUGAAGUGCCCAGCGGGGAUCGGCUGGUUGUGGAAUGUGCGUUGAGAGGGGUCCAUUAUCAUCCCCUUUCCCACGUCCACCUUCUGGCCUUUGAUCAAGUAGAGUAUGGUGCAUGGGGUUUCUUUCGCCUGCAAACACAUAUGUCUGUGGUGUAAAACAACCGAAAGGCAACAAAAAUGGAAUAUUAUAUAUAUAUAUAUGUUGGUGCGACAUGUAAUUACCGUGACGGCGUCGAGCUCAGCCAAAGACGAAGGCCCACCUAGCGCGCCUGAGACUGAGGACGGGCUGCUAUGAGCUGGAGCGGCUGCGAGAGGAGGCCCGGUUGCUUGAGCAAGUGAUGGUGCGAUGGUGUUGUUCAUGGAGUUGCUCGCGACGAAACUGGGCAUUGGGAAAUCAUGUACCGUCUUGUCUGGAUUUUCCUUCGCCCAGUUGAUGAUAACUGGAACCAAGUUAGUAGCGAAAUCAUUUCUGCAGGCAUUUACAGCUGCAUUGACUGCCUGCUGUAGCAACUCAUAUUUGUCCUUGGCUGCUUUUUUCGCGUCCUCGGCUGCUUUUUUCUCGACCGCAAGCUUCACCUUUGCGUCGAUGUCCGCCUAACUAAACUUCUUUUUCUGCUUCUUGGCCUCCGGGCCGUCGUUGUAAAACACCUUCCACGUGGCGCCGUCUCCAGCGCCGUGCACACGACCAUAUUGCGGCCGCUGGUCCAACGGGAGUCCCUUAAGUUCGUUCAAGGCCCAGUUGAGAGGUGUGUCCCACUUGGGCCUCAUCGGAGAAGUAGGGCUUUCGGCUGCAAGCCGGUGUUGCUUCUCCAGUAGUCUAAUCAAUUUCCUCGUGAUCUUGUCCGUGUAAAAAACCUUUUUCUCCUUGUCCCACUUGUAGCGGGCCCUGAUGAAGUCAUGCUCCAAGGGGUUGGUGAACUUCGCGAAGGGGUCUGGGAGACCCGCGGCUUCACGUUCCGCGUCCUCCUUAUCCCAUAUGGGCCUUUUACCGAGGUAGCCACGGCUUCCGAGGCGAUGCUUCCCCAUGUUCCGGAGCUGAAGGCUUUUGAAUUUCGCAGCCUUAGCCUUGGCUGCCUUGGUAGCGCAAGUGUCCUUGAACUUUUCGAACUCCUCUUCCGUAAGUGUCGGAUUUUCCUCCAGAAUCUUGGACAGGGGUUCAUCAGCCUCAAUAGCUCGUUUCACCCUCCCUUUCCAGGAGGCCAAAUCAUUGCUGAACAUGCCCAUGGCGUGAUUGUUAAUCUUUUUCAUCUUCGGAUCAUCCCACGGUUGUUCUAUGUUAUCAUCCCGGUCGGGGAACUUGAAUCUCUUCUGCAACUUCGUUAGGAGCAACUGCGUCAAAUGUUCUUUACUCCUUAAGUCAUCAUCGUUGAUGCUCGCGCAUUCCCGUAGGAUGCAUCCUACUUGGUUCCCAUAGCACUUGCGAGGUUCUUCCGGCUCUAACGGCUCAAACUUUCCAGGUGCCAUCUUUGUGAUCACAAGUCGUCCAAUCCCUAGUUUGUUAGGUUUUCGUAUCCUCUGCUUCUUAUGCUUCCUCUUUUCGGUAUCGGCAUCGGGGCCGGUACCUUCCCCGCCGGUCUCGGCGCCGCCAUCGGUGCCGGCGCCGUCGGUGCCGGCACCGUAGGUGUCGAUGUCGGCGUCAGUACCAUCAUCGAGGCCGACCUGCAAACCUUGCUUAGCAGUCAAAUAGUCGAGGUACUCUUGUUCACCCUCAUAAUCCAUCUCGUCUGCAUCUUGGUCAGAAGGCCCAGUUUCUUCGUUGUUCGACAUGUUUCCUAUGAUUAAGUGGCCUCAUUUAUUUCUAAAAGUAUGAAUAAAUGAGAAAUGACAUAAAAAGAAAUCUAUGUGCCAACACUCGAUAUGCCAACUAUGUAGCACAAAUCAUGCCUUUAUUCACGGGAAAUUUCGGCAUGACCUUUGCUAAAAAAUGGACAUAUCGAGCGCCUGAAAUUCACCGAAACGGAAAUGAAUCAACAUUCCUGCGCAACAUAGGCCACUCGGAUCAUUUUCCAAACAUGACAUGUCCAAAACAUGACAUAUGCACAUAUCACAUGUCCAGUUCAAAUUUCCAUAUAAAUUCAGCUAAUUCAUAACUAAAUAGAUAACCUAAUUAAUUAACAUGAAGANNNNNNNNNNNNNNNNNNNNNNNNNNNNNNNNNNNNNNNNNNNNNNNNNNNNNNNNNNNNNNNNNNNNNNNNNNNNNNNNNNNNNNNNNNNNNNNNNNNNNNNNNNNNNNNNNNNNNNNNNNNNNNNNNNNNNNNNNNNNNNNNNNNNNNNNNNNNNNNNNNNNNNNNNNNNNNNNNNNNNNNNNNNNNNNNNNNNNNNNNNNNNNNNNNNNNNNNNNNNNNNNNNNNNNNNNNGGGGGCGAGCGACAUGGUCGGGGGCGAGCACGCCGGAGUCGGGGUCGAGAGCGGGACAGGGGCGAGCGCCGGGGCUGGCACCGGCGCCGGCAGGGUCGGGGGCGAGCGCCGGGGCCGGGUCGGGCACGGCGGAGCGACGGGGGCCGGAGAGAGAGUGGGGAUUUGGGGGGAAAUGGCGGGAUGAAGCUGGGCGAGUGCGAAUUUUGGGUUAAGUGGACGUAGCAGUAGCGGGUUAUGUCAAAACGCGCUGCUACUAUAUUCUGUAGCGGCAGCGGUUUAUGAGAAACACGCUACUACUAUGGUGCGUAGCUGCAGCGCUUUAUGGGAAACUCGCUACUACUAUGGUGCGUAGCGGCAGCGGUUUAUGAGAAACACGCUACUACUAAGAUCUAGCAGCAGCGGUUUUGUGGAAACGCGCUGCUACUGCCGUCGCUACUGCCAGGUUUCCUUUUUCUUUUCCUUUAUUUUAUCCCACUUUUAUUUCCCGAGGGCAAUGAACGAAGGGAGGGCGAUAUAUAUUGCAUCAUUUGACGGUUAAAUAUGUAUGCAAAAUAGGAACAUAUAUAUUACACAUCAUUGGACCCAUGCAUAAUAAUGACUAAGUGUGUAUACAAAUUAAAUAGGAACAUAUAUAUAUUACACAUCAUUGGACCCAUAACAUACGUUUCCUCAGUGCUGACGUUUUCGUUUUUGAGUCAGCUUCUUUCCCUUCUUGUUCGUCGAAGAAUAAUUGAGCCCCUCAUUGUGACUUUGCCUUUUCCAUGGAGUACGAUUUUUCUUAGGUAAUGUAGUAUUGAUUCUUCUUUUGACGUAUACUUCAUCAUCAUCAUCAUCUUCCCUCAUUGGGUUGCUGUACUGAUCAUAGUCUUCCUCGUUGGCGACUCCAUCCAUUCCAAUGAUGUUCCUUUUGCCUCUCCUCACGACAACACGGCUGGGAUUGCGCGGGUCAGUUAUGAAGAAACAUUGUGUCACGUGCUUAGCGUGUACCCAUGGCUCGUUUUUUGCGAUAGCGUUCAUGGUAGCGCUCUUGGCGUCGGGUAUAGUCAUGGUAGUGAACAUCCGGCUUUCUCUUUCGACAUUCUUAGCCCAUCUGACACGGAACAUCAUCGUGCUGUGCAGUCCAGAGUAGUCAAGCUCCCAGAUCUCCUCGACCCUUCCAUAAAAUCGUUCAGUUGUGCCGUUGUCGCUGCCGGUCAUGCAUUCCAUCGUCACCCCUGAGUUCUGAUCAUCACUGUCCAUAUCUUUUGCCUCUGUGUAGAAUGUGUAUCCGUUGAUAUCAUAUGCCUGAUAGGUUACGAGGUUGGGCGAGGGGCCAUGUGCUAAGGCGUAUAUGAGCAAUCCGUCCUUAGAGCCCUCCUCCGGUGGAUUAGCAAUAAUAUGCUCUUUGAACCAAUGCAGGAAAGUGGAGUUGUGCUCUCUAGUAACUUCGGCGUCCGUCCUGCAUACCCCCCGGUCACGAUACUUCUUUGUGAUAAUUUCUUUGUGCAGUGCCACGAAAGGAUCUACCUCGUCUAGGUGUUGUAGCACUACCAAGUUUGCUCUGUCAAAGUCGCUGCGUCGAUCUGAGUAUGCCACGUGCAGUUCCCUGCGACCGUUGCAGUGACCAUCUCCUUUGAGCCUCCCAUCGUGCUUGUUAACGGGCAAACCAACACUAACACCAGGCGGCUGGUCUGCGCCAUAUAAAAAAUUCUCACAGAAAGAGAUGCACUCUUGUGCCAAAUAGCCCUGGACGAUGCUUCCAUCCGGACGGGACAUGUUACGAACGAAUCCUUUGAUGAUCCCAUUCAUCCACUCAAACGGGAUCAUGUUGUGCAGGAAUGACGGCCCCAGGUCUAUUAUGUCAUCCACAAUAUGGACACACAGAUGCACCAUCACGUCGAAGAACGCGGGCGGGAAGUACAUCUCAAGCUCAUUCAGUAUCACAACGAUCUCUUCCUGUAGCCUUUGGAGCUGCUUCACACUGAUCGACUUUCGAGAGAUGACAUCGAAAAAGUUGCAGAGACCAAUAAGCGUGUCACGGACGUGCUUGUCCAUUAUCCCUCUAAGGGCAACAGGUAGUAUCUGCGUCAUCAUCACAUGACAGUCAUGAGACUUCAUCCCGCUGAACCUUUUCUUGUCCGUGUCUAGAUAUCUGCUUAUCUUGCCACAGUAACCGGAACUAACUUUCACUCCGGUAAGGCACUUAAAGAAUUGAUUGAUCUCAGCCUGACUUAAGGUGAAGCAAGAGGGGGGGCAAUAAUCUUCUUUCUUUAAUUUCUUGCCCUUCUUCUCCCGUGCCUCUGUCUUCGUCUCUGUCUCGUCUGACAUUUUACGGGGCGGCAUCUGCAGAUCUUCCCUGAUUUUCAAAUCUUGCAAGUCUUUUCUUGCCUUCGGCCCAUCCUUGGUCUUAUCCGGCAUGUUCAUCAGUGUUGCGAGCAAGCUCUCAAGGACAUUCUUACAGAUAUGCAUUUGAUCAAGGCAAUGAGGUGUAUCGAGUUUGUGCCAGUACUCCAAGUCCCAGAACACGACCUCGUCUUCCAUACCUUCAGCAGCGGCUCCGGCGCCUUUCUCAUCGUCUUUCCCGGCGCGGGGCACUCAUUCCAGUUUUUCAAUAGCUCAUCGAUUUCGGCACCGCUCCGCUUACGUGGAGGUCCUCGAUGCUCAGCGUGACCAUUGAAUAGAUCUCCACGGUUUCUCCACGGGUCGUCCUGUUCAAGCCAUCUUCGAUGCCCCAUGUACAUGAUUUUCGCAGACCCGCCAUCUUUCCUUGACGUUAGCUGCUGAGACGUUGUAUCAUCCAUGCACCGCGUGCAUCCGCAAUAUCCAUGGCACACCUGGCCUGCCACAUAUCCGUAACCGAGAUAGUCCUGCACUGUCGUGAUCAGCGCGGCUCUCAUGUUGAAAUACUCACCUUUGCUGGCGUCCCAUGUCUUGGCCGGUGUUUUCCAUAACGUGUCUAACUCCUCUUGAAGUAGCCCCAGAUACAAAUUAAUAUUAUUUCCUGGUUGUUUCGGCCCUUGAAUAAGCAUGCUCAUGUGAAUGUACUUCGAUUUCAUACACAACCAGGGGGGGAGGUUGUACAUCCAUACAAACACGGGCCAUGUACUAUGGUUGGUGUUCUAGUUGCCAAAUGGAUUCAUGCCAUCGGUACACGCGCCGAGCACGAUGUUCCUUGCAUCACAUUCAAAAUACCGUUAGAAGCUGUUCAACGCUCUCCACUGGCUUCCAUCCUUCACGUGUCUCAGCUUCGGAUCAUCUCCAUCGUCGGGCUUCUUCCUCUCCGCGUGCCAGCGCAUUAGCUUUGCUUCCUUGGGAUCUACAAAAUACCUCUGAAGACGGGGAGUGAUCGGUAAGUACCAUACAACUUUCUGGGGACAUUUCUUCCCGGCCUUCUUGUAUCGAGAAGCAUUGCACACCGGACAGCUUGUUUUUUCCGCGUGCUCCUUCCGAUAAAUUAUGCAAUCGUUGAUGCAUGCAUGGUAUCUAACGUGUGGCAGAUCAAGAGGGCACACGAUCUUCUUGGCCUCAUCAACACUAGUAGGACAUAGAUUACCCGCGGGAAGAAUAUCCUUUAGGUACUUGAGAUGGUCAUCGAGGCUAGUGUCGGUCCAUUUGUUUUUAGCCUUCGUCUUCAGGAGUUGGAGCGUGAAACUCAACCGGGUCACCUCAGGAUUGCAACCAUCAUACAAUGGAGUGUUCGAGUCUACCACCAGUUGCUCCAGCUUAGCCUCCUCUCUAGAAGCAGCUCUCUCAGUACUCGUCUCCUUGCGAAGCAAUGCUUGAACAUGAGGGUCCCGCACAAUUGAACUUAGUACCGACGAACUCUGCUGCGUGGAGUCCAUGUCGUUCUCUCCGCCGCCAUGUCCGGCCCCUUCUCCUCCGCCAUGUCCGGCCACUUCUCCGCUGCCAUGUCCGGCCUCUUCCCCGCCGCCAUUAUCGAUCAUCUCUUCGUCUUGCCCCGUGUCAUCAUUGCCUGCCCCGUCGGCAUCCUCAACAUCUUCAUCCUCAUCUUCAAUUAUCCACCGAGUAUAGCCAUCCAUGAAACCAGUCAUGAGCAGGUGCGCUUCGACACGACCAUCGUCAUGGGGGUCGAGCCAAACUAUUCCUUUGCAUUUUCAACACGGACAUAAAACCUCUGUCCGGUUAUUUUCUUUCAUGUCUUGCACCGCCGACCGCAACCACCUGUCCACCAUUGUUCCACUGACCAUCGUCAACUCUGCACGGUAAUAAUAAAAAAAUUGAUUGUAAAAAUGCAUGCAUGCAUCAAAGUCAUAAAAAAAUUUGGCAUGACCUUCCCUAAAAAUAGGACAUAUAUGGAUCUAGAGUUUGCCCGAAAUUCGCCGAAACGAAAAUAAAUCGACAUUUCGGCAAAACAUAGGCAACUCAAAAGCACAAUUUGGCGGCGUCAACUCAUGCCACAGACACAAUUUCCACAAACAUAUCACACAUACACAUAAACACAUUUCCAUUUUGCAAAAGCAUGAAAUUUUCAUCACCUCUAUCUCGAUGGCCGGAGAUGAUGUUGUAGGGAGAUCAAAAGUGCACAAAGCUAUUCUUGACAAAGAUAGAUCUAGUUAGGGGGCAAAUAGGUCACUUAACUAAAUCCUACAUCUACCUAGCUACCUAAUUUGGAAGGAGACAACUUCAACUAGUGGAGGGGGAGGAAAAAGAGAAAGAAGAUGCAUUAAUUAAUGGAGGUGGUGUAGUUAUGUAGGAGUAAUGAAGAGAGAGAAGGUGGAUAGAGAANNNNNNNNNNNNNNNNNNNNNNNNNNNNNNNNNNNNNNNNNNNNNNNNNNNNNNNNNNNNNNNNNNNNNNNNNNNNNNNNNNNNNNNNNNNNNNNNNNNNNNNNNNNNNNNNNNNNNNNNNNNNNNNNNNNNNNNNNNNNNNNNNNNNNNNNNNNNNNNNNNNNNNNNNNNNNNNNNNNNNNNNNNNNNNNNNNNNNNNNNNNNNNNNNNNNNNNNNNNNNNNNNNNNNNNNNNNNNNNNNNNNNNNNNNNNNNNNNNNNNNNNNNNNNNNNNNNUGUGGUGGAGGGAAGAGAGGAGAGGGGGAGGUAGGGGGGAAGGGAAAAAAGGAAGGGGGAGGGGAGGGACGGGUUGGGGGUUGGUGGGGUUAGCAGUAGCGCGGGAGAUAAAACGCGCUGCUGCUAAGAACUUAGCAGCUGCGCGCUUUGCGGUAAGGCGCUACUGCUAACUGGGACAAAAAAUUGUGGCAAUUUGAAACUUACCAGCAGCGAUCUCGAGGAAACCGCGCUACUACUACGUACUUAGCAGUAGCGCUGUUAUUGCGACCGCGCUACUGCUACUUAGAGUUGGGGGAACACCGCCGGUCGAUAUUUGUAGCAGCGCGUUUCUUGUCGAGCGCGCUACUGCUAAAUCUUUAUCAGUAGCGAGUUUACGUAACCCGCGCUACAACUACUUAGCAGCAGCGCUCUAUUUUGAACCGCGCUGCUGCUAAGAUUCUGUGUAUAGGCUUUUCCCUAGUAGUGUAGGAAGGAAUGACCACAUGAAUGAGCAUACGUAUGAUGUGAUUAAGUCUCUCGAUUGGGUAUCUGGUGCCUUAUGUACGGUGUCUUCUUUUUGUCAAGCUAUGACAUCUUUCAGUUUGAGUGUCUGAUAUUAGGGUUGCAUACGUUUUGUUAUUCAGUUGCCUGUUGUGAACUCUACGGUUAUAUCAUCUCGAUGUGUGAGUCAAUGUGUUUGAACCAAUGUAGAGUUUCAUGUGAAUGUUACAAGUGUGAUUGAUAUGUUCAUGUUAUCCGCGGUUGCCUUGGUAAGAAACUGAAAGAGCAAACCGUUAUCGUGCUAGGACAAAAGUCAUCACUCAAUAUAAGUGCUUCUCUAGAACAGCCACACCUUGUGAAAGAAGAUGGCAAACACCCAAUCAUGUCUGGUUCGAUAUGGGCGUGGCUAUGGGUAGCUUAUAGCGACAUGGAAGCCAGCAUCGCUGGAAGAAACGCCCGGGUGGGCCGGCCUAGAGACAUUUCUUGAUAUCUACCCUUAGUUUUGUUUUUCUGCCCUUCUUUCUUUAUAUUUAUAUUUUUCCCGACAUGUUCACUACUUGAUGCUCAACUGGGAUCUCAUCCUUCACAAAUACGGAGAGCCAUUAUUGUUAGAGUUAAUCUUGACAUGUGUGUAUGUGCAUGUGUGCAUUGCAUGUUAGUGGUCUAGAGAUGGCCGGGUCGAUGCGUCUGUUCUGUGCUGGAGUGAGUCCAGCAGUUUGUUUUGGUCAGGUCGUGGUGGCUAGAGCCAUUCUAGGAGAGGAUCAAGUCAAGUUGUUAGCUGAACUCGGCUGGGUAGUGUUUGGCCGUUGAGGAUAGGCUGUACUAGUGGUGGGCAUGGCCGUGCAUAUAGCUAGCGAUUAGUUACACUAGUAGAAAACCACCCAUUAGUCCCGGUUCGUAAGGGCCUUUAGUCUCGGUUCAGGAACCGGGACUAAUGGGUCGUUACUAAUACCUCCACCCAUUAGCCCCGGUUCAAACACGAACCGGGACCAAUGUGCCUCCACGUGGCCCUGUGCGGCGAGCCCAGUCAGGGGGCCUUUGGUCCCGGCUGGUGGCUCCAACCGGGACCAAAAGGCAUCCACGCGUCUGCAUUCUAGUGGUUUCUGGUUUUUGUUUUUUUUUUGAAAGGAGGGGGGUUGGGGGUUUUGGGGAGUUAAUUUAGGUGUUUCGUAUAUUGUGUUAACUAGCUAAUUAAUAGAGAGAAGUGUCCUCUCUUAUGUCCGUGCUUGGUCGACGCUACGUAGUAUAUAUACAUAAGUAAUCGAGAGAACCAUUCAGUACAGAAGUUCGUCAUGCAUACCGAGAGAAGUGAUCGAUCGACCUCUCCUUCUCCGAGAGAUUGGUCGAACAACAAGUUUUUUACUGGCUACAUACAUGUACAAUAUGUAUAAGAUCUCUUAAUUACAAACCCAUAGCAUUUGAAAUCAACUUCCACAUGGUAUUCUCCGGCUUUACUGAUGACGUGUUCAAGAAAGAAUCCCGCUAAUUCCUCUUGAAUUGCUUUCAUGCGAUCUGGUUCUAGGAGUUCACCCCGCAUCUGCCACGUCUAAUUAAUUUGAAGAAGGGGGUUAAUUAAUACAUAUAUAUGAAUGAAACUCAACAGAAAAUGAUGGUGUAAUAAAAUGAAAUUGUGAAUAUUAUUGCUUACGCACUUCAUAUUGUCUUCUAGAGUAGCCCCGCUUGUUUCUCAAAGUUGCGUUGUGGAUGAACUCGCACACGUAGUAUCCACAAAAAUCAUUCCCUUCCUCCUGUCACAAGCACUUUACGAGAAACAGAGGUCAAUCAAACUGAUAAUGAAGCAUUAUAAAUGGCAUUGAUGAAAGUAUAGCUAUAGAAUCAACGGGAGAUGCACGCAACUAGCUAGCCAGUAGUACUUACUUUCGGGUAUACAUAUCGCAGCUCCUUCGGCAGUCCCGGAGCUUGUGCGGUGAACUGUUUCCGAACCCUGCAAGACAAAGAAAAUAAUUAUUAUUACUUGAGAUAUCAGGAAAUGAACAAAAAGUUGCCGAUAUGGUGCGAUAAUGAUCGAUUGAACUUACUUGCUGAGCAUUUCAGUCAUGUCCACAUAGGUGCUGGGAUCUUUCCGUCUCGAGUCUAAGACGGUUACUAGUCCACGCUCAAGCUUAAUCUCCAGAAGAAUAUAGUGGUACCUGCGCACGCGUGCAUAACUCAUCAAUUACAUUAACCUCGCUCGAGUAAUAAGGGAAACCGAAUAUGCACACGACAGUAACACUCACGGGCCGUUGUAAGGAAAGAGUAUGGUAUCUUUGUUUUGAUUUUUGAUCAACGAUUGUAGCAAGUUGUCCUCGGCCUCUUCGACGUUCUUUUCAACCAGAAAUACAUCUAUGAUAUUUGUGUUAAUGAACCCAAUAUCAUAAAUUUUUUGUUUUUUGCACUCGACGAUCUUCAAUCUGCAUAAUAUAUUGAGGAUAAUUAAUUAUAAAUACAUGCAAUGAAAGAUCCGAGCUAUAUAUAGAGACUUAAUGUCAGAAAUAGUACUUACAUGCAGUAGCAAAAGACCAUUAAUUUAUCGAGGGCCUUUUGAUUGAAGAACUCAAAGAACUCCUCAAAUGGAACACACAACAGAUCAUUUGAAAUGAGGUCGUGCUCCUCUUUAAUAUUCAAAUACAAACUGUUCGUCCCCUCAGACUCUCUGCAGGUUUUCAUGUACCAAUUAUGGAAUCUUCGCAUCAUUAUUGUCAGAGAUUUUUCAUCUUUGACGAGAGGCUUCCCGUACUCGUAUCUGAAUACGUCCACCUCCAUGAAAUCAGGAAGUGCAUCGUCAGGCAGGUAAUCUUCAAGAUUGCCAUAACCGGCCACCGUCCCCGGAGGAUUAGACACAUUGAGCGGGGGGCACGAUUGCUGUGCUUGUUCGCCGAGCUGGGCAAUUUUUUUCCCCUUUGCUCGUUGUUCUUUUGACCUUUUAUCAUUGACAGUAGUUCCCGACCGCUUGGCUUGGAGAUAUGUCUGUUCAGUAAUGCGCUCAUAGUUGGUUCUCGGCGGAGACUUUGGUGGUUUCCUCAGGGCAUCGAGAGUGCGCUUUGCUUUCACCGGAUCUACCUUCUCCUCCGGAGGUGGAUGUCUCUUUGCUUUCACCCCUUCAAAGAACUCCUUCACGUGGGCCUGCACGAUCGUAUUGUUUUCCUCCUUGGUCCUCUCGUACGGUAACUUCUCUAGAGGCUUUAGAGGUGGACCGUAUCUGUAUUGCCUCUCUCUUCUUGUGCUGCUAGACGCCGGAGCAGACGGAGCGGCUGUGGCGUCUGUCUUCUUCCGUGCUUGCUUAUGAGGCGGAGGAGAAGGACUACGACGCGCCGGAGCAGCCGGGGCGGCGGCGGGUCUCUUCCGCCCUUGCUGGCGAGGCGGAGAGGAGGAGGCGGAGUGCCGCCACAUGCCGGAGAAGGAGGCGGAGUGCCGCCAUGCGUGCCCUGAUCGUCACUCGCCGGAGGAGGAGGCGGUGGAGGAGGCGGAGUGCCGCCACGCGUGCCCUGAUCGUCACUCGCCGGAGGAGGACGCGGUGGAGGAGGCGGAGUGCCCUGACUCGCUGAAAGAGGAGGAGGAGGCGGAGGCGUCCAGUUCAGAAGGUUGAUGAGCUCCUUCUGCCAUAGGCAUGGAGUCUUCAGAGCAGAACCCAGCCUAGUCUCCCCUUCACCGGUAGUGUGCUCAAGCACGAGGUCCUCAAAUCCCUCCGUUAUUUCAUCCACCAUCACCUUAGCAAAUCCUUCUGGAAUUGGCUGGCAGUGAUAAGUUGUGCCGGGUCCACUAGGAUAAACUUGGCCAACAGCCGCCUUGACCUUCAAAUUCAUCCAUCACACAAUAAUGUGGCAAUUUUGAGACUCCGUGAUACCAUCCACGGGAUAGCUGGCAGGAGCCGUCAAGACAUGCUCCGGCUGAAGCAGCUCAGUGGAAGCCACGCUGCUUCUCUGCUGAGAUGGCGGGGUAGCUUCGGGGGAAGCUUCGGCAGGUCGUUUGUUGUGAUCUGCUGCUUCUUGUUCCUCUAGCCCCAUUACCCUUUCGUGCAGCGCCUGCAUUUGGUCCUGCUCCAGUUUCUUCCUCCUCUCGUAGGCUUUGUAAACGCCUGCGUCCAGAAAACCAACCUUCCACGGAAUGGAGCCUGGCGUGCCUCGUGUCCGUCCAGGGUGCUCGGGAUUCCCAAGGGCCAUUGUGAGCUCGUCCUUCUCCCUGUUUGGAAGGAACGUCCCUCGUUGUGCUGCAUCGAUAUAGUGUCGAAGGUUCUUGACUGGUGUUUGCAGUUGCUCGUCCGUCCACUGACGCUUCCCUGUUACAGGGUCCAAGGUUCCGCCAGCCCCGAAGACCCAAGUCCGGCAACGGUCUGGCCAGCGCAUUGUCUCUGGUUCGAUUCCUUUUUCAAGCAGAUCAUGCUCAGCCUUGGACCACUUAGGCCGGGCUUUGAGGUAGCCACCUGACUCCGUGCGAUGGUGAAGCUUCUUCUUCGCAGCAUUUUUCUUGUUUGUCUCCGACAUCGUCUUACUCUUUUCCGAUGUCUUGUGGGCCACAAAUGCGGGCCAGUGAUCUUUGAUCUUCUCAUAUUUGCUGAUGAAUUCUGGUGUCUUUUUUUUCUCGAGAAACUGGUUCAGCUCUUUCCUCCACCUCCUCAUUAGGCUUGCCAUCUUCUUAAGAGCACAAGACUUGAUUAAUUGCUCUUUAACUGGCUUCUCCGGAUCCUCCUCUGGCGGUAGGGUGAAAUUUGCCUUCAGCUCAGUCCAAAGAUCUUCUUUCUGCAUAUCAUUGACAUAAGACACCUCAGGGUCUUCAUCCUUAGCAGGCUUAUACCAUUGCUGGAUGCUGAUCGGGAUCUUGUCCCUAACAAGAACCCCGCACUGAGCAGAAAAUGCCUUCCUUGUCCGGAUGGGUUCAAUCGGUUCGCCGUCGGGCGCGAUUUCUAUGAUCUCAAACUUUUCAUCCGAGAUCAACUUUUUCUUCGGGCCUCGUCUCCUUACCGAAGUUGUGCUCGAUCCGGAGGGCUAGAAAUUAUAAGGAAGAAAGACGACAGUAAUUAAUAUGUGUACAUAUACCAAAACAAUGGAUGCAUCAAUUAACUAGUCAGCACGGGCUUAACUAAUAUAUAUAUACCUGGCCGGACUCGGUUCGGUGACCGGAGCAGUCAGCACGGUCUCCUUGUACCUCCAUUGUGUCACCGGAGCCAUCAUGAACAUAGUCCUCCUCUUGUACCGGCAUUAAUGGGUCGAAGCCAUCAUAAACAUAGCCCUCUUCUUCAUCCAGUCCUUCCAGCUGACCAUCGGUGUCGAUGAGAAAUGACGCAACAUCAUCACUUCCAUUUGCGAUUAUGUCCCCCAACAUCGCUUCUGUUUCUUCGUCUCGGGAGUGCUCCAUAGUUUCUGCAAAUAUUUACAACAUGUCAAUUAUUAUUCAAACAUGGUACAAAUGGAUAUAUAUAUAUAUAUAUAUAUAUAUAUAUAUAUAUAUAUAUGAAAAUGGAUUGGUACUCCUAGGAGUACAUACUCUCACCUACACCCGUCAUCGUUGGAAACAUUCAUCCCGCUAACUACUAAAAAAAGAGCUAACUAACUACGGAUAAAGCCUUUGGAUUUAAAAAUUAGUUGAACCGCUUCCUUUUUUUUCAGCUCUCGUAGGCGUGCCUUCCAGGGAUUCCAUUUGAAACGGCGUUCUCAUCUCUUGCCAGCACCCAUGAACAUAAAAAAACAGAGCAUCGGCUCGCCUCCGCCCCGCCGACUGACCGGAAGACUUGGUCGACAUGGCCGACGAUGAUCCCCGUGCUUCUUCCCUCGCAAACUAGGCUUCAACCACCACGUCCAUCAAUCAGAGGAAGAUUGAUUCAUCAUCUGUAGUUUGCGAGGGUACGUGCAAUUGAUGUUUCCCGAUUUUUCUGUUCGGCUACCACAACCGUGUUCAUGUUCCCGCUGACCCCUUGAUCCAUUCCUGUCCAGUAUGUCAUCGUCCGAGAAGAAAAUAGGACGGAGAUGAUUGAUCGGCCAGAUUGAUCGGCCAAGUCUACUAGUACCACUGGUGGAAAAAAGGCCUUUGGUCGCGGUUCGCAACUGCCAUUAGUCGCGGUUGCGCAACCGCGACCAAAUAAGCGCGACUAAAGCCCCCCACCUUUAGUCGCGGCUGCUUAAGAACCGCGACUAAAGGCCCGUCCAUGUGGGCGCCAGGCGGCCGUCGGGACGGAGGACCUUUAGUCGCGGUUCUUCUGGCCAACCGCGACUAAAGGCCGCCACAGGUUUAGGGUUUUAGCCCCCCCCCUAAACCUGUUUUCUGUUUAAUUUGUAUUGUUUUAUUUCUUUUGUGCUUUAUUUUAAUUUUGAAGGAGUUUCAUAUAUUCUACGGUACUACAUACAUGCAUAUGAAUGUACAAUUUCAAAUAAAUUUGAAAUUAGAACCAAAAAGAAUUCAAGAGGAAUAUACAAUAUAUAUUCAAUAUCAUCGGAUGACCAUAUACAAUUUUGAACAAGUUUCCAUACAUGAUUUAAUGCAUAUAAAGUUCUACGUCCUCGUAAUAGUGUUCUCCUUUAGGAUGGAGGACUUCCCUGCUGAACCAUCCAGCUAGUUCCUCUUGAAGUGGUCGGAAGCGAGCUUCUGGACUAAGCAUCCACCGGAGGUUAUUCCUCUGAGCAUUGGUAUCACUCGGAACCCGCUCAGAGGUGUAUCUCCGGAUCAUCUCACAGACAUAGUAUCCACAUAGAUUGGUCUCCGGUGGCUGAAUAUCCCCAGCAUUCUUAGCCACUGACCUUUUGAAUUCUAGCUCUUUUUUGAAUUCACCGACCUUUGUAUCUACGAACCGUCUCCAAACCCUACGAGGCAAAGAAAAUUAAAUGAACAAGAGAGUUAUUAGUUACUUGAUAUUAGGAAAUGAACGAAAUAGGCCGAUUGAUAUAGAGCGCAAAUGAAUGAAAAUAAUUACUUCUGCAGCAUUCUUCUCAUGCCGCCCCAAAGCUUUGGAUCCAUAUUCACAGAGUCGUGGACGAGACAUUCUGAGGUGUUAACUUUAAUUACUAGCAGAAUCCAGUGGAACCUGCGGACACGAUACAUGCACAGUACGUCAUGCAUAACUCAUCGAUUAGCCGGCCACAUACCAUGCAUGGAGUAAACAAAAGAGAAUGUGCUCAAGACACAAACACUCACCCAAAAUGGUAAGGAAAUAGAAUAUCACUUUUGAGUUCCUGCUUUGUAAGAAACUGCCACAGGUCUACCUCCACGUCGGCGGGGUGACGCUCCAACACAUGUCCAUUAACGAUGUGUGGGUCAAUGAACCCAACAUCAUGGAUGUUCCUUACUCUGCAUUCCUUAAUCUUCAUUCUGCAUGUAUAAUAGCGGACACAACAAUAUAGUUAGGACAUAUAUAUAGUGCAGGCAAUAUGAACGAGAUGGGGUAGAAAUUAAUAAAUCACUUACAGAACGUAGCAACUGAUGAUAGAUUUAUCGAGCUCGCGCAGAUUGAAAAGCUGGAACAAUUCACUCAGUUCAAUUUGUACAUAGUAAUGUUUGAAGUGAUGCUCAUGUCUAACUUCCGCAUAAAUAUAUUCUUUGGCGUUUUUAUUUUUUAUGUAACCCUUGUACCAUUUCAGCAGACCUUUCAUUUGUGGAGGUAGAUCCUUUUCCUGCGCAGGCUCGACGAGAGGCCCAUUCUUGACAUAUGUAAUUACUACCUCCUUCACUGGCGCCUCAUCAAGGCCUAACAGUUCACGAAGAGUAAUACCUAAGUUGGCCGCUUGUUCUAUGGCACUCGUUACAGUCAAUCCCUGUGCUGCCGCAGCUUGUAUGAUCUCGGGGGCAUCCGGACAGAAGGCUUCCACUAUAAGCGGGGCAAUCGAUUGUUUACUUUGUUCCCCGAGCUGGGCAACUUGUUUCCCGCUUUUUUUACUUUCGGCCUUCUCCCGCUCUUUGUUCUCCUUGAACAUGAGUGCCUGCCUGCGAAGUUCACGUGCAUAGUCGUUAGGCAGAUUCUUCGCGGCUUGGGACGGUGUGCUCAAAAAUGACUUAGCCCACUUGUUUUGCUCAUCAGAAAAUACUGGCUUGGGCUCGAGCUCUCUUUUCUUCUUGCAGUCCGCCUUCCAUUUCUCCAAAUCAGCAGCCGCGGCCGCGUCGACUUCCUCGGCACUACGUUCCCAAGGCCUUGUGGGGAGAGGCUUCAGUGAUGGCUCCGGUACCUUUGUGGUCUUAGGUACAUAAGGGUCCGGGUUAAUAAUCCAGGACUGCUUCUGCUUCUUUGCCGGAGGUGGAUUGGGGGGCGGCGUCUGAUCACCCGCCGGACGAGGACUGGGGGGCGGCGGCUGAUCACCCGCCGGACGUUGUGGACUGGGGGGCGGCGUCGGCUGACGUGACGGAGGUGUAGGUGAACCGCCACCACCACCACCACCACCACCACCGCCACCGCCACCACCACCACCGUAGGGGGGUGGACUUGUUGUCCUUGGCGCCUCGCCUGGAAACUUGAUAAACUUCUUUUGCCAUAGAAUGAAAUGGCGCUUGACAUCUCCAAGUCUUUUCUCCCCUUCAGGUGUAGCAAUGUCAAUCUCCAGGUCCUCAAACCCUUGGACUAUGUCCUCCACCGUGACACGAGCAUAGCCAUCUUGAAUGGGGUUGUUGUGGUGGAGUGCUCCAGGUAAACAUGGUAAAGCACUGCCGAUGGCUACCUUCAUGGACAUGUUCCCGAUAGGAUAAUACAGAUGACAUUCUUCUCCGCUGCUGGCUUCCGAGAUCUGCUGGAUGAUCUUCAUGCUGCACCCGAGCUGCAUCUCUUUCGGCUACUAGUACACUCAUGGUUUUCUUCAUCACAUCCAUUUCCGAUGCCAACCGCGCCACAACAUCUGCUUCCCGAUCCACCUUUCUCUUACGGCUUCUGUAACCGUACGGGUCAUCGUUCUGGGGGAACCCUAUUUUCCACGGAAUGUGCCCCAUGCCUCGUACACGUCCUCCGUGUUCAGGAUUCCCGAGGGAUUUUGUCAGCGCGUCGUUCUCUCUGUUGAACUUGAUCUUCCCCUGUUGAGCAUCCCUCAUUGCGUUAAUAAGGGCUUGGGUGGGUUUAAUUAAUUUGCCCCGGUAAACACACUCCCCUGUCUCCGGGUUCAGCGUUCCCCCAUGCCCGUACCACCAACUUUUGGCCCUUGGGUCCCAUCCCUCCGUACCUGCACGGAUUCCUCGCGCCCUCAGCUCGUUCUCCAUCUUCUCCAACCUAGGCACCCAAAUGCGAUACCCUCCUGGCCCCAUAACAUGAUUGUACUCCUUCUUAGCCGCAUUUUCCUUAUUUUUUCGAUAUUUGAAUGAACUGCUCCGAUUUCUUUUGCUUCACAAAUUCUGGCCAAUCAUGUUUCAGUUUCUCAUAUUGUCCUUUGAAAUCCGGAGUCUUGUUCUGCUUGACAAAGUCAUGGGCUAGAUUUUGCUUGAAUUUCCGGAAUGCGUCGGCCAUCUUAUGAAGAGCGAACUGUUUGACUAGCCUCCUCCUCUCCUUGUUUUCUUCAAUCUUGUUACCCUCCUCAUCGAAUUUGUUGUAUUCCGGAGGUAGAACGAAAUGUUCCAUAAGCUUCUUGAAGCAAUCUUUUUUUGUUCUCUUAUCGACAAAAGUGAAACCAUCAAUUCGUGCCUUCUUUGGCUCAUUCCACUCCUGGACGGUGAUCGAGACGUUGUCUCUAACAAUGGCUCCGCAUUGGCUGACAAACUUGGUGGCGUUCUUGCGGGGCUCCAGCGGCCUGCCGGUUGCACUGUCGACAACCUCGAUGGUGCAUGUUUCUCCUUGUUUCAUCGUCUUGGUUGCGCCACGCUUUGACGACGUACUCGAUUGUUUCGACGAUCCGGCCGAGGGCUAAAAUAAGAAAGAGUCGCGCGCGUUAGUACACACAUAUUUAUUCAAAUCAGUUAGUUUGUAUCACCAGAGGCUCAAUGUAUAUAUAUACCUCGGCGCCGGAGGUGGUUGCUACAUCCAUUUGAAGAUCGUCGUUUAUCGACGUUUGUUCGGCAUCAUCUUGCUGACGGCGCCCUUCAUCUUCACCGUCAAGGUUCAGAUAAGAAGAGAUAUCAUCUUCUUCUUCUCCGGUCGGCACAUAUAGAAUAUCGCCGUUUAUGAUGCCGAACAUAUGUGCUUCACCGUCCGGAUCAUAGUUGUCCAUAAUCGGGUCAGCUCUAUCGUCCGCCAUUAUGUCAGUCCUGAAAACAUGUAGUAAAAACAAAUUAAUUAAGUGAAGAAGGGGGGCGGUGGCGGUGGCGGUGGCGAAAGGGUGGUGGCAAAAGGAGGGGGCGAGGAAGGGGUGGGAGAGGGUGUCGCGGUAGAGCGCGAGACGGGGCGGCACGAACGUCAUUUUGUGAAGAAACUUUGCAAGCAAUUAAACAUUUGUCAAUGUUUGGUAAAAAAAAUACAGGUAGCGUCUGUUGCUCCUAAUGAUUGGAAACGGUUUCCAAUUGCCAACGAGGAUUUAGAUCGACUACUACUACUAGUUGCAUUGCUCCCCAUCGGGACGAUGUUGCUCCUAAUCCCCUCCUUUGGAAUCUAUAGUACUAGUGCAUACUAGCUGGCCGUUGACCGUUGUUGCUCAUCGCGUUUUCUCAAAGUCCACUGAUUUUGCUCAGGGCCAGUUCGGAGAUUUUGCUGGUCCACUGAUUUUGGAUCAACGCCGGGAUGGCAUGGGCGCUCGGCGAUGAUGCGAAGUAGACUUGCACAGGCAACGUGAUGUACAUGGAUGUGUCAGUACGGUACGCUCGGCGAUGCCACGGUAUGGAUGACUUCUCGAGUGGAGAUUGGAGAACCAAGUUCGCCGGUGAAACGUCGGCUCCUGAUCAGAUCUGGGGGUCGCGAACUAGCGAUUGGAUCUCGGAAGGGAGUUAGGAAAGCGAACAGACGUGCGUUCAAGGCUACAACUUUUUUUUUCAGGAUCUUGAAAACAGCUACGCGUUCAAGGCCCGGUCCUGAUUUUGCUCAUCUACCCGGGGCGGCGUUCGCACUGCGCGAGGGCCGACUCCGCGGGGUGCUGCCGCGUCGCCUCGUCGACGCUGAGCGAGUUGGCGAGGACCGUGUACAUGGUCGGCACGUCGCCGGCGGAGAGGGUCAUGCUGUCCCCGACCAGCGGCGGCCACGGACGGGGAGGGCGGCGGCGGUGACUGGGAAGGAAUGAUAGGAGAGGAAGGAAGGUCGCGUGGGGUUGAGGGCGGNNNNNNNNNNGGCGAGGAGGGACUCCUUGGCGGAGAGGCGCUCCGUCUCGCGGGCGUAGCUGGCAGCGGGCUCCCACGCCUGCGCGUACACGUCGUCCCGCCGUGCGUUCAAGGCUACAACUUUUUUUUUUAGGAUCUUGAAAACAACUACGCGUUCAAGGCCGGCCCGGUCCUGAUUUUGCUCAUCUACCCGGGGCGGCGUUCGCACUGCGCGAGGGCCGACUCCGCGGGGUGCUGCCGCGUCGCCUCGUCGACGCUGAGCGAGUUGGCGAGCACCGUGUACAUGGUCGGCACGUCGCCGGCGGAGAGGGUCAUGCUGUCCCCGACCAGCGGCGGCCACGGACGGGGAGGGCGGCGGCGGUGACUGGGAAGGAAUGAUCGGAGAGGAAGGAAGGUCGCGUGGGGUUGAGGGCGGGCGAGCGAGGCGGCAGUACCGAGGCUGGCCGGCGGCGCGCGCGCGGUGGGCGAGGGCGACGGCGGGCGGCGUCGAGGGCGAGGGCGACGGCGGGCGGCGUCGAGGGCGCGGCAGAGACGAACAGGCGAGAAACGGCGGGCGGCGUCGAGGGAGCCUUGUAUUUAUAGCCCCCCCNNNNNNNNNNNNNNNNNNNNNNNNNNNNNNNNNNNNNNNNNNNNNNNNNNNNNNNNNNNNNNNNNNNNNNNNNNNNNNNNNNNNNNNNNNNNNNNNNNNNNNNNNNNNNNNNNNNNNNNNNNNNNNNNNNNNNNNNNNNNNNNNNNNNNNNNNNNNNNNNNNNNNNNNNNNNNNNNNNNNNNNNNNNNNNNNNNNNNNNNNNNNNNNNNNNNNNNNNNNNNNNNNNNNNNNNNNNNNNNNNNNNNNNNNNNNNNNNNNNNNNNNNNNNNNNNNNNNNNNNNNNNNNNNNNNNNNNNNNNNNNNNNNNNNNNNNNNNNNNNNNNNNNNNNNNNNNNNNNNNNNNNNNNNNNNNNNNNNNNNNNNNNNNNNNNNNNNNNNNNNNNNNNNNNNNNNNNNNNNNNNNNNNNNNNNNNNNNNNNNNNNNNNNNNNNNNNNNNNNNNNNNNNNNNNNNNNNNNNNNNNNNNNNNNNNNNNNNNNNNNNNNNNNNNNNNNNNNNNNNNNNNNNNNNNNNNNNNNNNNNNNNNNNNNNNNNNNNNNNNNNNNNNNNNNNNNNNNNNNNNNNNNNNNNNNNNNNNNNNNNNNNNNNNNNNNNNNNNNNNNNNNNNNNNNNNNNNNNNNNNNNNNNNNNNNNNNNNNNNNNNNNNNNNNNNNNNNNNNNNNNNNNNNNNNNNNNNNNNNNNNNNNNNNNNNNNNNNNNNNNNNNNNNNNNNNNNNNNNNNNNNNNNNNNNNNNNNNNNNNNNNNNNNNNNNNNNNNNNNNNNNNNNNNNNNNNNNNNNNNNNNNNNNNNNNNNNNNNNNNNNNNNNNNNNNNNNNNNNNNNNNNNNNNNNNNNNNNNNNNNNNNNNNNNNNNNNNNNNNNNNNNNNNNNNNNNNNNNNNNNNNNNNNNNNNNNNNNNNNNNNNNNNNNNNNNNNNNNNNNNNNNNNNNNNNNNNNNNNNNNNNNNNNNNNNNNNNNNNNNNNNNNNNNNNNNNNNNNNNNNNNNNNNNNNNNNNNNNNNNNNNNNNNNNNNNNNNNNNNNNNNNNNNNNNNNNNNNNNNNNNNNNNNNNCGAGGAAGACCAAUCGGCUUAAGGUCAGGAACAAAGUCAACACAAAACUCAAUUACCUCCUCAUUUCCAUAGCCCUUGGCGAUGCUUCCUUCUGGCCUAGCACGGUUACGAACAUAUUUCUUUAAUACUCCCAUGAACCUCUCGAAGGGGAACAUAUUGUGUAGAAAUACAGGACCGAGAACGAAAAUCUCUUCGACUAGGUGAACCAGGAGGUGCGUCAUAAUAUUGAAGAAGGAUGGCGGGAACACCAACUCGAAACUGACAAGACAUUGGAUCACAUCGUUCUGUAACCAUGGUAGAACUUCUGGAUUGAUUACCUUCUGAGAGAUUGCAUUGAGGAAUGCACAUAGCUUCACAAUGGCUACUCGAACAUUUUCCGGCAGGAGCCCCCUCAAAGCAAUCGGAAGCAAUUGCGUCAUAAUCACGUGGCAGUCGUGAGACUUCAGGUUUUGGAACUUUUUCUCCGCCAUGUUUAUUAUUCCUUUUAUAUUGGACGAGAAUCCAGACGGGACCUUCAUACUGCUCAGGCAUUCAAAAAAGAUGACCUUCUCUUCUUUGGUCAGAGCGUAGCUGGCACGACCUUGAAACCAUUCCGGAUGCCGGUCAUCAGGGUCUUUCAAACGUUGCUGGUCCUGCCGUGCUUCCUUUGUAUCAUUUGUCUUCCCAUACACGCCCAAGAAGCUUAGGAGGUUCACGCAAAUAUUCUUCGUAACGUGCAUCACGUCGAUUGCAGAGCGGACAUCUAGGACUUUCCAAUAUUCUAGCUCCCAGAAUAUAGAUUUCUUCUUCCACAUGGCUGCGUUCCCGUCUGCUCCCUUCGGAACUGAUUGUCCGCCAGGACCCUUUCCAAAGAUGACUUUCAAAUCCUUGACCAUAUCAAAUACCUCAGCACCAGUGCAUUCCGCAGGCUUCGGCCGGUGAUCUGCCUUGCCGUUGUAAUGCUUGCCUUUCUUUCUUACUGGAUGAAUUUUCGGAAGAAAUCGAUGAUGCCCAAGGUACACGUUCUUCUUACAAUUUGGCAAAUGUACACUUUCAGUCUCAUGUAAGCAGUGCGUGCAUGCAUUGUAUCCCUUAUUUGACAGUCCCGAAAGGUUACUAAGAGCAGGCCAAUCGUUGAUGGUUACGAAAAGCAACGCUCGUAGGUCAAAUUCCUCUUGUUUGUGCUCAUCCCACACACGGACACCACCCCACAGCUGUAAAAGUUCAUCAACUAAUGGCCUUAGGUACACAUCGAUGUCGUUGCCGGGUUGCUUCGGACCUUGGAUGAGCACUGGCAUCAUAAUGAACUUCCGCUUCAUGCACAACCAAGAAGGAAGGUUGUAGAUGCAUAGAGUCACGGGCCAGGUGCUAUGGCUGGAGCUCUGCUCGCCAAAAGGAUUCAUGCCAUCCGUACUUAGAGCAAAUCUUAUGUUCCUUGCGUCAGCUGCAAAAUCUUUGAACCAUCUGUCGAUCUUUCUCCAUUGCGUUCCAUCUGCGGUGUGUCUCAACUCCCCGUCCGACUUACGGUCCUCUUUGUGCCAUCGCAACAACUUGGCAUGCUCUUUGUUCCUGAACAGACGUUUCAACCGUGGUAUUAUAGGAGCAUACCACAUCACCUUGGCGGGAACCCUCUUCCUGGGUUUCUGGCCCUCAACAUCGUCACCAGGGUCAUCGCCUCUGAUCUUAUAACGCAAUGCAGUGCAUAUCGGGCAUUCAUUCAAAUUCUCGUAUUCACCGCGGUAGAGGAUGCAGUCGUUGAUGCAUGCAUGUAUCUUCAGAACCUCUAAACCUAGAGGGCAGACAACCUUCUUUGCUUCGUACGUACUGGCGGGCAACUCGUUAUCCUUUGGAAACAUACUCUUCAACAUUUUCAGCAAGUUUUCAAAUGCCGAGUCAGCUACACCUGCCUCUGCCUUCCAUUUCAGCAAAUCCAGUGUGCAGCCCAGCUUUUUCAGACCAUCAUCGCAUCCGGGGUACAGCGCCUUUCUGUGAUCCUCUAACAUGCGAUCCAAAUUCUCCCUCUCCUUUUCAGUUUCGCAGCGUCUCCGUGCAUCAGCAAUGGUCCGACCAAGAUCAUCAACGGGAUCAUCACGUGCCUCUUCUUCACCUUCCCCUUCACCUUCAGCAUCCUCCAUGAAAGUAUCACCGAGAUGAGCAAGAUAGCUUUCAUCGAUGAAAUCAUCCCCUUCUUCAUCUUCUUCCAUUAUAACCCCUCUUUCUCCAUGCUUGGUCCAACAAUUAUAGCUUGGCAUGAAACCGUGCCGAAGCAGAUGCAUGUGAACAUCUCUUGAGGAAGAGUAACCCUUCUGAUUCUUACAGAUAACACAUGGACAGAUAACAAAAAACCCCUGCUUGUUCGCAUUAGCCACUACGAGGAAAUCUUUCAAACCCGUAGUGAACUCGCCGGAGAGUCGGUUACCGUACAUCCAUUGCCGAUUCAUCUGCAUUAUUAUAAUAUAAAAUAUAUAAUUAACCAUCAUGCAUUUGUUAAACUAACUAGCUACAAACAAUAUAAAUUAAACAAUGAACUGCACACAUGCAUAUUUUAUCAAUGACACAUCAAAGGUUCAUCAAGUUGCUAACCGCGAUCGAGGAGUGUGGCUCCAACACUUCAUGUCAUGUUUGUUUCAUGCUCUUGGGGCAUUUCAUCAAACACCUUAUGUGCAUAAGAGGAACCAAAAGCAAACCUACACCCACUUGUGAAGAGAAUGGCUCCAAAUGGCUAAGUGUUGGCUGCUGGAUGGGUAUAUAUAGGGGAGGGGCUUUAGUUGCGGUUGGCUUGGCAAACCGUGACUAAAGGUGCCCGAAGGCCUUUAGUCGCGGUUGUCCUGGCCAACCGCGACUAAAGACCCUCACGUGCGCCAGCUGGCCACCGAGCGCCCUGAGCCCAGGCCUUUGGUCGCGGUUCACCUCCAGAACCGCGACUAAAGGUCCCAUUAGUCGCGGUUCCUACAGCUUCGCGACUUAUGGGGCUGGACGGAAGCUUGUUUUUCCACCAGUGUACUAGGUAAGGUGUCGUUCCAGUCAAAUUGAUGAAUUCAUCUUUUGUUACCUUUGUUAUAGGAAUAUAGGCUGCAUUUAUUAGUCAUAUCGAGCUCUCAAGGAGUCAAGAUCUUGUUAACUUACUAAUAAUUUCUAUAUACCUGCAGCGUUAUGGCCUAUGGUGCAGGGCAAAGACAACAAGGACGACAUGCGGCGGCGACGUGGCCAUGGUGAAGCUACUUCGUCCGGCUACCCCAUGGUUGGCGUGUCUGCCGUCCUCUCAAUCUAUCACACGUACGUCCGGUGCAUGCAUGGUGUCGGGCCGAAGAGCACACAAAUCUACAUCCAGGCCCUGGGCACUAGCAACCGCUGAUGCACUUAGCCACUUACCAAUGUAUUCCUAUUGUACGUAUAUAAUAAAGUGGUUAGUACGUCGACGUAGAAAUAGUUAGUAGCUUGCUUUGCACUCACACAAUCGAGUCAUGAUUGUUACUGAUGAUCAAAAUUUUAUGUAUUUUUUAUGCCGGAUGGGUUUACUACUUCUUCUUCGGUUGUAUAUAAAGCUUCCAAAAAAUUAGUAUAUAAUCCUCCAGAAUAAAUCAGUAUAUAGUCCUCCAAAAAAAUGAGUAUAUACACUUUGUAACGCAGCAUAUACCCCAUAAAAAAUGUAGUAUAACGCUGCAGAAAUAAGACAUACUCCUUUUCUAGUUGCAUAUACCCAAUCACAAAACUACACUGAAAUAAUUAGUAGUACAUACUCCUUUUCUAUUUUGGAAAGGAACGUCCAUUUCCCUCUUCAACAAGUGCUUUAUUUUUCUAGGGGUAGCCUUGUGUUUUUACUGCCAUGCGACGACAUUACAAAAUGUAUUACACCCAUUAUUCAUCUAAUUUUUUAUAUACCCUUUUAUGCAUACUUUGAAUUUAUCACUCAUUUGGGCGACCAGCCCGCUCUCUCAUUGCAGCGACUCGACUCUCACAUAAAGCCAGUAUAUACUCACGUAAAAAAAAGCAGUAUAGACUCCCUUACUGAAAAAGAACUAUAUACUCCCCUACCAAAAAAAGUAGUAUAUGCUCCAUUACCAAAAAGGCAGUAUAUACUCAUAUACAAAAGGUGGUAUAUACUGUCUUCCCAAAGUAGUAUAUAUCUUUUUCCUUGCGUUAGAGAAGUAGUAUAACCAGAACAGAUAGUUCAUACUUGUGUGCUGAAAAAAGUAGUAUAUAAAUAUAUAUGUAAGAGUGAGUAUGGUAGAUAUGUAUCGGUCCUUACAAAAAAAAUCAACCACUGUUAUUGUUUAUUUGCACCGAACUAACCUUAUCUGUAUGCUAGGAUCCUUGAAUCUCUCAAUCUGUUGAUGCACAUGCAUGCGUCGGCCGGUGGAGCAAUUAGCAACUAGAUCUAAUAACUGCCAACCUGUUCAGUCCAUGGGAGUACAUACUCCUGGGAGUAUAAAAGAGGAGUCUAUAUAUAUAUAUAUAUAUAUAUAUAUAUACGGUGGCGCUAUUGUGUGCGUGAGCGCAGAUUUACUUAUCGUGCGCGCCGGUCAUUGCGUGCGCCACUCGUAUUCCUAAUGAUGGUAAAAUUCCUGGCAGAAAUAGUAAUAUAAUUUAAUUGGUUACUGCCUGCCACCACCACGGUAGCGAUUUAAUUGGUUAGGUCUACUAGUAAAAAUGCAUAGCAGAAAAAGUAAAAGAGCUAAAAGUAUUACUGUUGGAUGCAUCGGUCCCCGCUUCGACUGCCUACUAGUAAAACACCUCAUAAAAGUAGUAAUAGGAUUACCCUACACGCAUCAGCCCCUUGCCAUACUUGUGAACAGGUAAACUUCAUGUGAAGAAUAGUACUGGAUGGUAACUGUGUUACCAUAGAACGGACACUUGCUAUUAGCUAGCUACAUGGUAAUUUUAUUACCGCUAACUUUCAUCGGUUUAAUACCUAAUCAUGUUACCACUUAUUUUCUUAGUAGUAUUGGAUGGUAACUAUGUUACCACAUGACGAAAAAAUUGCUAUUAGCUAAUAGCUACACGGUAAUUGCAUUACCACUCAUGUGUAGAAGCAUGAUACACGGUCUUUUUUCCAAUUACGUUUGGUCGAAGACGCAAGGGUUUGCUAAUCGCUAAAGUGGGGUCGAAGCAGUAAUAAGUUUCCAACCGUUACCAUGUUUCUUAAGGUAUGUUACGUAUGGGCGCAAGACAUGUUCUUUAAUAGGAGCGGGACAACGGUUGCUUAGACGGAGAAUGGCGCGCAGUCUGGCCGGAGCGUAGAAUUAGACUUCUGCGCUCAGGCUUAGUUUAGCACGUCUAUAUAUAUAUAUAUAUAUAUAUAUAUAUAUAUACAUACAUGUUAGUGGCCUCGACGCUGCUUCUCUAGGGUUUGGGGUCGCCUCGACACAACGCUUCAAGGGUUUGGGGUGGCCUCGACGACAACGUUUUUUUAACUUGAUAAAUUUGGGUGGCCUCGAGAGAGUUAAUUUGUCGGGUAGGGGCGCGGCGGGAGGGGGUAGGAGACCAACAUCGUUUUCUCUCUAGGGUUUGGGUGUCCUCGAGAGUUAUCGGGGAGGGGGUAUCGGUACCACCCCCUAGCUCGUGUUGAAGUUUCUUCUUUCUCCUCUAUUCCUUUCUUUCUUCUUCUCCUCUUCUUUUUCUUCUUCUCCCUCGAGAAAGGAAAAUANNNNNNNNNNNNNNNNNNNNNNNNNNNNNNNNNNNNNNNNNNNNNNNNNNNNNNNNNNNNNNNNNNNNNNNNNNNNNNNNNNNNNNNNNNNNNNNNNNNNNNNNNNNNNNNNNNNNNNNNNNNNNNNNNNNNNNNNNNNNNNNNNNNNNNNNNNNNNNNNNNNNNNNNNNNNNNNNNNNNNNNNNNNNNNNNNNNNNNNNNNNNNNNNNNNNNNNNNNNNNNNNNNNNNNNNNNNNNNNNNNNNNNNNNNNNNNNNNNNNNNNNNNNNNNNNNNNNNNNNNNNNNNNNNNNNNNNNNNNNNNNNNNNNNNNNNNNNNNNNNNNNNNNNNNNNNNNNNNNNNNNNNNNNNNNNNNNNNNNNNNNNNNNNNNNNNNNNNNNNNNNNNNNNNNNNNNNNNNNNNNNNNNNNNNNNNNNNNNNNNNNNNNNNNNNNNNNNNNNNNNNNNNNNNNNNNNNNNNNNNNNNNNNNNNNNNNNNNNNNNNNNNNNNNNNNNNNNNNNNNNNNNNNNNNNNNNNNNNNNNNNNNNNNNNNNNNNNNNNNNNNNNNNNNNNNNNNNNNNNNNNNNNNNNNNNNNNNNNNNNNNNNNNNNNNNNNNNNNNNNNNNNNNNNNNNNNNNNNNNNNNNNNNNNNNNNNNNNNNNNNNNNNNNNNNNNNNNNNNNNNNNNNNNNNNNNNNNNNNNNNNNNNNNNNNNNNNNNNNNNNNNNNNNNNNNNNNNNNNNNNNNNNNNNNNNNNNNNNNNNNNNNNNNNNNNNNNNNNNNNNNNNNNNNNNNNNNNNNNNNNNNNNNNNNNNNNNNNNNNNNNNNNNNNNNNNNNNNNNNNNNNNNNNNNNNNNNNNNNNNNNNNNNNNNNNNNNNNNNNNNNNNNNNNNNNNNNNNNNNNNNNNNNNNNNNNNNNNNNNNNNNNNNNNNNNNNNNNNNNNNNNNNNNNNNNNNNNNNNNNNNNNNNNNNNNNNNNNNNNNNNNNNNNNNNNNNNNNNNNNNNNNNNNNNNNNNNNNNNNNNNNNNNNNNNNNNNNNNNNNNNNNNNNNNNNNNNNNNNNNNNNNNNNNNNNNNNNNNNNNNNNNNNNNNNNNNNUGAAAACACUUUUUUUUGUUUUCUUUCUUGCUUUAUUUAUUUUAUUUUGUUUCUACUUGCAAUAAAAUACUUAUUGUUGUUUUUUUGUUUUGUUUUCUGCAUUAUUUAUUUUCUUUUGUUUUUUGCUUUAUUUUUUAAUUCUUUUUGCUUUUAGUUUUAGGAAAAUUAUAAACUUUCUAUUAGUGCCAUUACUUUUCAAAUUUGAAAACACUUUUUUGUUUUUUAGUUUUCUUUCUUGCUUUAUUUAUUUUAUUUUGUUUCUACUUACAACAAAAUACUUAUUGUUGCUAUUUUUAAUUAUUACGAAGGCCAAACCAUAAGACAUUAAAGCAUUUCAAAUGAACUCUGAAAAAGUUGAAAGUUGGCAUGGUAUCAUAAAUUGACCCACACAUAGCAUGUGCAUGUACAAAACGGACAAUGUUAUCAUACUCGUCAGUUACAAAGUUGGCAUGGUAUCAUCAUAAUAGUUGCGGGAGAAAGUCUUCACUUUUUCUUCGCUUGUGUCAUUUGCUUAUUGCGCCGUAACCAUGGAUAAUCUUCAUCGUUUAUCAGGAUGCUGGGGUCAGCCUUGACUUUAAAGGGAGGAAUUUCAUGAAACUUUUCAUAAUCUUCAGACAUGUCUGUCUUGUCCUCCUCUCCCACGAUGUCCCUUUUUCCUGAAAGAACUAUGUGGCGCUUUGGCUCAUCGUAUGAUGUAUUCGCUUCCUUAUCUUUUCUCUUUCUUGGUCUGGUAGACAUGUCCAUCACAUAGAUAACCUGUGCCACAUCAUUGGCUAGGACGAACGGUUCGUCAGUGUACCCAAGAUUUUUCGGAUCCACUGUUGUCGUUCCGUACUGUGGGUCUACAUGUACCCCGCCUCCUGACAGAUUGACCCAUUUGCACUUAAACAAAGGGACCUUAAAAUCAUGUCCUUAGUCAAGUUCCCAUAUGUCCACUAUGUAACCAUAAUAUGUGUCCUUUCCCCUCUCGGUUGUUGCAUCAAAGCGGACACCGCUGUUUUGGUUGGUGCUCUUUUGAUCUUGGUUAAUCGUGUAAAAUGUCUUCCCAUUUAUCUCAUAUCCUUUCCAAAUCGUAACAGUCGAAGAUGGUCCCCUGGAUAACAAGUACAUCUCAUCACAAACAGCGUUGUCACCUCUGAUACGUGCUUCCAACCAACUGCUGAAAGUCCUGAUGUGUUCACAUGUAAUUCAGUCGUCGCACUGCUCCGGGUGUUUGGAGCGCAGACUGUUCUUGUGUUCAUCCACAUACGGGGUCACCAAGGUAGAGUUCUGUAGAACUGUGUAGUGUGCUUGAGACCAAGAAUAUCUGUCCCUGCAUAUUAUUGAGUCCCUUCCAAGCAUGCCUUUUCCAGUCAGUCUCCCCUCAUACCGCGAUUUAGGGAGACCUAUCUUCUUAUGGCCAGGAAUGAAGUCAACACAAAACCCGAUGACAUCCUCUGUUUGAUGGCCCAUGGAGAUGCUUCCUUCUGGCCUAGCGCGAUGAGGGACAUAUUUCUUUAGGACUCCCAUGAACCUCUCAAAGGGGUACAUAUUGUGUAGAAAUACGGGGCCCAAAAUGACAAUCUCGUCAACUAGAUGAACUAGGACGUGCGUCAUGAUAUUGAAGAAGGAUGGUGGGAACACCAGCUCGAAACUGACAAGACAUUGCACCACAUCACUCCUUAGCCUUGGUAUGAUUUCUGGAUCGAUCACCUUCUGAGAGAUUGCAUUGAGGAAUGCACAUAGCUUCACAAUGGCUAAUCGGACGUUUUCCGGUAGAAGCCCCCUCAAUGCAACCGGAAGCAGUUGUGUCAUAAUCACGUGGCAGUCAUGAGACUUUAGGUUCUGAAACUUUUUCUUUGCCAUAUUUAUUAUUCCUUUUAUAUUCGACGAGAAGCCAGUCGGGACCUUCAUACUAAGCAGGCAUUCAAAGAAGAUUUCCUUCUCUUCUUUGGUAAGAGCAUAGCUGGCAGGACCUUCAUACUGCUUUGGAGGCAUGCCGUCUUUUUCGUGCAAAUGUUGCAGGUCCUCCCGUGCCUCAGCUGUAUCUUUUGUCUUCCCAUACACGCCCAAGAAGCCUAGCAGGUUCACGCAAAGGUUCUUCGUCACGUGCAUCACGUCGAUCGAAGAGCGGACCUCUAGGUCUUUCUAGUAGGGUAGGUCCCAAAAUAUAGAUUUCUUCUUCCACAUGGGUGCGUGUCCCCCAACGUCACUCGGAACAGCUAGUCUGCCGGGACCCUUUCCAAAGAUUACGUGUAAAUCAUUGACCAUAGCAAGUACGUGACCACCGGUACGCAUGGCGGGCUUCUUCCGGUGAUCUGCCUCGCCUUUGAAAUGCUUGCCUUUCUUUCGACAUUGAUGGUUGGUCGGAAGAAAUCGACGAUGGCCCAGGUACACAUUCUUCCUACAGCUUGCCAGGUAUAUACUAACGGUGUCAAGUAAACAGUGCGUGCAUGCGUGGUAUCCCUUGUUUGUCUGUCCUAAAAGGUUACUGAGAGCAGGCCAAUCGUUGAUGGUCACGAACAGCAACGCCUUUAGGUUAAAUUUCUCCUGUUUGUGCUCAUCCCACGUACGUACACCGUUUCCAUUCCACAGCUGUAAAAGUUCUUCAACUAAUGGCCUUAGGUACACAUCAAUGUCAUUGCCGGGUUGCUUAGGGCCUUGGAUGAGAACUGGCAUCAUAAUGAACUUCCGCUUCAUGCACAUCCAAGGAGGAAGGUUAUACAUACAUAGAGUCACGGGCCAGGUGCUGUGAUUGCUGCUCUGCUCCCCGAAAGGAUUAAUGCCAUCCGCACUUAAAGCAAACCAUACGUUCCUUGGCUCACUUGCAAACUCAUCCCAGUACUUUCUCUCAUUUUUCUCCAUUGCGACCCGUCAGCGGGUGCUCUCAACUUCCCGUCUUUCUUACGGUCCUCACUAUGCCAUCGCAUCAACUUGGCAUGCUCUCCGUUUCUGAACAGACGUUUCAACCGUGGUAUUAUAGGAGCAUACCACAUCACCACUACUAGGGAAAAGCCUAUACAUAGAAUCUUACCAGCAGCGCUCUUCAAAAUACAACGCUACUGCUACUUAGCAGCAGCGCGUGUCUGCCAAACACGCUGCUGACUUGGAAGUAGCAGUAGCGGGUGCAUCGCAUACAGCGCUACUGCUAUAGUUGCCAUGACCUUGCCCCCCCCCCCCCNNNNNNNNNNNNNNNNNNNNNNNNNNNNNNNNNNNNNNNNNNNNNNNNNNNNNNNNNNNNNNNNNNNNNNNNNNNNNNNNNNNNNNNNNNNNNNNNNNNNNNNNNNNNNNNNNNNNNNNNNNNNNNNNNNNNNNNNNNNNNNNNNNNNNNNNNNNNNNNNNNNNNNNNNNNNNNNNNNNNNNNNNNNNNNNNNNNNNNNNNNNNNNNNNNNNNNNNNNNNNNNNNNNNNNNNNNNNGCAAACGCGCUACAACUAUCCCUACCUUAUCCCCAUGCGCACGACCGGCCCUCUCACUCACACUCUCACUCUCGCCCACGUCAACCGUCGUCGUCCGUCGCCGCCGCCGCCGCCUUCGUCCGUCCGCCGCCGAGGUACUCCCCUCCUUCCGUCCCUCCUCCAUCCUCCUUGCACAUCCUCCCUCCGCCUGUGGCCGCCCCUCCUUCCUCCGCCGCUGCCCUCCUCCCUCCGCCUGCGGCCGCCCCUCCUCCCUCCUCCGACGGCAGCCCUCCUCCCACCGCCCUCGACCUCGCUGCCCCUAGCUACCUCUCCGUCGCCCCCCACCCCUGCCACUAGUUAGUACUAGAUUUAGUAGUAGUAGAUGUUAAUUUAGGGUUAGCUAGUACUAGAUGUUGCUUAGUUAGUACUAGAUUUUUAGUAGUAGUAGUGGUAGUUGAACUACUUUAGUUGUAGUUGAACUAGUUUAGUAAGUAAAUUAAUAAACGAGUUGAACUAGUUGAAUUAAUAGAACUAAUCUAUUUUUAGUAAGAUAAUUAAUAUAACUAGUUGAACUACUUUAUUUUUAGAAAGAACUAAUUUUUUUCUAUUUAUAUUAAGUUUAUAUUUAGUAAGAACUAGUUGAAUUAAUAAAACUAGUUGAACAUGUCAUGUUUGUUGUUAGUGAUAACUUAUAUGGUUUCAGGUGACCUCCGUCGUCCCCGUCACCGACCCCCUCCGACAUCCCCGUCGUCGUCCCAGUCACCGACCCCCUCCGACAUCGAGGUGAGACCAGCCAAAUAUCCUUGUAUAUCUUGUGUUGUUGCUCAAAUUGGAUAUGUGGUUGCCCAAGUGGCCGUUCAUGUAGUUUACAUCUCCGAGUGGCCUAUGUUUUGCCGGAGUGUUGAUUAAUUUCCGUUCCGACAAAUUUCAGGCGCUCGAUAUGUCCUUUUUUAGCAAAGGUCAUGCCGGAUUUUGUCGUGAAUUCUGGUAUGACUUGUGCUAGAAUAUGUACAAGUUUAAUCUUUGAAUUAUGAUUGUAGGAAAUGUCGUACUCGGACGACGAAGGUCUCCCGGGGGAGUGUAGCUGGUGCCACGACGAUCGAGGUAUGUGCGAUAGGUUCGUUCGGCUGGACGAAGAUCGGCGCUUCAACAUUAAGCUCGAGGAGACCUUCGAUUGUGAAAUGGUACGCAACAACGACAAGUGUUUUUUCUCCAUUAAGCAUGACUUCAACUAUUUCAACGUCUAAUUUUCAUAUUUUACAAUUCGACUAGCUUAUCCCAUGCCAUGCAAGACGCUAUGUCUUGGAGAGGAUGGGUUUUGAAGACCAUGAAAAUUUCAAAACAAAGAAAAUACACCUAAGGACCCAUCAUGAUAUGGAUUUUGAAGUAAACCUGUGCAAUGCUCAGAGCGCAACCCAUUUUGGUUGCCAAAAUUGGGAAGCACUUUGCAAAAUGUAUGGUUUUUAUGAGGGUAUGAUUGUCACCAUGGAUCUUGGUGAUCCUGACAGUGAGGAAGACAAUAUGGACAUUUGGGUCCUUGUUGAUACGCUUCCGAUUGUACCGCUAUGUGACUUUCUCAAACAUAGUUAUUAACUAAUUUAUAUUGUUUAUUUCAAAAUAGUUGAUAGCUUAUUUCCAUUGACAGCUUAUUUUGAUUCUUCAAAGACUGUGCGGAAGAUGGUAGAUAAAACCCACUACACCGAAGGCACCCAAUUAACGUAUAAGGAGAAAAAUCAUCUGAUCGCAUUUUGUACUCUUCUUGAGAAUUACAAUGACUAUAAUCGAACUCCUCCAGAUUAUGGUGAAUAUGUGCCACUAGUGCAUGUGUUGAACAACGAUAACUUAUCUGGAGAUACCCUGGUAAGAUUUUUUACUAUUACGACAUCCGUGUAUUUUUUGCAUACUUCUAAAACUAGUACAUCAUUGCUAACUACGAAGUUAUUAUUAUGUUUUUCAACAGAAACUCCCGAUGGAUUGUGUGCCUCAUCUGAUGUCUCUGCAUGGUCGCCUCUCAGUUCUGAACAUACUGCCAGGUAAAUCUACAGAGCUCACCUAUGCAUAUCAGAUUUCUAAAACCCGUGAACACAUGAUCAUCAGAGAAUGGAAGAAAUGUAUGGACAUUCGCAAGGAGGUUCUUGGAAGUAACAUUCAGCGAAACGUAAGAAUGGGAGACAGGCUAAUCUCCAUUCUCCAUAAUGGAGAGUCAGGGGCUAUCUUGUUUUUUGUUAUUUUACCUUAGAAAAUGUAGUAGGUCUUAAUCGAAUGUAAUAGGUCCUAUGAGGUACAAUAUGUUUAUUAUGUGGUAAUGUGUUAGAGUUGAUAAUGAUGAUCUUGAGGAGGUGUUAUGUGAUGUCAAUGAUGAAAACGAUGAUAUUGAGGAGGUGUUAUAUGACAAUGAUGUAUUAUGAUGCUAAGUUGUUAAUGAUAUGAUGAUGAUGAUGAUAUUAUUAUAUCAUUGGGUGAAAGAACCGUGGAUUAGUUUCAAGUGGAUGGACAUCCACUUGAAACUAGUCCACGGUUCUUUCACCCCAUGAUGUAAUAACUCAUUAUGAUGUAAAAACAAUCUCUAAAUUCCUGUUGUAUGAAAACUUGUGUAAGGGUGUAUGAAUACAACAUGAAAAAGAAAAGAAAUAAAAUACUAAAUAAUAGUAGUAGCGCGGGUAAGGAGAAGCGCUACUACUAAUUACCAGUAGCGAUGUUCUAAAGAACCGCUGCUACUAAGUCAAUUUAGCAGUAGCGCGUGUCAAGACGCGCUAUUGCUAAGCAUUAGCUGUAGCGCCUUAUCAGUAGCGCUCCUGCCCGCGCUACUGAUAGGCCCAAAACCCGCGCUGCUGCUAGGCUUUUCCCUAGUAGUGCACCUUCGCAGGAACCCUCUUCCUGGGGGGCUCGCCGUCAACAUCACCAGGGUCAUCUCGUCUGAUCUUAUACCAUAAUGCACCGCAUACCAGGCAUGCGUUCAGAUCCUUAUAUGCACCGCGGUAGAGGAUGCAGUCAUUAGGGCAUGCAGGUAUCUUCUGCACCUCCAAUCCUAGAGGGCAUACGACCUUCUUUGCUGCGUAUGUACUGUCGGGCAAUUCGUUAUCCUUUGGAAGCUUCUUCUUCAAUAUUUUCAGUAGCUUCUCAAAUCCUUUGUCAGGCACAGCAUUCUCUUAAAGGAAAUAUGCCCUAGAGGCAAUAAUAAAGUUAUUAUUUAUUUCCUCAUAUCAUGAUAAAUGUUUAUUAUUCAUGCUAGAAUUGUAUUAACCGGAAACAUGAUACAUGUGUGAAUACAUAGACAAAACUAUAGUCACUAGUAUGCCUCUACUUGACUAGCUCAUUAAUCAAAGAUGGUUAUGUUUCCUGACCAUAGACAUGUGUUGUCAUUUGAUUAGUGGGAUCACAUCAUUAAGAGAAUGAUGUGAUUGACAUGACCCAUUCUGUUAGCCCAGCACUUGAUCGUUUAGUAUACUGCUAUUGCUUUCUUCAUGACUUAUACAAAGUUCCUGCAACUAUGAGAUUGUGCAACUCCCGUUUACCGGAAGAACACUUUGUGUGCUACCAAACAUCACAACGUAACUGGGUGAUUAUAAAGGUGCUCUACAGGUGUUUCCGAAGGUACAUGUUGGGUUGGCAUAAUUCGAGAUUAGGAUUUGUCACUCCGAUUGUCGGAGAGGUAUCUCUGGGCCCUCUCGGAAAUACUCAUCACAUAAGCCUUGCAAGCAUGUAACUAAUGAGUUAGUUAUGAGAUGACGUAUUACGAAACGAGUAAAGAGACUUGCCGGUAACGAGAUUGAACUAGGUAUUGGAUACCGACGAUCAAAUCUCGGGCAAGUAACAUACCGAUGACAAAGGGAACAAAGUAUGUUGUUAUGCGGUUUGACCGAUAAAGAUCUUCGUAGAAUAUGUAGGAACCAAUAUGGGCAUCCAGGUCCCGCUAUUGGUUAUUGACCGAGAAUGGUUUUAGGUCAUGACUACAUAGUUCUCAAACCCGUAGGGUCCGCACGCUUAACUUUUUGAUGAUAGUUUUAUUAUGAGUUUAUAAGUUUUGAUGUACCAAAGUUUGUUCGGAGUUCCGGAUGUGAUCACGGAUAUGAUGAGGAGUCUCGGAAUGCUUGAGCCAUAAAGAUUGAUAUAUUGGACGACUAUAUUCGGACACCGGAAAGGUUCCGGGAGUUUUCGGAGAAAACCGGAGUGCCCGGGGGGUUACCGAAACCCCCCGGGAGAGUUAAUGGGCCACAUGGGCCUAGGUGGGAAGAGAAAGGGGCGGCCAGGGUGAGCCGCGCGCCCCCUCUCCCUCUAGUCCGAAUUGGACUAGGAGGGGGGGCGGCGCCCCCUUUCCUUCCCCCCCUCUCUUCCUUCCUUCCCCCUCCUAGUAGGAGUAGGAAAGGAGGAAUCCUACUCCUACUAGGAGGAGGAUUCCUCCUCCCUUGCGCGCCCCAAGGGGCCGGCCGGCCUCCCCCUCCCUCCUUUAUAUACGGGGGCAGGGGGCACCCCAUAGACACACAAGUUGAUCUACGGAUCGUUCCUUAGCCGUGUGCGGUGCCCCCUUCCACCAUAUUCCACCUCGGUCAUAUCGUCGCGAAGCUUAGGCGAAGUCCUGCGCCGGUAGAACAUCAAGAUCGUCACCACGCCGUCGUGCUGACGGAACUCUCCCUCGACACUCGGCUGGAUCGGAGUUCGAGGGACGUCAUCGAGCUGAAUGUGUGCUGAACUCGGAGGCUCCGUACGUUCGGUUCUUGGAUCGGUCGGAUCGUGAAGACGUAUGACUACAUCAACCGCGUUGUCAUAACGCUUCCGCUUACGGUCUACGAGGGUACAUGGACAUACACUCUCCCCUCUCGUUGCUAUGUCAUCACCAUGAUCUUGCGUGUGCGUAGGAAAAUUUUGAAAUUACUACGUUCCCCGACAGUGGUAUCAGAGCCUAGGUUUUAUGCGUUGAUGUUAUAUGCACGAGUAGAACACAAGUGAGUUGUGGACGAUAUAAGUCAUACUGCCUACCAGUGUGUCAUACUUUGGUUCAGCGGUAUUGUGAGAUGAAGCGGCCCGGACCGACAUUACGGGUACGCUUACGCGAGACUAGUUUCACCGUUAUGAGCACUCGUGCUUAAAGGUGGCUGGCGGGUGUCUGUCUCUCUCACUUUAGUUGAACCGAGUGUGGCUACGCCCGGCCCUUGUGAAGGUUAAAACGGAGUCUAUUUGACAAACUAUCGUUGUGGUUUUGAUGCGUAGGUAAGAACGGUUCUUGCUAAGCCCGUAGCAUCCACGUAAAAUUUGCAACAACAAAGUAGAGGACGUCUAACUUGUUUUUGCAGGGCAUGUUGUGAUAUGAUAUGGUCAAGACGUGAUGCUAUAUUUUAUUGUAUGAGAUGAUCAUGUUUUGUAACCGAAGUUAUCGGCAACUGGCUGGAGCCAUAUGGUUGUCGCUUUAUUGUAUGAAAUGCAAACGCCCUGUAAUUGCUUUACUUUAUCUCUAAGCGGUAGCGAUAGUCGUAGAAGCAAUAGAUGGCGUAAACGACAACGAUGCUACGAUGGAGAUCAAGGUGUCGCGCCGGUGACGAUGGUGAUCAUGACGGUGCUUCGAAGAUGGAGAUCACAAGCACAAGAUGAUGAUGGCCAUAUCAUAUCACUUAUAUUGAUUGCAUGUGAUGUUUAUCCUUUAUGCAUCUUAUCUUGCUUUGAUUGACGGUAGCAUUUUAAGAUGAUCUCUCACUAAAAUUAUCAAGUAGUGUUCUCCCUGAGUAUGCACCGUUGCCAAAGUUCAUCGUGCCGAGACACCACGUGAUGAUCGGGUGUGAUAAGCUCUACGUCCAUCUACAACGGGUGCAAGCCAGUUUUGCACACGCAGAAUACUCAGGUUAAACUUGACGAGCCUAGCAUAUGCAGAUAUGGCCUCGGAACACAGAGACCGAAAGGUCGAGCGUGAAUCAUAUAGUAGAUAUGAUCAACAUAAUGAUGUUCACCAUUGAAAACUACUCCAUCUCACGUGAUGAUCGGUUAUGGUUUAGUUGAUUUGGAUCACGUGAUCACUUAGAUGACUAGAGAGAUGUCUGUCUAUGUGGGAGUUCUUAAGUAAUAUGAUUAAUUGAACUUAAAUUUAUCAUGAACUUAGUACCUGAUAGUAUCUUGCUUGUCUAUGUUUGUUUGUAGAUAGAUGGCUCGUGCUGUUGUUCCGUUGAAUUUUAAUGCGUUCCUUGAGAAAGCAAAGUUGAAAGAUGAUGGUAGCAAUUACACGGACUGGGUCCGUAACCUGAGGAUUAUCCUCAUUGUUGCACAGAAGAGUUACGUCCUGGAAGCACCGCUGGGUGCCAGGCCUGCUGCUGAUGCAACUGACGACGUUAAGAACGUCUGGCAGAGCAAAGCUGAUGACUACUCUAUAGUUCAGUGUGCCAUGCUUUACGGCUUAGAACCGGGUCUUCAACGACGUUUUGAACGUCAUGGAGCAUAUGAGAUGUUCCAGGAGUUGAAGUUAAUAUUUCAAGCAAAUGCCCGGAUUGAGAGAUAUGAAGUCUCCAAUAAGUUCUAUAGCUGCAAGAUGGAGGAGAAUAGUUCUGUCAGUGAACAUAUACUCAGAAUGUCUGGGUAUAACAAUCACUUGAUUCAACUGGGAGUUAAUCUUCCUGAUGAUAGUGUCAUUGACAGAAUUCUUCAAUCACUGCCACCAAGCUACAAGAGCUUUGUGAUGAACUAUAAUAUGCAAGGGAUGAACAAGACUAUUCCCGAGCUCUUCGCGAUGCUGAAAGCCGCAGAGGUAGAAAUCAAGAAGGAGCAUCAAGUGUUGAUGGUCAACAAGACCACUAGUUUCAAGAAGAAGGGCAAAGGAAAGAAGAAGGGGAACUUCAAAAAGAACGGCAAGCAAGUUGCUGCUCAAGAGAAGAAACCCAAGUCUGGACCUAAGCCUGAAACUGAGUGCUUCUACUGCAAGCAGACUGGUCACUGGAAGCGGAACUGCCCCAAGUAUUUGGCGGAUAAGAAGGAUGGCAAAGUAAACAAAGGUAUAUGUGAUAUACAUGUUAUUGAUGUGUACCUAACUAGAGCUCGUAGUAGCACCUGGGUAUUUGAUACUGGUUCUGUUGCUAAUAUUUGCAACUCGAAACAGGGACUACGGAAUAAGCGAGCACUGGCCAAGGACGAGGUGACGAUGCGCGUGGAAAACGGUUCCAAAGUCGAUGUGAUCGCGGUCGGCACGCUACCUCUACAUCUACCAUCGGGAUUAGUUUUAGACCUAAAUAAUUGUUAUUUGGUGCCAGCGUUGAGCAUGAACAUUAUAUCUGGAUCUUGUUUGAUGCAAGACGGUUAUUCAUUUAAAUCAGAGAAUAAUGGUUGUUCUAUUUAUAUGAGUAAUAUCUUUUAUGGUCAUGCACCCUUGAAGAGUGGUCUAUUUUUAUUGAAUCUCGAUAGUAGUGAUACACAUAUUCAUAUUGUAGAAGCCAAAAGAUGCAGAGUUGAUAAUGAUAGUGCAACUUAUUUGUGGCACUGCCGUUUGGGUCAUAUCGGUGUACAACGCAUGAAGAAACUCCAUACUGAUGGACUUCUGGAAUCACUUGAUUAUGAAUCACUUGGUACUUGCGAACCGUGCCUUAUGGGCAAGAUGACUAAAACACCGUUCUCCGGAACUAUGGAGAGAGCAACAGAUUUGUUGGAAAUCAUACAUACAGAUGUAUGUGGUCCGAUGAAUGUUGAGGCUCGUGGCGGAUAUCAUUAUUUUCUCACCUUCACUGAUGAUUUAAGCAGAUAUGGGUAUAUCUACUUAAUGAAGUACAAGUCUGAAACAUUUGAAAAGUUCAAAGAAUUUCAGAGUGAAGUAGAAAAUCAUCGUAACAAGAAAAUAAAGUUUCUACGAUCUGACCGUGGAGGAGAAUAUUUGAGUUACGAGUUUGGUUUACAUUUGAAACAAUGCGGAAUAGUUUCGCAACUCACGCCACCUGGAACACCACAACGAAAUGGUGUGUCCAAACGUCGUACUCGUACUUUACUUGAUAUGGUGCGAUCUAUGAUGUCUCUUACCGAUUUACCGCUAUCGUUUUGGGGUUAUGCUUUAGAGACGGCCGCAUUCACGUUAAAUAGGGCACCAUCAAAAUCCGUUGAGAUGACGCCUUAUGAACUGUGGUUUGGCAAGAAACCAAAGUUGUCGUUUCUUAAAGUUUGGGGCUGCGGUACUUAUGUGAAGAAACUUCAACCAGAUAAGCUCGAACCCAAAUCGGAGAAAUGUGUCUUCGUAGGAUACCCAAAGGAGACUAUUGGGUACACCUUCUAUCACAGAUCUGAAGGCAAGAUUUUCGUUGCUAAAUUCGGAUCCUUUCUAGAGAAGGAAUUUCUCUCGAAAGAAGUGAGUGGGAGGAAAGUAGAACUUGAUGAGAUAACUGUAUCUACUCCCUUAUUGGAAGGUAGUUCAUCACGAGAACUGGUUCCCAUGACAACUACACCAAUUAUUGAGGAAGCUAAUAAUAUUGAUCAUGAAACUUCAGAUCAAGUUUCUGCUGAACCUCGUAGGUCUACCAGAGUAAGAUCCGCACCAGAGUGGUACGGUAAUCCUAUUCUGGAAGUCAUGUUACUUGACCAUGAUGAACCUACGAACUAUGAGGAACCGAUGAUGAGCCCAGAUUCCGCAAAAUGGCUAGAGGCCAUGAAAUCUGAGAUGGGAUCCAUGGAUGAAAACAAAGUAUGGACUUUGGUUGACUUGCCCGAUGAUCGGCAAGCCAUUGAGAAUAAAUGGAUCUUUAAGAAGAAGACUGACGCUGAUGGUAAUGUUACUGUCUAUAAAGCUCGACUUGUUGCGAAAGGUUUUCGACAAGUUCAAGGGGUUGACUAUGAUGAGACUUUCUCACCCGUAGCGAUGCUUAAGUCUGUCCGAAUCAUGUUGGCUAUUGCUGCAUUUCAUGAUUAUGAAAUUUGGCAAAUGGAUGUCAAAACUGCAUUCUUGAAUGGAUUUCUAGAAGAAGAGUUGUAUAUGAUGCAGCCGGAAGGUUUUGUUGAUCCAAAAGGUGCUGACAAAGUGUGUAAGCUCCAAUGUUCCAUUUAUGGACUGGUGCAAGCAUCUCGGAGUUGGAAUAAACGUUUUGACAGUGUGAUCAAGGCAUAUGGUUUUAUACAGACUUUUGGAGAAGCCUGUAUUUACAAGAAAGUGAGUGGGAGCUCUGUAGCAUUUCUAGUUUUAUAUGUUGAUGACAUAUUAUUAAUUGGAAAUGAUAUAGAAUUUCUGGAGAGCAUAAAGGGAUACUUGAAUAAAAGUUUUUCAAUGAAAGACCUCGGUGAAGCUGCUUACAUAUUGGGCAUCAAGAUCUAUAGAGAUAGAUCAAGACGCUUAAUAGGACUUUCACAAAGCACAUACCUUGACAAAAUUUUGAAAAAGUUCAAAAUGGAUCAGGCAAAGAAAGGAUUCUUGCCUGUGCUACAAGGUGUGAAGUUGAGUCAAACUCAAUGCCCGACCACAUCAGAAGAUAGAGAGAAAAUGAAAAAUGUUCCCUAUGCUUCAGCCAUAGGCUCUAUCAUGUAUGCAAUGCUGUGUACCAGACUUGACGUAUGCUUAGCAAUAAGCUUGGCAGGAAGGUACCAAAGUAAUCCAGGAGUGGAUCACUGGACAGCGGUCAAGAACAUCCUUAAAUACCUGAAAAGGACUAAGGAUAUAUUUCUCGUAUAUGUAGGUGACAAAGAGCUCGUCGUAAAUGGUUACGUCGAUGCAAGCUUUGACACUGAUCCAGACGAUUCUAAAUCGCAAACCGGAUACGUGUUUAUAUUAAACGGUGGAGCUGUAAGUUGGUGCAGUUCUAAACAAAGCGUCGUGGCGGGAUCUACAUGUGAAGCGGAGUACAUAGCUGCUUCUGAAGCAGCAAAUGAAGGAGUCUGGAUGAAGGAGUUCAUUUCCGAUCUAGGUGUCAUACCUAGUGCAUCGGGACCAAUGAAGAUCUUCUGUGACAAUACAGGUGCAAUUGCUUUGGCAAAGGAAUCCAGAUUUCACAAGAGGACCAAGCACAUCACGAGACGCUUAAAUUCCAUUCGGGACCAAGUCCAAGUGGGAGACAUACAGAUUUGCAAGAUACAUACGGAUCUGAAUAUUGCAGACCCGUUGACUAAGCAUCUCUCACGAGCAAAACAUGAUCAGCACCAAGACUCCAUGGGUGUUAGAAUCAUUAUUGUGUAAUCUAGAUUAUUGACUCUAGUGCAAGUGGGAGACUAAAGGAAAUAUGCCCUAGAGGCAAUAAUAAAGUUAUUAUUUAUUUCCUCAUAUCAUGAUAAAUGUUUAUUAUUCAUGCUAGAAUUGUAUUAACCGGAAACAUGAUACAUGUGUGAAUACAUAGACAAAACUAUAGUCACUAGUAUGCCUCUACUUGACUAGCUCAUUAAUCAAAGAUGGUUAUGUUUCCUGACCAUAGACAUGUGUUGUCAUUUGAUUAGUGGGAUCACAUCAUUAAGAGAAUGAUGUGAUUGACAUGACCCAUUCUGUUAGCCUAGCACUUGAUCGUUUAGUAUACUGCUAUUGCUUUCUUCAUGACUUAUACAAAGUUCCUGCAACUAUGAGAUUGUGCAACUCCCGUUUACCAAAAGAACACUUUGUGUGCUACCAAACGUCACAACGUAACUGGGUGAUUAUAAAGGUUCUCUACAGGUGUUUCCGAAGGUACAUGUUGGGUUGGCAUAAUUCGAGAUUAGGAUUUGUCACUCCGAUUGUCGGAGAGGUAUCUUUGGGCCCUCUCGGUAAUACUCAUCACAUAAGCCUUGCAAGCAUGUAACUAAUGAGUUAGUUAUGAGAUGACGUAUUACGGAACGAGUAAAGAGACUUGCCGGUAACGAGAUUGAACUAGGUAUUGGAUACCAACGAUCAAAUCUCGGGCAAGUAACAUACCGAUGACAAAGGGAACAAAGUAUGUUGUUAUGCGGUUUGACCGAUAAAGAUCUUCAUAGAAUAUGUAGGAACCAAUAUGGGCAUCCAGGUCCCGCUAUUGGUUAUUGACCGAGAAUGGUUUUAGGUCAUGACUACAUAGUUCUCGAACCCGUAGGGUCCGCACGCUUAACGUUUCGAUGAUAGUUUUAUUAUGAGUUUAUAAGUUUUGAUGUACCGAAGUUUGUUCGGAGUCCCAGAUGUGAUCACAGACAUGACGAGGAGUCUUGGAAUGGUCGAGACAUAAAGAUUGAUAUAUUGGACGACUAUAUUCGGACACCGGAAAGGUUCCGGGAGUUUUCGGAGAAAACCGGAGUGCCGGGGGGGUUACCGGAACCCCCCGGGAGAGUUAAUGGGCCACAUGGGCCUAGGUGGGAAGAGAGAGGUGCGGCCAGGGUGGGCCGCGCGCCCCCUCUCCCUCUAGUUCGAAUUGGACUAGGAGGGGGGGCGGCGCCCCCCUUUCCUUCCCCCCCUCUCUUCCUUCCUUCCCCCUCCUAGUAGGAGUAGGAAAGGAGGAAUCCUACUCCUACUAGGAGGAGGAUUCCUCCUCCCUUGGAGCGCCCCAAGGGGCUGGCCGGCCUCCCCCUCCCUCCUUUAUAUACGAGGGCAGGGGGCACCCCAUAGACACACAAGUUGAACUACGGAUCGUUCCUUAGCCGUGUGCGGUGCCCCCUUCCACCAUAUUCCACCUCGGUCAUAUUGUCGCGAAGCUUAGGCGAAGCCCUGCGCCGGUAGAACAUCAAGAUCGUCACCACGCCGUCGUGCUGACGGAACUCUCCCUCGACACUCGGCUGGAUCGGAGUUCGAGGGACGUCAUCGAGCUGAACAUCUGCUGAACUCGGAGGCUCCGUACGUUAGGUGCUUGGAUCGGUCGGAUCGUGAAGACGUACGACUACAUCAACCGCGUUGUCAUAACGCUUCCGCUUACGGUCUACGAGGGUACGUGGACAUACACUCUCCCCUCUCGUUGCUAUUUCAUCACCAUGAUCUUGCUUGUGCGUAGGAAAAUUUUGAAAUUACUACGUUCCCCAACAUCUCUGCCUUCCACUGCAGCAAUUCCAGUACGGUACCGAGCUUUGUGUUGCCAUCUUCGCAAUUGGGGUACAACCCUUUUUUUUGGUCCUCUAGCAUGCGAUCGAACUUCAGCUUCUCCUUUUGACUUUUGCAUUGCGUCCUUGCAUCGACAAUGACCCGGCGGAGAUCAUCAUCAUCGGGCACAUCGUCUGGUUCCUCUUGAUCUUCAGCAGCUUCGCCUGUUGCAGCAUCAUCGUGCACAUCGUCUGGUUCCUCUUGAUCUUCAGGAGCAUCACCGUAUUCAGGGGCACAUAGUUGUCAUCGUACUCUUCUUCACCGUCUUCCAUCAUAACCCCUAUUUCUCCGUGCCUCAUCCAAACAUUAUAGUGUGGCAUGAAACCCUUGUAAAGCAGGUGGGUGUGGAGGAUUUUCCGGUCAGAGUAAGACUUCGUAUUCCCACAUAUAGGACAUGGACAACACAUAAAACCAUUCUGCUUGUUUGCCUCAGCCACUUCGAGAAAAUCAUGCACGCGCUUAAUGUACUCGGAGGUGUGUCUUGAACCGUACAUCCAUUGCCGGUUCAUCUGCGUGCAUUAUAUAAUGAAGUGACCAAAUUAAUAGAAGUUCAUCAUCACAUUAAAACCAAAGUACAUACAUAGUUCUCAUCUAACAACAUAAAGCUCUGCAGAGCAUCUAAAUUAAUUAAACCAUACACUGAAACUAUGUAAAACAUUUCAAUGCGAAAACAAAUGCAACCAUAAUCGCAACCAAUGUAACAACUGAUCCAACGGCAUAAUGAUACCAAGCCUCAGUAUGAAUGGCAUAUUUUCUAAUCUUUCUAAUCUUCAAGCGCAUUGCAUCCAUCUUGAUCUUGUGAUCAUCGACGACAUCCCCAACAUGCAACUCCAAUAUCAUCUUCUCCUCCUCAAUUUUUCUAAUUUUUUCCUUCAAGAAAUUGUUUUCUUCUUCAACUGAAUUUAACCUCUCGACAAUAGGGUCGGUUGGAAUUUCCGGUUCAACAACCUCCUAGAUAAAUAAAAUCUAUGUCACGUUGGUCGGCAUAAUUGUCAUAAACAAUAAAUGAACCAAUAGUUAUGAAAAGAUAAUAUAUACCACAUCCGAAUCAUAGACAGGACGAGGGCCGACGGGGGCGGAUACCAAAACCAUCGCACUAUAUAAGAUGCAAUAAUAAAAGUAAGAAAAUAAUACAAGUAUCUAUCUAAACAUACAAGUAAGAAUAUUUUUCCUUUCAGAAAGAAGAUAAGAACAAGAGGCUCACCACGGUGGUGCCGGCGAUGAGAUCGGCGCGGGUGAUCGACGACGAUGAAGACAAGGACGGGGCGUGACGGACCGCUAAACCUAGACAAAUAUUGAGGAAAAUGGAGCUUGGCGGUCGAGCUUGGAGGGGAGAAAGCUUAAGUAGUGUGGCUCGGGCAUUCCAUCGAACACCUCGUGUGCAUAGGAGGUGAGCUAGAGCACCACAAAGCUCUCCCCUCGCCGGCCACGAAAAACAGAGCACUGGGAGUGCUCUGCUCGCGAGCGGGGGGUAUAUAUAGGCACCACCAUUGGUCCCGGUUGGUCGCACGAACCGGGACUAAAGGUUGGCCUUUGGUCCCGGUUCGUGCCACCAACUGGGACCAAUGGUGGUGGGCCAGGAGCGAGGCCCAUUGGUCCCGGUUCGUCCCUCCAACCGGGACCAAAAGGUCCAGACAAACCGGGACCAAUGGCCCACGUGUUGGGUUUCGUAGUAAUUUCAAAAAAUUUCCUACGCACACGCAAGAUCAUGUGAUGCAUAGCAACGAGGGGAGAGUGUUGUCUACGUACCCAACGCAGACCGACUGCGGAAGCGAUGACACGACGUAGAGGAAGUAGUCGUACGUCUUCACGAUCCAACCGAUCAAGCACCGAAACUACGGCACCUCCGAGUUCGAGCACACGUUCAGCUCGAUGACGAUCCCCGGACUCCGAUCCAGCAAAGUGUCGGGGAAGAGUUCCGUCAGCACGACGGCGUGGUGACGAUCUUGAUGAACUACAGCAGCAGGGCUUCGCCUAAACUCCGCUACAGUAUUAUCGAGGUAUAUGGUGGCAGGGGCACCGCACACGGCUAAGGAAUAGAUCACGUGGAUCAACUUGUGUGUAUAGAGGUGCCCCCUGCCUCCGUAUAUAAAGGAGGAGAGGAGGGGAGGCUGGCCGGCCAAGGAGGGGAGGCGCAGGAGAGUCCUACUCCCUCUGGGAGUAGGAUUCCCCCCAAUCCUAGUCCAACUAGGAUUCCUCGGAGGGGAAGGGAGAGAGGGGGGCCGGCCACCUUCUCCUAGUCCUAAUAGGACUAGGGGAGGGGGAAGUGGCGCAGCCACCUUGGGCUGCCCCUUUCUCCUUUCCACUAAGGCCCAUGAAGGCCCAUAUGGCUCCCGGGGGGUUCCGGUAAUCCUCCCGGUACUCCGGUAAAAUCCCGAUUUCACCCGGAACACUUCCGAUGUCCAAACAUAGGCUUCCAAUAUAUCAAUCUUUAUGUCUCGACCGUUUCGAGACUCCUCGUCAUGUCCAUGAUCACAUCCGGGACUCCAAACAACCUUCGGUACAUCAAAAUGCAUAAACUCAUAAUGUAACUGUCAUCGUAACCUUAAGCGUGCGGACCCUACGGGUUCGAGAACAAUGUAGACAUGACCGAGACACGUCUCCGGUCAAUAACCAAUAGCGGGACCUGGAUGCCCAUAUUGGCUCCUACAUAUUCUACGAAGAUCUUUAUCGGUCAGACCGCAUAACAACAUACGUUGUUCCCUUUGUCAUCGGUACGUUACUUGCCCGAGAUUCGAUCGUCGGUAUCCAAUACCUAGUUCAAUCUCGUCACCGGCAAGUCUCUUUACUCGUUCUAUAAUGCAUCAUCCCGUAACCAACUCAUUGGUCACAUUGCUUGCAAGGCUUAUAAUGAUGUGCAUUACCGAGAGGGCCCAGAGAUACCUCUCCGACAAUCGGAGUGACAAAACCUAAUCUCGAAAUACGCCAACUCAACAUGUACCUUCGGAGACACCUGUAGUACUCCUUUAUAAUCACCCAGUUAAGUUGUGACGUUUGGUAGUACCCAAAGUGUUCCUCCGGUAAACGGGAGUUGCAUAAUCUCAUAGUUACAGGAACAUGUAUAAGUCAUGAAGAAAGCAAUAGCAACAUACUAAACGAUCAAGUGCUAAGCUAACGGAAUGGGUGAAGUCAAUCACAUCAUUCUCCUAAUGAUGUGACCCCGUUAAUCAAAUGACAACUCUUUUGUCCAUGGCUAGGAAACAUAACCAUCUUUGAUAAACGAGCUAGUCAAGUAGAGGCAUACUAGUGACACUAUGUUUGUCUAUGUAUUCACACAUGUAUUAUGUUUCUGGUUAAUACAAUUCUAGCAUGAAUAAUAAACAUUUAUCAUGAAAUAAGGAAAUAAAUAAUAACUUUAUUAUUGCCUCUAGGGCAUAUUUCCUUCAGUCUCCCACUUGCACUAGAGUCAAUAAUCUAGUUCACAUCGUCAUGUGAUUUAACAACAAUAUUCAUAUCUGUAUAUGAUUAACACCCAUAGUUCACAUUAUCAUGUGACCAACACCCAAAGGGUUUACUAGAGUAAAUAAUCUAGUUCACAUCUCUAUGUGAUUAACACCCAAAGAGUACUAAGGUGUGAUCAUGUUUUGCUCGUGAAAGAAGCUUAGUCAAUGGGUCUGUCACAUUCAGAGCCGUAUGCAUUUUGCAAAUAUUUUAUGUCUACAAUGCUCUGCACGGUGCUACUCUAGCAAUUGCUCCCACUUUCAAUAUGUAUCCAGAUUGAGACUUAGAGUCAUCUGGAUCGGUGUGAAAACUUGCACCGAGGUAACUUUUACGACGGGCUCUUUUAUCACCUCCAUAAUCGAGAAAUAUUUCCUUAGUCCUCACUAAGGAUAUUCUUGACCAAUGUCGAGUGAUCUACUCCUAGAUCACUAUUGUACUCCCUUGUCAAAUACUGAGCAAGGUAUACAAUAGUUCUGGUACAUAGCAUAGCAUACUUUAUAGAACCUAUGACUGAGGCAUAGGGAAUGACUUUUCAUUUUUUCUAUUUUCUGUUGUGGUCGGGAUUUGAGUCUUACUCAAUUUCAUACCUUUGCAACACAGGCAAGAACUCUUUCUUUGACUGUUCCAUUUUGAACUAUUUCAAAAUCUUGCCAAGGUAUGUACUCAUUGAAAAUCUUAUCAAGCGUCUUGAUCUAUCUCAAUAUAUCUUGAUGCUCAAUAUGUAAGUAGCUUUUACUGAGGUCUUUUCCUUUUAAAGAACUCCUUUAAAACACUCCUUUAUGCUUUGCAGAAAAAUUCUACAUCAUUUCUGAUCAACAAUAUGUCACUCGUAUAUACUAAUCAGAAAGGCUAUAGUGCUCCCACUCACUUUAUUGUAAAUACAGGCUUCUCAAAAAGUCUGUAUAAAACCAUAUGCUUUGAUCAACUCAUCAAAGCGUAUAUUCCAACUCCGAGAGGCUUGCACCAGUCCAUAGAUGGAUCGCUGGAGCUUGCACAUUUUUUUAGCACCUUUAGGAUUGACAAAACCUUCUGGUUGCAUCAUAUACAACUCUUCUUUAAUAAAUCCAUUAAGGAAUGCAGUUUUGAUAUCCAUUUGCCAGAUUUCAUAAAAUGUGGCAAUUGCUAACAUGAUUCAGACAGACUUAAGAAUCGAUACGAGUGAGAAAAUCUCAUCGUAUUCAACACCUUGAACUUGUUGAAAACCUUUCGCAACAAGUCGAGCUUGGUAGAUAGUAACACUACUAUCAGUGUCCGUCUUCCUCUUGAAGAUCCAUUCAUUUAACAUGGCUUGCUGAUCAUCGAGCAAGUCAAUCAAAGUCCAUACUUUGUUCUCAUACAUGGAUCAUAUCUCAGAUUUUAUGGCCUCGAGCCAUUUCGCGGAAUCUGGGCUCAUCAUCGCUUCUUCAUAGUUCGUAGGUUCAUCAUGAUCUAGUAUCAUGACUUCCAGAAUAGGAUUACCGUACCAUUCUGGUGCGGAUCUUACUCUGGUUGAUCUACGAGGUUCAUCAGUAUCUUGAUCUGAAGUUUCAUGAUCAUUAUCAUUGGCUUCCUCACUAACUGGUGUAGGUGUCACUGAAACAGUUUUCUGUGAUGAACUACUUUCCAGUAAGGGAGCAGGUACAGUUACCUCGUCAAGUUCUACUUUCCUCCCACUCACUUCUUUCGAGAGAAACUCCUUCUCUAGAAAGGAUCCAUUCUUAGCAACGAAUGUCUUGCCUUCGGAUCUGUGAUAGAAGGUGUACCCAAUAGUCUCCUUUGGGUAUCCUAUGAAGACACAUUUCUCCGAUUUGGGUUCGAGCUUAUCAGGUUGAAGCUUUUUCACAUAAGCAUCGCAGCCCCAAACUUUAAGAAACGACAACUUUGGUUUCUUGCCAAACCACAGUUCAUAAGGCGUCGUCUCAACGGAUUUUGAUGGUGCCCUAUUUAACGUGAAUGCGGCCGUCUCUAAAGCAUAUCCCCAAAAUGAUAGCGGUAAAUCAGUAAGAGACAUCAUAGAUCGCACCAUAUCUAGUAAAGUACGAUUACGAUGUUCGGACACACCAUUACGCUGUGGUGUUCCGGGUGGCGUGAGUUGCGAAACUAUUCCACAGUUUUUCAAAUGUACACCAAACUCGUAACUCAAAUAUUCUCCUCCACGAUCAGAUCGUAGAAACUUUAUUUUCUUGUUACGAUGAUUUUCAACUUCACUCUGAAAUUCUUUGAAAUUUUCAAAUGUUUCAGACUUAUGUUUCAUUAAGUAGAUAUACCCAUAUCUGCUUAAAUCAUCUGUGAAGGUGAGAAAAUAACGAUAUCCGCCACGAGCCUCAGUAUUCAUCGGGCCACAUACAUCGGUAUGUAUGAUUUCCAACAAAUCUGUUGCUCUCUCCAUAGUACCGGAGAACGGUGUUUUAGUCAUCUUGCCCAUGAGGCACGGUUCGCAAGUACCAAGUGAUUCAUAAUCAAGUGGUUCCAAAAGUCCAUCAGUAUGGAGUUUCUUCAUGCGCUUUAUACCGAUAUGACCUAAACGACAGUGCCACAAAUAAGUUGCACUUUCAUUAUCAACUCUGCAUCUUUUGGCUUCAACAUUAUGAAUAUGUGUAUUACUACUAUCGAGAUCCAACAAACCAUUUUCAUUGGGUGUAUGACCAUAGAAGGUUUUAUUCAUGUAAACAGAACAACAAUUAUUCUCUAACUUACAUGAAUAACCGUAUUGCAAUAAACAUGAUCAAAUCAUAUUCAUGCUCAACGCAAACACCAAAUAACACUUAUUUAGGUUUAACACUAAUCCCAAAAGUAUAGGGAGUGUGCGAUGAUGAUCAUAUCAAUCUUGGAACUAUUUCCAACACACAUCGUCACUUCACCCUUUAACUAGUCUCUGUUUAUUCUGCAACUCCCGUUUCGAGUUACUAAUCUUAGCAACUGAACUAAUAUCAAAUACUGAGGGGUUGCUAUAAACACUAGUAACGUACACAUCAAUAACAUGUAUAUCAAAUAUACUUAUGUUCACUUUGCCAUCCUUCUUAUCCGCCAAUCACUUGGGGUAGUACCUCUUCCAGUGACCAGUCUCUUUGAAGUAGAAGCACUUAGUCUCAGGCUUAGGACCAGACUUGGGUUUCUUCACUUGAGCAGCAACUUGCUUGCCGUUCUUCUUGAAGUUCCCUUUCUUUCCCUUUGCCCUUUUCUUGAAACUAGUGAUCUUGUUAACCAUCAACACUUGAUGCUCUUUCUUGAUUUCUACCUUCGUUGAUUUCAGCAUCAUGAAGAGCUUGGGAAUCGUUUUCGUCAUCCCUUGCAUACUAUAGUUCAUCACGAAGUUCUAGUAACUUAGUGAUGGUGACUAGAGAAUUCUGUCAAUCACUAUCUUACCUGGAAGAUUAACUCCCACUUGAUUCAAGCGAUUGAAAUACCCAGACAAUCUGAGCACAUGCUCACUAGUUGAGCGAUUCUCCUCCAUCUUUUAGCUAUAGAACUUGUUGGAGACUUCAUAUCUCUCAACUCGGGUAUUUGCUUGAAAUAUUAACUUCAAUUCCUGGAACAUCUCAUAUGGUCCAUGACGUUCAAAACGUCUUUGAAGUCCCGAUUCUAAGCCGUUAAGCAUGGUGCACUAAACUAUCAAGUAGUCAUCAUCUUGAGCUAGCCAGACGUUCAUAACUUCUGCAUCUGCUCCUGCAAUAGGUCUGUCACCUAGCGGUGCAUUAAGGACAUAAUUCUUCUGUGCAGCACUGAGGAUAAACCUCAGAUCACGGAUCGAAUCCGCAUCAUUGCUACUAACAUUUUUCAACACAAUAUUCUCUAGGAACAUAUCAAAAUAAACAUAUGAAAGCAACAACGCGAGCUAUUGAUCUACAACAUAAUUUGCAAAAUACUACUAGGACUAAGUUCAUGAUAAAUUAAAGUUCAAUUAAUCAUAUUACUUAAGAACUCCCACUUAGAUAGACAUCCCUCUAAUCCUCUAAGUGAUCACGUGAUCCAAAUCAACUAAACCAUGUCCGAUCAUCACGUGAGAUGGAGUAGUUUCAAUGGUGAACAUCACUAUGUUGAUCAUAUCUACUAUAUGAUUCACGCUCGACCUUUCGGUCUCUGUGUUCCGAGGCCAUAUCUGUAUAUGCUAGGCUCGUCAAGUAUAACCUGAGUAUUCCGCGCGUGCAACUGUUUUGCACCCGUUGUAUUUGAACGUAGAGCCUAUCACACCCGAUCAUCACGUGGUGUCUCAGCACGACGAACUUUGGCAACGGUGCAUACUCAGGGAGAACACUUCUUGAUAAUUUAGUGAGAGAUCAUCUUAUAAUGCUACCAUCAAUAAAAGCAAGAUAAGAUGCAUAAAAAGAUAAACAUCACAUGCAAUCAAUAUAAGUGAUAUGAUAUGGCCAUCAUCAUCGUGUGCUUGUGAUCUCCAUCUCCGAAGCACCGUCAUGAUCACCAUCGUCACCGGCGCGACACCUUGAUCUCCAUCGUAGCAUCGUUGUCGUCUCGCCAAUCUUAUGCUUCCACGACUAUCACUACUGUUUAGUAAUAAAGUAAAGCAUUACAUCGCGAUUGCAUUGCAUACAAUAAAGCGACAACCAUAUGGCUCCUGCCAGUUGCCGAUAACUCGGUUACAAAACAUGAUCAUCUCAUACAAUAAAAUUCAGCAUCAUGCCUUGACCAUAUCACAUCACAACAUGCCCUGCAAAAACAAGUUAGACGUCCUCUACUUUGUUGUUGCAUGUUUUACGUGGCUGCUACGGGCUUAAGUAAGAACCAAUCUCACCUACGCAUCAAAACCACAACGAUAGUUUGUCAAAUAGACUCCGUUUUAACCUUCUCAAGGACCGGGCGUAGCCAUACUCGGUUCAACUAAAGUUGGAGAGACAGUCGCCCGCAAGCCAUCCAUGUGCAAAGCACGUCGAGGGAACCGGUCUCGCGUAAGCGUACGCGUAAGGUUGGUCCAGGUCGUCUCGUCCAACAAUACCGCCGAACCAAAGUAUGACAUGCUGGUAGGCAGUAUGACUUGUAUCGUCCACAACUCACUUGUGUUCUACUCGUGCAUAUAACAUCAACAUAAAUAACCUAGGCUCGGAUGCCACUGUUGGGUUUCGUAGUAAUUUCAAAAAAUUUCCUACGCACACGCAAGAUCAUGUGAAGCAUAGCAACGAGGGGAGAGUGUUGUCUACGUACCCAACGCAGACCAACUGCGGAAGCGAUGACACGACGUAGAGGAAGUAGUCGUACGUCUUCACGAUCCAACCGAUCAAGCACCGAAACUACGGCACCUCCGAGUUCGAGCACACGUUCAGCUCGAUGACGAUCCCCGGACUCCGAUCCAGCAAAGUGUCGGGGAAGAGUUCCGUCAGCACGACGGCGUGGUGACGAUCUUGAUGAACUACAGCAGCAGGGCUUCGCCUAAACUCCACUACAGUAUUAUCGAGGUAUAUGGUGGCAGGGGGCACCGCACACGACUAAGGAAUAGAUCACGUGGAUCAACUUGUGUGUAUAGAGGUGCCCCCUGCCUCCGUAUAUAAAGGAGGAGAGGAGGGGAGGCUGGCCGGCCAAGGAGGGGAGGCGCAGGAGAGUCCUACUCCCUCUAGGAGUAGGAUUCCCCCCAAUCCUAGUCCAACUAGGAUUCCUCGGAGGGGAAGGGAGAGAGGGGGGCCCGCAGCCACCUUGGGCUGCCCCUUUCUCCUUUCCACUAAGGCCCAUGAAGGCCCAUAUGGCUCCCGGGGGGUUCCGGUAACCCUCCCGGUACUCCGGUAAAAUCCCGAUUUCACCCGGAACACUUCCGAUGUCCAAACAUAGGCUUCCAAUAUAUCAAUCUUUACGUCUUGACCAUUUUGAGACUCCUCGUCAUGUCCGUGAUCACAUCCGGGACUCCGAACAACCUUCGGUACAUCAAAAUGCAUAAACUCAUAAUGUAACUGUCAUCGUAACCUUAAGCGUGCGGACCCUACGGGUUCGAGAACAAUGUAGACAUGACCGAGACACGUCUCCGGUCAAUAACCAAUAGCGGGACCUGGAUGCCCAUAUUGGCUCCUACAUAUUCUACGAAGAUCUUUAUCGGUCAGACCGCAUAACAACAUACGUUGUUCCCUUUGUCAUCGGUAUGUUACUUGCCCGAGAUUCGAUCGUCGGUAUCCAAUACCUAGUUCAAUCUCGUCACCGGCAAGUCUCUUUACUCGUUCUAUAAUGCAUCAUCCCGUAACCAACUCAUUGGUCACAUUGCUUGCAAGGCUUAUAAUGAUGUGCAUUACCGAGAGGGCCCAGAGAUACCUCUCCGACAAUCGGAGUGACAAAACCUAAUCUCGAAAUACGCCAACUCAACAUGUACCUUCGGAGACACCUGUAGUACUCCUUUAUAAUCACCCAGUUACGUUGUGACGUUUGGUAGUACCCAAAGUGUUCCUCCGGUAAACGGGAGUUGCAUAAUCUCAUAGUUACAGAAACAUGUAUAAGUCAUGAAGAAAGCAAUAGCAACAUACUAAACGAUCAAGUGCUAAGCUAACGGAAUGGGUGAAGUCAAUCACAUCAUUCUCCUAAUGAUGCGACCCCGUUAAUCAAAUGACAACUCUUUUGUCCAUGGCUAGGAAACAUAACCAUCUUUGAUAAACGAGCUAGUCAAGUAGAGGCAUACUAGUGACACUAUGUUUGUCUAUGUAUUCACACAUGUAUUAUGUUUCCGGUUAAUACAAUUCUAGCAUGAAUAAUAAACAUUUAUCAUGAAAUAAGGAAAUAAAUAAUAACUUUAUUGUUGCCUCUAGGGCAUAUUUCCUUCACCACGUGGCCCGGCCGGCCCCCGGGGCUCAAGAACCAGGUCCAAUGCCCCCAUUGGUCCCGGUUUUGGAUUGAACCGGGACUAAUGGGCUGGACCGGCCUGGACCAUCGCCCCCUUUUCUACUAGUGUUAGUGCAUGGUGGUUAGUGAAGUUAGUGGAGCAUGGUGUGAGUGCGUGGGUCAUGGUUGAGUGCCAGACUUUGUAUAAAUUGUCAUUUGAGUCAAUGAGAAAAUGUAAGGCCGAGAGGGCCAGUGCAAAGAUGUAGCAUUUGUGGUAGCCAAGGGAGAUUAACUGGGCAAAGCUAUGUGUUCUUCCUUGGUCUAUGCGUGUGUGUGUUCUGUGUGUGUUCUCUCUCUGCGUCCUUGUGUUCAUGGGAGUGUUUUUGAGAGAAGCCAGAAGAGAGAGUUGUGAGAGGCAGCUCGAGGUAGAAGAAGGAGCGGUGCUGCUCCGAGAGGAGGCGGCGCCAACAAUUAUUGACGAAAGGGAUAUUAUAUUGCGCAAGGUAUAAUCAGACGCGUCGGGGAUGGAGCGACUACACACAUAUGGGAUCACAACUGGAUUAUGAGGGAAAGCUAUAAGAGGCCAAUAAAUAAGUUAGUGCAGAUCCCCCCUCAGAAACAUUUUAUGUAUACACGUUAACAUUUCCCAGAUAUAUGAUUAAUAUUUUUAGAAAACUUCUAUUUUUUAUGUGUACUUUUUAUACAUUUUGUAAUAUCAGAAAUAGUUUUUAUAGAAGGUUUAACAUUUUUCAAAUACAUGAUUACCUUUUUGUAAACUUAUAUUGUUUGACGUUUACUUUUUUCCAUAGACAUAGUGAGGGGUUAUAUCUAAGGAAUAGGCCCAAGUACAUGUAGGCACAACCAAAGGCCCAUGUUAAUCAAGGAUGUUCCACAAGACAAAUGGGAAAACACACCGGGGCUAAUGGAGCUACAAGGCCAAGGCAUCGGAUACAAGGGGAGAGUCAACUGUGUACAGUCAGAUUACACAACCCUUAACAGACAAGACUCAUCAGUUGGUCCACUAUAGGAAUCAGGUCAUUUGCCGUCAGCCGAGAACAGAUGCGAAGGCUUUGCCGUGAGCAAGUUGACGACAAACACAAUCAGCAAAGACUAUAUCAGCAAAGAGCUAAUUUGACGUCAACUUUUCAUCGCGCUGAUGACAAAGACUUUGCCGUCAAUUAAACUAUGUGUUUGUCGUCUGUAGAAAAAACACAAAUGGCAAAGAAAUUAAACAAAUGGUCAUUUUAUAAUAAUUUUUCGAAAUGUAUAUAGUGUAUUUUAAAAUGUUAAAUAUGUAUCAAGAAUUAUUUCAUAAAUAUACAGAAGAUGUACAACGUGUAUGAAAAUUAUGUAGACAUCAGAACAUAUUAUAGAAAUGUUAAUCUUGUAUUUAAAAAUGUUAAAUACACAUAAAUAAAAAUGUUUUUGAUGUACAUAAAAAAAUUGUACAUCGUGUGUGAACAAAGUAUGCAUUGAAAAAAAAAUCUUGUUGGAAAGAAAAUCUCGUGCUAUAUACGAAAAUGUAAAAGGUGUAUGAAAAUAAUUAGAUAUAUGCUUAACGAAAAAAAGGAAAGAAGGCGCAAAAAAAUCCGAUCAACACCAAGAUAGGAACAAGAAAACCUGAAGAAGACCAUUGAAAAAAAAGAAAAGAAUACAAGAAAGAGGAAAAAAAACAAAAAAAUGAAGAAGCUGAUGCAGAACAGGGAACUUGGUGAAAACGAAUAAAAAUUGAUGAAAACCGAGAAGAAAAACAAGAAAACUGAAGCAAAAAAAUAAUAAAAAUAUGUAAAAAAAUGAUGAAACAUUGCAAAACACUGAAAUACUAUGAAAACCAAAGGAAGAAAAGACUCAAAAAGAAGAACAUACAGCGAGCGAAUGAACAACAACUGAGUGAACGAGCGACCAUGCGAGAACACGUUAAUUGUCCGGCCCAUACUUGUGGACUCCAGAGGCGAGCCAGAAUAGGCGAGAUAUAGCUAUGACGAUUUGAUACCCUUCACAGCUUCACGAAUGCUAUAUCUCGCUCACAGCGAAAGUAUAUUUUGUCUGGCCUGAAGGUGCAAGAAUAGCAUCAGGUCGCUGUAAGGUUUGUGAUCCUACAAUGAGAGCUCCGAUAAGAUUAAAGUUCAUUUUUCUGACAACCUUUGGUCGUUCGUUCGCGCUCAGGUCGUCCGCUCACUCGAUUCCACGUACUAGUUUGGUUAUGUUGUUUUUUUCAUUUUGUUCUUUUUUUGUUUCUUCACUGGCUUUCUUUGGUUUUUAUAUCGGUUUUCUUUGUUUCCUUCACGUUUUAUUCCUGUUUUCCUUUUUACUGGUUUAUUUAUUCCUUUUUUUCUUUGUUUCUUUCUUGGUUUUCUUUGUUUUUCUUUCUUUUGAUGUCAAUCUUUUUACAUACGCAUUCAACAAUUUCCGUAUACAUCAGAAACAUUUUAUGUAUACACAUUAACAUUUCCCAGAUAUAUGAUUAAUAUUUUUGGAAAACCUCUAUUUUUUAUGUGUACUUUUUGAUACAUUUUGUAUAUAUCAGAAAUAUUUUUUUAGAAGGUUUAACAUUUUUUUAAAUACAUGAUUACCUUUUUGUAAACUUAUAUUGUUUGACGUUUAUUUUUUUCCAUAGACAUAGUGAGGGGUUAUAUCUAAGGAAUAGGCCCAAGUACAUAUAUGGCACAACCAAAGACCCAUGUUAAUCAAGGAUGUGGUCCACAAAACAAAUGGGGAAACACACGGGGGCCAAUGGAGCUACAAGGCCAAAGCAUCGGAUAUAAGGGGAGAAUAAGUGUGUACAGUCGGAUUACACAACACUUGACAGACAAGACUCAUUAGUUGGUCCACUAUAGGAAUCGAGUAAUUUGCCGUCAGCCGAGAACAGACUCGAAGUCUUUGCCGUCAGCAAGUUGAUGACAAACACAGUGAGCAAAGACUAUAUCGGCAAAGAGCUAAUUUGACGUUAACUUUUCAUCCGCUGAUGACAAAGACUUUGCCGUCAAUUAAACUAUGUGUUUGUCGUCUGUAGAAAAAACACAAAUGGCAAAGAAAAGCAUCUUUGCCAUCAGCAACUGAUUCACAUGUGUCGUCAGCCAGACUCGUCUUGUCACUAGCCUCAAACAUCACAGAUGGCAAAGAUUUUUUUUUAUUUUUAAAAUUCCGCGUCGACCACCCUAUCGCUCGUGCAGCCACCGCCUGGCCGCGCUCGCCUCCCUGCUCACAUGCCCUGCCAGCUUGCGCCGUUGCCAUCCGGCAGCGCUCGCCCGACCCUGCUCAUCGCCCGGCCGAGCUCGCCCGCCCUGCUCGGUCGCGUCGUCGGCAGCUGCCCUGCUUGCACACGUACCUGCCCAGCCUUGCUCAUACCGCCGGCCACCCUGCUCGCUAGAGAAAGGAAGGCGAGAGAGGAGGCUCGGGGGAGAAAGAAAAAACAAAGGAGAGAGAGAGGAUGCUACCACUGCCACAUCACCAAUACGCAUGAUCGAUCUGCAAGAUGUGCUCUCUCUUUUGCCGCCUCUGAUGGCAAAGUAUGUCUUUAUCGUCUAUAAUAAGAUUACAAACAGCAAAGUGAGCUCUUUGCCGUCUGUAAAAAAACGGACGACAAACAAACUUUGUUGUCAGCUGCCGACGGCAAAAAGUGCUCUUUACCGCAGCCUCGAUGAGAAGCUGAAGGCAAAGUGCCCCACAGACGGCAAAUUAGUUGAUUCCUGGGUGGUUAUGAGCAAGACAGGAGCAAUAACCCUAUCUACACUCGGUCAUCUGGAAGACAGGAGUAGUCGAACCAUCUAUAGUCGGCUACAUCUGAGGUUACCGUGACCCUUACGAUGCAUUCAUUAUCGCCGUUACUCAAUGGAGUAGUUAAAUACGUCAGUUAGCAAUAAUAAUAGCCACGAACAGUCAAUCAUGCAUGUGACCAUCAAUAGCAUUUAUACCAACCCAUUACGGCACUUCCUCCUAGCACACUCUAUAUAAGCCAGGAGUAGGACAUGAGAGUGAGGGAUGAACUCUCUCACAGUAUAACCUACGCCAAGAGCAGGAACACCACAUGAAUAGAGAUUACCUCCACCAACGUACUCCCAUCCGUUUUAUGUACCGAUCAAUGUAUAUAAUGGCUUCUACAUUCACAUCCCGUAGUAUUGUCAGGAUUAUAUCCACGACAGAAACUAUAUUUUGUUAUACAUCAAGAACAUUUUAUAUAUAAAUAUUUACAAUUUUUUAAAUACAUGAUUAAUAUUUUUUCAAACAUAUAUUUUGUAUGUCUCCUUUUCAUAAUCUUUGAUCCCUGGAAGUUUCAGAUUUUUUCCGAUUUGUUCUCAUUUUUUUAUGAAUUUACUGUUCAUGAGGGUGUAGGGGCACCCAGGAGCUGUUAGGCAUAAUAUUUCUGCUGUUGUUGUCAUCAUCAAGGGGAAUGAGAAGGGUUGAAGUUUUCGUUUUCUUUGAGGGGGAAAUCAGAGUUGGGGGCUGGAAGUGAGUGAUUAGGCCCAACAUAAGCGCUGUGUGUGUGUGUCUCGUCACGGGCACCAAAUUCGAACUGGGCUAUUGUUUUCUGAGAACCCAACGUCACAAGCCCAACCAACAGUCUGCCGAUCUGCAUCUUCCUCUCCUUGUCCAUCCUCCUCGUUGGCCGGACCGCCUCGAGCCACGGCCGCUCCCUGGCGCAGCGUCCUCCCCUUCCUCUCCACCCCCAAAUUCUCUUGUAUCCUCUUCUGAUCUCCUUCCUUACUUCCUCUCGCUGAUGGUCUCCACAAGAAGGUCUCCGAGCUCCUCGGAGGGUUCCGGCUGUACGUCGACGCAGCCUCUCCGACCUCCCCAUGAACAUGAGCUAUCGACCCUGAAAGCCUGUCUCUUCCAUGAUUCGAUUCACAUGAAUUCACGAGCCGCAUGAAUCAUGAAGGUCAUGGAGCAGAAUUCAGUCGUGUAGCCUGACAGUGAUGUACAUUUGUGGCUUUUCUGGCUAAAUAGCUCUGUACCCUAUGUGGAUGCCACUUCAAAUAAUCGUCAAAAUAAUUCUCCUGCACGCGUUAUACAAAUGGCGAAGAAGAAGUUCGCGUGGAACAUUUCGUUUCUUAUUGAUGUCCGAGAGAAAAGCUCCUAGGAAGUUCAUCCGCUCGGUGGAUUAUAAGUUUAAGUUUGUUACAACAUCCAAUCAUCCAUAUAAUCUCUGUGUUUCUUCUGUUUUCUACCAGUCAUAUAUCAUAUGUGCAUCAGAGGAAAAAUGCUUUCAGCAGUCAUGUUGGAGCGCGCAUACCAAGUUCCCACAUUGCAAAUAUGAUCCUAGCCAUUAAUAUGUUUCAUUCCACAUUUUCUUGAUCUAAUUUCUAAAUGAUUGGACAACCUGUUAUAGUCUUAUAGAAUUAUGAGCCGCCAAAUCCACAUUUCUCUUGGUCUAAUUUCUAAAUGAUAAUGUGCAGCAUCUAUCUCCUGGUGAACCUUUUUUUCUUGCGACUGUAUCUCCUGAUGAACCUAGUUUUCUCUAGGUAGCACAAUAAUUGUACUGGUUUGAUGUAAAGGACAUAAAUACAAGGGAAUAAAUUGGAAGCUUAUUUCAAAUUAACUAGCUAGUGGUGUUUGUGAAGUUCAAGAAAAAGCUGGUCUUUUUCUCGACAAAUAAUUUAACAUGCAAAGAAUCAAUAAAUGUAUUUGCAAGAAAGCAAACAUAAUUAACGAUAAAACUGGUUUAUUGUCACUGUAGACAACGGUAGUAGUUGGAACUAGAUACAAACCAAUAAAAAACAAGAUCUCAAAUCUCCAACCAAUAAAGAGUUCAACCCAAAUUUUACAGUAACACCAUUAUAUUCAAAUAGUGAUUAUUCCAACACAUGGAUAAUUAAUUAAGGCACCAGGUUGCCCUUGUGACUAGGAAAGACAAACUUAUGAACUUGCAAGCAUGGCAAUCAGAUCGACAUCCACACAAUGCCAAUAUGAACAUUGUCUUGAUACAACUUUAUUUUUAUUUUAUUUCAGAAUUUAAACAACUAGUAUGGGCGGGUCACACACGACAUUGUGUGACACUUUAUUUGUCACCGCUGCAUCGACAUAUCCAUCGACUAAACAACGGUGAUCCAACUAUAUAUUACUAGAGACCUUUCCUUAUUAGUAGGAACCAACUCCGGUGCCAACACCGAAUGGCACACUAGUGGUGGUUCUAUACAACGGCACAUUGACACGGCACAUCGUUGGCAGGGUACGGAGCGCAAUGGAAGUCAUCACCUCAAGCUGAGCUAUCUGGUGUGGCUGCAAAAAGGUACCUUGUGCCAAUUGUUGUUGUUGAGGUUGUUGCCCGAGUUGUUGUUGUGACUGCUGUUGGGGUUGGGAAACACAUUGGCCCAACUGUUGGGGUUGCUGCUGAGGAGUUUGGAUGGAACCCUGAACCUGUUGUUGUUCUUGCAGGAUGAUGGAGUAGAUGAUAGCACGGAUUGCCUCAUAGCGGGAUUGCUGGGGGAUUUGCGGCAACUGCUGGCAACAUUGUUGUUGCAUCACAUGGCAACUGCUCUGCUGCAACAUUUGCGACCUAGCAAGACUUUGUGGCAUUGCCACAGGGCUGCAUUGCUGCUGGAGGAAUACCUUGCAUGGGUUUAGCUGCUGCAAGAUAGAUGGAUGAACAAAUGGUAUUUGUUGUUGCGGUAGAACUAGUUGUUGUUGUUGCUGCGAAAAUGGUGGUUGUUGCGGUAGACUUGGUUGUUGUUGUUGCAAAAAUGGUGGUUGUUGCUGUAGUACUAUUUGUUGUUGUUGCGAAAACGGUGAUUGUUGCUGUGAAAAUGGUGGUAGUUGUUGCUGUGAAAAUGAUGGUUGUUGCGGUAGAACUGGUUGUUGUUGCUGCGAAAAUGGUGGUUGUUGUUGUGAAAAUGGUGGUUGUUGUUGCUGCGAAAAUGGUGGUUGUUGUUGUGAAAANNNNNNNNNNNNNNNNNNNNNNNNNNNNNNNNNNNNNNNNNNNNNNNNNNNNNNNNNNNNNNNNNNNNNNNNNNNNNNNNNNNNNNNNNNNNNNNNNNNNNNNNNNNNNNNNNNNNNNNNNNNNNNNNNNNNNNNNNNNNNNNNNNNNNNNNNNNNNNNNNNNNNNNNNNNNNNNNNNNNNNNNNNNNNNNNNNNNNNNNNNNNUGGUUGUUGUUGCUGCGAUAAUGGUUGUUGUUGUUGCUGCGAAAAUGGUGGUUGUUGUUGUGAAAAUGGUGGUUGUUGUUGCUGCGAUAAUGGUUGUUGUUGUUGUUGCUGUGAACAUGGUUGCUGUUGUGAAAAUGGUUGUGGUUGUUGUUGGAUGGGUUGUUGUUGUUGGUGGUGCGAUAAUGUUUGUUGUGGUGGUAAUGGUUGUUGCUGCGAUGGUCUCUCCAAACCAGGGAUGUGGCUAUUCUCCAUUUGUGCAAUGGCACUUGUCGCCACAAUGGCGAGGAGAGCAAAGAUGAGGAAGGUCUUCAUGGUGGAUUGGUGUUAACCAGUGUUGCUUGGUUUUGAUGCUUGUGCUUGUGAUGAUCUUUAUACUUCAUGCCUAUUUAUAGUAGCCCGGGCACCACCUCUUUUCUUCUUUGCAUUAGCUUUAAUAAUUCUGUUUGGAUGCAUCUAAAAUGAUUUUUGGUACAAUGUGUUAGGUUGCACUAGCUACACGCGUACUUUUGGAUUGAUCAUCAAAGUUGCUUUUUAGUUGUGCAUAUGAUCACACACAAAGUACAGAAACCUUGAUGUUUGGUACAUAUGACUCACCUUAUUCACUUUACAUGUCACACACUUAUCUGGAUAGUAUCACUUUUGCAACCGAGUUUGGAACCUUGUAUAGGCUGUCAUCCAUAAACAAGAAAGGCAAAACUUGUGUAGGACUAAGUUUGCAAUCGGAGGGUUCUUCUAGACUCGAUUUCUUUUCGUAAAACUAACUUUGUAUUUUUCCUCUAAGAUGAUAAGAUGAACCGACGCCUAUAGAGCAUGACAUGACUCAUCGAAUUCCCUUUACAUGUAAAGGAUGGUAAUUGCUUACAAGCUACUCCUACUAGCAUAUAUCCGGUUCCAAGCCUAGACACGUCAUCAUCAGUUUCGUCUAUUUUUUUAGAUAAAUCAUCAGUUCUAUCUAUUUGUGAAGGGUUUUUUUGGGGGGAAAUGAUAGUUUUUUUAUGCUAGGGGGGUUUUUUNNNNNNNNNNNNNNNNNNNNNNNNNNNNNNNNNNNNNNNNNNNNNNNNNNNNNNNNNNNNNNNNNNNNNNNNNNNNNNNNNNNNNNNNNNNNNNNNNNNNNNNNNNNNNNNNNNNNNNNNNNNNNNNNNNNNNNNNNNNNNNNNNNNNNNNNNNNNNNNNNNNNNNNNNNNNNNNNNNNNNNNNNNNNNNNNNNNNNNNNNNNNNNNNNNNNNNNNNNNNNNNNNNNNNNNNNNNNNNNNNNNNNNNNNNNNNNNNNNNNNNNNNNNNNNNNNNNNNNNNNNNNNNNNNNNNNNNNNNNNNNNNNNNNNNNNNNNNNNNNNNNNNNNNNNNNNNNNNNNNNNNNNNNNNNNNNNNNNNNNNNNNNNNNNNNNNNNNNNNNNNNNNNNNNNNNNNNNNNNNNNNNNNNNNNNNNNNNNNNNNNNNNNNNNNNNNNNNNNNNNNNNNNNNNNNNNNNNNNNNNNNNNNNNNNNNNNNNNNNNNNNNNNNNNNNNNNNNNNNNNNNNNNNNNNNNNNNNNNNNNNNNNNNNNNNNNNNNNNNNNNNNNNNNNNNNNNNNNNNNNNNNNNNNNNNNNNNNNNNNNNNNNNNNNNNNNNNNNNNNNNNNNNNNNNNNNNNGCCGCCACCGCUCGACAAAAAAGGUCACUUUUGUAGCUCCCCCGUCGAUUGCGGGCCGUACGUCGACGGCAGCCACUCCGACCUCCCCGUCAACACAAGGUAUCGAUCUGUUUCGUCUGUCUCUUCCAGCGAUUCAAUGCACAUAAAUCCGAGAGGCAGACCCAUCUCCAUGCUAGCUGCACGGAUCAGGAGGGUCAGGCAUCAGAAUUCAGCUGGGAAGCCUGACACUAAUGUACAUUUGUGGCUUUAGUAGCUGAAUAUAACUAUGUGUUUUCUGAGAAUUUCACUUCAAAAGUUCCAAUAAUCAUCAAAUUUCCGCCUAUGCGCGCUAAGCAGGUGGACCAUAUAUUUCUCAUGUCGACGAACGAAAAAACAAAACUCCACAACUAGAAGUCUAUGAUAUUGACACGGAACCGUGCUGUAGGGUCGCAAGUAAAAAUAUGAAAAGCAUGCCUAACACUACUAGGAAAAGGGCUAUAGAUGGAAUUGACACUAAUGACGCACCAGACAUGUGGUGCGCCAUUAGUAUAUACUAAUGGCGCACCAUCUUCUGAUGCGCCAUUAGUGUUGAAAUUACUAAUGGCGCACCCUGCCCACGGUGCGCCAUUAGUACCAAUUUUUUUUUGAACUAGUGCGCCUGUCCAAACAUACUAAUGGCGCAUCCGCUGGUGGUGCGCCAUUACUAGUUGUAACUAGUAAUGGUGCACCAGCCAGAGGGUGCGCCACUAAAGUUAUUUUUUUUAUUAUUGUUUUUAUUCCUUUUUUUGCAAAAGUACUAAUGGCGCACUCACACGCGGUGCGCCAUUACUAGUUCAAACUAGUAAUGGCGCACCGUGGCAGAGUGCGCCAUUAGUAUGUUUUUUUUUCAAAACUACUAAUGGCGCACCACCUGGUGGUGCGCCAUUAGUAACCUGGAUUACUAAUGGCGCAUUUGUUGCUGGUGCGCCAUUAGUAAGUGGGCAGCAACAAGAUAUUUUGGACAGCCUCUCCUCCCACACUCACUUUCUCCCCAUUUCAUUCUCUCCACCGCCUCCUCAUGUCUCGGGUGCCUCCUCUUUUUCACCUCAUUUCCACCAUAGAUUCAUUCAAAUUAAGUGGUUAAGUUACCUUGUUUUGCUAGGUAAGUAAGGGGGGAAGCUAUAUUUAUGUUGUUCUCCCUACAACAGUGUGCACAUGCACUUUUUAUGGCCUAGCUAGAUCUAUGUAUGUUCGUGGUGUUGCAUAUGUUUGUGGUGUUGCAUAUGUGUUUGUGUUUGAAGGUGUACCGGUAUUUGAAAUGCGAUAGUUGCCAAUAUUUUGCCGGAAUGUUGAUUCAUUUCCGUUUCGGCGAGAAUUUUGGCAUUAAGCAUUCUUUUUGGUCCUAUUUUUAGGGAAAGUCAUGCCAAAUUUUUUCUUGGUUCUAAAAUAUCGUUUUGCUCUACCCCGCAGGCGACCAUGGUCCGCACGAUGACCGAAGGCAUCGUGAAUAGGUUUUUGAGGUCCACGAAGGCCGAGAUGCUUCAAAAGAACGAGACGGAGAUAAGAUGUCCGUGUCGAAGAUGCAAGCUGAAUAGCCUUAUUGCGGACCCGGAUUCCGGGCAGGUGCGGGACCACCUGCUCUUGCGUGGUUUCAUGGAUGGCUGUCGGUGGCAAGGUGAUGAAGAUGACUACGAAGUCGUCCAUGGGGGCCGGGCAAGAAAUGAGGAAGGGCAGCAAGACAACCACCGCGGCUCGGGGGGGCGAGAAGAAGAAGAAUCCCCAGGAGAUGAUCACGACGGUGAUGUUGUACACAGUCAUCAUGUAGAAGAUGCAGGACAUGAUGAUGAUGCCGGCGGAGCAGACGACGCUGGACCAUCGAUGGGCUGGGUGCAGGACCCUCAUAUUCAAGAGCUGCUUCUCAAGCAGACGGAUAACGCAAGAGCUGCCGCCCGAGAGAAAGCCAAGAUGGAUCAACUUGAGUUAGACGCGGUUACUCCAUUGUAUGAAGGAUGCAGGCCCGAGGAUACCCGCCUGAAAGUAACACUCAUGGCUCUGGAGAUGAAGGUAAAACACAAAAUGACCGACGCAUGCUUCGACGAGAACAUGUCAUUCUGGCACGAACGUCUUCCCAAAGGGAACAAGUGCCCGACCAGUUUGGAGGAGGCGAAGAAAAUCGUGUGUCCUCUGGAUUUACCGCACGUGAAAUACCAUGUGUGCAUGAACAAUUGCAUCAUUUAUCGGGACGAGCACGCGGAGUCUACCAUAUGUCCGGUGUGCGGUGUCACUCGAUACAAGAAGGGGAAGAAAGCUCCUCGAAAAGUGGUGUGGUACUUUCCGAUCACUCCUCGUCUGCAGCGGUAUUUCGCGGACCCUAAGGUAGCAAAGCUCCUGCGUUGGCACGCGGAUAGGGAGGAGAAGAAGCGAGAAGAUGACGCAAAUGAUACGGAGAUAGAUAAAAAAGACAAGAUGCUGAGUCACCCUAAGGAUGCGAGCCAGUGGCAAGCGUUGAACUUCGAAUAACCAGAAUUUGGGAACGAUCCAAGGAACAUCGUGCUGGGCGCGAGCACCGGUGGAGUCAAUCCGUUUGGCAGCCAGAGAAGCACACAUAGCACCUGGCCUGUGUUUGUGUGGAUGUACAACCUUCCCCCCUGGUUGUGCAUGAAGAGGAAGUACAUUCACAUGAGUAUGCUAAUUGAAGGGCCGAAACAACCAGGGAACGACAUCAAUCUGUAUCUGGGGCUGCUGAAAGAGGAGCUUGACACGCUGUGGAAAACGCCCACCAAUACGUGGGACGCCGCAGAGAAAGAAUAUUUCCCUAUGAGAGCCGCACUGCUCACGACGGUGCACGACUAUCUCGGUUACGGAUAUCUUGCGGGGCAGGUAGUCCACGGAUUUUCUGGAUGCGUAAGGUGCAUGGAUGACACAACGUAUCGCCAGCUAGAUAGAGACGAUGACCCGUGGAGGAAACGCAAGGAUCUGUUCGAUGGUGAAACCAAACCCCGAAAACGCCCGUGUACGAGGAGCGGCGAGGAAAUAGACAAGCUGUUGAAAAAUCGGAAAGACUGCCCACUGCCGGGAAAGAAGCAAAAGGUGCCAGAGCCGGGAAAGAAGCGAAAGGCGCCAGAGCCGCUGCUGAAGCUAUGGAAAACGAGGUCUGUUUUCUGGGACUUGCCGUACUGGAAGAUCCACCGUGUGCCUCACAGCCUUGAUGUCAUGCAUAUCACGAAGAACGUGUGCGAGAGUCUGCUUGGUACCCUGCUCAACAUGCCAGAGAGGACCAAAGAUGGGCCGAAAGCGAGGGCAGACUUGAAAUCAAUGGGCAUCAGGCAGGAGCUUCACGCUAUAUAUGAUGAUGAUGAUGAUGAUGAUGAUGAUGAUGAGGCGAAGCAGGACACAGAAAGUCGUCGCAAAGGCAAAAAGGCCAAGAAGACCGGAAAUGACUACCCUCCCGCGUGCUUCACUCUAAGUCAGGAGGAGAUCGAGCAGUUUUUCACCUGCCUCCUAGGAGUAAAACUUCCUUACGGUUACGCGGGGAAGAUAAGCAGAUACCUAGACCCAGCGAAGCAGAAGUUCAGCGGGAUGAAGUCUCACGAUUGUCACAUGCUGAUGACGCAGAUACUUCCAGUUGCAAUCCGUGGGAUCAUGGACGCGCACGUCCGUGAAACGCUAUUUGGCCUAUGCAACUUCUUCGACGUCAUCUCUCAGAAGUCGAUUGGCAUGAGGCAACUCAGAAGGCUACAGGAAGAGAUCGUGGUGAUACUAUGCGAGCUUGAGAUGUACUUCCCGCCCGCAUUCUUCGAUGUUAUGGUGCAUCUGCUGGUCCAUAUAGUGGGGGAUAUCAUCCAACUCGGGCCGAUGUUCCUGCACAGCAUGAUGCCGUUCGAAAGGAUGAAUGGUGUCAUCAAAGGAUACGUUCGCAACAUGUCACGUCCAGAAGGAAGCAUAGCCAGGGGCUUUCUGACCGAAGAGUGCAUCUACUAGUGCGCGAAUUAUCUAGGCAUCGAGAACCCCGUUGGUCUGCCCGUCAACAGGCACCUCGGCAGGCUCGCUGGAUGGGGUCACCGUGAGGGUCGCCGCGAAAUGCAUGUCGACUUCGAGGGUCGACUCGCCGACUUUGAAAGAGCAAACCUAGUCGCGCUACAACACAUAGACGUGGUCGAUGCUUGGGUGGUAGAGCACAAAACCUUUAUUAAGAAGACGUACAAUGACCGAGGCCAACAGAGGACGGACGGAGAUAUACUCAAAGAGCACAACUCAUGUUUCACGCGUUGGUUCAAGCAGAAGCUUCUGUCGUACCCUUUACAUGAGGAUUCUUCCGCGGAAGAACAACUCAUAUUCGCCUUGUCACAGGGCGCCGAGCACAACCUGAUGACCUAUGAGGCGUACGAUAUCAACGGCUACACAUUCUACACCGAGGCCAAGGACAUGAAGAGCGAUGGUUAUCAGAACUCCGGGGUAACGAUGGAAUCCUACACCGGUAACGACAAGGACAGAUACUACGGAAGGAUCGAGGAGAUCUGGGAGCUGAGCUAUGCUGGAGAGAAGGUCCCGAUGUUCCGUGUCAGAUGGGCCAAGAACGUCAUAAAAGAAGACCGGUAUUUCACCACCAUGGUUAUACCCGGAGCCAAAUCCAAGACCGCGAGCGCAAACGUCACCGCGAAAAAUGAGCCAUGGGUACUGGCUUCCCAAGUGGACCAAUGCUUCUUCAUUACCGACCCGCCAAAGCCCAGUCGUGUUGUCGUGAGGAGAGGCAAAAGGAAGAUCAUCGGAAUGGAUGGAGUAGCCAAUGAGCAAGACUUCGACAAGUACGGCGACCCGAGGAUCGAACAUGACGACGAUGAUGAAGUAGCAGCAUACACCACAAGAAGAAGCAGGACCACCCUACCUAAAGGACGUCCGUUCCACAGAAGAACUCCAUUUGCGAAAAAGAAGGGCAAGAAGAUUGUGAACAGAUAGCUAGCUAAGAUCGAUUGUAUUUAAAUCGUAGCCUUCAUUUCUCGAUUGUAUUUCAUGGGUACUUUUUGAACUAUCAUGAAUAUUUUUAAAUUUAAUGGACACUCGAUCUCGAUCCCCCUCCAUCUCGAUCGCUAUCCCACCUCGCCAGAUCCGGUCCCCCUCGCCGCCAAGCACCCCCCCAGCCCACCGGCCGCCGCCGCCGACCCCCCGCACCCUCGAUUCCCCUACCCAACCGCCGCCGCCGACCCACCGCACCCCGCGCACCCUCCCCUGCUCCACCAGCAUUACUGUUUGAUGAUAUUUUUAAAAAAAUUAUUAUUGUCUUAUAAAAAAAUAUUACUGUUAUGAUUUAAACAAGUUUGAACAUAUUUAAACACAAAUAAGUAUCAAACAGGUUUUUAAAUGCUAAAAAAAAUUUGUGGAGCCUGGGAGUCGAACCCAGGACCUCCUGGUGUGAGAACUGGCUGCUGACCAGUCGAGCUAGUAGAGGGGACUUGAUGUGGAUCAAUUCUGGUGGUACAUAACCUGUUGGCUCGAGUUGAAAUAAAAAAAAUACUAAUGGCGCACCACGGUGAGGUGCGCCAUUAGUAUGGAUGUACUUAUGGCGCACCGAGGGGUGGUGCGCCAUUAGUAUUGUGCCCGAUCCCUUCCCUCUCCCCCUUCGCCCGAUCCCCCCUUCCCUCUCCCCCUUGCCAGUUCCCUCUCCCUCGAUCCACCGCCGCCGCCGCCGCUGCCCUGACCCACUGCGCCGCAGCCGCCCACGCGCCCCCGCCGCCUCCCUCUCCCCUUCCUCCCCCUCGAGCCCGCGCCGUCCGCCCAAACCUAACCCGACGCCGUCCGCCGCGCCCGCUCCACCGCCGCCGCCCUGCCUCUCCGCCCUCUCCCUCCCUCNNNNNNNNNNNNNNNNNNNNNNNNNNNNNNNNNNNNNNNNNNNNNNNNNNNNNNNNNNNNNNNNNNNNNNNNNNNNNNNNNNNNNNNNNNNNNNNNNNNNNNNNNNNNNNNNNNNNNNNNNNNNNNNNNNNNNNNNNNNNNNNNNNNNNNCGUCGCCCCGCCGCCCCGACACCACCGUCCGUCGCCCCGCCGCCCCGCCGCCCCUCUCGCAGCAAGGUAUGCGGCUGGUUCGUCCCCUGUCAUGGUUCUCUCUUCGUUUAUUUUCCUGAAAUCUCUGCUGUUCAUUGGCCGAUGAUGUCUUACAAGUAAAAUAUCUGGCAAACUUGUGCUGUAAACUGUACAUUGCUGAGGCUGUGGGCAACCUGUUCUUCUCUUUGCCAUACUAGUGCUUUUGUUCAUUGGCCGAUGAUGUCUCUGUUGGUUUACGUCCCCGGCAAAUUAGGUACCCGUGAACCAUUUAUAGGCCCAACUUUCUUACUCUCAAUGACCACAAUGUGCUUAUUUUGUUAGGAUUGUGCAUUUGCGCGAUUUGUGCAGUGCUUAUUUGUUGGCACCUCACCAGCUUUCAAAUUCAGCAUUUGUAACACAGUUCAAUUUGAUCUAAGGGCCUAUCUUGUCUCAUUUCCAACAUGUAAUAAACUUCCCCCGAGGCCAUAGAUGAGAAUACUUCUUUCAGUACAUUUUGCUGAUUUCUCACUGUUGAAUACUUCAUUUCUGUUUGCCUUUGGCCAAAGAUGCAUUCAGUUCUUUCUGCCCUUAGCGGUUUGAUUCAAGUUUGUCAGGUUCUGUUAACUAAAAAGGUUCAGAUUCAGAAACAUUGUUGGACUACUAGGAAGUUGGACUACUAGGAACAUGUUUAGAUUCAGGUUCUGUUAACUAAAAAAGUUCAGGUUCUGUUAACUAAAAAAGUUCAGAUUCAGAAACCUGUAAUUUCUACUUUUAUGCCUCUGUUACUCCAGUCAAAAUUUUAUGUUUGAUGCCCAUGGUAGUUGAGCUCUCACCUCACCUCACGCAACAUGCAUGAUGCCACAAUGUCUAGUAUGUACUGCCAAGCAACUGGCAAAUAAUUAUAACUUAGAAUAAAUAAAUCUGAUGUAAGAUAAGCAUGGCAUGAGCUUUAAUUAAAUAGCAUAAUACACGUUGGUAGUCCAUCUCUCUCAAAAAAAAUACAUGUUGGUAGCAGAAAAAAAUACAUGUUGGUAGCAGAAAUUUUUUUGAGCCCUUAUUAGCUACUCACACUAUUUGCCCCGCAGUUUCUCUGUCAUGGCUACCAAGUGAUUGACGGUGGGCUAGAAAAAUAAAACCACCAAACUAUCAGUAAAAGAUGUGAACCAACAUCUUUCAUUGUUAUGCAUAUCAAACACCAAGGGUUAUUUUCACUUAAAGUUUUAGAAUGGGUGCAUUACAAUUCAGUCUGAUAUCUAAUAAGACACUCUGGGCUGAUAUAAUUAUGGAACAGAACCAACCAUGAUAAAUAAAAGGUGAUGUUGUCUAUGCAUUACCAAAAAUGUAUCUUUGUGAACAAAUAAAUUGGUACCAACAGCAAUGCCAUCUUACUGUAGAAUUAGAAUACAUGGACAUGAUCAGCUCAGCUCCCAAACUGCCAUUCAUCACAUCAAUUUCCCCUUAUGUAACUCCAGUCAAAAUUUUAUGUUGGUCUACCUAGUAGAUGCCCAUGGUUUGAUUUUAUGUUUGUUCCUAUCAAUACAAAUGCUGAGCUAUGUUCCAUUUUUACUGUUCUUUGUGAUAGUUUUUGCAACUUUACUUCCCAUCUUAAGGCAAGCCCCAUUUUUACUGUUCUUUGUUAGCAGAGCUGCUUGUUUCUAAGAACUUUGAUACUAUUUGGAUCAAAGUUAAAUGAGCACAUAGAUGACAAAAAAAAGUUCAGAUUGUAAAAUGUUCAUUUUGCUGCUAGUGCCCAUUUUGAGUAAUUGCUUAGAGGGAUGAUCCUGUGUGAGCUGGUGGAGUGAUUUGUUUUCUACAUAAAGCUCUUUAGUCAGGCUGGUUUUCGUGAAAUACACAUGAAGCUUCACCAGCUCCUGUGGGUGUGGGAUCCAUGUGACAUGUGACAUUGCAUCCAUGUCCACCUGGGAUAAUGAUUUUGCAUGUACCCCGAGAGGCCCUUAAGUUUGCCGGAAUGUCGAUUAACUUCCGUUCCGGCAAAUUCGGGUACUCCAUAUGUCCUAUUUUCAGCAAAGGUCAUGCUGAAAUUUUCCGUGAAUUUUAGCAUGACUUUGCAAAAAAUAGGACAUAUGGGGUACUUGUGACUAAUGCAUGGGCCGGGGUAUCAUAGUAGUUAAUUAAGUAGGAUCAAGUGCCCCGGCGUACUUGUGACUGAUGCAUGGCUUUUAGGGUGCCUCGGUGUUGAUAAAAACCGAAAUGAUGAAAGCUUAGGCUUUUAGGGUGCCUCGGCGUCGAAAAACCCUCAAUGAUAAAAGCUUAGGUCUUAGGAUGCCUCGGUGUCGACAAACCCUAAAUGAUGAGACCAUGUCUUGUUCCUUGACAAUAACCAACUUUUUGACCAAACUUUGUUUCUAUUUAGAGAGAAACAUGGCCCACAACGAUGAGGCCGGGGGUUCGGGCGGCAAGGCAUUCUGGGAGCUGUCCCAGGAGAUGGAGGAACAACCUCACUUGUAUGAGGCCGCCGCCUUCCCCACCGAUCCUGAGACCACUGAUGGUGCCGCCGAGGAUGACCACACUGAUGCCACCACUGAUGGUGCCGCCGAGGAUGCCACCACUGAUGAUGGCAGCGCCCGCACAGAUGGCAGCCAACCGAAGAGGCAACGGAAGGACCGACGCCCGAUCGUGCUCCUCACCCUCAAGGAGGAAGUUACUGAAGUGGACUCCAACGGGUAUCCAACGGCGCCCGAACGAAUAGUCAAGGGGUACUCGCUUCAGCUCGGGUGCAUUGUCCGGAGCACCGUCUCGAUCAACACCGAGAACCUGAGGCAUCCUGACCGAGGGAAUUUGUGCCACCUCCUCUUCACGAAGCUGCACGAAUGAUACAAGUUCCCCGCUGAAUUUGCAAACAGAAGCCUCAAAGGGAAUAAAGUGAACAAUGCUGCCCUCACGAAGAUGAGCAAGGCCCUGUCUACUUGGAAAAGCAAUGUGAAGAAAAUGAUCGAUAAAGGUGAGAGUUAUCAGAAGAUCAAGGAGAAAAAUCCUUCGAUCACCAAAGAUGACUACAAUGACUUCAAGAUCAAUUGCUCGAGCACCGCAAGCUCCCAAUCAAGUGAGUGGGGGAAACAAAUGCGGGAGCUGAACAUAGGGGAACACACACUCGGUCCCGACGGUUACAGAGUGGCGGAGCCUAUAUGGGACAAGGAGGAGGCGGACCGUGCCGAGCAAGGCCUACCGCCCCUCUUCGAGAAAUACAGCGGUAACAAGCAGACCAGGAACUUUGUCAGGGCCCGGUACAAGAAGGACCCGAAAACAAAGGAGCUUACCACGGAUCCGAAGACCAGGCAGCUUGAGCUUGUUCUGGUAAGGAAUACACCCCCGCGUAAUUAGCUCCAUAUGGUUGCAUUCUAAUUAAUGAAGCCAAAUUUCUAAAUGGUUCACAUUCCUUCCGCAGGCGACUGAAAGCAGUAGCGCGGGGUCGACUAAGAGCAACCCUUGGGACACCACUCUAAAUAGGGCGAUGAAUGUAAUGAAGAAGAAGGAUAAGCUCAGUAAGCCGACGUCAGCUGGUCGUGUGGCCGGCAAAGGCUUGUCGACAAAAUGGGGGUCAUACUAUACCGCUGGUGUGCGGAAGGAGAAAAAGACCAGCUCGGAAAGCCAGGCGCGAGAGGAUCAAGAACUCAAGGAACAGGUGACGCGGAUUCCGGAGAUUGUCCAAGAGCAAGUGGAACAAUGACUCGGAGCGACGAUCACCGCCAUUGUGCCUACCUUGAUCUCGGGGUUGAGUGCGUGGAUUGCGGGCGGCCAACAGGGGCCGCCCCCGAUUCCUAGCUUCACGGCCAGCAACUCGCAUAAUGCGAUGGCGGGGCCAUUGGUGCCUCCGGCGGAGGCGGCAUUGGUGUCUCCGACGCCGGCACGGGAGCUUAAUGCACCCGGGUGUACGCCGGCCGGCACCUCUGCAGCAAGCGGCCCCUCCGUCAACUGCACGCCCGCCGUUGGCGGUGCGUCGACAUUAGCCGAGCUCGACGCCAUCAACACGGUAACUAAUUAAGCCUCUCUCGGCCGAGGACUUCAUCUCCUUGCCUUUGACUAGGCAUCCCUGACGCCCUACAUGUUUUCGCAGGGCGCCGCCGACGUUCCGUGCACUCUCCUCCACUUCGUGAACAACGAGUUGGUCGAUGUCGCCAAGGGCAAAAUCGUUCAACCGGCAACCCCUUGUUCCACGGUACCCAGAUGCCACCCAACUUGUUUAGGGUUCAACUGGUUCGGGUGUUGCCAGGCUGCGACGACUUGUUACCUCUGAUUCGACCCGUUGGGGCCGACGAUGAAGACGUGAUGACCCUCAGCGCCUGCCUGAGCUGGCCCCUAGUUUGGCCGAAGAGCCAGAUUCGUUUGGGGGCGGGGGACACCACCCCAAAGACAACACCGCCAGUCGUGCUGGUGCCAAGUCGGCCCCAUGGCAAGACCGCCGUAACGGUGCCGGACAUCCCUAUGCCACUGGAUCCAAACAUGCAUAUGGCACAGGAUCAGAAUGACGACGACAACGACGAUGAUACAUUUGGCAACGUCGAUCAGUACUUUGCCGAUCAUGGGUACGAUGGCGACUUCAUGGGGCCUCCUUCUCAAGAACCAAACCCAACAAAAGACGUGUGCGAUCUAGCUGGUACCGCAGAGAAGCCAAGUUGCAACAGGCGCCGUCUGGCGUUCAGCUCUCAGGAGACGCCUCCAGCUGCCGACUUCACCGAUCCUCAGAUAGGCGAGGUGCGAAAUAUUAUCAGCCCCAACACACUCAAGAAGGCGGUCUGUGAGCAGAACUCGGUCCCAUUACAGGAGAAGAAGAAGGCACGCAAAAGAAAGACUAAGAAGGGUGCGAGCCAGCCGGCACCGAGUACGAUCCGUGCUCAGGACGGGCCACCUUCACCGCAGGAUAUCUCGAGGAGGGUGCAUGUGGCGGGUAGGGCGAUGCUACCGACAAAUAUGCUCAAUGCUGCAACCGGUGCUAUGCGGAGUCUGCAUGACAGUGUUCUUGCUUUGGAGAAGCGGCGUCUCAGAGAGAAGGAUGUGGCAUACCCGGUUUUCGCGGCCAAGGUGCCAAAGGGCAAGGGCUUUGUGGAUAACUCCAUCGGGCGUACGAUCGUCCUGCGUUUUGAUGACAUCCACGCUAUGUUGAACCUUCAUCCGCUGCACUACACCUUCGUUCGGCUAUUUUCGCUGAGUAUGGAGAUGCGGAUCAUUCGCGACAAGACCCCGGACAUCGUGAUAGUCGACCCCUUCUACAUGCGUGCCAAGAUCUUGGGCAGCGCUGGGGACCGGCAAGUCGCGAGUUCUUACCUCGAAGGCAUCAUUCUGGCAAACCAAGAUAAGGAUAACUUCCUCGUGCCUUACUUUCCCGAGUAAGUCCUCCCCUCAACCGGCCCGUAACAUAUGAAUUCUUACAUUUCGAUCGUUUUUCUUUUAACAUUCCGUGUUUUUUGCAGUGACACACGUUGCACGCUCAUCCUCCUAAGCCCCAAAUAUUCCAUGGCCACAUAUUUCGACCCGGACUGUUAGUCGAACGUAGACUACACAAAUGUCAAGAAGGUUCUUGAUGAUGUUCUCCCCGGCUAUGCCAAAUCUGGAGGCACCUUCACCAGGCCUAAUCGUAAGUACGGCAAGCAUGUUUUCUCCCACAAUACGAUGUUCUACUGCGUCAAGCAGCCGCCUGGUGGUCAGAAGGGUGCCUACUACGCCAUCCAUCACAUGCGGGCGAUCGUACGGGACCAUCAUCAACUUCUGCUACCGAGUAAACUCAAAGAUUGGGCAAAGAGCGUGUCGGCAAUCGAGGACGCGGACCUCCGACAAGAAUUCUUUCGCAUCCAGUCGGAGUUUGCGGAAAUCAUCCAUCAAGAUGUCCUUCGUACCUCGGGGCAGUUCUACCUCAACAAUCAACCGUCCAAUAGUGACAUCGACAUAAUGCUACAAAUGCAGGCUGACAACGACCGUUAUUUCAUGACUCCCACGAUAGACGGCGGCUUCAUCCACGCUCCGGUCCCUUGAGUCGAGUCGAAAGCAGUGAUGCUGUGUCUAGUUCUGAAACAUCGAUUGGCUCAUGUUGUAAUUAAACUUUAAUGAACUUGUAGUAUGUCUCUUUGGUUUCGAGAGUCGUUCAACUUAGAUGUAAUCGAUGCUAUUAAUGUCUUGCUUUUCUCUUCCGAUUGUUCUGUUGCAUACUUAUAUAUUGCUUAUGUAUUGUCUGUGAAUUGGUACUAACGUUUCGUUUGGCUAGUGCAUAGCGAUGCCGACGUAUGUCGUGUACAAGGGUAAGGUUCCCGUAGUCUACGAUGACUGGGAGGAGUGUCGGAGACAGGUUCACCGAUUCAGCGGUAACAGUUACAAAGGGUACACCACUAGGGCCGAGGCCGAAUCUAGAUACGCCCGCUAUCUAGCGGGAGAGGGGAGGGAGCGUUGGAGGAACCGGAUGAAGACGAGUUUCAUCGUGAUGAUGCUCAUCGUGAUGACCGCAGCUCUCUUCUAUGUGAUGGUAGUUUAGAUGAUCGAUAUCGACUUGUAAUGUGAAGACAAACUCGCUACUCGCGGUCUCGAGACUUGUAAUAUAAUGUUCUAUCUUUGUUCGGUCUUUUUAAUUCGGAGACUAAUAUGAUGAAUUGUAUUCGGAGACUAAUAUGAUGAAUUGUAUUCAAAGACUAAUCUUCUAUUGUAUUCGAUGAAUCUGUUGUUGAUGUGUGCUGUCUAUAUUUUGUCAAAUUAUACAUUUUGUAACCUGUGCAAAAAACAGAAAAUAAAAAAUAAAAAAAACCUAAUAUUCAUACUAAUGACGCAUCACAUGAUAGUGCGCCAUUAGUAUGACAGUGCAUACUAAUGGCGCAUCACUGGGCAGUGCGCCAUUAGUAUGCCGCGGUUACUAAUGGCGCAUCCAGCGGUGGUGCGCCAUUAGUAUGCCAAAGCACCUGGGUAUACAUGGCCCCUGGGAGGCAUACUAAUGGCGCACCCUUGCCUAUACUAAUGGCGCACGCGCGGUGCGCCAUUAGUAUACCAGAUACUAAUGGCGCACCAGGUGGUGCGCCAUUAGUAAAAAUUACUAAUGGCGUGCUAUUAAUGGCGCACCACAGAUGCGCCAUUAAUGGCCAUUUUAGGUGCGCCAUUAGUAGGGGUUUUUCUAGUAGUGUAAUAAGCGAGAUGACGCAGUUCCUGACCGCCCCGCUACCACUACUGGUUCCAGCGUGGCGUUUGAAUUAUGCCGCGCUAGAUGCCUUUUGUCCAGCGAGGAACAAGUGGGGUCAAGCGUGCUUUGGCAAUUCCCGCCGUCAGAAGACUUCCUUGUAGUCCGGUGUAGAGGUGAGGUUGUAGGGAGAUGCAUCGACUAGGAAGGAGUGGCCACAUGAACGAGCAUAUGUAUGAUGUGAUUAAGUCUCUCGAUCGGGUAUCUGGUGCCUUACGUACGGUGUCUUAUUUUUGUCAAGCUAUGACAUCUUUCAGUUUGAGUGUCUGAUAUUAGGGUUGCAUACGUUUUGUUAUUCAGUUGCCUGUUGUCAACUCUAUGGUUAUAUCACCUCGAUGUGUGAGUCAAUGUGUUUGAACCAAUGUAGAGUUUCAUGUGAAUGUUACAAGUGUGAUUGAUAUCUUCAUGUUAUAACCGCAGUUGCCUUGGUAAGAAAUUGAAAGAGCAAACCGUUAUCGUGUUAGGAAAAAAGUCAUCGCUCAAUAUAAGUUGCUUCUCUAGAACAACCACACCUUUCCCUCAAAAAAAAGAACAACCACACCUUGUGAAAGAAGAUGGCAAACACCCAAUUAUGUCUGGUUAGAUAUGGGCAUGGCUAUGGGUAGCUUAUAGCGACACGGAAGCUAGCAUCGCCUGAAGAAACACCCGGAUGGGCCGGCCUAGAGACAAAUUUCUUCAUUUCUACCCUUAGUUUUGUUUUUCUGCCCUUUUUUCUUUAUAUUUUAUAUUUUUCCCGACAUGUUCACUACUUGAUGCUCAACUGGGAUCUCAUCUGAUGCGGAGCAUCCUAUGGACAUCACCAUGUCAAGAGUCCGUUCGGCAAGUGACACGUGUGACAUCUACUUCUCAUACAUAAAGGUGAAUCUUCUCCUUUACACGUGUUUACUUGACCCCUUCGAGGAUGGUAUACUACUUGACACUUCUCCCGUGUGCAUGCAUAGGUAUUGUCGGAGCUUCAUGGAUGUCGAGGAGGAGUGCAAGCGCCAAGGAAUGACUACACCGUCCGCGAGGGAAGCAUGGAAGAGAAGGAGGAAGAGAACCUGGCUACUCCAGAACGAGCGGUACUACUGCCCACUCCAAGCGGUACUACCGCCGAGGCCACCCAAGCGGCACUACCGCCCAGCAUCCGCCCUUCUACUGCUCAACCCGACAAACUCCAGUGAUCGAGCGGUGUAAGUCCGGUACUACUGCCCCUCCAAGCGGUACUACCGCUCAAGCGGUACUACCACCCAUGAGUCCGGUACUACCGCCCUGCCUCUGCCCAGCCGUGGGCCUUUGGCCUUGUAUCCCUCUCCCACUUACCCCUUCGUGGCUUAGACUAUAAAUAGGCCACCUCCACCUCCUUUCUAGGGUUAGCACAGAUUUAGCUCAUUUUGAGAUAGAGCUUUGCUCAUCCAUACGGAUCUACUCCUCGUGAGAGACCGCGACCUCUUCGGAGAAGAUCCAUCUUGGAUUCAAGACCCCCUCGUGGGAAGAUCCGUCUAGGAUACCAACAAGACCUCCUCUUGGAGAUGAACCUUACCUUGUAUCUUUCCCUUUGUUGUUCAUGUACCCUUGUGGAUCUUGUGUGUUUGAUUGUCUAGUGGAUGUGUGAUUGGACUUGUACUUGAGUGUUUCCCCUUGUGAUUUCUCUCCGUUCUUCCACGUGUUCUUCAUAGGGAUCCGCUCCAAACGUGAAAGAUCGGCCUCUAGGGUUCUAGCCUACAUCAUCUUGGAUCAGAGCAAGGUUGAUCACGGAUUUGGAGCCCCUACCCCUCUUUUUCUAGCCUUCUUUUGCUUGCUUUCGUCCUAAAAUCCCCACAAAAAAUAGCCCCAAUUUUUUUGUGAUUUGUUCGUUUGAUGAUUUUUUGUUGAUUUUGAUCCAUGGAUUUGCUUGGUUUUGAGUGGAUCUAGCAUCUCUCCAAGUUUCCCCACCUUCCAUCCACGAAAUCCAUCCAAUUUUGCCCCUGAAAUCAUCCUUUUCCGCCCCAAAUUCGCCCCGAUUUCGAUCUGUGAAUUUUCCCGACACGAGCGGUACUACCGCCCUCGAAGCGGUACUACCGCCCUCGAAGCGGUACUACCGCUGAGCACCACAAGCGGUACUACCACCCUCCCAAGCUAUGACGCCCGGAUAAUUAAGCUACAGUAAUCCCCUUCUAAUGGUGCCAUGUCAUCACAUUACUGUUGCUAAUCCUCGCUUGAUCCAAAUCUUAGUUCAAACUCAAAUUCAAAUUAAAGACCAAAAUUCAAAUUUCUCAAGCAUGCAAAAUAAAAUGUUCAAAGUGUGGCAAAUAAUCGCUGGAUAUUUGUCAUGUUGCAAACAACCUCUUUUGAAUUCUCAAAAUGCCCCUGGGAAUUAAUUUUUGGUCCAGUAGUAAAUUAAAUGGCAUUUGCAAAAUAAAGAAUUGUUUAUUUAACUCCAAUUGCCUCCAAACUUUAUGUGCCACUCCAAAAUAUUUGUGGCUCUGUCUAAGAUCGCCAAGGAAUUAAAAGGGCACUUCCCAUAUUUUCCCUAAGUAAAUAGUGUGCCCAAAAUAUUCUCUUAACCAUCUCUAUUUUUUUAAAUAAAAAAAGGCGAAGAAGAACUCCCCCGGGCCUCGGGCCACUCCCACUUACCAGCCCACCUAAGCCGGCCCACUCCCCCGCUCCCCUAGCCUAUAGGCCACGGCCGACCGAACCCUAACCCCGCAUGAUCCCCCCACUCCCCACUCCUCUCCCCUCUCGAUCCGAUCUGGAUCGGACCGAAACCGGCGCAAUUGGUCGAUCCAUGUAUAAAGUAAAAAUAACUAGGCCCAAUUGGUCGAUCCAUGACAGUUUUCGUGACGGUACUUCCACGUCUGUCAUGAGGGGGCUACCCUACUUGGCCCCAAAUGGAUCUUGCUAAUUGGUGACGGUUUCCGUGAUAGAUUUCUGGAACGUCACCAGAAAUCCGUCAUUGAUUAACAGAUUUCCGCACAAUCCCCCCACUCCCCACUCCUCUUCCCUCCUGAUCCGAUCUGGAUCGGACCGAAAUCGGCGCCGCGACGCCAACCGCCGUCGCUGGAGGCGUCCCCGACUCCACGCCGGGCCGCCCCGUCACUGGACCUCCUCCCCGUCGCCACUCGUCACUCGCUGGACCGCCUCGUCCCCACCAAUGCCGCCCCCACCCCAACGUCCCCGACGCCUUCGCCGUCGGCACCGCCCCAAUGUCGCCGCCACCCGACGCCGGCGCCCUCGACAUCGCCACCCCGAGCCCACUGCCACCCCUACGCUCCGCUAUGAGCCCCUCGCUGAUUCCCCCUCCUUCCCGUCGUCGUAGGUGGCUGCGCGCGUCGUUGGCCAUCGUGGCCGCGCUCCGGCCGUUCCCCAUCCGUGCGCUGGCCUCGCCUUCCUCGGAUUGCAAACAUUGAACUUUUCCCCUCGGGUUCAUCUAUCUGACAGACGUUCGGGACCAGAAAAACUUUCCCGGAUGUUUCCCCCUUCGCCAGUAUCACCUAGCACCGCGUUAGAACACUUCUAGCCCCGCUUAUUGUCUUGUUAUGCAUAUGUUUGCGUGUAUUUACUGUUUCUUCCCCCUCUUCUUCUCCGGUAGACCUCGAGACCGUUGCUGAUGCCCCUGUGGUCGACUACGUCGACGGCGACCCUCCUUGUCUGAGCAACGAGGCAAGCCCCCCCUUUGAUCAUCCCGAUAUCGCCCAUUCCAUUCUCUAAUGCUUGCACUAGAUUUUCUACUGUAUUUGAUUGCUCCUAUUCUGAUGCAUAGCAUGCUUUUCUACCUGCUGUUGUACCUUACCUGCUUAUCCUAAACUGCUUAGUAUAGGUUGGCUAGUGAUCCAUCAGUGACCCCCACCUUGUCUUUGUUGCCCCUGCUUCAUCAUUGACGACUCGAUCAACGUGAUCGACGACCGGAGCCUGACACCUCACAUCACAUCACGCCCCUUUUUGUUGCUCGACUCUGCAGAGUUACCAUCGAGUGCCGAGGGUGGAACCUCAUACAUCACUCCUUAUGAGAUCUCUGUAGUGUAGCUAUUCGGUCGUGGUCAUCGAGGGUGGUUCCUCCUUCACCAUUCCUAAUACGGCUCUGUCGUGCAACACCUCAAGUGUGAACCUCGAGGGUGGUUCCUCUUACGUUCACCUUGAUGAUUACAUCGAGUGGAAUCCACCGGGGGUGAUUCCUCGGAUUUUCCCCUUUAUGUCUGGACACACAGUUACCUUGACUUCACUUGAGACCGUUUUGAAAGCCGGGCAGGCCCGGAGAGCACCCGUGCGGUGUGACGGUGGCGGCUGGCUGUUUAGCGGUAUCACCCGGGAGGGGGUGAUAGCUCCGGACUUGUCCCGACAGCCGUCACUUCUUUUAAUAAUGCACUAACAGGUUUGGGUAUUUUUUCUAAGUUCACUAACCACGACGCUAGAAUAGUUAUGGGUCUCGAUGUUGCAGUAUCAGCCGAAGCUUUCUCAGACGUCCAGUUCAGCAUUGUGGCCGGGCCGAAUCAUGCCAUCCACUUCACGGGUGGUGCUGGUAUCCCCUUGCGCACAACGACCCAGAGUGCAACGGGCGAUGGGCCCAGACCCCGGAGUGCUUAGGAUGUAGACCGGCAGGGACCUCUCUGCUGAGCCUAGGUAGGGCAGCUACGUGUUGAUCUUCCGAGGCCGGGCAUUGACCCCAGAAAGGUGUGUCCUUCCAGAGUGAUCGAGCGUGUUGGGUAACGUGGUGCCCCCCUGCAGGGAAGAUUAUCUAUUAAUAGCCGUGUCCACGGUAACGGACGUUCAAACUUAUAUCUUGAUCUUAUACAACUACAAAUGGAUACUUGAGAUAUGUGGCUCCGGGAUUGCUUUCUCGCAGGGAGUCGAGGAAGGAUCUCUGGGCGUUGUUGUCACAACAUGCUUGUUAAUUAAACUGCUAUUCUUUACUCUUCUACAUGCUGCAAGAUGCUUGGAGCUACUUGAAGAUGCUAGUCUUCAUGAGGCUAGGCCUUCCCCUCUAUUCUGGCAUUCUGCAGUUCAGUCCACAGAUACAACCCUUCCAUUUGAUACCAAUGCAUACUUAGUAUAGAUCUGAUGCUUGCGAGUACUUUGGAUGAGUACUCACGGUUGCUUUGCUACCCCAUUUCCCCCUUCUUUCUUCUUUCCGGUUGACGCAACCAAAUGGUGGAUCCCUGGAGCCAGAUGCCAGCGCUGAUAGAUGCUACUAUGUGAAGAUCGCCGACGACCAGGAGUAGUUAGGAGGUCCCAAGCAGGAGGCCUUGCCUCUUCGAUCAUUGUUGCUUUUGUGCUAGCCUUCUUAAGGCAUCUUUGUUUAACUUAUGUCUGUACUCAGAUAUUGUUGCUUCCGCUGACUCUUGUGUAUCGAGCUAUGUAUUCAAGCCCUCGAGGCCCCUGGCUUGUAAUAUAAAGCUUGUAUUAUUUUGAUUUGUGUCUAUAGUUGUGUUGUGAUAUCUUCCCGUGAGUCCCUGAUCUUGAUCAUACACAUUUGCGUGCAUGAUUAGUGUACGAUUGAAUCGGGGACGUCACAAGUUGGUAUCAGAGCCGACUGUUUGUAGGAUCCCCCUUUCCAACUCCUUGGCUGAAGUUGAGUCUAGUCUUUGAAAAAAAUUGUUUUACUAACAUGGUUGUGUGGCUUACGGGCCCAUGUCGCCAUUGGGUGGUAUUAGGAUCUUUUACUCCUCGACCUUUACUCUGGGACUCUAAUCGCUCUUCUAUUCGGGUUAAAUGGUCUCGCAAACUAUAACUCUAGGUUCUCGUAAAUACUUUCUCCCGGAGAGCCCCUUCAUUCCAGAUGAUGGCCUGCUUCACCAGAUGAUUUCGAAGAUACCCUUCUGUAAUUUCCUGAGACUUUUGUACUCAUUGCUUUUGCAGUUCCCUACCUCUGAUAUAUCCUUACGGAUAACUUCAUACACUUGUCAUUCAUACAAUCAUUCCUAGUUGCUCUUGUUUUUACAAGAUACAUUGAAUUAUUCUCCGACUUUUAAGAAUCCCUUGCUUACUGCCCUGCAGUUCCUUGCCGCAUGAAUACCCCUACGGAUAAUUACUCGCACUUGCCGAGUAUCCGUUCGUCCAUAGUUGUUCAUGUGUUUCACAACAUUCUUUGGAAAGCUAUUUGAUCUUUUCAAAAAUCCUCAGUAGCCUAUUACUCUUGUUCCUCCUUACCUACUUACAGUAUGGUUACUUCCAUUUGUCUAGCAAUAUUCUUUAAAAUCCUUUGCGAUUGACAUCCUUACCCUAUUGUUUCAACAUGUGUGUGAAUGCACGCAAUCAUCAAUUGUUCCCUGGAAUUGUCCUUCUGGCUCAGACGUUACCCCGGACACGAGCUGGUGUUCGACAAAACAAACCUUGAUUGAUUUUGAAUCUAUGUCUAUACAACUUAAUUGUCUUUGAUCAGAGCCUCUGCUUUUGAUCCCCCAUUUUGAAAAUCAUAAUCCCCUUUGCAUUCGAGCAUAGAAUUAGUCAGUUGUUUCUAUAACCUGACCUCCUUGAAUUCUUUCUUCUUCUGGUUGAGUAUCGAUACUCACAUCAGAUCCAUUGUGGACCUCCAGGUCCUUUGUUGGUUUUUAUCCGACAGCAUCCUUCAUAUUCAGUAACCUUGUGAGCCUUUCCUCGAAUACACAAUGCCUUUGGUAAAUUGUAUCCCCCACUCUCGUCAACCAUACUCUGCUUCCGGGCUUGAGUUAUUUACUCGUGAAGUUUGUGGUAUAUGUUCCUAAUAUGUCCCUAUGGGUUGAAUCUAUGUCUUCCCUAAAUCUGUGUGAACCCUACGACUCAUACUCUACUGGUGUUAUGCCAGAUAAAAUCUCAACAGUACGGCUUCGUUGAAAAUGAGAAGUGAAUGAAAGGUUAUGCAUCGAAGAAGUGGGAGUCGACCUUGAGCCUUGUGUUCAUGCCCAUGGACACGAUGUGGAACUUAACAUGGAAGCUUCUUUUUAUAAUAAUAGCCCCCUAGCGAUAAGUACAUCUUGUAUCCAUGUGUGGUCCAUUGCAAUCGUGGUUCCGACCAUAUUGUUCUUGUUUGAUCCAUUUAUCGGACAAGUUAAAGUACUUGUCUUCUUCAAAUUGUUUCACAUGUUCAACCUCUACAUUGAUAUACCUUCGAGCAUUAUCCUCUGGUAUCUCGAGAAUAUCACGGAACUACAUAACUUCUUAUGAGUUCUUGAUCAACUAUUAUUUCUCACUGAUUCAAAUUUUUCACUAGUUGGGAGUUGUUAGACACUCGAGAAUACAGUUAACUGAUUCAAGUCUACGCUUUCCUUUCCAUUGUUCUGUUUAAUCUUUCUGGUAACCUAUCUUAUCUGAGAACUGAUAAUUCCCUGCUUAUGUAAACACCUCGGUGUACAAGCUCUGUCUGUAAGACCUUGUUACUAUUGUUGAGGACAUUCCGAUAGCUACCGAUGGACGAGAACUUUGCCUAUUGGUCCGCCUCAUCUUAACGAGCAGGAAAAUGGUUCUCUUUGUCCCUCUCCCUUGGUACCAACGUUGUUGCCAACAUAACUGACAAGUUGUCCUCUGACCUGCCUUGCUAUCAUGACCAUGCAAAAUGCUAGCGCCCUUCCUGCUUUUAACCCACAAGGUGGGCCUGAGGGAGUCCUGGACUAGGCGGUGUCCGGACAGCCGGACUAUCAUCGUCCGCCGGACUCCAAGACUACGAAGAUACAAGAUUGAAGACUCCGUCCCGUGUCUGGAUGGGACUUUCCUUGGCGUGGAAGGCAAGCUUGGAAAUACGGAUAUGUAGAUCUCCUACCAUUGUAACCGACUCUGUGUAACCCUAGCCUCCUCCGGUGUCUAUAUAAACCGGAGGGCUUUAGUCCGUAGGACACAACAUACAUUACAACAAUCAUACCAUAGGCUAGCUUUAGGGUUUAGCCUCCUUGAUCUCGUGGUAGAUCCACUCUUGUACUACCCAUAUCAUCAAUAUUAAUCAAGCAGGAUGUAGGGUUUUACCUCCAUCGAGAGGGCCCGAACCUGGGUAAAACAUCGUGUCCCUCGUCUCCGGUUACCAUCCGCCUAGACGCACAGUUCGGGACCCCCUACCUGAGAUCCGCCGAUUUUGACACCGACAUUGGUGCUUUUAUUGAGAGUUCCUCUGUGUCGUCACCAAUAGGCUCGAUGGCAUCUUCAACCAACAACGCUGUCCAGGGUGAGACUUUUCUCCCCGGACAGAUCUUUGUAUUCGGCGGCUUCGCACUGCGGGCUAAUUCGUUUGGCCAUCGGAGCAGAUCGAAAGCUACGCCCCUGGCCGUCAGGUCAGAUUCGGAAGUCUCAACUUCACGGCCGACGUCCGCGGAGACUUGAUCUUCGACGGGCUCGAGCCACAGCCAAGCGCGCCGCACUGUUACGAUGGGCAUGAUCUAGCUCUGUCGCCGAACAGUGCCUUGGUGGCCGCCCACGAAUCCGCUUCGGCCUUUAGUCCGGGGCCGAUCGCCCAGACCGAGGAACGGUGGAUGGACACCGCCUCGGGGGCUUCAACUUCCACGGCGAUGGAGCCGAACACUAAUCUUGUCCCUCGCAAAACUCGUGAUUCCGAGGUGCCGGACUCCUUGCCGGACUCCGAAGCUCCCACGCCCCUACCAACCGAAUCGGAUUGGGCGCCGGUUAUGGAAUUCACCGCCGCGGACAUCUUCCAAUACUCGCCUUUUGGCGACAUCCUGAAUUCGCUAAAGCAUCUCUCGUUAUCAGGAGAGCCCUGGCCGGACUAUGGCCAGGAUGGUUGGGAUACGGACGACGAAGAAAUUCAGAGCCCACCCACCACCCACUUUGUAGCCACUGUCGACGAUCUAACCGACAUGCUAGACUACGACUCCGAAGACAUCAACGCUAUGGACGACAAUGCCAGAGACGAACAGGAACCAGCGCCUACAGGGCACUGGAAGACCACCUCGUCAUAUGACAUAUACAUGGUGGAUACCCCAAAAGACGGGGACGGCGAAGAAACAGCGGAGGCAUAUUCUUUAAAGAAACAGCCCAAGCGCCGGCAUCAGCGGCGCUGCUCUAAAUCCCGCCACGGCAAGAAUGGAGAUUCCAGCACAGGAGAUAAUAAUACCCCAGAAAGUGCCGAAGAUAACCCCCUCCAGCAAGACUCAGCGCAGGAGGAUGCAGAAGCAAGCCCUCACGAGAAGGCGGCAGACAAAGAGGUUGAGGAUUACAACUAUAUGCCUCCCUCCGAAGACGAGGCAAGCCUCAACGAUGACGAAUUCGUCGUGCCCGAGGAUCCCGUCGAACAAGAGCGUUUUAAACGCAGGCUUAUGACCACGGCAAAUAGCCUAAAGAAAAAGCAGCAGCAGCUUCAAGCUGAUCAGGACCUGCUGGCCGAUCGAUGGACCGAGGUCCUCGCGGCCGAAGAGUAUAAACUCGAAUGCCCCUCCAAAAGCUAUCCAGGACGCAAGCUGCUCCCCCGAUUAGAGGAGGAAGCAUACAUACCUCCAUCACCAGCGCACGAUACGGCUGACCGACCACCCCGUGGUCGUGACAGAGAGGCAUCCAGGCCCCCAACCAAGACCGUACCCCGGCAUCGCUCGAAAAGUAUGAAGCCAAGAGGGAACGCGCCGGACUUGCGAGAUAUAUUGGAGGACAAAGCAAGGCAAUCCAGAUCCAUCUACGGAUCACGGGGGUGCCCCACGACCCAUGACGAAUACCGUCGCGCCGGAUACAAUAACCCCGGCCGGGCCGAACACAGCAGACAACGCUCUCUCGAGUUGCAUCGUGAUAUUGCUCAAUAUAGAGGCGCCGCACACCCGCUAUGCUUCACAGACGAAGUAAUGGAUCAUCAAAUCCCUGAAGGGUUUAAACCCGUAAACAUCGAAUCCUACGAUGGCACAACAGACCCUGCGGUUUGGAUCGAAGAUUACCUUCUCCACAUCCAUAUGGCCCGCGGCGACGAUCUACAUACCAUCAAGUACCUCCCACUCAAGCUUAAAGGACCAGCUCGGCAUUGGCUCAACAGCUUGCUCGCAGAGUCAAUUGGGUGUUGGGAAGACCUAGAAGCCGCAUUCCUUGAUAACUUCCAGGGCACGUAUGUGCGACCACCAGACGCCGAUGACCUAAGUCACAUCAUUCAGCAGCCAGACGAAUCGGCCAGACAAUUCUGGACACGGUUCUUGACAAAGAAAAAUCAAAUCGUCGACUGUCCGGAUGCAGAGGCCCUUGCAGCCUUCAAACAUAACACCCGCGACGAAUGGCUAGCCCGGCACCUGGGGCGGGAAAAGCCGAAAUCCAUGGCAGCCCUCACAUCAUUAAUGACCCGCUUUUGCGUGGGAGAGGAUAGCUGGCUAGCUCGCAGCAACAAUCUCCGUAAAAAUUCUGGCAGUCCAGACACCAAGAACAAUAAUGGCAGGUCACGUCGAAACAAAAACAAACGCCGCAUCAACGGCAAUGAUAAGGAGGAUACGGCAGUCAACGCCGGAUUCCGAGGCUCUAAACCCGGUCAACGGAAGAAGCCAUUCAAAAGAACCACUCCGGGUCCGUCUAAUUUGGACCGAAUACUCGACCGCUUAUGCCAGAUACAUGGCACCCCUGAAAAGCCAGCUAAUCACACUAAUAGAGACUGCUGGGUGUUCAAGCAGGCAGGUAAGUUAAUUGCCGAAAACAAUGACAAGGGGCUAAACAGCGAGGACGAGGAGGAGACCCGACCGCCGAACAAUAGAGGACAAAAGGGUUUUCCCCCACAAGUGCGGACGGUGAACAUGAUCUACGCGACCCAUAUACCCAAUUGGGAGAGGAAGCGUGCACUAAGGGACGUCUAUGCGAUGGAGCCAGUCGCCCCGAAGUACAAUCCAUGGUCCUCUUGUCCGAUCACUUUCGAUCGAAGAGACCAUCCGACCAGCAUACGCCAUGGCGGAUUCGCCGCAUUGGUUCUAGACACAAUCGUCGAUGGAUUUCACCUCACGAGAGUCCUGAUGGACGGCGGUAGUAGCCUGAACCUGCUUUAUCAGGACACAGUGUGCAAAAUGGGCAUAGACCCCUCAAGGAUUAAACCUACAAAGACAACCUUUAACAGUGUCAUACCAGGUGUGGAAGCCAACUGUACAGGCUCAGUCACACUGGAAGUGGUCUUCGGAUCCCCGGACAAUUUCCGGAGCGAGGAGUUAAUCUUCGACAUAGUCCCGUUUCGCAGCGGCUAUCACGCUCUGCUCGGACGAAUCGCGUUCGCAAAAUUCAACGCGGUGCCGCAUUGUGCAUACCUCAAGCUCAAGAUGCCAGGCCCUCAUGGAGUCAUCACGGUCAAUGGGAAUACGGAACGCUCCCUCCGAACGGAGGAACAUACAGCGGCUCUCACGGCAGAAGUACAGAGCAGCCUUUUAAGGCAAUUCUCGAGUCCGGCCAUUAAACGGCCGGAUACAUCAAAGCGCGCCCGAAGCAAUACCAACCAAGACCACCUGGCGUGAUCAGAGCACGCGUAGCAAUGCGGCCCCAACCCCCGCCCGCGCGUGAUUGCAAGAAUAACCCUCCGCGUACAUCAUUACGCUUUGGAGAUACCAUGGGCGCAGGGGAAGGGGCACGAUCACAACGGACCCAGAGUGCAGUUCGACCGCACCAGGGGCUCGCAAGUGUGCCCCCUUUUUUUUAUUGUUAUUUUCCCUCUUUGUGUACACAGGACUCCGUUAGCCAGAGGCCCUAUCCGGCGGUGAACCUGCCGAACUCAUGAUGCAAUAACCAGGGAAGAAAGAACGCUGCGACGAACACUCAGGUGGUCUCAAUUACAAGCAUUAAAUUCGAUUAUAUACACCAAGUCCGCAGCUUACCCUUGGAGGGGGACAUGUUUAAUUAGUCCAAAUCCCUUGCUUACCACACUAUUUGUAUCAGUCCGCACUCAUAGCAGACUUUCUUUCAUAAAUAAUGCAGCACCUUUUUGACUGCAAUUACAUUACCUUUUAUAUAUAUAUGCUCAUUACAUGACAUCUUGCACCCGUAUAUUUUGGUACGGCCUAAUACACCAGGGGCUUAUGUUCCCCACAUUAUGGUGUGAUAAGUCCGAACACUUUCGUAAGUGCAGCACCCCGAACUUAUAGCACUAUAUGAAUCGGCUCCGAAUCAUGUCUUGGGUCAAUAGUUGGGUUUGCCCGGCUCCCACGUUUUGGUGCCUUACGUUCCGUUCUGUCGGCUAAGGUGGCACUGGGAGAACCACUGCGAUUGCGCCCCGGUUGAGCCGGGCGAGCACCUCAGUGGAGAAAGCUAAAACUGACCGGCAUGAUAAGGCGAGAGACUGGUCGCUGUUCGAGAGGUUUUUUCGGGUCCUUAAAGACUCACGCCACUUCGAGCGAAGUUCCGGACCAUGUCUGACGAAGGCGUGGAUAGCGCCCCGGAUUCGGCCUUUCGGAUACCAGGGGCUUCGCCGAAAUUUAAAAUUAUAGAAUUCUAUGGCUAAGUGAGAGUGUUCAAGCAUUAUAAGUCCGGUCGCCUUGUUCGUUGUGUUGAGCACCUCCCUAGAUGGACCCAAAAAUGGGAAUAAGAGUGCUCAAGUUUAUCCCGAACACCCCAGCACUCGUGGCUCGGGGGCUGAAGCCAAUGACUUUCCAUCUCUCAGAUUUUAUAAACGGCCGCACAGAAGGUAAUAUUUUAAAUUAAAACAAGCGUUGCUCAUGGCGCAUCUGAACGAAGUUUUCAGCGCACAGGAUAAUACAUAGCGAGUUCACUCAAAGAUUACAUUUCUAGGGCACUCAUCCGCAAUAUCGCGGGCUCCCUUCAGGACAGUUUUAUAAUACAUUUCAGGCGUGCGAUACUCCUUGCCCGGCGGCGGUGGGUCUGUGAGAAGCUUCUCCGCAUCCAACCUGCCCCAAUGCACCUUUGUGCGGGCAAGGGCCCGACGAGCACCUUCAAUACAGGCGGAGCGCUUGAUGACCUCCACCCAGGGGCAUGCAUCCACCAGCCGCCGCACGAGGCCGAAGUAGCUACCAAGCAUGACCUGUUCAGGCCACAGCCGGACUAUAAGGCCCUUCAUGGCCUCUUCAGCUACCUUGUGGAGUUCGACCAGCUGCUUCAGCUGGUCGCUUGGGGGCACCGGAUGGCCUGCCUCAGCGUACUAAGACCAGAAGACCUUCUCCGUUGAGCUCCCCUCCUCGCCACGAUAGAAUGCGGCGGCAUCGGAGGCACUACACGGCAGAUCUGCAAACACCCCUGGAGAGCUCCGAAUGCGGGUAAUUGUCAGGUAGUUUACAUUAACAUGCUUGCUUUGCAUGAAAAAUGCCUUACCCGCCGCUAUCUUCUUUACAUCUUCAACCUCCUGAAGGGCCUUACGGGCCUCGGCCUUGGCGGACUUGGCACUUUCGAGAGCCGAGGCAAGCUCGGACUCUCGAGUCUUGGAGCCUCCUGCUUUUCUCGCUCCGCCCGUUCCGCGACCGCACUGCGUUCAGCCGCGGACACAGCCUCCUUCAGGGCUGCCACCUCGUUCGUGGCCCCUGCAAUACCCAUAUUAUCCUUGUUAAUUUUAUUGCAACCAAAAUCCUUUUCCGUAAGGUGACUAUUCAAAGCGGUGUUACUCACCUUCUUUGUCCUCGAGCUGCUUCUUGGCAGUGCCGAGCUCUUGCUCGGACCGCUCGAGAUCCUGCUUCAACACAUCGACCUCCGCCGUCAGUGCGGCAGAGGUCAGUAGCGCAGCCUGCAAACCCAUAUUGACAUAUUUUAAGCAACCCUGCGUAUAUCUUGUUAGAUCCUCAGUCCGGCUUUUCUUUCCGAACACCGAACUGAGCAUCAAGGGCUACUGUCUAUGCGGUAUUACAUUACAUAAUUUUAACUUCUUACCUCAAAGCCUGUUAGAAGGCUGCUGCAGGCUUCGGUCAGCCCGCUCUUGGCGAGCUAAACCUUUUGAAUCACCGCACUCAUGUUAGUGCGAUGUUUUUCCUCGAUGGAAGCGCCUUCAAGCGCCUCCAACAAGUUAUCCGGCGCCUCCGGUUGGACGGAGGUCGCCGGUGUCAAGGUCUUGCCCUUCUUUCGAAGGGGCCGCCCGCCGGACUCUAGAACCACUGCGGGUUCCGAUGUAGAGUCCGGCACAAAGUCUGGGAGGCAGCCUGACGACGCCUCCGGAGCCUCCUCCUGAUGGGUCCCUCUCUGGGAUCCCACCUCGGCGUCCCCGUCGGCGCGGGGGGUAGAGGCGGUCGGAAGUGAAUCCACAUCUAACGGGGCCAACGACCCGCUCGAUGAAGCGGGGAGAUCAUCAUCGGCCGGACUACGGACAGAACGCGGCAUUAGAAGGACACUACGCGACACGAAAGAAAUUGCAUAUCAUGGAUCCGGAUACUUACGAUCUUGUCGGACGCCUGGCCCUUGGAGGCCACUCAUCCUCGCCAACGGUGGUGUUGGCGAAACUGUCCGGGGGGAUAGUCCUCCCCCUCUUGGACCCUUCGGCCUCCCCUAUUGGGAAAGCCUUCCACUUCUUCUCUCCCUCCUCCGAGAGAGAGUCCUCUUCCUCCUCCUCGUCUUUGGGGGAGGAGUCCGCCUCGUCGUCGGACGCCUAAUUGCGGGAACUCUUUCGAGUCCCCGCGGCCACCUUCUUGGCCUUCUUCUCCGGCACCACGUGCGGUGCCGGAACCAGCAGCCCUGCUAAACGGGCGUUCUCUGGGUCUUCAGGCAUGGGAGCCGGGCUGAUGAGCUGCUUGGCCUUCUCCAUCCAUUCCUAUCAAAGGAAAAGAGAGAUUGAAACCCUCUUAGAAUCAGUUUAAUUACCACAAGUGUCCCGUAACGUGGUUGAAUCACUUACCUCGUCAGCCGGAUGCUGCGAGCGAAAUCCGUGAUCUUCCGUCGCGGAUGCGGGGGCUUCGGCGCCCUUAAACAGCACCCUCCAGGCGCCUUCGUAUGUCGUAUCGAAGAGCCCGCUCAGCGCCUGGUGCUGUUCCGGAUUGAACUCCCACAGAUUGAAUACCCGUUCUUGGCAUGGGAGAAUCCGGCGGAUGAGCAUGACUUGGACCACGUCGACGAGCCUGAGCUUAUUGCUCACCAGCUUCUGGAUGCAGGCUCGGAGUCCCGUCACCUCCUUCGGAUUUCCCCACAGCAAGCCCUUCUCUUUCCAGGAGGUGAACUGCGUGGGGACGCCAGAUCUAAACUCGGGGGCCGCCGCCCAUGUGGGCUUGCGCAGCUCGGUGAUGUAGAACCAACCCGAUUGCCACCCCUUGACGGAGUCCACGAAGGCCCCUUCGAGCCAAAGGACGUUGGGCAACUUACCCAACAUGGCGCCUCCGCAUUCCGCUUGCGUGCCCUUCACAACCUUCGGCCUCCCCUAUUGGGGAAGCCUUCCUCUUCUUCUCUCCCUCCUCCGGGAGAGAGUCCUCUUCCUCCUCCUCGUCUUCGGGGGAGGAGUCCGCCUCGUCGUCAGACGCCUGAUUGCGGGAACUCUUUCGAGUCCCCGCGGCCACCUUCUUGGACUUCUUCUCCGGCACCACGUGCGGUGCCGGAACCAGCAGCCCUGCUAAACGGGCGUUCUCUGGGUCUUCAGGCAUGGGAGCCGGGCUGAUGAGCUGCUUGGCCUUCUCCAUCCAUUCCUGUCAAAGGAAAAGAGAGAUUGAAACCCUCUUAGAAUCAGUUUAAUUACCACAAGUGUCCCAUAACGGGGUUGAAUCACUUACCUCGUCAACCGGAUGCUGCGAGCGAAAUCCGUGAUCUUCCGUCGCGGAUGCGGGUGCUUCGGCGCCCUUAAACAGCACCCUCCAGGCGCCUUCGUAUGUCGUAUCGAAGAGCCCGCUCAGCGCCUGGUGCUGUUCCGGAUUGAACUCCCACAGAUUGAAUGCCCGUUCUUGGCAUGGGAGAAUCCGGCGGAUGAGCAUGACUUGGACCACGUCGACGAGCCUGAGCUUAUUGCUCACCAGCUUCUGGAUGCAGGCUCGGAGUCCCGUCACCUCCUUCGGAUUGCCCCACAGCAAGCCCUUCUCUUUCCAGGAGGUGAACUGCGUGGGGACGCCAGAUCUAAACUCGGGGGCCGCCGCCCAUGUGGGCUUGCGCAGCUCGGUGAUGUAGAACCAACCCGAUUGCCACCCCUUGACGGAGUCCACGAAGGCCCCUUCGAGCCAAAGGACGUUGGGCAACUUACCCAACAUGGCGCCUCCGCAUUCCGCUUGCGUGCCCUUCACAACCUUCGGCUUGACGUUGAAGGUCUUGAGCCACAGGCCGAAGUGGGGCCGGAUGCAGAGGAAGGCCUUGCACACGACGAUAAACGCCGAGAUGUUGAGGAUGAAGUUCGGCGCCAGAUCGUGGAAAUCCAGGCCGUAGUAAAACAUGAUCCCCCGGACGAAUGGGUGGAGUGGAAAGCCCAGUCCGCGGAGGAAGUGGGGAAGGAAGACGACCCUCUCAUGGGGCCCAGGGGUAGGGAUGAGCUGCCCCUCGUCGGGCAGCCGAUGCGCGAUAUCGCCGGAAAGGUAUCCGGCGCUGCGAAGCUUGGUGAUAUGCUCCUCCUUAACGGUGGAGUCCAACCAUUUGCCUCCCGCUCCGGACAUAUUCGGAGAAGGUCGGGGCGAGAUGCGCGAGCUUGGGCGUUGGAGCUUGAGUGCACGGAGAUGGAUAAGCAAAGGAGGAAGAAGGCGUAGGUGAGAAGGUAAAUCCUUAUCCCUUAUAUAUAGGCGGACGAAAACUAUGCGUCCCCACCGGCCUGAUAAAACUCGCUUAUCUCCCAAGCGCCACCAUCAAUGGCGCGGUUGGGUUACCCACGUCCGUAUUGAUGGGAAUCCCGGAAUAAGGGGAACACAAUCUCUGCUUCGACAAGACGUGCCAAGGAAACCGCUUCGCUAAACGUGCUGAGGUGGUAUAGUAAAAAACGAUUCAAACAAAGGCUUGGUAGCGGUGUGAUGUCACGCCGCAUAAUACGUCAGCAGAUUGGACUGGUGUACAUUUUAUUCUCUCUACGGUGGAAUGUGGAAUUUAUUUUGCAGAGCCGGACACUAUCCUGGUGUUCAUGAUCUUCUCUGGAUUAUUCAAGGGAGGAACCCGCCUUGCAAUGCCGAACAUUAUGCGCGCCGGACUUAUCGUCAUUGAAGCCUGGUUCAGGGGCUACUGAGGGAGUCCUGGACUAGGGGGUGUCCGGACAGCCGGACUAUCAUCGUCCGCCGGACUCCAAGACUACGAAGAUACAAGAUUGAAGACUCCGUCCCGUGUCCAGAUGAGAUUUUCCUUGGCGUGGAAGGCAAGCUUGGCAAUACGGAUAUGUAGAUCUCCUACCAUUGUAACCGACUCUGUGUAACCCUAGCCUCCUCCGGUGUCUAUAUAAACCGGAGGGCUUUAGUCCGUAGGACACAACAUACAUUACAACAAUCAUACCAUAGGCUAGCUUUAGGGUUUAGCCUCCUUGAUCUCGUGGUAGAUCCACUCUUGUACUACCCAUAUCAUCAAUAUUAAUCAAGCAGGACGUAGGGUUUUACCUCCAUCGAGAGGGCCCGAACCUAGGUAAAACAUCGUGUCCCUCGUCUCCUGUUACCAUCCGCCUAGAUGCACAGUUCGGGACCCCCUACCCGAGAUCCGCCGGUUUUGACACCGACAGGGCCCAUAACCCACAGUUCCACAGGAUCGAAACCUGACUCAUGUACAUCCCUGUUUUUCAAAGUUGUUCCUCGCGCUUGGAUUCGUAUGUAAUUCACGAGCCACCUUCCUUGUGAUCUGUUCUGGUAUCAGAUGCAAUACUUAUUCCCAUUGCUCUAAACCCCUUUCACCUUCUUACCUUGCUCUCGAUGACUAUCCUGAAUUCCAACUCAAGAGAUGCCUCUAUGCCAUGUUGAGGUACCUAUCUUGUGUUGAGCUCCAUCCCUCCCGAGUCUUUCCCCCUUACUCACCCCUUAAAUCUCGAGACGAUAUUUCUUGUAGUGGAGGAGAAUUGUGACGCCCAAAUAAUUAAGCUACAGUAAUCCCCUUUUAAUGGUUCCAUGUCAUCACAUUACUAUUGCUAAUCCUCGCUUGAUCCAAAUCUUAGUUCAAACUAAUAUUCAAAUUAAAGACCAAAAUUCAAAUUUCUCAAGCAUGCAUAAUAAAAUGUUCAAAGUGUGGCAAAUAAUCCCUGGAUAUUUGUCAUGUUGGAAACAACCUCCUUAGAAUUUUCAAAAUGCCCCUGGGAGUUAAUUUUUGGUCAAGUAGUAAAUUAAAUGGCAUUUGCAAAACAAAUAAUUAUUUAUUUAACUCCAAUUGCCUCCUGUCGUGGGAAACGAACACCUAUGGGGCAGGGCCCCUUUUCGGUCUGGCAAGGGAGCGGAGGGCACACGAAGAGCAGAUCGAGGCGAAGCACGCGGGGGAAUUUUACCCAGCUUCGGAGCUCUCCGGAGAGAUAAAACUCCUACUGCUGCUUUGUGUUUCUAUUCUGUUCUUGCUCAAGAGUGUGGGUGUGUUGUAGUUUCGAAUGAGUCGAACCCCUUCUACGUGCGCAUGGGCCUCCUUUUUAUAGUCUAAAGGGGUCACCGACAGGUGGCAGCAUAGAGAGAGGGGUAAAAAAGUAAAAACGCGGGUUGGUACAACCGCUAUCAACAGUGCCCCCUACCUAACUCUGACAGCAGGGGACAAGGGCAUUUAAUGCCCAUCCGGUCGCCCAAACAGUGCAGGAAGUGACCGUUAGGGGCGCCACCAAUCGCCACGAUGGCCUCCUAGUCAUCUUCACUUGCCACCUCGCACCGCUUGGCUGCACAGCUACCCGCCACGUGCACCGGGAGCGAUCCUGCGGCGACACGUCAUCGGAUGCGCUGGAGCAUGGGCGCAGAGUUGUGGCUUUGCCGCGGCAAGCGCCUUGCCGCGGUCACUAUCUUGUUGCACCCGCAAGCUUGCCGCUCGCCGGGUCUUGGUUGGCCUUCCCGGCAAGAUCCUCCUGCCGGGGUCUUGUCCUUCCCGGCAAGCUUCUCUUGCCGGGGCUUCGUCUUCACAGUUAACACUUUGUUCUUGAAUGGCAGUAAAUAGGAAUGACGAAGGAUCUUGGCGGACGCCCGGCAAGCCUUGCCGCAGGACGCUGCGCCUGCCCGUGCACAAGUUCGGGGUACUAAGGUACCCCUACUUUAGUACACCGACUGGAGCCCCCGGGCCUGGGCCAUACACGGUGCUGAGCGCUGUUGGGCCAGGCCCAAAACAGGACACGGGCACGCGCGGCCUGGGUCCUAACUAAAUCCACUCCGUAUCCACCGCGUCCUCCCGUAACGGCACGCGUCAAUCGCGGCGUCGUGGGAGAGAUCGUGGGUGGAAGACGUUCGCGCGUAUCCACAGCCUGAUGGAGGGGUUUACCCUCCAUUUUAAGUUAAUGGAGGGCGAUCUCCUCUCCGUCAAGGUCUUCGGGUGCUUCGACACUCGGGCGAAGUGCUGCGUGGACAGCUCCUCCGAUAGCAAAGGCUCCCCCUCGAGCGAGAGCGACAAGGAGGAGAGCAACAGCGAUGAUGAGGGUAGCGGGCGGCGGGAUGGCGGGCCCGACUAGGUGUCGGGCGCCGCUUCGUGCGUCACCGGUGACCCCAUCAUCCGUGUCGCCGGCUCCUUGAACUCCCCGGGGUCGUCUCCUUGGGCGGCUGGCGUAGGGAGGCUGCGGAAGGGGAAGAGGGCUGGCGACAAGGCCGUCAAAUCGGAGUACGAGGGCGUAGUGCCCUCGACAGCGUGCUGACGUCCUGCCGCCCCAUCUUCGAGCCCCGCUUCCAGCGCCGCCAUCACCGUCCGGCCUUCGGACGGCCCCCGGGAUGUUCUCUUGGUGUCUUCGCCUAGGCGCCUCUUUUGCCCUUUUCGCCUCCUUGACCUACAUCCUGAAGAGAGGGACAGGAAAGGGAUUACGGGCAUCUUAUCUUUUUAAUUUGUAAGCCUUCGGGCCCUAGUCGCAUCUAAAACUUGUAACCCUCUCUUUCAUGUUUUUCAUCCUCUAUGGACUGUACCUGAGUGUGAUGUUUUUUUAAUGAAAAAGGGAUGCUUGCCGGGUUAUUUGUCUCAUGGGUUGAACCCACGCCAAGGAGCAAAUCCUUGGUAUCCCUCGGACAGGCAUUUCAUCUCCCGCCAACAGGCCCUGCCGCCUUCCCACGUCGCUCGACCUUUCUCACGCCUUUGACGGAGGCGGGAACGAGGUGGGUGCGGCCUCCUCAUUUCAUCCCUUUGCUGCUGUGACUACGACCAAACUUGGCCCCGGGAACGAGCCCCAGGGCCUAGAGUUGAGGGAGCACGGCAGUUUUCGGGAAGAAACGCGGUUUCGCAUUCCCCAGUCCAUAAGAGGAUGCAUGAUGAGGGACGAAAGACUUAUCUGAUAUCGCAGCCCCCGGCAACUCUGGCUUGCCGUGGAUGAAUCUUGGUACUCGCAGCCCCCAGCAACACUGGCUUGCCGGGGCCCAGGUGCCGGCGCGCCCUUCUUCUCCUUUCCUUGUCGCUGUUAUUUCAGUUAUGAGAACAAUUUAGUCAGUGCCGCAAUAAGUUACUCUUGUAAUAUAACUUUAUUCUGGGCAAUGCUUGUUAUGUUACAUCCUUUAUUUGAUUCCAUUCCUUGUAUGUUUGUACCCUUACGCUUUUACGGAACUUGCCGGUGCAAACACGCUUGCCACGAGCGCUGAGUGCAAAACAUCAGCAGCCUUCUAGCGGUGUUGCCUCCGGCAAGAAACCUUGUCGGGGCUAGUCGCAGCACACUUUCAUUGUUGAGCGGACUCAAAACAAAGUAAGGGUGCAACUUAACCACGAGCCGGUUCCUCUGCGCACAGGUUUUCCAUACAAGGCAUGGUCGUUCAAGGAAUAUAACUUAAAAAUUUAAAACUGACUGUGCUUAAACUUCGGCAACUUAGCUUUUUUGUUGUUUGUGUCCNNNNNNNNNNNNNNNNNNNNNNNNNNNNNNNNNNNNNNNNNNNNNNNNNNNNNNNNNNNNNNNNNNNNNNNNNNNNNNNNNNNNNNNNNNNNNNNNNNNNNNNNNNNNNNNNNNNNNNNNNNNNNNNNNNNNNNNNNNNNNNNNNNNNNNNNNNNNNNNNNNNNNNNNNNNNNNNNNNNNNNNNNNNNNNNNNNNNNNNNNNNNNNNNNNNNNNNNNNNNNNNNNNNNNNNNNNNNNNNNNNNNNNNNNNNNNNNNNNNNNNNNNNNNNNNNNNNNNNNNNNNNNNNNNNNNNNNNNNNUGUGGGCGCAGGAAUCUUCUCUUUGAGAAAAAGGAAGAAGAGAAAAUAAAGUUAUGGAGCCUUAAGGCUUGUUAUUGCUUACCGGGGGCAAGUUCUGCACAAAGUGUCAGUGUAUACAUGCUAAAAAGAAAAAGGCAUGAAUUUUGACAAUAUGUACUAAACAUAUGAUCUUUAUUUAUGCACGGGAUCUGCGCCCGGCUUUGUACAAAGGGUUACAUGCAACAACGGCAAGGCUUGUACAAAAGGUGGUUGCCAGGACAGCAGGUUCCGGCAACCGCGCCUUAUGGGUAAAACUUACGAAGAUGAUCUAUGUUCUAGGAGUUGCUCACCGGAAUGCCAUCUUCGGUCUCAAGGCGGACAGCGCCAGGCCUAGUGACUCGCUUUACCCGAUAAGGGCCUUCCCACUUCGGCGUCAACUUGUUGGAAUUCUUGGCAGAUUGAACGCGCCGAAGAACAAGGUCACCUUCCUCGAAGCUUCUGGCAUUAACUUCGCGGCUAUGGUAGCGGCGCAAAGCUUGCUGGUAGCGAGCAGCUCGUACAGCAGCCUGAAGACGAUCCUCCUCGAGGAGCAGCGCGUCAUCUUGCCGCAGCUGCUCUUGCUCAAGCUCAUCAUAAGCGAGCACUCGAGGCGAUCCGUAUACGAGUUCUGUGGGGAGAACUGCCUCUGCUCCAUAGACAAGAGCAAAAGGUGUCUGGCCAGUGGCUCGAUUUGGCGUCGUCCUGAUCGACCAAAGAACCACCUGUAGCUCCUCGAUCCAAUUUCUUCCGCACUUGUGCAGCCUGUCGAAAGUUCUGGUCUUGAGCCCACGCAGCACUUCAGCGUUUGCCCUCUCCGCUUGACCGUUGCUUCUCGGGUGAGCAACAGAAGCGAAGCAGAUCUUGGCGCCAAGAUCUUGGACGUACUGCAUGAAGGUGCAGCUCGUGAAUUGUGUGUUGUUGUCGGUGAUGAUCCUAUUAGGGACUCCGGAACGGCAAACAAUUGACCUGAAGAACUUGACUGUUGACUGUGCUGUCACCUUCCUCACUGGCUCCACCUCCGGCCACUUCGUGAACUUGUCGAUGGCCACGUACAAGUACUCGAAGCCCCCGACAGCUCGGGGAAAAGGGCCAAGGAUAUCAAGCCCCCAGACUGAAAAUGGCCAGGAUAAAGGGAUUGUUUGGAGAGCUUGAGCUGGUUGAUGAAUCUGUUUGGAGUGGAACUGGCACGCUUCACACUUGGUUACUUGUGCAGUCGCAUCCUGGAGGGCUGUUGGCCAAAAGCAACCUUGCCGGAAGGCUUUACUGGCAAGUGCUCUUGCGCCAAUGUGGUGGCCACAUAUGCCUCCAUGUAUCUCCGCCAACAGCUCUUGUCCUUCUUCCCGGGAAAUGCACUUCAAUUUCACUCCGUUGAAUCUUCUUCUGUACAGUAUGUCAUCGACAAACUGAUACAUACUUGAUUGUCGGGCUACUUUCUCUGCUUCUUCUUGCUCUUCGGGAAGUUCUCCUGUUUGAAGGAAAUGGACGAUCUGCUGUGCCCAUGCCGGAGCUUGUGGCUCGACGACAAGGACUAAAGGCGCAAAUGCUGCUGCGGGAACAUCCGCUUCUACGGCAAGAAUAUGAGAUCCUGCCGGAGCGUGAUGCUCCCCGGCAAGCGUGCCGGGGCACAGCUUGUCGGGAGCGUCUGCUUCAACGAAACAAACCCUAGGGCUUGUCGGAGCAGACUGCUCCUCAGCACUUUCUAUGUUGAUCCUGGGGACCUUCUUGGCGGCGGCUUCGGGGAGCUCUGCCGGAAAGUAGUCGCCAGUAACCAACUUUCUCUUCUUGCUCUGUCCAGUUGAUGGUGUUACAGAUGGCUGAGUCAGCUUGAGCACAAAAAUACCUGGUUCCACAGGUAACUUGAGUGCGGUGCACUUUGACAGGCCGUCUGCAAUGUCAUUCUGAGCUCUUGGAACAUGUUCCAUCUGCAGGCCGUCAAAAUGCUCUUCCAGCUUCCUCACUUCAUCAAUGUAGGCCUCCAUCAGCGGACUCUGAUAAUCUGUGUUAACUUGGCGGACGACAAGCUGUGAGUCACCCCUGACAAUAAGCUUCUUGAUCCCAAGUUCUGUCGUGAUCCUGAGUCCGGCAAGCAGGCCCUCAUAUUCUGCAGUAUUGUUUGUUGCUUGCUCCUUGGGAAAGUGCAUUUGGAUCAUGUACUUGAGGUGCUCUCCGGUGGGUGCGACAAGUAACACACCCGCACCGGCGCCUUGCAGCGAGAAAGCACCAUCAAAGUACAUGAUCCAUUCCCUGUUUGCUUCCUUGACGGGGAUCCUCGUCUCCGGAGUUUCUUCAUCUGGUGUUGGCGUCCACUCCACUAUGAAUUCUGCCAAUGCUCGGCUCUGGAUAGUUGAAGUACUUUCAAACUUGAGGCCAAAGCUUGACAGUUCCAGUGCCCACUCGACAAUCCUGCCUGUUGCUUCUGGAUUUUGCAAUAUCCUCUUCAACGGAAAGCGAGUGACAACUGUGAUCUGAUGUGCUUGAAAAUAAUGGCGCAGCUUCCUCGAGGCCAUGAGAAGGCCGAAAAGCAACUUUUGCACUCCAGAGUAUCUUGAUCUAGCCACCUGCAGAAGGGAGCUGACAAAAUAAACUGGGUGCUGCACCAUCUUCUUUUGUUUCUCUGCCUGCGGCUGCACAGACUCAUCCUUGUCGGGACCAGAGCUUGACGGAGAAGCCCCCUGCUUGUCGCUGGACUCGCUUGCCGCGGCCGCUGGCUCAUCAUCUGCCUCCCUCUCUGCUACUAACGCAGCACUAACCACUUGAUUGGUUGCUGCUAGAUACAGCAGCAACUUCUCUUGCGGCUUAGGUGCGACAAGUACUGGAGUGGAGGAUAGGUAUCUCUUCAAGUCCUGUAGCGCAGCCUCCGCUUCUGGAGUCCAUUUCAUUGGACCUGCCUUUUUCAAAAUUUUGAAAAACGGCAGGGCGCGCUCAGCAGACUUAGAGAUGAACCUACUGAGAGCAGCAACGCAGCCGGCAAGCCUUCGCACAUCCUUGAGGCGCUUCGGGGCUUCAAUCUGCUCGAUGGCCUUGAUCUUGUCGGGGUUGGCUUCGAUCCCCCUCUGGGACACGAAGAACCCGAGAAGCUUGCCGGAAGGAACUCCAAACACGCACUUCUCAGGGUUCAACUUGAGAUUGAUCUUGCGCAGAUUUGCAAAAGUCUCAUCCAAAUCUUGGAUCAAAGUUUCUCUAUCUUUGCUCUUGACCACUAUAUCAUCCAUGUAUGCUUCUACAUUCCUGUGCAGCUGUGGCUCAAAAGCAUGACUGACUAGUCUUGCAAACGUUGAACCAGCAUUCUUUAGUCUGAAAGGCAUUCAUACAAAGCAGUACGUGCCACAUGGAGUAAUGAAUGCGGUGUUCUCUUCAUCCUCUUUUGCCAUGAAAAUCUGAUGGUAUCCUGAGUAUGCAUCAAGAAAUGAAAGCAGAUCACAUCCUGCCGUGGAGUCGACAAUCCGGUCAAUGCGCGGCAAGGGAAAUGGAUCUUUGGGACAAGCUUUAUUAACAUCCGUGAAGUCAAUACAAAGCCUCCACUUCCCAUUCACCUUGCGCACAAUUACUGGAUUGGCUAACCACGUUGGAUGGAGUACUCCUCGGACGAGGCCUGUUGCUUCCAACUUCUUGAUCUCUUCUGCUAUGAACUCUUGGCGUUCCGCCGCUUGCUUCUUGACUCUCUACUUGACGGGCCGCGCGUGAGGACAGACGGCAAGGUGGUGCUCAAUUACUUUCCUGGGAACACCGGGGAUGUCAGAUGGUUGCCAUGCAAACACAUUGACAUUCGCCCGCAGGAAAGCAACGAGCGCGCUUUCCUAUUUAGGGUCAAGCGUGGCACUGAUGGUGAAGGUACCACUAGUGCCGUCCUCCUUGGCGGCCACUUUCUUGGUAUCAGGUGUCGCUAUCUUUGCCCUCUUGCACUUGCCGGUGGAGCUCGAUGGUGCGUCCUCGACGGUAGCACAGCACUCCGAAGAGGUGCGCUUGCCGGAGUGGGCAUCAGAGCUACUCUUGCCGGACUUGGUCUUCUUCUUCUUCCCCCCGGGAGCUUCAGCGGCAAGUGGUUUGUGCUCUGCUGCGGCUGCUGCUUCCUGGUAGAUCUUGUCGGUGCAGAUAAGCGCAUCCUUCUUGUCGCCUUGGACAGAAAUGACGCUUAUCGGACCGGGCAUCUUGACCACGUUGUAAGCAUAAUGAGAGGCUGCCAUGAACUUGGAAAGCGCUGGACGGCCGAGUAUCCCAUUGUAGGGCAACGGGAAAUCAGCAACAUCAAAUGUGACUCUCUCUGUCCUGAAGUUCAGUUUGCUGCCAAAUGUCACUGGUAGUGUAAUCUUCCCCUUGGGCUUGCUCCUUCCCGGGUUGAUUCCUUGAAAGGUACCAGUUUCUUCGAGCUCGCUGUCGGGGAUCUGGAGCUUGUUGAGCACCGCGGAAGAGAUCAGAUUUAGGCCGGCCCCACCGUCAACCAACAUCUUCGUGACCUUGAGGUUGCGGAUGGUUGGCGAAACCAACAUCGGCAAGCACCCGACCGCAGUGAUGCGAUCAGGGUGAUCCUCAACAUCAAAGACGAUGGGCGUACUGGACCACUUCAGGGGCUUGCGCGAUUCGACUGAUGGUUCAGCUGCAUUUACCUCCCGCACCCACUGCUUGAGUUGGCGGUGCGAGGUGUGCAGAGAAGCACCGCCGUCAACGCACAAAACCUCUGUUGCCUUCUGAAACUCUUGCUCGUCGGUCUCAUCCUCGUCCAUCUCAUCAUCCUCAUCUUCAUCUUCGUCCUUGUCACGGCCACGGGGAGGUCUGUCUCCUUGCCGCUGCUUGGCCUUGCCGCGGCGCCCUCCCCGGGCGGGACGCUUCUUGCCGGAUCCUCCGCCACCUUCCUGGGCCUUCUCCUUGUCGCGACGCUCGUAUUCAGCUUUCUGUAGUUCUGCCAUUUGCUCAACCUUCUUGCAUGCUUGGAGGUCAUGGCCCUUGGUGCGAUGGAUCUUGCAGUACUGCUUGCCGGAACAAUCCUGCUUGUCGGCGGCCACCACAGCCUCGCCGGAGUCACCAGCUUUGGCCUUGUCGGCGCCGCCUCCGUUGCCGGACUGCUCAACAACUAGCACAUCCUUAGCCUUUCUCUUUCUAUUAUUCCGCCUCCGGUUCUUCUUUGCCGGAGGGACGUCCUCAUUGUCCGAUCCUUCUGCUCCUGCAUUCUCUCCGGGAAGUUUCCUCCCCUCUUCAGCUCGUGCACACUUGUCAGCCAGAGCAUAUAGCUCGCUGACAUCUCUAAUCUUGCACAUCGCCAUCUCCUCCCUCAUCCUGCGGUUACGCACGUUCUGAUGGAAUGCGCUGAUAACCGCGGCAGGGUGGACGUCUGGGAUGUUGCGCUGCACCUGGCUGAAUCUCUGUAUGUACUUGCGCAGGGGUUCUCCUUCUUUCUGGGCGAGCAGAUGAAGAUUGCUCUCCUGACCAUGGGGUUUGUGGCCGCCUGUGAAGGCGCCGACAAACUGAUGGCACAGGUCCGCCCACGAAGAGAUGGAGUUGUCCGGCAAGUGCAUGAGCCAAGAUCUGACGUUGGGCUUGAGCACCAGCGGGAAGUAGUUGGCGAGGAUCUUCUCGUCGCGCCCCCCGGCAGCCUGCACCGCGAUGGUGUAGACGCUGAGGAACUCUGAUGGAUGUAUCCUGCCAUCGUACUUCUCGGGUAUGUCCGGCUUGAAGUUCUUGGUACUGGGCCACUGGACUUGCCGCAGCUCACGGGUGAACGCAGGGUAACCUGCCGCGUACGGCAAGUCGCCUGGUUCCCCUGGCGCAUGCAUAUCGACAGUGGGCCCAGCGCACUGGUCAGAUUAAUGUCGCGCUUCUCUUCUGCGCUCGAUGCGAGUACGAGCGUCUCUGUGUCGUCGUUCUUGGAGAACUUGGCGUUGAUCGCGGCGAGCUCGCGGGUCCGACGACGCGGUGGAGUCGGUGUCGAGGUUGGAACGGCGAGUUGGCGAUCAUGGCCUUCGGGGCGGGGAGUGCACGGUGGUGGCACCCCCAGCGGUCUUGUCGGUGUCGGCUUGCGCCCGGGCGUCUUGCCGGGGCUUUCGAUGUGCUCGGUUGCCGGGGCUUGUCGCCGUUGGCGAAGCCGAUGAGGCUUUGGAUGGUGAUCCUCCAGUCGUCGAUCUUGUCUGGCGCUGGAGGGUAAUCUAGAAGCAGCUGGGCUCGGGCCAGCGCUUCCUCUGGAGUCUUGGGCGGCGGUGGCGAGCGACGCGAGGUGCGGGAUAUGCUCAAACUUCUAACAGUGUUAGAAGGAGCAACAUCUCGCCCAGGCGACCGUACUUCGCUCGUGCCAGCGUGUUGACGUGUAUGUUGGCCUUGAGCGUCCCGCGAUCCGCCGGCUUGGCCUUGUUCCAACACGAGCACGGUGCUAGGAGUACCGUGGCAUUGCCGAUCUUGCACCUCCUGGGAGGGGUACGGUGGAUGUACAGACGCUGAAGCUUGCGGGGCCUUGUCCUCGGACCUGGUGACGAUGUGAGUCCCCCCGUCGGCGCCCGCUCCUCCGCCGGCGUCCACCCCACCACCCGUUUGCUCCGGUGGCGGUAGGAUAGUCGCAAACGGAGUGGCCACCUCCGAAGCCUUCUUCUUCGGUGGCAUGUCGAUGAAGAUGUUGAUGUAGCGCGCAGAUGCCGGAUCAGGUACGCACAACCUCGACGCCCACCUACCUGGCGCGCCAAAGAUGUCGUGGGAAACGAACACCUAUGGGGCAGGGCCCCUUUUCGGUCCAGCAAGGGAGCGGAGGGCGCACGAAGAGCAGAUCGAGGCGGAGCACGCGGGGGAAUUUUACCCAGCUUCGGAGCUCUCCGGAGAGAUAAAACUCCUACUGCUGCUUUGUGUUUCUAUUCUGUUCUUGCUCAAGAGCGUGGGUGUGUUGUAGUUUUGAAUGUGUCGAACCCCUUCUACGUGUGCAUGGGCCUCCUUUUUAUAGUCUAAAGGGGUCAGCGACAGGUGGCAGCGUAGAGAGAGGGGUAAAAAAGUAAAAACGCGGGUUGGUACAACCGCUAUCAACAGUGGCCCCUACCUAACUCUGACGGCAGGGGACAAGGGCAUUUAAUGCCCGUCCGGUCGCCCAAACAGUGCAGGAAGCGACCGUUAGGGGCGCCACCGAUCGCCAUGAUGGCCUCCUAGUCAUCUUCACUUGCCACCUCGCACCGCUUGGCUGCACAGCUACCCGCCACGUGCACCGGGAGCGAUCCUGCGGCGACACGUCGUCGGAUGCGCUGGAGCGUGGGCGCAGAGUUGUGGCUUCGCUGUAGCAAGCGCCUUGCCGCGGUCACUAUCUUGUCGCACCCGCAAGCUUGCCGCUCGCCGGGUCUUGGUUGGCCUUCCCGGCAAGCUCCUCUUGCCGGGGUCUUGUCCUUCCCGGCAAGCUUCUCUUGUCGGGGCUUCGUCUUCACAGUUAACACUUUGUUCUUGAAUGGCAGUAAAUAGGAAUGACGAAGGAUCUUGGCGGACGCCCGGCAAGCCUUGCCGCAGGACGCUGCGACUGCCCGUGCACAAGUUCGGGGUACUAAGGUACCCCUACUUUAGUACACCGACACCUCCAAACUUUAUGUGGCACUGCAAAAUAUUUGUGGCUCUGUCUAAGAUUGCCAAGGAAUUAAAAGGGGAACUUAACAUAUUUUUCCUAAGUAAAUAGUGUGCCCAAAAUAUUCUCUUAACCAUCUCUGUUUUUUUUAAUAAAAAAAGGCGAAUAAGAACUCGCCCGGGCCUCGGCCUACUCCCACUUACCAGCCCACCUAAGCCGGCCCACUCCCCCGCUCCCAUGGCCUAUAGGCCAUGCUCAACCGAACCCUAACCCCGCACGAUCCCCCCACUCCCCACUUCUCUCCCCUCCCGAUCCAAUCUGGAUCGGACCGAAACUGGCGCCCCGACGCCAACCGCCGUCGCUGGAGGCAUCCCCGACUCCACGCUGGGCCACCCCAUCACCUGACCUCCUCCCCGUCGUCGCUCGUCACUCGCUGGACCGCCUCGUCCCCACCAACGCCGCCCCGAGCCCAACGUCCCUGUCGUCGUCGCCGUCGGCAUCGCCCCGAUGUCGCCACCACCCGACGCCGGCGCCCUCGACAUCGCCACCCCGAGCCCACUGCCACCCCUACGCUCCACUGUGAGCCCCUCGCCGAUUCCCCCUCCUUCCUGUCAUCGUAGGUGGCCGCAUGCGCUGUUGGCCACCGUGGCCGCGCUCCGGCCGUUCCCCAUCCGUGUGCUAGCCUCGCCUUCCCCGGCUGCGGCCACCAGCCUCCUCGUCGCGCUCCCGCCUUCGCCCACACCUGCCCCUGUACGCCCAGCCGCUGCUGCUCGCCGGAUCCGCAUGUUCGCCCCCUAGCUUCGUCUCCGGCCGUCGAGUCCGCACCCGAUGCCGGCGCCCCAGCGCGUCCAUGCGCCCGUACGGGCGGGCGCCCACGCCCAUGCCCCUCCGCCCGUUAGCCCGCCCCGCUAAGGCCUGGGCACCUAACCAAGGGGCCCCACGCCCCUGUGUAAUAAAAAAGAUUUAAAAAAAAUAAAUAUAAAUAUAAUUAGUUAAUUAGUUAAUUAAUUGUAUAGUUAAUUAACUAACUUAAUUAACCUUGCUUAGUUAGCCUAAUGAACUAGUUUAGUUAAUUUAAAUCUGUUAGAUAGGUCUAUGAGAGAACGACCCCACAUGUCAGUUUAACCAGUCAACACUCUUUUGACUGCUGACAUCAUGAUGACGUCAGGCUGACAUCAUAAUUCCAAUUUUGAAUUAAUAAUAAUUUCAGAAUAUUAUUAAAACUUUGAAAAAUCAUAGAAAAUAAACCGUAUCUCGGAUGGAAGUUGCUUGGAACGACGAGACAAAUCCGAAUGCGCAGUUCGUUCAUCUGUCACGCGUCCCUAGCAUAGCAAACGUUGAACUUUUCCCCUCCGGUUCAUCUGUCUGAUAGACGUCCGGAACCGGGAAAACUUUCCCGGAUGUUUCCCCCUUCGCCAGUAUCACCUAGCACCUCGUUAGAACACUUCUAGCCCCGCUUAUUGUCUUGUUAUGCAUAUGUUUGCGUGUAUUUACUGUUUCUUCCCCCUCUUCUUCUCCGGUAGACCUCGAGACCGCUGAUGAUGCCCCUGUGAUCGACUACGUCGACGACGACCCUCCUUGUUUGAGCAACCAGGCAAGCCCACCCUUUGAUCAUCCCGAUAUCGCCCAUUCCAUUCUCUCAUGCUUGCACUAGAUUUUGCUACUGUAUUUGACUGCUCCUAUUCUGAUGCAUAGCCUGCUUUUGUACCUGCUAUUGUAACUUACCUGCUUAUCCUAAAUUUCUUAGUACAGGUUGGCUAGUGAUCCAUCAGUGACCCCCACCUUGUCUUUGUUGCCCCUGCUUCAUCAUCGACGACUCGAUCAACGUGAUCGACGACCGGAGCCUGACACCUCACAUCACAUCACGCCCCUUUUUCUUGCUCGACUCUGCAGAGUUACCAUCGAGUGCCGAGGGUGGAACCUCAUACAUCGCUCCUGAUGAGAUCUCUGUAGUGUAGCUAUUCGGUCGUGGUCAUCGAGGGUGGUUCCUCCUUCACCAUUCCUAAUACGGCUCUGUCGUGCAACACCUCAAGUGUGAACCUCGAGGGUGGUUCCUCUUACGUUCACCUUGAUGAUUACAUCAACUGGAAUCCACCGGGGGUGAUUCCUCGGAUUUUCCCCUUGAUGUCUGGACACAUAGUUACCUUGAUACUUGAGACCGUUGUGAAAGCCGGGCGAGCCCGGAGAGCACCCGUGCGAUGUGACGGUGGCGGCUGGCUGUUUAGCGGUAUCACCCGGGAGGGGUGAUAGCUCCGGACUUGUCCCGACAUCCGUCACUUCUUUUAAUAAUGCACUAACACGUUUGUGUAUUUGUUCUGAGUUGGCCUCUGGCCUUUACGCACUAACCACCACGCGAGAAUAGUUAUGGGCCUCGACGUUGCAGUAUCUUUCGAAGCUUUGUCAGACGUCCAGUUCAGCAUUGUGGCCGGGCCGGAUCGUGCCAUCCACUUCACCGGUGGUGCUGGUAUCCCCUUGUGCACAACGACCCGGAGUGCAAUGGGCGAUGGGCCCAGACCCCGGAGUGCUUAGGAUGUAGACCGGCGGGGACCUCUCUACUGAGCCUAGGUAGGGCUGCGACGUGUUGAUCUUCCGAGGCUGGGCAUUGACCCCAGAAAGGUGUGUCCGGCCAGAGUGAUCGAGCGUGUUGGGUAACGUGGUGCGCCCCUGCAGGGAAGAUUAUCUAUUAAUAGCCGUGUCCAUGGUAACGUACCUUCAGACUUAUAUCUUGAUCUUAUACAACUACAAAUGGAUACUUGAGAUAUGUGGCUCCGGGAUUGCUUUCUCGCAGGGAGUCGAGGAAGGAUCUCUGGGCGUUGUUGUUAAAACAUGCUUGUUAAUUAAACUGCUAUUCUUUACUCUUCUACAUGCUGCAAGAUGCUUGGAGCUGCUUGAAGAUGCUAGUCUUUGUUUGGCUAGGCCUUCCCCUCUAUUCUGGCAUUCUGCAAUUCAGUCCACAGAUACAACCCUUCCAUUUGAUACCAAUGCAUACUUAGUAUAGAUCUGAUGCUUGCGAGUACUUUGGAUGUGUACUCGCGGUUGCUUUGCUACCCCUUUUCCCCCUUCUUUCUUCUUUCCGGUUGACGCAACCAUAUGGUGGAUCCUUGGAGCCAGAUGCCACCGCCGAUGGAUGCUAGUACGUGAAGAUCGCCGACGACCAGGAGUAGUUAGGAGGUCCUAGGCAGGAGGCCUUGCCUCUUCGAUCGUUGUUGCUUUUGUGCUAGCCUUCUUAAGGCAUCCUUAUUUAACUUAUGUCUGUACUCAGCUAUUGUUGCUUCCGCUAACUCUUGUGUAUCGAGCUAUGUAUUCGAGCUCUCGAGGCCCCUGGCUUGUAAUAUAAAGCUUGUAUUAUUUUGAUUUGUGUCUAGAGUUGUGUUGUGAUAUCUUCCCGUGAGUCCCUGAUCUUGAUCGUACAUAUUGGCGUGCAUGAUUAGUGUACGAUUGAAUCAGGGGCGUCACACAAGCGGUACUACUGCCCCACCCAGUUUCAGCAUUUCGAGUUUCACCGUUUUGCCCAUAACUUCCACAUCCGGAGUCCGAUUUUUGCAUUUUUUAGCUCGUUGAGUAGCUAUUGACAUCCCCCAUCCAUCUAUAUAGGUUCCAACACCAUUUGACUCCAUCAAAUUUUCCAAAAUUUGGAAAGUUUGCCUAGGCCGUCCACCAUAUCAUCUGCAUAGCCACCACCGACCACCGCAACCUAACCCAUUUUGUUCCCCUUAGCAUUUGAGGUUGUUUGAGUUGUGGCUUGUGUCUCCUAAGGUGUUUCGGCUACUUAGGGAUGGUAACUUCAACUCCAACACGUGUAUAGCCCAUCAUUCCACUUCCGCAUUGCCGAGUGCAAACCACCACCUCUUUCCACUACCACCAUUUGACAUUUACCUUUGUAGAUUUUGAGUUUGCGAUUUUUCCGUUUCCUAGGGUGUUUUGGCUAACUAGGAAUGGGUCGACAUCAGCAACAUCGCCUCUCAUCAUCGCCAAGGACGGUAACCUCGAUGACACCAUUGUAUAUUCCCUUGCCAUUGCAUUGAUAACCCCUAGCCCAUUUUGCGUCACUUGCCUAUCGAGACUAGCCGUUUGAGUAUUGCCGGCAACGUGACUUGUGCACAUUAGUGAUCAUACUUCCCAUAGCAUCAUACCAUAUCAUCGUGGUGCAUAUAUUGGUAGCAUAUCUUGCGUCACAAGUUUGUUGCCGCAUAUACACAAUUGCUAUCUUGGUUUGUGCAUUAUGCAGAAGUGGCCAUACAAAAAAGAGAAAUAAAGCUUUUAAGCAAAAGAAAGAGAGAAAAGAAGCUUGUAAGCAAGUGCCAUAGCAUCAUACCAUAUUGCACAUAAGAUUGUCAUAUCCGAUCAUCUUGGAUCAUCUUGAGAGAACAUCGGGAACCAUACAUACAUAGCAUACUUGGGAUAGAAAGUAUAUCCAUUUGGCAUCUUGUAGGUUGUGCACAAGUGUCCUAUCCGCCUAUUGAGCAAUCGUGCUAGCGUCUCUCUUGAGUUGUGCAACACGAGCGUUUUCUGUGGAUUCCACAUUUUGUGCUCAUUGCUUGGUUGCACGACCCCAUUUAUCUAUCCGUGUGUGUGUUUCCGUGUGUCAUUCUUUGCUAUUGGUCUACUUGUUUCACUUGCAAAUUUGUGAAUCUCUUUCAACAUUAUUGACUCUUGCUAACAUUUUGCAUCAAAUUUUUGUGCCACUAUCCUCACCGAGCUCCACCAUAAGCUUUACUUGAUAGGUGUGAGUGAACAAGUCCGGUACCAAUUCCACUAUUCUUUCAUUUCACAUUGAGUUAAACGGGAUACAUCCUCAACUUUGGGAAAGGUAACUUCCUAUUGUUUAUCUCAUUUCCUACUGGCAUUUCACCUUCGGUCUACAACAACAACGACGAGUUCGAUGCCACGAACAACUCCAACGACGCCAAGAUGCAAGCUCAAAUGGAGGAGAUCAAAGCCCUCAUCAAGUCCUACAAGCAAUCUUCCUCAUCUUCGAGAAGACACUCACGUGCACAUGUUUCCGAGCUACCAUCUCCGGUAAGAUCACAUCAGCAUCGACACCAUCACCAACAAGAACGUGAAGGUCAAGAGCUCAACACCAACUACCGCUCAACGACUUCACCAUCUCCCUUGGCAUCUUCGCCAAGCGACUUCAAGGCAUCUUUGAGUACGGAUAUACGGCAUCUUCGCCAACAAGAACCUCAAGGCUACGCUCAAGAGAAGCUCCCCAAGCUCAAGUCCACGACUUCCAUGAGCUACUACGACCUCGACACCGACCACAAGAUUCCUUUCUAUGGAACUCAAGAACCCGAGGAGUACCUCGAGUGGGAGCGUUUGAUGGACGACUACCUCAAGCUACAUCAAGUCCCUUCCGAAGAUCAAGUGAAGUGCGCCACAAGAAACUUCCACGACUACGCCUCGACAUGGUGGCUUCACACACCUUCGGAGAGCUACGAGAUGAGUUAGCCCAAGACGAAGAGAGCUUUGCAGCGAGAGCUCGUGCCUCCAACCUACAUGGAACAACUUCGACGCCAAUUGGAGAACACCAUCCAAGGAUCCAAGUCCAUCGACGCGUACUUCAAGGAGAUGAAGAAUGCCUUGCGACGAGACGGCGUGGAUGACCCCAUUUCGAUGAAGUUCCACUUCAUGAUGCGAUUGAACAACGACAUCUCCAAGACUAUCUUCCUCGAGAACUACAAGUCCCUGGACAACUACUACAUUGGUGCUCUCAAGGCGGAACAAGAACUCAUGAAAGCCAAGGCUUCUCCACCCCAAGCACACUUCGCGGCGACCAAGCUGUACGACAAGCAUGAGGCUAGUACCACCAUGAUGUCCAAGCCCGACGAGCUCCAAGACAAUGCUCCCAAGUUCGACUUCACCGCCAUCCCUCUUUGUGGCAUUGAUGACGCCGAGUCUACCUUGACUCUUUUUCAAGACGGUGCGGCGACGAGUACGACUACGGAGACCUUCAAGGACCAAGCUUUGGAGGCGAGCGACAAGGUGGCGAGCAAGGAUGGUGUUUCCAUCUUUGGAGGCGAGAGUGAUGAUGUGCCAUCUUCGUCCUUCAUCCACGGCGACGAUGACGAGAUGAUCGAGCAUGGGAUUUUCCCUUCGGUCAUGGAGGAGAGUGAUGAUGUGCCAUCUUCGGCCUUCAUCCACGGAGACGACGACGAGAUGGUUGAGCAUGGGAUUCUCCCUUCGACCACGGUGACGUAUGAUGACUUGAGUGACUUUUGCCACCAUAUUGAGAGUGAGAGUGACUUCACCACUAGCCCCAUAUAUGACGAGUUGCCCCAAUUCCUAUGUGAGGAGAGCCACAACCCCCACCACUUGAGUGAGAUGAGUGACUCCACCAUAUGCGACUUUGAGUGCACCUAUUUUGAGGGAGUGAGUGAACCACCACAUAGAGAGAGUGUGAUAGUUGAUAGGUCUCGUGAGGCCAUUUGCAUUUCUAACAACUUGACCUCUACCUCUAUUGUGUCUUCUCAUUUGGUGCUAGGUCCCAUUUAUGAUGACGCGCCGAUCCUCGACGACUUCGUCCUCCCUUUGGACAAGACGAUGGCCAUGGUGGAAUAUGAUGCACCCCCCACAUGGUUCCAUCAAGAUGAAGAUGACCACCAUUUGGUCUUUCCCACCUCACCUACACCACUUGAGUGGAAUGAAAAAGGUAACAUAGGUGAAGGUGAUGCUCUAGUCCCACUAGUGGACAUUCUUGACAUUGAUUGCUUGCAUGAUGUUGAUCCACCUAGUACCAUGCUUCAUGCUAGUAUGAUUUCCCCAUGUGAUGAUUUGGCCAUUUAUGAUGAGUAUGAUGAUUCUCAUGUGGAGUCUCUUAGUUGUGAUGUCAUGUUACAUAGGAUUUCUUGUGACAAUUCUUUAGGUCACAUCAUGUUUGAUAAUCCGCUUGACUUGUCGUAUGCUAUGCAUGACAUUCACCAUAUGUCAUAUUUGCAAUCUCAUUGUAGUGACUAUGCAUAUGCCAUUCAAAUUAACCCAAUUUGCACUUAUGGCAUAGAUGACAAGCCCAUGGUUAUUGGGAUUUGUUUUUCUUGUGAUGAUAUUGAUAUGGUCCCUUUGCAUCAUUUAUCUCAUAUGCCAUGUCAUGCCCACCUAGCUUCGGAUAUGCAUUGUUUUGGAUGUUGUCCAUUUUCUCCAUAUGAUGUUUCCAAUCUUGCUCAUGAGGAGACCCCCAUAGUUCCCUCAUACAUGUUAGGAGAUUUUGAUCCAUCCCAUCCAUUGCAUGAUCCCAACAAUUGUGUGCACCAUAUGCUCCCCAUGAAUAAACAUGCUAUUGAUGUGCCAUAUACUUGCAUUCUCAAUUUGUGUCCCCAUCGUGUCAUACAUAAUAACUAUUCUUUCAUGAUGGAUGACAUGUUCUUAUACCAUGCAUCAAAUUUCGUUGAGCGAUGCUUAUCUUGUGCUAACUCACACGUGCACAUACACAUCAUGAUGGAUGAUGUGUACAUUUACCACACACACAAUUUAUUUGGUUUGUGUCUCUUUUGUGUAGGUACCCAGGAAUACUUGUCAACCUCGCAAUCCCACGAGUUGACAAAACGAGCUCUAGAGAGCAACGAUGAUUUGGGAUCCCAUGGAUUGUCUUUCCCACCGCUCUCUUCGCGCAAAGACUUAGCGCAUUUCUUCUACAUGGCCCUCACUUGGCUAUGGGUUGUUUUCCAUUACAUAUUAUAUGCCCAUCUUGCCAUGUUCACUUUGCAUGAUAUGCCCAUUCCCAUGCAUUUGUGACCCAUACUUUGCUUUACACAUGAUGAUUGACUCUCAUACUUUUAUGUGUAUUUGCAAGCUUGGUGGAGAUAUUGCUUGUUGUUUCCCUAUUCCAUUUUUGACCCACCCCUAUGAUGAUACUAUGAUCUUGCUUUGUGUUCGUGCUUGUGAUAUGUCAUGUGCAUUGUCUAUCCCUAUUAUUUGCUCACAUGACAUGAUUGCCAUGAUUUACUCUGGUGUGUUGCAUCUUCGCUCCACUAGUUUGCACCACAUGAUUGAUAUGCUUGCUUGUAUUGCAUCCCCCAUGAUUCAUACUUGCUCAUUUCAUGCGAUUGAUGACAACCAUUUCCAUACUUUGCACGUGAUUGCUAUAGCUUCUUGUCACAUAUCUACAUAUGUUGCCUCUCUCAUGCUAGAUCACUUGCCAUGUAUUUAGUGCAACAAUGCUCUUAUUCUUGCUCAUGAGAUUGCCCCCAUAGCAUUCUCACAUAUGAUUGGAGUUGACAUAAUUCUUGUGAAGCAUGCUUGCCUUCCUUCUUUGCACCAUAUGCCUAGUGCCAUGAAUAUUGCCAUUGUUGCAUCAUAUUGUUCAUGCACUUGUGCUACUAAAGGUUAUGUGCAAGAGAUGAGAACCAUCAUGAUGGAUGAUGUGUUUCUCUACCAUGCGCAUAUACUCUUUGUUUUGUUGUGUGCAUGUGUAGGAUACUUGGACUUCGUCUCGACUUCCACUUCAUGUGAGUUGACCAUUCAAGCUCUUAAGAGCGAGCCUCACACAUUCUACCACUACUCGCUUCUACACCGCAUUUGCUUGCGCUUCGGCAUUGUGAAGAAUGCACAAGGACAUGCCUUCAAGGUGACAUCUUUCUUGAGCAUGGAUAUUGCGGAUCAUACUACUUGUGUAGCUUGCACUGUGAGACUUAUUGGUCAUCUUGGACCACUUGAUUGCGCACUUGCUAGAGAUCUUGCUUUGACUUGCCAUUUUCACAUUCCCAUGCAUCAUGAUAUAUAUGCCUUGUGUGUUGCAUCCAAUUCUUGGAUUACUAUCACAACCUAGCUAGUCCAUGCAUUAGAGUGUUGCAUCAUGUCUACCUUUUAUCAGAAACUUGAAUUGGGGAAGACAGAACCCCCCAGAACCCCUCUGAAUUCAACUAGUGCUUACUAAAAAUAUUUUCAAUGAACCUGAAAUGCCCUUCUAAAAAGUUCACCCUCUUUGUCUUGGGUUAGAACCUCUGGCAAAAUUGGUGCACAAUUUUCUAGGUCAACAAAAGGCCAUUGAAUUAAAUCAUAUCUACUUUGAGUUUGGGCAUUUAAACUAUAUAAAAUAUUUCAAAUGCUCAAAUAACUCCAAACUAAAAUGUUCCAUACUGGAUAUAUUCCAACUAGGGACCAUGUGCAGUUUGGUGAUUUUUGGAGUUGCCUAAGUAUUUUUAGAAAUGCAACAAACUUACAGAAACAAUUAAAAACAGAAACAAAUGGGAAAAACCCUUACCUGGCCGAACCAAGCCCCAGCCCAGCUGGCCGGCCCAGCACUGUGCUGGCCCAUGCCAGCCAGCUGCUUCGCCGUCGCCACGCAGGCACAGAGCUGACGCCGGCAAGCGUGAGCUCGCAACGGCGCCAGCUGCUUGCCGCCCGCGCCCCCGAGCACCUGGGUGAGCUCCACGUCGCCGCCCCGACCCCGUGGACACCUCAUUCGCCCCCUGCCUCUCUCCCUCGCUCUCCCGCACCAUGGCCGACGCACCCGCCGCCGCACCCCCGACGUAGUCGCGCCCUCCGUCGUCCUCGUGCUGCACCACCGUGUCCCUUCGCUCCGCCGUCAUCGACUACAUCGAGUAGGCCGAGCCCCGAGCGCUCGCUGGCCCUGUUUCAUCUUCUUCGAGCUCGUCUUCACCGAGCACCGCCACAGAUCCCCUUCGCCGUCGCCGCCGUACCAGCUCGUCCCCGACCUUGCCGACCACUCCGUUGUGACCGCCGUGAGCUCAGCCACCUCCCCAUCCUCCCCGUUUGCCUUCUCGUGCACCGUAGCAACCGCAUGGAGCUUCAUCGCACGCACCACCGACGAGCUCGUCGCCGACGUGCCUCCGGCCAUCCACCGUCCACACCACGGUGUCUAACAUGCUCACCGCAUCGUGUAGAGUCUAACGCCCCACUCCACGCGCCUCGCCGUGCCCCGUAGCCAUGGGUCCAUUUUCAUCCGACUCCGGCGACCGCCGUGGUCGUCGCCGGCGACGUUCCUGGCCACCUCGACCUCAACCACCACCACCAAACGCCGCGACUUGUUCCCGGCUACACGUAGAUGGUCUCCGUCGUCCAUUUGGUCGCCAGAACAUGCUAACCCACUUCCUCCGCCGCGUCUGGCCUCGCCGGCGGCUAGACACCGGCAUGUUUGACCCGUUGACAUUCACUGGGUGGGCCAGGUUGACUCCCCUGAGUCUAUGACAAGUGCCCCCCCCUCUGCUAAUUAACCUAGUUUAGCUCUUACUAAAAUCAGUUAGUUUAAAUAAGUGCUGACAUGCGGGACCCACUGGUCAGUUUGACCUGAACGACCCCUUUGACCACUGACGUCACCCUGAUGCACUGCUGACGCAAUAACCAAUUUCUGGAUUUAUUGUUAUAUAGGAAAUUCCAGAAAUUGUUGCAAACUUCAAAAAUUCAUAGAAAUUAAUCUGUAACUCCAAAUGCAAAGAUUUAUAUAUGAAUUUUGAUCAGAAAAAUUCAAUCUAUCCAUUGGUAAUGGUUUCAUGCAUGUCAGAACAAGUUAACCUUGCUGUUUAAUCAAAACAAGUUAAUGCACUAAUAUGACUAUGUUAAAUGAACUACCAUUUGCAUCUUUGAUUCAAAUGAGUUCAUACCUUUCUGUUCUAGCUUGCAUUAGGCCAGGACACAUUCAUGUUGCCAUGUCAUAGCAUGCAUCAUAUUGUUGUAUAUCGUCAUGUGUUGUUCAUGUUCGGUGUGUUUUCGUGAUAGGUUCUGCCUCCGAGGAUAACCCCGAAUAUCCGUCUGAAGGGCUGUAUCCUACUACCACUACAUCAGGCAAGCAACCCAUUGAUCAUUCCGAUACAAACCCAUGUUCUUGCCUCUGCUCUUGUUUACUGCAUUAAGACAAUGCGAUUCAAACUUUUGUGUGUUGUGGUAGUUGAACCCACUUCCUUUGCAUGACCUGUCAUUGCCACAGUAACUAGAUGAAACUCAGUAGCAUGUGUAGGAGUUGAUUGAGCCAUAUCUGUGUUACCUACCAUGCUAUGCUUGCUAUGCUUAGAGUUGUGUCAGGUCUGGCUCAUUGGGAUGAUGAACUAGAGUGAAAGGUUGUGUCGGUAAUGAAGUGUUGAACACGAUUUGGUAAAGGUAUCGAUGAGAGGCCAUGUAGGAGUACAUGGUGGGUUGUUUCAUUGAGGCCGUCCUUAAGCACUGAGAUCUGUGUGUGUGAUUUAAGAUUCAGCUACUACCACGCAUUGGGCCCGAAACCAAUGGACCCUCUCGACUUAUUAACCACUCUUGUCCUCUGUCCGGGAGUUGCAAGUAGUUUUUGGUGUUUGUAGCAUGAUGGGGGCCGCACGCAGUGCUGACCUUAGGGGUGGGUUGGGUUGCGGUAGGCAUGUGGCACGGUGUAUCGAUUCGCCCGUUUGGUGUCUCGGGAACCAUGUUCACAUCAUUCGGGGCCGUUAGUGGAAACCUCGGCCGGACUCCCUGCGGAUGGAACCCGAAUAGGCGAUAAACCUGGACUAGGGACUCGUGUGUUUAGUCAGGCCGUGGCCGACACCCUCGCUGGGCUUCCGCUUGAGGCUUGCCGAGUACACGUCAUGUAGCGGUGAUAAGUGGUGAGAGCGUGUGUGAAGAAGUACACCCCUGCAGGGUAUAAAACUAUUCGAAUAGCCGCGUCCGCGGUAAAGGACUACUUGGUCACCUAUGCAGUUCAUAGACAAGUAAAUGGAUACUUCUAAAAGCCUCAAGUUAAGUGUGAGUACCGAGGAUGGCCCUCUCGUAGGUUGACAAGAGAGGAUCCUCGGUGGAGUAUUGUGUUGGUGAGUAGUGGACUCGUGUGCGACAAAUGUUUUGCAAGUUGUGUCUAUCGUAGAAUAGCUUAGCCAAGAGUCAAAGCUGGCUUGCUGCAAUAACUCCACUACCUUCUUGAGAAUGUGCAUGUAUGAUAGGAUUCUGUUGUAAGACUUGCUGAGUACCUCUGUACUCAUGUUUGCUUAAAUGUUUUCAGACGACAACACCAACCCCUCCGAUGGGUUCUACGUAGACCUCGACGUUGACGAGUGACUAACCACCCAAGUGGUGAUCCGAGACUUGUGAAGGGCCGAUGUAGAUAGAAAGGCUUCGUCAAGCCCUCUUUCUUUCUAGUGUCUGUACUCAGACUAGUUGCUUCCGCAUGUGCUUGUAUGCUUGUAUGACUUGAGUCUCAGGUCAUGUGACCCCUAUCUGUAUGAACAUGUUAUGUAUGGCUCCUUGGAGCCACUUAAAUAAAGUACUUUGAGUUGUAGAGUUUUGUUGUGAUGCCAUGUUGUAUGUACUCAUAUCGGGCAUAUUGUGUGUAUGUUUGAAAUGCUUGGUAUGAGUGGGAUCCGACAAUCUAGUUGUUUAUCCUUGGCAGCCUCUCAUAUGGGGAAAUGUAGUCUAGUGCUUCCUGAGCGAUAGUAGUCCGCUACAGCCCGGUUCACCGGAGUCCUGCUAGCCCAGUACUACAGCUCUGGACACUUGACUGGACAGCAUGUGUUUCACUUCGUUCCUGUGUCUGUCCCUUUGCGGAAAUGUCACGCGGUGGCAUUCGGAGUCCUGCCUAGCCUGCUACAGCCCGGGUUACUGUUGGGAAACGUAGUAAUUUCAAAAUUUUCCUACGCACACACAAGAUCAUGGUGAUGGCAUAGCAACGAGAGGGGAGAGUGUUCGUCCACGUACCCUCGUAGACCGUAAGCGGAAGCGUUAGCACAACGCGGUUGAUGUAGUCGUACGUCUUCACGAUCCGACUAAUCCAAGCACUGAACGUACGUGGCCUCCGAGUUCAGCACACGUUCAGCUCGAUGAUGAUCUCCGGCCUCCAAUCCAGCGAAGCUCCGGAGAUGAGUUCCGUCAGCACGACAGCAUGGUGACGAUGAUGAUGUUCUACCUGCGCAGGGCUUCGCCUAAAAUCCGCGACGAUAUGACUGAGGUGGAAUAUGGUGGAGGGGGGCACCGCACACGGCUAAGGAACGAUCCAUAGAUCAACUUGUGUGUCUAUGGGGUGCCCCCCCCCCCCCGCCCCUGUAUAUAAAGGAGAAAGGGGGAGGCCGGCCGGCCCCUUGGGCGCGCCAAGGGAGGAGGAAUNNNNNNNNNNNNNNNNNNNNNNNNNNNNNNNNNNNNNNNNNNNNNNNNNNNNNNNNNNNNNNNNNNNNNNNNNNNNNNNNNNNNNNNNNNNNNNNNNNNNNNNNNNNNNNNNNNNNNNNNNNNNNNNNNNNNNNNNNNNNNNNNNNNNNNNNNNNNNNNNNNNNNNNNNNNNNNNNNNNNNNNNNNNNNNNNNNNNNNNNNNNNNNNNNNNNNNNNNNNNNNNNNNNNNNNNNNNNNNNNNNNNNNNNNNNNNNNNNNNNNNNNNNNNNNNNNNNNNNNNNNNNNNNNNNNNNNNNNNNNNNNNNNNNNNNNNNNNNNNNNNNNNNNNNNNNNNNNNNNNNNNNNNNNNNNNNNNNNNUCCGGUUUUCUCCGAAAUCACCCGGAACAAUUUCGGUGUCCGAAUAUAGUCGUCCAAUAUAUCAAUCUUUAUGACUCGACCAUUUCGAGAUUCCUCGUCAUGUCCGUGAUGACAUCCGGGACUCCGAACAAACUUCGGUACAUCAAAACUUAUAAACUCAUAAUAAAACUGUCAUCGUAACGUUAAGCGUGCGGACCCUACGGGUUCGAGAACUAUGUAGACAUGACCUAGAACCAUUCUUGGUCAAUAACCAAUAGCGGGACCUAGAUGCCCAUAUUGGUUCCUACAUAUUCUACGAAGAUCUUUAUCGGUCAAACCGCAUAACAACAUACGUUGUUCCCUUUGUCAUCGAUAUGUUACUUGCCCGAGAUUUGAUCGUCGGUAUCCAAUACCUAGUGCAAUCUCGUUACUGGCAAGUCUCUUUACUCGUUCCGUAAUACAUCAUCUCAUAACUAACUUAUUAGUUACAAUGCUUGCAAGGCUUAGGUGAUGAGUAUUACCAAGAGGACCCAGAGAUACCUCUCCGACAAUCGGAGUGACAAAACCUAAUCCCGAAUUAUGCCAACUCAACAUGUACCUUCGGAAACACCUAUAGAGCACCUUUAUAAUCACCCAGUUACGUUGUGACGUUUGGUAGCACACAAAGUGUUCUUCCGGUAAACGGGAGUUGCACAAUCUCAUAGUUGCAGGAACUUGUAUAAGUCAUGAAGAAAGCAAUAGCAGUAUACUAAACGAUCAAGUGCUAGGCUAACGGAAUGGGUCAUGUCAAUCACAUCAUUCUCCUAAUGAUGUGAUCCCGUCAAUCAAAUGACAACUCUUUUGUCCAUGGUUAGGAAACAUAACCAUCUUUGAUAAACGAGCUAGUCAAGUAGAGGCAUACUAGUGACACUAUGUUUGUCUAUGUAUUCACACAUGUAUCAUGUUUCCGGUUAAUAUAAUUCUAGCAUGAAUAAUAAACAUUUAUCAUGAUAUGAGGAAAUAAAUAAUAACUUUAUUAUUGCCUCUAUGGCAUAUUUCCUUCAGUCUCCCACUUGCACUAGAGUCAAUAAUCUAGAUUACAUGGUAAUGAUUUUGACACCCAUGGAGUCUUGGUGCUGAUCAUGUUUUGCUCGUGAGAGAGGCUUAGUCAACGGGUCUGCAACAUUCAGAUCCGUAUGUAUCUUGCAAAUCUCUAUGUCUCCCACUUGGACUUGGUCCCGAAUGGAAUUGAAGCGUCUCUUGAUGUGUUUGGUCCUCUUGUGAAAUUUGGAUUCCUUUGCCAAGGCAAUUGCACCAGUAUUGUCACAGAAGAUGUUCAUUGGUCCCGAUGCACUAGGUAUGACACCUAGAUCGGAAAUGAGAUCCUUCAUCCAGACUCCUUCAUUUGCUGCUUCUGAAGCAGCUAUGUACUCCGCUUCACAUGUAGAUCCCGCCACGAUGCUUUGUUUAGAACUGCACCAACUUACAGCUCCACCGUUUAAUAAAAACACGUAUCUGGUUUGCGAUUUAGAAUCGUCCGGAUCAGUGUCAAAGCUUGCAUCGACGUAACCGUUUACGACUAGCUCUUUGUCACCUCCAUAUAUGAGAAACAUAUCCUUAGUCCUUUUCAGGUAUUUCAGGAUGUUCUUGACCGCUGUCCAGUGAUCCACUCCUGGAUUACUUUGGUACCUUCCUGCCAAGCUUAUUGCUAAGCAUACGUCAGGCCUGGUACACAGCAUUGCAUACAUGAUAGAGCCUAUGGCUGAAGCAUAGGGAACAUUUUUCAUUUUCUCUCUAUCUUCUGCUGUGGUCGGGCAUUGAGUUUGACUCAACUUCACACCUUGUAGCACAGGUAAGAAUCCUUUCUUUGCCUGAUCCAUUUUGAACUUUUUCAAAAAAAAUUCAAGGUAUGUGCUUUGUGAAAGUCCUAUUAAGCGUCUUGAUCUAUCUCUAUAGAUCUUGAUGAGUAAUAUGUAAGCAGCUUCACCGAGGUCUUUCAUUGAAAAACUUUUAUUCAAGUAUCCCUUUAUGCUAUGCAGAAAUUCUAUAUCAUUUCCAAUUAAUAAUAUGGCAUCUACAUAUAAAAUUAGAAAUGCUACAGAGCUCCCACUCACUUUCUUGUAAAUACAGGCUUCUCCAAAUGUCUGUAUAAAACCAUAUGCUUUGAUCACACUAUCAAAGCGUUUAUUCCAACUCCGAAAUGCUUGCACCAGUCCAUAAAUGGAACGCUGGAGCUUGCAUACUUUGUCAGCACCUUUUGGAUCAACAAAACCUUCCGGCUGCAUCAUAUACAACUCUUCUUCUAGAAAUCCAUUCAAGAAUGCAGUCUUGACAUCCAUAUGCCAAAUUUCAUAAUCAUGAAAUGCAGCAAUAGCUAACAUGAUUCGGACAGACUUAAGCAUCGCUACGGGUGAGAAAGUCUCAUCGUAGUCAACCCCUUGAACUUGUCGAAAACCUUUUGCAACAAGUCGAGCUUUAUAGACAGUUACAUUACCAUCAGCGUCAGUCUUCUUCUUAAAGAUCCAUUUAUUCUCAAUGGCUUGCCAAUCAUCGGGCAAGUCAACCAAAGUCCAUACUUUGUUUUCAUACAUGGAUCCCAUCUCAGAUUUCAUGGCUUCUAGCCAUUUUGCGGAAUCUGGGCUCAUCAUCGCUUCCUCAUAGUUCGUAGGUUCACCAUGGUCAAGUAACAUGACUUCCAGAAUAGGAUUACCAUACAACUCUAGUGCGGAUCUUACUCUGGUAGACCUACGAGGUUCAGUAGAAACUUGAACUCCUCACUAAUUGGUGUAGUUGUCACAGGAACCGGUUCUCGUGAUGAACUACUUUCCAAUAAGGGAGUAGAUACAGUUAUCUCAUCAAGUUCUACUUUCCUCCCACUCACUUCUUUCGAGAGAAACUCCUUCUCUAGAAAGGAUCCAUUCUUAGCAACGAAUGUCUUGCCUUCAGAUCUGUGAUAGAAGGUGUACCCAACAGUCUCUUUUGGGUAUCCUAUGAAAACACAUUUCUCCGAUUUGGGUUCGAGCUUAUCUGGUUGAAGUUUCUUCACAUAAGCAUCGCAGCCCCAAACUUUAAGAAACGACAACUUUGGUUUCUUGCCAAACCACAGUUCAUAAGGCGUCGUCUCAACGGAUUUUGAUGGUGCCCUAUUUAACGUGAAUGCGGCCGUCUCUAAAGCAUAACCCCAAAACGAUAGCAGUAAAUCAGUAAGAGACAUCAUAGAUCGCACCAUAUCAAGUAAAGUACGAUUAUGACGUUCGGACACACCAUUUCGUUGUGGUGUUCCGGGUGGCGUGAGUUGCGAAACUAUUCCACAUUGUUUCAAGUGUAGGCCAAACUCGUAACUCAAAUAUUCUCCUCCACGAUCAGAUCGUAGAAACUUUAUUUUCUUGUUACGAUGAUUUUCCACUUCACUCUGAAAUUCUUUGAACUUUUCAAAUGUUUCAGACUUGUGUUUCAUCAAGUAGAUAUACCCAUAUCUGCUCAAAUCAUCUGUGAAGGUGAGAAAAUAACGAUACCCGCCGCGAGCCUCAACAUUCAUUGGGCCACAAACAUCAGUAUGUAUGAUUUCCAACAAAUUAGUUGCUCGCUCCAUAGUUCCGGAGAAUGGCGUUUUAGUCAUCUUGCCCAUAAGGCACAGUUCGCAAGUACCAAGUGAUUCAUAAUCAAGUGAUUCCAAAAGUCCAUCAGUAUGGAGUUUCUUCAUGCGUUUUACACCGAUAUGACCCAAAAGGCAGUGCCACAAGUAAGUUGCACUAUCGUUAUCAACUCUGCAUCUUUUGGUUUCAACACUAUGAACAUGUGUAUCACUACUAUCGAGAUUUAAUAAAAAUAAACCACUCUUCAAGGGUGCAUGACCAUAAAAGAUAUUACUCAUAUAAAUAGAACAACCAUUAUUCUUUGAUUUAAAUGAAUAACCGUCUCGCAUCAAACAAGAUCCAGAUAUAAUGUUCAUGCUUAACGCUGGCACCAAAUAACAAUUAUUCAGGUCUAAAACUAAUCCCGAAGGUAGAUGUAGAGGUAGCGUGCCGACCGCGAUCACAUCGACUUUGGAACCGUUUCCCACGCGCAUCGUCACCUCGUCCUUGGCCAGUGCUCGCUUAUUCCGUAGUCCCUAUUUCGAGUUGCAAAUAUUAGCAACAGAACCAGUAUCAAAUUCCCAGGUGCUACUACGAGCUCUAGUUAGGUACACAUCAAUAACAUGUAUAUCACAUGUAGCUUUGUUUACUUUGCCAUCCUUCUUAUCCGCCAAAUACUUGGGGCAGUUCCGCUUCCAGUGACCAGUCUGCUUGCAGUAGAAGCACUCAGUUUCAGGCUUAGGUCCAGACUUGGGUUUCUUCUCUUGAGCAGCAACUUGCUUGCUGUUCUUCUUGAAGUUCCCCUUCUUCUUCCCUUUGCCCUUUUUCUUGAAACUAGUGGUCUUGUUGACCAUCAACACUUGAUGCUCCUUCUUGAUUUCUACCUCCGCAGCUUUUAGCAUUGCGAAGAGCUCGGGAAUAGUCUUGUUCAUCCCUUGCAUAUUAUAGUUCAUCACAAAGCUCUUGUAUCUUGGUGGCAGUGAUUGGAGAACUCUGUCAAUGACGCUAUCAUCCGGAAGAUUAACUCCCAGUUGAAUCAAGUGAUUAUUAUACCCAGACAUUUUGAGUAUAUGCUCACUGACAGAACUAUUCUCCUCCAUCUUGCAGCUGUAGAACUUAUUGGAGACUUCAUAUCUCUCAAUCCGGGCAUUUGCUUGAAAUAUUAACUUCAACUCCUGGAACAUCUCAUAUGCUCCAUGACGUUCAAAACGUCGUUGAAGGCCCGGUUCUAAGCCGUAAAGCAUGGCACACUGAACUAUAGAGUAGUCAUCAGCUUUGCUCUGCCAGACGUUCUUAACGUCGUCAGUUGCAUCAGCAGCAAGCCUGGCACCCAGCGGUGCUUCCAGGACGUAACUUUUCUGUGCAGCAAUGAGGAUAAUCCUCAGGUUACGGACCCAGUCCGUGUAAUUGCUACCAUCAUCUUUCAACUUUUCUUUCUCAAGGAACGCAUUAAAAUUCAACGGAACAACAGCACGAGCCAUCUAUCUACAAACAAACAUAGACAAGCAAAAUACUAUCAGGUACUAAGUUCAUGAUAAAUUUUAAGUUCAAUUAAUCAUAUUACUUAAGAACUCCCACUUAGACAGACAUCUCUCUAGUCAUCUAAGUGAUUACGUGAUCCAAAUCAACUAAACCAUAACCGAUCAUCAUGUGAGAUGGAGUAGUUUUCACUGGUGAACAUCACUAUGUUGAUCAUAUCUACUAUAUGAUUCAUGCUCGACCUUUCGGUCUCCGUGUUCCGAGGCCAUAUCUGCAUAUGCUAGGCUCGUCAAGUUUAACCUGAGUAUUCUGCGUGUGCAAAACUGGCUUGUACCCGUUGUAGAUGGACGUAGAGCUUAUCACACCCUAUCAUCACGUGGUGUCUGGGCACGACAAACUUUGGCAAUGGUGCAUACUCAGGGAGAACACUUCUUGAUAAUUUUUGUGAGAGAUCAUCUUAAAAUGCUACCGUCAAUCAAAGCAAGAUAAGAUGCAUAAAGGAUAAACAUCACAUGCAAUCAAUAUAAGUGAUAUGAUAUGGCCCUCAUCAUCUUGUGCUUGUGAUCUCCAUCUUUGAAGCACCAUCGUGAUCACCAUCGUCACCGGCGCGACACCUUGAUCUCCAUCGUAGCAUCGUUGUCGUUACGCCAUCUAUUGCUUCUACGACUAUCUAUACCGCUUAGUGAUAAAGUAAAGCAAUUACAGGGUGUUUGCAUUUCAUACAAUAAAGCGACAACCAUAUGGCUCCUGCCAGUUGCCGAUAACUUCGGUUACAAAACAUGAUCAUCUCAUACAAUAAAAUAUAUCAUCACGUCUUGACCAUAUCACAUCACAACAUGCCCUGAAAAACAAGUUAGACGUCCUCUACUUUGUUGUUGCAAGUUUUACGUGGCUGCUAUGGGCUUAGCAAGAACUGUUCUUACCUACGCAUCAAAACCACAACGAUAGUUCGUCAAGUUGGUGCUGUUUUAACCUUCGCAAGGACCGGGCGUAGCCACACUCGAUUCAGCUAAAGUGAGAGAGACAGACACCCGCCAGCCACCUUUAAGCACGAGUGCUCGUAACGGUGAAACCAGUCUCACGUAAGCGUACGCGUAAUGUCGGUCCGGGCCGCUUCAUCUCACAAUACCGCCGAACCAAAGUAUGAAAUGCUGGUAAGCAGUAUGACUUGUAUCGCCCACAACUCACUUGUGUUCUACUCGUGCAUAUAACAUCAACGCAUAAAACCUAGGCUCGGAUGCCACUGUUGGGAAACGUAGUAAUUUCAAAAUUUUCCUACGCACACGCAAGAUCAUGGUGAUGGCAUAGCAACGAGAGAGGAGAGUGUUCGUCCAUGUACCCUCGUAGACCGUAAGCGGAAGCGUUAGCACAACGCGGUUGAUGUAGUUGUACGUCUUCACGAUCCGACCGAUCCAAGCACCGAACGUACGGGGCCUCCGAGUUCAGCACACGUUCAGCUCGAUGACGAUCUCCGGCCUCCGAUCCAGUGAAGCUCCGGAGAUGAGUUCCGUCAGCACGACGGCGUGGUGACGAUGAUGAUGUUCUACCGGCACAGGGCUUCGCCUAAACUCCGCGACAAUAUGACCGAGGUGGAAUAUGGUGGAGGGGGGGCACCGCACACGGCUAAGGAACGAUCCGUAGAUCAACUUGUGUGUCUAUGGGGUGCCCCCCGCCCCUGUAUAUAAAGGAGCAAGGGGGAGAGGCCGGCCGGCCCCUUGGGCGCGCCAAGGGAGGAGGAAUCCUCCUCCUAGUAGGAGUAGGACUCCUCCUUUCCUACUCCUACUAGGAGGGGGAAGGAAGGAGGAGAGGGGGAAGGAAAGGGGGGGCGCCGCCCCCCUCGUAGUCCAAUUCGGACCAGAGGGGGGGAGGGGGCGUGCGGCCCAUGCUGGCCGCCCCUCUCUCCUUUCCCCUAAGGCCCAUAAGGCCCAAUACUCUCCCGGGGGGUUCCGGUAACCCCCGGCACUCCGGUUUUCUCCGAAAUCACCCGGAACAAUUCCGGUGUCCGAAUAUAGUCGUCCAAUAUAUCAAUCUUUAUGUCUCGACCAUUUCGAGAUUCCUCGUCAUGUCCGUGAUGACAUCCGGGACUCCGAACAAACUUCGGUACAUCAAAAGAUAUAAACUCAUAAUAAAACUGUCAUCGUAACGUUAAGCGUGCGGACCCUACAGGUUCGAGAACUAUGUAGACAUGACCUAGAACCAUUCUCGGUCAAUAACCAAUAGCGGGACCUGGAUGCCCAUAUUGGUUCCUACAUAUUCUACGAAGAUCUUUAUCGGUCAAACCGCAUAACAACAUACGUUGUUCCCUUUGUCAUGGGUACGUUACUUGCCCGAGAUUUGAUCGUCGGUAUCCAAUACCUAGUUCAAUCUCGUUACUGGCAAGUCUCUUUACUCGUUCCGUAAUAUAUCAUCUCAUAACUAACUUAUUAGUUACAAUGCUUGCAAGGCUUAGGUGAUGAGUAUUACCGAGAGGGCCCAGAGAUACCUCUCCGACAAUCGGAGUGACAAAACCUAAUCUCGAAUUAUGCCAACUCAACAUGUACCUUCGGAAACACCUGUAGAGCACCUUUAUAAUCACCCAGUUACGUUGUGACGUUUGGUAGCACACAAAGUGUUCUUCCGGUAAACGGGAGUUGCACAAUCUCAUAGUUGCAGGAACUUGUAUAAGUCAUGAAGAAAGCAAUAGCAGUAUACUAAACGAUCAAGUGCUAGGCUAACGGAAUGGGUCAUGUCAAUCACAUCAUUCUCCUAAUGAUGUGAUCCCGUCAAUCAAAUGACAACUCUUUUGUCCAUGGUUAGGAAACAUAACCAUCUUUGAUAAACGAGCUAGUCAAGUAGAGGCAUACUACUGACACUAUGUUUGUCUAUGUAUUCACACAUGUAUCAUGUUUCCGGUUAAUAUAAUUCUAGCAUGAAUAAUAAACAUUUAUCAUGAUAUGAGGAAAUAAAUAAUAACUUUAUUAUUGCCUCUAGGGCAUAUUUCCUUCAGUUACCGGAGUCCUGUUAGCCCAGUGUUACAGCCCGGAUGUAUACGUUGAUGACCGACAUGCUCGAUGUGACUCAUGUAUGCCUGUCCCCAUAGGUUAGCGCCGCUUUGGGUUCAUGACUAGCCAUGUCAGCCCGGGUUCUCUGUCAUAUGGAUGCUAGCGACACUAUCAUAUACGUGAGCCAAAAGGCGCAAACAGUCCCGGCCAUGGUAAGGCGACACCCGUGGGAUUACCGUGCGUGAGGCCGCAAAGUGAUAUGAGGUGUUACCGGCUAGAUCAAUGUGACUUGGAAUCAUGGUCCAGACAGCAUUGGCAUCAGAGCCGGACUGCCUGUAGGUUCCUAAGCCAAACUGGUCGAUGUCGAGUCUAGAAAUGCUUUAGUUAUAUGUAGGGGAAUUUAUUGUGGGAGGAAACGUAAGGCUCUUUUUACCCCUUUACCUUAUGCCCUCUGAUCUGUGUCAUCCUCUUCUCAUUCUACGUGGGUUAAGGACUAGGCUCUCUUCUCUCUAUCAGGUUCACGUGUUACUAAUCCGUAGUAACUUAUAGGAUUGUUGGUUACCAGUCUCAGUACAGUUCCUACUACUUUAGUAUGUUAUCAGUUGAACCUGAACCUUGAUAUGAUGUUGUUGAGUGGUUUUGCAAUCCGUUGUGAAUGUCUCAAAUCUGCUCCUGAGCAUUUACAGCUGUUAUGUUGUCCAAUUUUCCCUAGGAAUUCUAAUGUCUUUGCAUUGUGGUUGUGCUUUCAGAUGGCCACUCGCGCUCAGAACCAAGUGGUUCGCCUGACGCGGUGCCUCAAUGUGCCCGGUCAUACUGCUAUGUUAGUCCGGGUCAUGAUCGAGACAGGUUACCGUUGGUAUCCCGAAUACAUUGCCGAAGAGCAAUUCCAAGACUUUAAUCAAAGCCAAUACUUCUGCACUGUCAGGAUAUUUCCUUCAUAUCCUGGAUCCACCGAGCCCCUUCACUGCUCCUAUGGACUCGGGGUCACCAUUGAGAUGGCUGUACAGGAUGCGGCCUAUUCUAUGAUGACCAUCAUGCGAGUCAGGACUGGUCUGCUUCGGAACACCGACUUCCGUUAUAUGCCAGCAUCGCUCCCAGGAGCGCAAGGGUAUCUCCAGGCUAUCUAUGCUGAUUCCACCCAUGAGGACUCACUAACUCGCACCAUUGCGGAGAUGCUCGAGGAUAAGGACCGAGAGAAUCAGGCCUUGAGGUUGGAGCUUUUCAACACCUGCGCCGAUCAUUGGGCCACUUUGACUCGGUUUGCACCGGCUGUGCAAGCUGGAUGUAUGGAUAUGAGGGAUCUGUUUCCUGUGAGAUCUGCUCUGCCAGACAUGGUGGAUUGGCGUGAUGUGGGAGGCAUCAUCCCACCCCGUGGUCCCCGUAGGCCAUCGUUUGUUGGUCCAAGACCUCAUCCUAGCCCCUAUGGUCCACAGGCUCCUCAGGACCGUCUGUUCCCGGAUGAUCACGUUGAGCUUCCAAGCUAUGGAGGGGACUUCUAUGAGGACUACUACGGAGCUGUCUGAGUUAGUAGUAGUAUCUUUAGUAUUGUAAUAGUUGUAAUUCCAUCGUCCUGCGUGACCUGUGGAAUAUGACUUAGUGUGUAUCAGUUCCGGAGGUGUAGAAAAAUAAUGUAUCGGAGCUUGGAAUGCCUCCGAUGAGAUGUAACUUCUUCCACCGUAGUUGUACUAUAGUCGGGCUUGUACUAAACUAUGUAUGGUGUGUAUGACUGUUGGUGCAUAUAUGGCAGUUUCUGUAUUACCAUGUCAUACAGAUGAACAUCUCUGCAUUCCUUGUUAUCCAUUACAUUCUGCACUUCCUUGUCCAGAUUUGCCAUCCUUGUCUAAAGCGAUGUCUUGUUUUCCUAGGAUGGUCAACACCCGUAACAACCCUGCUACUCCGGAGCAGGGUGAAGCCAGUGCAGCUAGGAAUGAAAAUCUGCCUCAACCACCUUCUCUGGUCGAAGUUAUGCUGGAGGCAGAGCGAAAUAAGCGUGAGACCAAUCGCUUGCUGGAGCGGAUUGAGCAGAAUACCGCACGCCAGCCGAGGAACGACCUGGUGUCACUUAAUGACUUUGUCAAGCUGUAUCCACCGAAGUUUAAACAUUCCGUCGAGCCCCUUGAUGCGGAUGAAUGGCUUCGCAGCAUUACCCACAAGCUACGUUCUGUCAAUGUGGCCGAAGCUGAUAAGGUUAACUUUGCUACCUAUCACCUCGAAGGCCCUGCUAGCCUUUGGUGGGAAAACUUUGAGGCUAUGCGCCCGGUCGGCCAAAUUACUACUUGGGCUGAAUUCAGUAUGGAGCAUCACAUUCCGGAAGGUCUUAUGGAUCGCAAGCGUGAAGAGUUCUGCAACUUCACCCAGGGUAGACUGACUGUGGAUGCAUACAGUCGCGAGUUUGGAUAUCUAGCACGAUAUGCUCCUAAAGAGGUAUCCACCGACGCCAAGAAGCAGGCAAGGUUCCGCAAGGGACUUAGCCCCGAGCUUCGUCGUGAUCUUCGUCUGCACGAGUGCACCUCCUUCCAGAAGUUAGUCAACAAGGCCAUCAGUGCUGAGACAGGGCAGUCGGACUUUGAAGCUUCACGCAAGCACUCCCGUGACUUUGGACUUCAUCCGGCUGUGCAUCUCAGAAGCGCCGGGUCUGGAUUCCAAGCACUGCUCUGCCACCCAGGUUCACCCCGAGGCCAUCCUUUGACGCGCCUCGCCCCAACCAAUAGUAUACACCGCCCAAGGCCUAUGGUGGCCCCACUGCUAAUGCUACUCCAUGCCCCAAUGUGAUAACUUGUUUCAAGUGUGGGGAGACGGGUCACUACAUUCGUGAGUGUCCCCAAAACAACCCCAACCAGAUUGGAAAGUCUGUUGGCCGUGGCAAGCCAGCAGGAAAGGUGCUCUACGCCAAGCCAGCCACCACUGCCCGUGGCCAUGUCAACUAUGUCUCAGCAGAGGAGACUCAUGAGGAUCCCAACGUCGUUCUCGGUACGCUUCUUGUUAAUUGCCACCCGGCAACCAUUCUCUUUGAUACUGGAGCAUCUCAUUCAUUUAUAUCUGAAAGCUAUGCUCGAUUGCACAACACCACAUUUUGUGACAUGCCCACCUCCAUGGUAAUUCAAACCCCUGGUUCUAAGUGGCAAACCUCUAAAAUCAGCCAUGGAAAUGAAAUCCUUGUCGACAGAUUAGUCUUCCUUGCAUCACUAAUAGCUCUCAAGUCCUCGGACAUAAACAUCAUCUUGGGUAUGGACUGGAUGUCAGCCCAUUACGCUAAGAUCGAUUGCUCCACUAGAACUGUUCAACUCACCCACCCUUCGGGCAAGACAGCCAAUGUUUUGACCCGAGUGUCUAAGCGUCAGCUUUACUCUUUAAAUGCCAACCCCCUUCCAGACCUUGAAGAUAUUCCGGUAGUCCGUGACUUCCCGGAUGUCUUUCCAGAGGAACUGUCAGGUGUUCCACCUAACAGAGAUGUCAAGUUCGUGAUAGACCUUGUUCCAGGAACCAUGCCAACAUCUAGGAGACCUUAUAAGAUGGCACCCCUAGAACUAGCUGAGCUUAAGAAACAACUCGAUGAGUCCUUGCAAAAGGGUUUCAUCCAUCCUAGCUCUUCUCCAUGGGCUUGCCCCGUCCUUUUCGUCAAGAAGAAGGAUGGAACGGAUCGGAUGGUUGUAGAUUACCGGCCAGUCAACUUGGUCACUAUCAAGAACAAGUAUCCGCUCCCCAAGAUCAACGACCUGUAUGAUCAGCUCGCUGGAUCCUCAGUCUUUUCUAAAAUGGAUUUGAGGUUGGGCUACCAUCAAAUCAAAAUUAAGAACGGGGACAUUCCUAAAACGGCCUUUGUUACUCGAUAUGGCCAAUACGAGUACACCGUCAUGUCCUUCGGUCUAACCAAUGCCCCAGCCACCUUCUCUCGGUUAUUGAACUCGAUCUUCAUGGAGUAUUUUGAUAAAUUCGUCGUGGUUUACCUUGAUGAUAUACUCAUCUACUCCAAGAAUGAAGAAGAACAUGCCGAACAUCUAAGGCUAGUGUUGAUGAAACUUUGAGAGCAUUGUCUUUAUGCCAAAUUCUCUAGGUGUGAGUUUUGGUUGCCAGAAGUAACCUAUCUAGGACAUGUAAUCUCUGGUAAGGGCAUUGCUGUCAAUCCCAAGCGAGUUCAAGCCAUCCUUGACUGGACUCCACCUGAAACGGUCAAGCAAGUUCAGAGUUUUGUUGGUUUAGCGAGCUAUUGCCGCUGCUUCAUCGAGAAUUUCUCCAAGGUUGCUAAGCCUCUAACCGAACUCCUCAAGAAAGAUAAAAAGUUCGAAUGGACGCCAUAGUGCGAGUUCAGUUUUCAGGAACUGAAAAGACGCCUGACAUCUGCUCCUGUACUUGUUCCACCAGAUUUCUCUAAGGACUUCGUUAUCUACUGCGACGCCUCGCGACAAGGACUAGGUUGCAUACUCAUGCAAGAUCGUCAUGUGAUUGCCUACGCUUCUCGACAGCUGCGUCCACAUGAGGAUAACUAUCCCACACAUGAUCUACAGCUUGCAGCAGUGGUCCAUGCACUCAAAACCUGGCGACAUUACCUUCUCGGUAAUCGUUGCGAGAUUUACACCGAUCACCAAAGUCUGAAAUACAUCUUCACCAAACCGGAUUUGAAUCUCAGACAAAGACGUUGGGUCGAGUUGAUUACGGAUUACGAUCUAGGAAUAACCUACACCCCAGGAAAAGCCAAUGUCAUGGCUGAUGCAUUAAGCCGUAAAUCUUAUUGUAACAACCUGAUGUUACAACAAAGCCAACCAUUUCUCCACGAGGAAUUUCGUAAGCUUAACCUUCACAUCGUUCCUCGAGGUUUUCUUUCCACCCUGGUGGCGAAACCUACCCUUACGGAUCAGAUCAUCAAGGCACAGAAGGUAGAUCCGGGAAUAUCCCGUAUCAAGAGAAACAUCAAAAGGGAGUUGGACUGUUUCUCCAUAGAUGAUCAAGGUGUUGUGUUCUUUGGAGGCCAUCUAGUGGUUCCCAAGGUAUGCAACCUGAGGCGAUUGAUCCUUAAGGAAGCUCAUGAAUCCCCUCUCACUAUUCAUCCCAGUAGUACUAAAAUGUAUCAAGACCUACGCCAGAGGUUUUGGUGGACUAGGAUGAAGAGAGAAAUCGCUCAAUACAUUACCAAUUGCGACGUCUGUCGUCGAGUUAAAGAAGAGCAUCAACGACCUGCUGGCACCCUGCAACCUUUGGAAAUUCCCGAAUGGAAAUGGGAUAAAAUCGGUAUGGAUUUCAUUACCGGGUUUCCCAGGACCAAGAGGGGGAAUAAUGCUAUCUUCGUUGUUGUCGAUCGUCUUUCCAAAGUAGCCCACUUCCUACACGUUCGUGAGAGUUUAACCGCUAGCCAGCUAGCUGACUUAUACAUCUCCCGAAUAGUGUCUCUUCAUGGUGUUCCAUUGGAGACUAACUCAGACCGUGGAAGUCUCUUCACCUCUCGAUUUCGGGAAAGUUUCCAAAAUGCGAUGGGAACUCGUCUUUCUUUUAGCACCGCUUUCCAUCCUCAAUCAAGUGGUCAAGUAGAACGAGUCAAUCAAAUUCUAGAGGAUAUGCUUCGAGCUUCUGUCAUCUCUUUUGGUAUGAAUUGGGAGAAGUGCCUUCCAUUCGCUGAGUUCGCUUAUAACAAUAGUUAUCAAGCUAGCUUGGACAAAGCUCCUUUCAAAGUUCUCUAUGGAUGAAAAUGUCGAACACCUCUUAACUGGUCAGAAACCGGGUAAAGACAACUCUUUGGCCCGGAUAUGAUCCAGGAAGCAGAGGAGCAGGUUCACGUUAUUCGUGAGAAAUUGAAAACAGCCCAAUCUCAUCAAAAGAGCCAAUAUGACCGCAAACAUACACUAGUAGAAAAGGGGCCAAUGGUCCAGGCCGGUCCAGCCCAUUAGUCCCGGUUCAAUCCAGAACCGGGACCAAUGGGGGCAUUGGACCCGGUUCGUGAGCCCUGGGGGCCGGCCGGGCCACGUGGGCCAUUGGUCCCGGUUCGUCCUGACCUUUCGGUCCCGGUUGGUGGGACGAACCGGGACCAAUGGGCCUCGCUCCUGGCCCACCAACAUUGGUCCCGGUUGGUGGCUUGAACCGGGACCAAAGGCGUCCCUUUAGUCCCGGUUCAAGUCACCAACCGGGACCAAUUAGUUGCCUAUAUAUACCCCUCGCCUGCGAGCAGAGCACUCCCAGUGCUCUGUUUUUCGUGGCUGGCGAGGGGAGAGCUUUGUGGUGCUCUAGCUCACGUCCUAUGCACACAAGGUGUUCGAUGGAAUGCCCGAGCCACACUACUUAAGCUUUCUCCUCUCCAAGCUCGACCUCCAAGCUCCAUUUUCCUUCAUAUUUGUCUAGGUUUAGCGGUUCGUCACGUCCCGUCCCCAUCUUCACCACCGUUGAUCGCCCGCGCCGAUCUCGUCGCCGGCACCACCGUGGUGAGCCUCUUGUUCUUAUCUUCUUUCUGAAAGGAAAAAAAAUUCUUACUUGUAUGUUUAUAUAGAUACUUGUAUAAUUUUCUUACUUUUAUUAUUGCAUCUUAUAUAGUGCGAUGGUUUUGGUAUCCGCCCCCGUCGGCCCUCGUCCUGUCUAUGAUUCAGAUGUGGUAUAUAUAUAUUAUCUUUUCAUAACUAGUGGUUCAUUUAUUGUUUAUGACAAUUAUGCCGACCAACGUGACAUAGAUUUUAUUUAUCUAGGAGGUUGUUGAACCGGAAAUUCCAACCGACCCUAUUGUCGAGAGGUUAAAUUUAGUUGAAGAAAACAAUUUGUUGAAGGGAAAAAUUAGAAAAAUUGAGGAGGAGAAGAUGAUAUUGGAGUUGCAUGUUGCGGAUGUCAUCGAUGAUCACAAGAUCAAGAUGGAUGCAAUGCGCUUGAAGAUUAGAAAGAUUAGAAAAUAUGCCAUUCAUACCGAGGCUUGGUAUCAUUAUGUCGUUGGAUCAGUUGUUACAUUGGUUGCGAUUAUGAUCGUAUUUGUUUUCGCAUUGAAAUGUUUUACAUAGUUUCAGUGUAUGGUUUAAUUAAUUUAGAUGCCCUGCAGAGCUUUAUGUUGUUAGAUGAGAACUAUGUAUGUACUUUGGUUUUAAUGUGAUGAUGAACUUCUAUUAAUUUCGUCACUUAAUUAUCUAUUCAUGAUGUUCUGUAAUGAUUUUUGACACACUUAAUUAUAUAUAAUGCACGCAGAUGAACCGGCAAUGGAUGUACGGUUCAAGACACACCUCCGAGUACAUUAAGGGCGUGCAUGAUUUUCUCGAAGUGCCUGAGGCAACAAGAAGAAUGGUUUUAUGUGUUGUCCAUGCCCUAUAUGUGGGAAUACGAAGUCUUACUCUGACUGGAAAAUCCUCCACACCCACCUUCUUUACAAGGGUUUCAUGCCACACUAUAAUGUUUGGACGAGGCACGGAGAAAUAGGGGUUAUGAUGGAAGACGGCGAAGAAGAAGAGUACGAUGACAACUAUGUGCCCCCUGAAUACGGUGAUGCUACUGAAGAUCAAGAGGAACCAGACGAUGUGCCCGAUGAUGAUGAUCUCCGCCGGGUCAUUGUCGAUGCAAGGACGCAAUGCGAAAGUCAAAAGGAGAAGCUGAAGUUCGAUCGCAUGUUAGAGGACCACAAAAAAGGGUUGUACCCCAAUUGUGAAGAUGGCAACACAAAGCUCGGUACCGUACUGGAAUUGCUGCAGUGGAAGGCAGAGAAUGUUGUGCCUGACAAAGGAUUUGAGAAGCUACUGAAAAUAUUGAAGAAGAAGCUUCCAAAGGAUAACGAAUUGCCCGACAGUACAUACACAGCAAAGAAGUUCGUAUGCCCUCUAGGAUUGGAGGUGCAGAAGAUACAUGCAUGCCCUAAUGACUGCAUCCUCUACCGCGGUGCGUACAAGGAUCUGAACGCAUGCCCGGUAUGCGGUGCAUUACGGUAUAAGAUCAGACGAGAUGACCCUGGUGAUGUUGACGGCGAGCCCCCCAGGAAGAGGGUUCCUGCGAAGGUGAUGUGGUAUGCUCCCAUAAUACCACGGUUGAAACGUCUGUUCAGAAACGGAGAGCAUGCCAAGUUGAUGCGAUGGCACAGUGAGGACCGUAAGAAAGACGGGAAGUUGAGAGCACCCGCUGACGGGUCGCAGUGGAGAAAAAUCGAGGGAAAGUACUGGGAUGAGUUUGCAAGUGAGCCAAGGAACGUAUGGUUUGCUUUAAGCGCGGAUGGCAUUAAUCCUUUCGGGGAGCAGAGCAGCAAUCACAGCACCUGGCCCGUGACUCUAUGUAUGUAUAACCUUCCUCCUUUGAUGUGCAUGAAGCAGAAGUUCAUUAUGAUGCCAGUUCUCAUCCAAGGCCCUAAGCAACCCGGCGACGACAUUGAUGUGUACCUAAGGCCAUUAGUUGAAGAACUUUUAUAGCUGUGGAAUGGAAAUAGUGUACGUACGUGGGAUGAGCACAAACAGGAGGAAUUUAACCUAAAGGCGUUGCUGUUCGUGACCAUCAACAAUUGGCCCGCUCUCAGUAACCUUUCAGGACAGACAAACAAGGGAUACCACGCAUGCACGCACUGUUUACUUGACACCGAUAGUAUAUACCUAGCAAGUUGUAGGAAGAAUGUGUACCUGGGCCAUCAUCGAUUUCUUUCGACCAACCAUCAAUGUUGAAAGAAAGGCAAGCAUUUCAAAGGCGAGGCAGAUCACCGGAAGAAGCCCUCCAUGCGUACUGGUAUCACGUACUUGCUAUGGUAGUGAUUUACACGUAAUCUUUGGAAAGUGUCCCGGCGGACUAGCUGUUCCGAAUGACGCUGAGAAUCACGCACCCAUGUGGAAGAAGAAAUCUAUAUUUUGGGACCUACCCUACUAGAAAGACCUAGAGGUCCGCUCUUCGAUCGACGUGAUGCACGUGACGAAGAACCUUUGCGUGAACCUGCUAGGCUUCUUGGGCAUGUAUGGGAAGACAAAAGAUACAACUGAGGCACGGGAGGACCUGCAACGCUUGCACGAAAAAGUGGGCAUGCCUCCGAAGCAGUAUGAAGGUCCUGCCAGCUACGCUCUUACGAAAGAAGAGAAAUAAAUCUUCUUUGAAUGCCUGCUCAGUAUGAAGGUCCCGACUGGCUUCUCUUCGAAUAUAAAGGGAAUAAUAAAUAUGCCAGACAAAAAGUUCUAGAACCUAAAGUCUCAUGACUGCCACGUGAUUAUGACGCAACUGCUUCCGGUUGCAUUGAGGGGGCUUCUACCGGAAAACGUCCGAUUAGCCAUUGUGAACCUAUGUGCAUUCCUCAAUGCAAUCUCUCAGAAGGUGAUCGAUCCAGAAAUCAUACCAAGGCUAAGGACUGAUGUGGUGCAAUGUCUUGUCAGUUUCGAGCUGGUGUUCCCACCAUCCUUCUUCAAUAUCAUGACGCACGUCCUAGUUCAUCUAGUUGACGAGAUUGUCAUUCUGGGCCCCGUAUUUCUACACAAUAUGUACUUCUUUGAGAGGUUCAUGGGAGUCCUAAAGAAAUAUGUCUGUAACCGCGCUAGGCCAAAAGGAAGCAUCUCCAUGGGCUAUCAAACAGAGGAUGUCAUCGGGUUUUGUGUUGACUUCAUUCCUGGCCUUAAGAAUAUAGGUCUCCCUAAAUCGCGGUAUGAGGGGAGACUGACUGGAAAAGGCACGCUUGGAAGGGACUCAAUUAUAUGCAGGGACGGAUAUUCUUGGUCUCAAGCACACUACACAGUUCUACAGAACUCUACCUUGGUGACCCCGUAUGUCGAUGAACACAAGAACAGUCUGCGCUCCAAACACCCGGAGCAGUGCGACGACUAGAUUACAUGUGAACACAUCAGGACUUUCAGUAGUUGGUUGGAAGCACAUAUCAGAGGUGACAACACUGUUUGUGAUGAGUUGUACUUGUUGUCCAGGGGACCAUCUUUGACUGUAUUGAUUUGGAAAGGAUACGAGAUAAAUGGGAAUACAUUUUACACGAUUGACCAAGAUCAAAAGAGCACCAACCAAAACAGCGGUGUCCGCUUUGAUGAAACAACCGAGAGGGGAAAGGACACAUAUUGUGGUUACAUAGUGGACAUAUGGGAACUUGACUACGGACACGAUUUUAAGGUCCCUUUGUUUAAGUGCAAAUGGGUCAAUCUGUCAGGUGGCAGGGUACAGGUAGACCCACAGUACGGAAUGACAAUAGUGGAUCUGGAAAAUCUUGGAUACACUGACGAACUGUUCGUCCUAGCCAAUGAUGUGGCACAGGUUAUCUAUGUGAAGGACAUGUCUACCAGACCAAGAAAGAGAAAAGAUAAGGAAGCGAAUACAUCAUACGAUGAGCCAAAGUGCCACAUAGUUCUUUCAGGAAAAAGGGACAUCGUGGGAGUGGAGGACAAGACAGACAUGUCUGAAGAUUAUGAAAAGUUUCAUGAAAUUCCUCCCUUUAAUGUCAAGGCUGACCCCAGCAUCCUGAUAGACGAUGAAGAUUAUCCAUGGUUACGGCGCAAUAAGCAAAUGACACAAGCGAAGAAAAAGUGAAGACUUUCUCCCGCAACUAUUAUGAUGAUACCAUGCCAAAUUUGUAACUGACGAGUAUGAUACCAUUGUCCGUUUUGUACAUGCACAUGCUAUGUGGGUCAAUUUAUGAUACCAUGCCAACUUUCAACUUUUUCAGAGUUCAUUUGAAAUGCUUUAAUGUCUUAUGGUUCGGCCCUCGUAAUGAUUAAAAAUAGCAACAAUAAGUAUUUUGUUGUAAGUAGAAACAAAAUAAAAUAAAUAAAGCAAGAAAGAAAACAAAAAAAACAAAAAAAGUGUUUUCAAAUUUGAAAACUAAUGGUACUAACAGAAAGUUUAUAAUUUUCCUAAAACUAAAAGCAAAAAGAAUUGAAAAAUAAAGCAAAAAACAAAAGACAAUAAAUAAUGCAGAAAUCAAAACAAAAAACAACAAUAAGUAUUUUGUUGUAUGUAGAAACAAAACAAAAUAAAUAAAGCAAGAAAGAAAACAAAAAAACAAAAAAAGUGUUUUCAAAUUUGAAAACUAGGGCACUAACAGAAAGUUUAUAAUUUUCCUAAAACUAAAAGCAAAAAGAAUUAAAAAAUAAAGCAAAAAACAAAAGAAAAUAAAUAAUGCGGAAAACAAAACAAAAAAACUGGAAAAAAAAUAAAAUAGCAAAAAUAAGUAAAGAAAACAAAAAAAUGCCUCCUACUGGGCCCCCACGGCCUGAAUACGACUAGAAACCCUACUAUGGGCCAGGAUUCAGGCCCGCAGUAGGCCCAGAAGGCCCAUCAGGCAAAGCAAUAGCAAGUAGGCCCGAAAGCCUGCGGUGGAGAGGAGCUCGAGAGGGGUGCGGCAGUGGGGCUUAUAAACCACUGCACGCCCCUCUCAACUAGCGAGGUGGGACUAAACUUUGGCCCCGACGCGGGAAGCACAGGGGCCUUUGGUCCCGGUUGGUGGCACCAACCGGGACUAAAGGGGGGGGCAUUGGUACCGGUUCGUGGCACCAACCGGUACCAAAGGCCGCCGCUUCCCGCCCUUUGGGCUGCCGAAAAGGAGGCCUUUGGUCCUAGUUGGUGGCACUAACCGGGACUAAAGGGUGCAUUAGUCCCGGUUGAUUUCACGAACCGGGACCAAUGCCUUUGCUAUAUAAGCAAACACUUUGCAAAAUUUCAGAAUCCCAUCGCCAGUUGCCCCCGACGACGCCGACCCUCCUCGACGCUGCCAGGCUGCUCCACCUCGCCGUCGUCGCCGCCACCGCCAAGCCGUCGCCUCCCCGAGCCCGCGCCAUCCUCGUCGCCGGCCUCCCUGAGCCCGCGCCGUCCUCGUCGCCGGUCUCCUCGAGCCCGCUCCCCGUCCCGCCCCCGCGCGCCGCCGCCCCGAGCCCCUGCCCCGUCCUGCCCCCAUGCGCNNNNNNNNNNNNNNNNNNNNNNNNNNNNNNNNNNNNNNNNNNNNNNNNNNNNNNNNNNNNNNNNNNNNNNNNNNNNNNNNNNNNNNNNNNNNNNNNNNNNNNNNNNNNNNNNNNNNNNNNNNNNNNNNNNNNNNNNNNNNNNNNNNNNNNNNNNNNNNNNNNNNNNNNNNNNNNNNNNNNNNNNNNNNNNNNNNNNNNNNNNNNNNNNNNNNNNNNNNNNNNNNNNNNNNNNNNNNNNNNNNNNNNNNNNNNNNNNNNNNNNNNNNNNNNNNNNNNNNNNNNNNNNNNNNNNNNNNNNNNNNNNNNNNNNNNNNNNNNNNNNNNNNNNNNNNNNNNNNNNNNNNNNNNNNNNNNNNNNNNNNNNNNNNNNNNNNNNNNNNNNNNNNNNNNNNNNNNNNNNNNNNNNNNNNNNNNNNNNNNNNNNNNNNNNNNNNNNNNNNNNNNNNNNNNNNNNNNNNNNNNNNNNNNNNNNNNNNNNNNNNNNNNNNNNNNNNNNNNNNNNNNNNNNNNNNNNNNNNNNNNNNNNNNNNNNNNNNNNNNNNNNNNNNNNNNNNNNNNNNNNNNNNNNNNNNNNNNNNNNNNNNNNNNNNNNNNNNNNNNNNNNNNNNNNNNNNNNNNNNNNNNNNNNNNNNNNNNNNNNNNNNNNNNNNNNNNNNNNNNNNNNNNNNNNNNNNNNNNNNNNNNNNNNNNNNNNNNNNNNNNNNNNNNNNCGCUGCAUUGGCUCUGUUUUUUUUUCAUUUUUAUUAGUUUAAUUAUUUUUUUGUUCAUAUAUAUAUAUAUAUAUAUAAUGUAUAUGUGUAUGUAUGUGGCUAUAUAUGUGUAUGUAGAUGUUCAAAAAUUAUUCAGAGCACGUUUUUAUUCAUAUAUGUAUUUUUUGUUCAUAUGUGUAUUAAUGUUUUCAUAUAUGCAAAAGAUAGAUUUUUAGAAAAGUUAGGGUUUUUUUUUCUAUUCAUAGAUUUUUUUGGUGAUAUUAAUUAUUGUAGAAUAUGCAAAUGUUUGUAUAUUCAUAUGAACAAUGCAUUAGGCAAAACCUUUGUUUUUUUUGAAAUUUUUUAUUUGAACAUUUUUUAAAAACAAGCAAUACUAAAAGAAUGAGAGGAAAAAGGAAAAUAAGAAGAGGAAGAAAGGAGAAGAAGAGGAGAGGAAGAAGAGGAGAAAUAAAUAAGAAGAGGAAAAAAGAAGAGGGGAAGAAGAAAGGAAUAGAGGAGAAGAAGAAAAAUAGAAAUUUUCUAUUUUUCUUCUUCUCCUCUAUUCCUUUCUUCUUCUCCUCUUUAUUUUCUUCUUUUUUUUCUUCUUCCUUCUUCCUCUUUUCUUCCUUUUCCUUAUUUUCCUUUCUCGAGGGAGAAGAAGAAAAAGAAGAGUAAAAGAAGAAGAAAGGAAUAGAGGAGAAAGAAGAAACUUCAACACAAGGGGGGGUUACCGAUACCCCCUCCCCGAUAACAUUAUUUUCCCAUGUAUAUGUAUGUCGCGUCAUUGUCGAUAUAACCCCCUCGAGAUAACUUCGACAUGAGGGGCGGUCGAUAUAUAUACCCCCUCUCGACCGUGAUAACUUAUACAACGGCAGCACCCCCCUCGGCCCUCUCGCUCGACCAAAACUCUUGAGGACACCCAAACCCUAGAGAGAAAACGAUGUUGGUCUCCUACCCCCUCCCGCCGCGCCCCUACCCGACAUAUUAACUCUCUCGAGGCCACCCAAAUUUACCAAGUUAAAAGAGCGUUGUCGUCGAGGCCACCCCAAACCCUUGAAGCGUUGUGUCGAGGAGACCCCAAACCCUAGAGAAGCAGCGUCGAGGCCACUAACAUGGAUCGAUCCAUCUGUAAUAAUAAUUGACAUGGUGUAAAUAUUUGCAGAAACUAUGGAGCACUCCCGAGACGAAGAAACAGAAGCGAUGUUGGGGGACAUUAUCGCACAAGGAAGUGAUGAAGUUGCGUCAUUUCUCAACGACACCGAUGGUCAGGAACGACUGGGUGAAGAAGAGGGCUAUGUUCAUGAUGGCUUCGACCCAUUAAUGCCGGUACAAGAAGAGGACUAUGUUCAUGAUGGCUCUGGUGACACAAUGGAGGUACAAGAAGGAGACCGUGCUGACUGCUCCGGUGACCGAACCGAGUCCGGCCAGGUAUAUAUAUAUAUAUUAGUUAAGCCCGUGCUGACUAGUUAAUUGAUGCAUCCAUUGUUUUGGUAUAUGUACACAUAUUAAUUACUCUCGUCUUUCUUCCUUAUAAUUUCUAGCCCUCCGGAUCGAGCACAACUUCGGUAAGAAGACGAAGCCCGAAGAAAAAGUUGAGCUCGGAUGAAAAGUUUGAGAUCAUAGAAAUCGCGCCCGACGGCGAACCGAUUGAACCCAUCCGGACAAGGAAGGCAUUUUCUGCUCAGUGCGGGGUUCUUGUUAGGGACAAGAUCCCGAUCAGCAUCCAUCAAUGGUAUAAGCCUAAGGAGGAAGACCCCGAGGUGUCUUAUGUCAAUGAUAUGCAGAAAGAAGAUCUUUGGACUGAGCUAAAGGCAAAUUUCACCCUACCGCUAGAGGAGGAUCCGGAGAAGCCAGUUAUAGAGCAAUUAAUCAAUUCUUGUGCUCUUAAGAAGAUGGCAACCCUAAUGAGGAGGUGGAGGAAAGAGGUGAACCAGUUUGUCGAGAAAGAUAAGACACCAGAAUUCAUCGGCAAAUAUGAGAAGAUCAAAGAUCACUGGCCCGCAUUUGUGGCCCACAAGACAUCGGAAAAGAGUAAGAAGAUGUCGGCAACAAACAAGAAAAAUUCUGCAAAGAAGAAGCUUCACCAUCGCACGGGGUCAGGUGGCUACCUCAAAGCCCGGCCUAAGUGGUCCAAGGCUGAGCAUGAUCUGCUUGAAAAAGGGAUCGAACCAGAGACAAUGUACUGGCCAGACCGUUGUCGGACUUGGUUCUUCGGGGCUGGCGGAACCUUGGACCCUGUAACAGGGAAGUGCCAGUGGACGGAUGAGCAACUACAAAUACCAGUCAAGAAACUUCGACACUAUAUCGAUGCAGCGUAGCGAGGGACGCUCCUUCCAAACAGGGAGAAGGACGAGCUCACAAUGGCCCUUGGGAAUCCUGAGCACCCUGGAUGGACACGAGGCACGCCAGGCUCCAUUCCAUGGAAGGUUGGUCUUCCGCACACAGGGGGUUACAAAACCCACGAGAGGAGGAAGAAACUGGAGCAGGACCAAAUGCAGGCGCUGCACGAAAGGGUAAUGGGGCUAGAGGAACGAGAAGCAGCAGAUCGCAGCAAACGACAUGCCGAAGCUUCCCCCGAAGCUACCUCGCCAUCUCAGCGGAGAAGCAGCGUGGCUUCCACCGAGCUGCUUCAGCCGGAGCAUGUCUUGACGUCUCCUGCCAGCUAUCCCGUGGAUGGUAUCACGGAGUCUCAAAGUUGCCACAUUAUGACGCAAUGUAUGAAUUUGAAGGUCAAGGCGGCUGUUGGCCAAGUUUAUCCUAGUGGACCCGGCACAACUUAUCACUGCCAGCCGAUUCCAGAAGGAUUUGCUAAGGUGAUGGUGGAUGAAAUAACGGAGGGAUUUGAGGACCUCCUGCUUGAGCACCCUACCGGUGAAGGGGAGACUAGGCUGGGUUCUGCUCUGAAGACUCCAUGCCUAUGGCGGAAGGAGCUCAUCAACCUUCCGAACUGGACGCCUCCGCCUCCUCCUCCUCCUCCGGCGAGUCAGGGCACUCCGCCUCCUCCACCGCCUCCUCCUCCGGCGAGUGAUGAUCAGGGCACACGUGGCAGCACUCCGCCUCCUUCUCCGCCUGCGCCGGCGCGCCCGAGCAGCCAGCCUCCUCCUUCUCCGCCUCGUCAGCAAGGGCGAAAGAGACCCGCCGCUGCUCCGGCUGCUCCGGCGCGUCGUAAUCCUUCUCCUCCGCCUCACAAAAAGCAAGCAAAGAAGACAUCCACUCCGUCUGCUCUGUCGGUGUCUAGCAGUACAGCCAAAGGCGGGAAGAAAUACAGAUUUGGUCCUUCUCCGAAGACUCCAGAGAAGUUACCGUACGAGAGGACCGAGGAGGAAAACGCGGAGAUCACGCAGAACGAACUGGAUGGCUGGUUUGCAGGGUUGAAAGCAAAGAGACAUCCACCUCCGGAGGAGAAGGUAGAUCCGGUGAAAGUGAAGCGCACUCUGGCUGCCCUGAGGAAACCGGCAAAGUCUCCGCCGAGAACCAACUAUGAGCGCAUUACUGAACAGACAUAUCUCCAAGCGGAGCAGUCGGGAAGUACUGUCAGACAUCAAAGAGCAAAAGAACGAGCAGCUGCGAAAAAAGUUGACCAGCUCGGCGAACAACCAAACCAAUCGUGCCCCCCGCUCAAUGUGUCUAGCGGCAACAUCGUCGCUAAUGUUCCGGGGAUCAUGGACGGUUAUGGCAAUCCACAAUAUUACCUGCCUGACGAUGCACUUCCUGAAUUCAUGAUGGUGGAAGAACGCAGAUACGAGUACGGGAAGCCUCUCAUCAAAGAUGUAAAAUCUCUAACAACGAUGAUGCGAAGAUUCCAUACUUGGUACAUGAAAACCUGCAGAGAGUCUGGGGGGACGAAUAGUUUGUAUCUACACAUUAAAGAGGAGCACGACCUCGUUGGAACUGAUCUGUUGUGUGUUCCAUUUGAGGAGUUCUUCGCGUUCUUCAAUCAAAUAGCCCUCGAUAAAUUAACGGUCUUUUGCUACUGCCUGUAAGUACUAUUUCUGUCAUUAAGUCUCUAUAUAUAGCUUGGCUUUCAUUACAUGUAUUUAUAAUUAAUUAUCCUCAAUAUAUUAUGCAGAUUGAAGAUCGUCGAGUGCAAAAAAAUGAAAUCUAUGAUAUUGGGUUCAUUAACACAAAUAUCAUAGAUGUAUUUCUGGUUGAAAAGCACAUCGAAGAGGCCGAGGACAACUUGCUACGAUCAUUGAUCAAAAAUCAAAACAAAGAUACCAUACUCUUUCCUUACAACACCAAGUGAGUGUUACUGAUCAUUUGCAUAUUCGGUUUCCCUUAUUACUCGAGCGAGGUUAUAGUAAUGUAAUUGAUGAGUUAUGCAUGUGUGCGCAGGUACCACUAUAUUCUUCUGGAGAUUAAGCUUGAGCGUGGACUAGUAACCGUCUUAGACUCGAGACGGAAAGAUCCCAGCACCUAUGCGGACAUGACUGAAAUGCUCAGCAAGUAAGUUCAAUCGAUCAUUAUCGCACCAUAGCGGCAACUUUUUGUUCAUUUCCUGAUAUCUCAAGUAAUAAUAAUUAUUUUCUUUGUCUUGCAGGGUUUGGAAACAGUUCACCACAGUAGCUCGGGGACUGCCGAAGGAGCUGCGAUAUAUAUACCCGAAAGUAAGUACUACUGGCUAGCUAGUUGUGUGCAUCUCCUGUUGAUUCUAUAGCUAUACUUUCAUCACAUUUAUAAUGCUUCAUUAUCAGUUUGAUAGACCUCUAUUUCUCGUAAAGUGCUUGUGGUAGGAACAAGGGAAUGAUUUCUAUAGAUACUACGUGUGCGAGUUCAUCUACAACGCGACUUUGAAAAAUAAGCGGGGCUACUCUCAAAGACAAUAUGAAGUGCGUAAGCAAUUAAUAAUAUUCACAAUUUCUGUUGAGUUUCAUUCAUAUAUAUAUAUAUAUAUAUAUAUAUAUAUAUAUAUGUAUUAAUUAACCCCCUUCUUCAAAUUAGACGUGGCAGAUGCGGAAUGAACUCCUAGAACCAGAUCGCAUGAAAGGAAUUCAAGAGGAAUUGGCGGGAUUCUUUCUUGACCACGUCAUCAAUAAAGCCGGAGAAUACCAUGUGGAACUUGAUUUCAAAUGCUAGGGGACUGUAAUUGAGAGAUCUUAUAUAUUGUACAUGUUGUAUGUAGCCAGUAGCGUCGGACAUACAUGAUACAAAAACUUGUUGUUUGACCAAUCUCUCGGAGAAGGAGACGUCGAUCGAUCACUUCUCUCGGUAUGCAUGACGAACUUCUGUACUUAAUGGUUUCCUUCAUUUUCUUACUAGCUAGCGUGUCGAGAGCCUCUCUAUGUAUAGUACGUAGCGUCGACCAAGCACGGACAUAAGAGAGGACACUUCUCUCUAUUAAUUAGCUAGCUAACACAAUAUAUGAAACACCUAAAUUAACCCCCAAAACCNNNNNNNNNNNNNNNNNNNNNNNNNNNNNNNNNNNNNNNNNNNNNNNNNNNNNNNNNNNNNNNNNNNNNNNNNNNNNNNNNNNNNNNNNNNNNNNNNNNNNNNNNNNNNNNNNNNNNNNNNNNNNNNNNNNNNNNNNNNNNNNNNNNNNNNNNNNNNNNNNNNNNNNNNNNNNNNNNNNNNNNNNNNNNNNNNNNNNNNNNNNNNNNNNNNNNNNNNNNNNNNNNNNNNNNNNNNNNNNNNNNNNNNNNNNNNNNNNNNNNNNNNNNNNNNNNNNNNNNNNNNNNNNNNNNNNNNNNNNNNNNNNNNNNNNNNNNNNNNNNNNNNNNNNNNNNNNNNNNNNNNNNNNNNNNNNNNNNNNNNNNNNNNNNNNNNNNNNNNNNNNNNNNNNNNNNNNNNNNNNNNNCCCCCUGCCUGGGCUCGGCGCGUGGAUGCCUUUUGGUCCCGGUUGGUGCCACCAACCGGGACCAAAGGCCCCCCUGCCUGGGCUCGGCGCACAGGCCACGUGGAGGACCAUCUAUCCCGGUUCGUGUUACAACCGGGACUAAAGGGGGGAGGUAUUAGUAACGACCCAUUAGUCCCGGUUCAUGAACCGGGAGUAAAGGCCCUCACGAACCGGGACUAAUAGGUGUUUGUCUACUAGUGAUAAGCCUAUGACUUAUGAAGUUGGUGAGAAGGCUUACCUUCGGGUUACACCUUUAAAGGGAACCCAUCGAUUCGGUAUCAAGGGCAAGUUGGCCCCUUGUUACAUUGGACCCUUUUGCAUUCUUGCCAAACGAGGGGAAGUUGCCUACCAGUUGGAACUACCUCCACAUCUUUCUAGAGUUCAUGAUGUCUUCCACGUCUCUCAACUCAGGCAUUGCUUCUCGAAUCAUAUCCGCGAAGUAGACCAUGAAACGCGUGAUCUCCAAGAAAAUCUCACUUAUCGAGAAUAUCCAAUUCGCAUCCUUGAUCAAGCCGAGCGUACCACUCGACGCCAGAAUAUCAAGUUUCUCAAGGUUCAAUGGUCACACCACUCCGAUCAAGAAGCAACUUGGGAAAGGGAGGAUCAUCUACGACUUGAGUAUCCCACCUUCUUCCCGAUAGACCCUAAAUCUCGGGAUGAGAUUCUUUUGAGUGGGGGUGAGUUGUCACAACCUAGCUAGUCCAUGCAUUAGAGUGUUGCAUCAUGUCUACCUUUUAUCAGAAACUUGAAUUGGGGAAGACAGAACCCCCCCAGAACCCCUCUAAAUUCAACUAGUGCUUACUAAAAAUAUUUUCAAUGAACCUGAAAUGCCCUUCUAAAAAGUUCACCCUCUUUGUCUUGGGUUAGAACCUCUGGCAAAAUUGGUGCACAAUUUUCUAGGUCAACAGAAGGCCAUUGAAUUAAAUCAUAUCUACUUUGAGUUUGGGCAUUUAAACUAUAUAAAAUAUUUCAAAUGCUCAAAUAACUCCAAACUAAAAUGUUCCAUACUGGAUAUAUUCCAACUAGCGACCAUGUGCAGUUUGGUGAUUUUUGGAGUUGCCUAAGUAUUUUUAGAAAUGCAACAAACUUACAGAAACAAUUAAAAACAGAAACAAAUGGGGAAAAAACCCUUACCUGGCCGAACCAAGCCCCAGCCCAGCUGGCCGGCCCAGCACUGUGCUGGCCCAUGCCAGCCAGCUGCUUUGCCAUCGCCACGCAGGCACAGAGCUGACGCCAGCGAGUGUGAGCUCGCCACGGCGCCAACUGCUUGCCGCCCGCGCCACCGAGCACCUGGGUGAGCUCCACGUCGCCACCCCGACCCCGUGGACACCUCAUUCGCCCCCCUGCCUCUUCCCUCGCUCUCCCGCACCAUGGCCGACGCACCCGUCGCCGCACCGCCGACGUAGUCGCGCCCUCCAUCGUCCCCGUGCUGCACCACCGUGUCCCUUCGCUCCGUCGUCAUCAACUACAUCGAGCAGGCCGAGCCCCGAGCGCUCGUGGGCCUUGCUUCGUCUUCUUUGACCUCAUCUUCACCGAGCACCACCGCAGAUCCCCUUCGCCGUCGCCGCUGCACCAGCUCGUCCCCGACCUCGCCGACCACUCCGUUGUGACCGCCGUGAGCUCAGCCACCUCCCCAUCCUCCCCGUUUGCCUUCUCGUGCACCGUAGCAGCCGCAUGGAGCUUCAUCGCACGCACCACCGCCGAGCUCGUCGCCGACGUGCCUCCGGCCAUCCACCGUCCACACCACGGUAUCUAACAUGCUCAUUGCAUCGCGUAGAGUCUAACGCCCCACUCCACGCGCCUCGCCGUGCCCCGUAGCCACGGGUCAAUUUUCACCCGACUCCGGCGACCGUCGCGGUCGUCGCUGCCGACGUUCCUGGCCACCUCGACCUCAACCACCACCACCAAACGCCGCGGCUUGUUCCUGGCUACACGUAGAUGGUCUUCGCCGUCCAUUUGGUCGCCGGAACGUGCUAACCCACUUCCUCUGCCGCAUCUGGCCUCGCCAGCGGCUAGACGCCGGCGUGUUUGACCCGUUGACGUUGACUGGGUGGGCCAGGUUGACUCCCCUGAGUCUAUGACAAGUGGGCCCCCCCCUCUGCUAAUUAACCUAGUUUAGUUCUUACUAAAAUCAGUUAGUUUAAAUAAGUGCUGACAUGCGGGACCCACUGGUCAGUUUGACCUGAACGACCCCUUUGACCAUUGACGUCACCCUGAUGCACUGCUGACGCAAUAACCAAUUUCUGGAUUUAUUGUUAUAUAGGAAAUUCCAGAAAUUGUUGCAAACUUCAAAAAUUCAUAGAAAUUAAUCUGUAACUCCAAAUGCAAAGAUUUAUAUAUGAAUUUCGAUCAAAAAAAUUCAAUAUAUCCAUUGGUAAUGGUUUCAUGCAUGUCAGAACAAGUUAACCUUGUUGUUUAAUCAAAACAAGUUAAUGCACUAAUAUGACUAUGUUAAAUGAACUACCAUUUGCAUCUUUGAUUCAAAUGAGUUCAUACCUUUCUGUUCUAGCUUGCAUUAGGCCAGGACACAUUCAUGUUGCCAUGUCAUAGCAUGCAUCAUAUUGUUGCAUAUCGUCAUGUGUGGUUCAUGUUCGGUGUGUUUUCGUGAUAGGUUCUGCCUCCGAGGAUAACCCCGAAUAUCCGUCUGAAGGGCAGUAUCCUACUACCACUACAUCAGGCAAGCAACCCAUUGAUCAUUCUGAUACAAACCCAUGUUCUCGCCUCUGCUCUUGUUUACUGCAUUAAGAUAACGCGAUUCAAACUGUUGUGUGUUGUGGUAGUUGAACCCACUUCCUUUGCAUGACCUGUCAUUGCCACGGUAACUAGAUGAAACCCACUAGCAUGUGUAGGAGUUGAUUGAGCCAUAUCUGUGUUACCUACCAUGCUAUGCUUGCUAUGCUUAGAGUUGUGUCAGGUCUGGCUCAUCAGGAUGAUGAACUAGAGUGAAAGGUUGUGUCGGUAACGAGAGUGAAGUGUUGAACACGAUUUGGUAAAGGUAUCGAUGAGAGGCCAUGUAGGAGUACAUGGUGGGUUGUUUCAUUGAGGCCGUCCUUAAGCACUGAGAUCUGUGUGUGUGAUUUAAGAUUCAGCUACUACCACGCAUUGGGCCCAAAACCAAUGGACCCUCUCGACUUAUUAACCACUCUUGUCCUCAGUCCGGGAGUUGCAAGUAGUUUCUGGUGUUUGUAGCAUGCUGGGGGCCGCACGCAGCGCUGACCUUAGGGGUGGGUUGUGUUGCGGUAGGCACGUGGCACGGUGUAUCGAUUCGCCCGUUUGGUGUCUCGGGAACCCUGUUCACAUCGUUCGGGGCCGUUAGUGGAAACCUCGGCCGGACUCCCUGCGGAUGGAACCCAAAUAGGCGAUAAACCUGGACUAGGGACUCGUGUGUUUAGUCAGGCCAUGGCCGACACCCUUGCUGGGCUUCCGCUUGAAGGUUGCCGAGUACACGUCAUGUAGUGGCGAUAAGUGGUGAGAGCGUGUGUGAAGAAGUACACCCCUGCAGGGUACAAAACUAUUCGAAUAGCCGCGUCCACGGUAAAGGACUACUUGGUCACCUAUACAGUUCAUAGACAAGUAAAUGGAUACUUCUAAAAGCCUCAAGAUAAGUGUGAGUGCCGCGGAUGGCCCUGUCGUAGGUUGACGAGAGAGGAUCCACGGUGGAGUAUUGUGUUGGUGAGUAGUGGACUCGUGUGCGACAAAUGUUUUGCAAGUUGUGUCUAUCGUUGGAUAGCUUAGCCAAGAGUCAAAGCUGGCUUGCUGCAAUAACUCCACUACCUUCUUGAGAAUGUGCAUGUAUGAUAGGAUUCUGUUGUAAGACUUGCUGAGUACCUCUGUACUCAUGUUUGCUUAAUUAAUGUUUUCAGACGACAACACCAACCCCUCCGAUGGGUUCUACGUAGACCUCGACGUUGACGAGUGACUAGCCACCCAAGUGGUGAUCCAAGACUUGUGAAGGGCCGAUGUAGAUAGAAAGGCUUCAUCAAGCCCUCUUUCUUUCUAGUGUCUGUACUCAGACUAGUUGCUUCCGCAUGUGCUUGUAUGCUUGUAUGACUUGAGUGUCAGGUCAUGUGACCCCUAUCUGUAUGAACAUGUUAUGUAUGGCUCCUCGGAGCCACUUAAAUAAAGUACUUUGAGUUGUAGAGUUUUGUUGUGAUGCCAUGUUGUAUGUACUCAUAUCGGGCAUAUUGUGUGUAUGUUUGAAAUGCUUGGUAUGAGUGGGAUCCGACAAUCUAGUUGUUUAUCCUUGGCAGCCUCUCAUAUGGGGAAAUGUAGUCUAGUGCUUCUUGAGCGAUAGUAGUCCGCUACAGCCCGGUUCACCGGAGUCCUGCUAGCCCAGUACUACUGCUCUGGACACUUGACUGGCCGGCAUGUGUUUCACUUUGUUCCUGUGUCUGUCCCUUCGGGGAAAUGUCAAGCGGUGGCAUCCGGAGUCCUGCCUAGCCUGCUACAGCCCGGGUUACCGGAGUCCUGUUAGCCCAGCGUUACAUCCCGGAUGUAUACGUUGAUGACCAACAUGCUCGAUGUGAUUCAUGUAUGCAUGUCCCCAUAGGUUAGCGCCGCUUGGGUUCACGACUAGCCAUGUCGGCCCGGGUUCUCAGUCAUGUGGAUGCUAGCGACACUAUCAUAUACGUGAGCCAAAAGGCGCAAACGGUCUCGGGCCAUGGUAAGGCGCCACCCGUGGGAUUACCGUGCGUGAGGCCGCAAAGUGAUAUGAGGUGUUACCGGCUGGAUCAAUGUGACUUGGAAUCGGGGUCCUGACAAUUACUUGCUCCUAUCAUAUGUUUGGUUGCAACAAUGUCACUUCUUCACAUAUGCCAUGUCCCAUUGCUUGUCUCAUGCUUGACUUCAUUGCCUCACACAUGAUGAACAAUUGCUCUUUAUAUUGUGUUGAGUGUUACACUAUAUUCACUACAUCCUAUGCACGUUAUGUUUGGAUUGUCUUGCACUUGACCCAUGUGUUUAGACACUUCAUUUUAUUUGGUGUUGUGAAUCCUUCCUAUGCCUACCAUAGACCUUUCAUUGAGCAAUUUGUGAAUGCUUGCUAUGACCUCGAGGUAGAUGCUUAUGCUCUUGUCACACAUAUUUGCAUCUCUACCUCACAUUUACAUGCUUGUUCCCAUGAUAUUUUUGCUUGUGCUCGAUUGAUAUGCUUACAUGCCAUGUCACAAUCCUUUGUCACACCCUAUGCUAUGCUUGAUGACAACACUUGUUUGGUGAAUCACCUCUUGAAUGCUUGGUUUUGCACGAACGCAAACCACAUUUGUUUUUCCACGGGUUUGUUCUAUUUGCUCCUUUUGAAGGAAUCACAAGAUGGUGCGACACUGGAGAGUGCCCACUUCGAGCUACUAGACGAUGAGUGCUUGGUGAUCGACCACUUCGAUAUGGCACCGCCAUCUCUUUCCUAUGGUGAUUUGGUUUUCGAUCCGAGGUCGAAUCCUUCUCAAGGGGGAGGGGAUGAUGCGGAGCAUCCUAUGGACAUCACCAUGUCAAGAGUCCAUUCGGCAAGUGACACGUGCGACAUCUACUUCUCAUACAUAAAGGUGAAUCUUCUCCUUUACACGUGUUCACUUGACCCCUUCGAGGAUGGUAUACUACUUGACACUUCUCCCGUGUGCAUGCAUAGGUAUUGUCAGAGCUUUACGGAUGUCGAGGAGUGCAAGCGCCAAGGAACGACUACACCGUCCGCGAGGGAAGCAUGGAAGAGAAGGAGGAAGAGAACCUGGUGUUGGGGAACGUAGUAAUUUCAAAAUUUUCCUACGCACAUGCAAGAUCAUGGUGAUGAUAUAGCAACGAGGGGAGAGUGUUGUCUACGUACCCUCGUAGACCGAAGCGGAAGCGUUGACGCAGCGUAGAGGAAGUAGUCCUACGUCCUCCCGGUCCGACCGAUCCAAGCACCGUUACUCCGGCACCUCUGAGUUCUUGACACACGUACAGCUCGAUGACGCACCCUCGAUCUCCAAUCCAGUAGAGGCUCCAAGGGGGAGUUCCGUCAGCACGACGGCGUGGUGACUAUCUUGAUGUUCUCCUGUCGCAGGGCUUCGCCUAAGCACCGCUACAAUAUGACCGAGGUGUAAUAUCGUGGAGGGGGGCACCGCACACGGCUAAGGAACGAUCAAUGAUCAACUUGUGUGUUCUAGGGUGCCCCCUACCCCCGUAUAUAAAGGAGGGAGGGAGGAGGUGGCCGACCCAAGGAGGGGGCGCGCCAUGGGAGGAGGAAACCUACUCCAAGUAGGUUUCCCCUCUUUUUCCUUAUCUUAUUUGGAGGGGGAAGGAAGGAGUACUAGUAGUAGGAAGGAGUACUAGUAGUAGGAAAGGAAGAGGGGGAAGGAGAAAGGAAAGGGGGGGCCGGCCCCCCUCCCCAAUUCGGAUUGGGCUUGGGGGGGCGCGCCCCCCUCCCUUGCUCCUUCUCCCUUCCUCCUACAUGGGCCCAAUAAGGCCCAUAUACCUCCCGGGGGGGUUUCGGUAACCUCCCGGAGCUCCAAACUCUUCCGGAACCUUUCCGGUGUCCAAAUAUAUCCGUCCAAUAUAUCGAUCUUUAUGUAUCGACCAUUUCGAGACUCCUCGUCAUGUCCGUGAUCAUAUCCGGGACUCCGAACAAACUUCGGUACAUCAAAAUACAUAAACUCAUAAUAUAACUGUCAUCGAAACCUUAAGCGUGCGGACCCUACGGUUCGAGAACGAUGUAGACAUGACCGAGACAUGUCUCUGGUCAAUAACCAAUAGCGGGACCUGGAUGCCCAUAUUGGUUCCUACAUAUUCUACGAAGAUCUUUAUCGGUCAAACCGCAUAACAGCAUACGUUGUUCCCUUUGUCAUUGGUAUGUUACUUGUCCGAGAUUUGAUCGUCGGUAUCCAAUACCUAGUUCAAUCUCGUUACCGACAAGUCUCUUUACUCGUUCUGUAAUACUUCAUCUCAUAACUAACUCAUUAGUUAUAUGCUUGCAAGGCUUAUGUGAUGAGCAUUACCGAGAGGGCCCAGAGAUACCUCUCCGACAAUCGGAGUGACAAAACCUAAUCUCGAAUUAUGCUAACUCAACAUGUACCUUCGGAGACACCUGUAGUACUCCUUUAUAAUCACCCAGUUACGUUGUGACGUUUGGUAGUACCCAAAGUGUUCCUCCGAUAAACGGGAGUUACACAAUUCUCAUAGUUACAGGAACAUGUAUAAGUCAUGAAGGAAGCAAUAGCAGAAUACUAAACGAUCAAGUGCUAAGCUAACGGGAUGGGUCAUGUCAAUCACAUCAUUCUCCUAAUGAUGUGAUCCCAUUAAUCAAAUGACAACACAUGUCUAUGGUUAGGAAACAUAACCAUCUUUGACUAAUGAGCUAGUCAAGUAGAGGCAUACUAGUGACUAUAUGUUUGUCUAUGUAUUCACACAUGUAUCAUGUUUCCGGUUAAUACAAUUCUAGCAUGAAUAAUAAACAUUUAUCAUGAUAUGAGGAAAUAAAUAAUAACUUUAUUAUUGCCUCUAGGGCAUAUUUCCUUCAGUCUCCCACUUGCACUAGAGUCAAUAAUCUAGUUCACAUCGCCAUGUGAUUUAACACCAAUAUUCAUAUCUGUAUAUGAUUAACACCCAUAGUUCACAUCAUCAUGUGACCAACAUCCAAAGUGUUUACUAGAGUCAAUAAUCUAGUUCACAUCGCUAUGUGAUUAACACCCAAAGAGUACUAAGGUGUGAUCAUGUUUUGCUCGUGAGAGAAGCUCAGUCAACGGGUCUGUCACAUUCAGAGCCAUAUGUAUUUUGCAAAUAUUCUAUGUCUACAAUGCUCUGCACGGAGCUACUCUAGCUAAUCGCUCCCACUUUCAAUAUGUAUCCAGAUUGAGACUUAGAGUCAUCUGGAUCGGUGUGAAAACUUGCACCGAGAUAACUUUUACGACGGGCUCUUUUAUCACCUCCAUAAUCGAGAAAUAUUUCCUUAGUCCUCACUAAGGAUAUUCUUGACCAAUGUCCAGUGAUCUACUCCUAGAUCACUAUUGUACUCCCUUGUCAAAUACAGAGCAAGGUAUACAAUAGGUCUGGUACAUAGCAUGGCAUACUUUAUAGAACCUAUGACUGAGGCAUAGGGAAUGACUUUUCAUUCUCUUUCUAUUUUCUGCUGUGGUCGGGAUUUGAGUCUUACUCAAUUUCAUACCUUUGCAACACAGGCAAGAACUCUUUCUUUGACUGUUCCAUUUUGAACUACUUCAAAAUCUUGUCAAGGUAUGUACUCAUUGAAAAUCUUAUCAAGCGUCUUGAUCUAUCUCAAUAGAUCUUGAUGCUCAAUAUGUAUGUAGUUUUACUGAGGUCUUUCUUUGAAAAAACUCUUAUUCAAGUAUCCUUUAAUGCUUUGCAGAAUAAUUCUACAUUAUUUCCGAUCAGCAAUAUGUCAUUCACAUAUACUUAUCAGAAAUGCUGUAGUGCUCCCACUCACUUUCUUGUAAAUACAGGCUUCACCGCAAGUCUGUAUAAUACUAUAUGCUUUGAUCAACUUAUCAAAGCGUAUAUUCCAACUCUGAGAUGCUUGCACCAGUCCAUAGAUGGAUUGCUGGAGCUUGCACAUUUUGUUAGCACCUUUAGGAUUGACAAAACCUUCUGGUUGUAUCAUAUACAACUCUUCUUUAAUAAAUUCAUUAAGGAAUGUAGUUUUGACAUCCAUUUGCCAAAUUUCAUAAAAUGUGGCAAUUGCUAACAUGAUUCGGACAAACUUUUAAGCAUCGAUACGAGUAAGAAAAUCUCAUCGUAUUCAACACCUUGAACUUUGUCAAAAACCUUUUUUCGACAAGUCUAGCUUUGUAGAUAGUAACACUACUAUCAACGUCCGUCUUCCUCUUGAAGAUCCAUUUAUUCUUAAUGACUCACUGAUCAUCGGGCAAGUCAAUCAAAGUCUACACUUUGUUCUCAUACAUGGAUCAUAUCUCAGAUUUCAUGGCCCCAAGCCAUUUCGUGGAAUCUGGGCUCAUCAUCGCUUCCUCAUAGUUCGUAGGUUCAUCAUGGUCUAGUAACAUGACUUCCAGAACAUGAUUACCGUACCACUCUGGUGCGGAUCUUACUCUGGAAGACCUACGAGGUUUGGUAGCAACUUGAUCUGAAGUUUGAUGAUCAUCAUCAUUAACUUCCUCACUAAUUGGUGUAGGAAUCACUGGAACUGAUUUCUGUGAUGAACUACUUUCCAAUAAGGGAGAAGGUACAAUUACCUCAUCAAGUUUUACUCUCCUCCCACUCACUUCUUUCGAGAGAAACUCCUUCUCUGGAAAGGAUCCAUUUUAGCAACGAAUGUCUUGCCUUCGGAUCUGUGAUAGAAGGUGUACCCAACAAUUUCCUUUGGGUAUUCUAUGAAGACGCACUUCUCCGAUUUGGGUUCGAGCUUAUCAGGAUGAAACUUUUUCACAUAAGCAUCGCAGCCCCAAACUUUAAGAAACAACAGCUUAGGUUUACUGCUAAACCAUAGUUCAUACGGUGUCGUCUCAACGGAUUUAAAUGGUGCCCUAUUUUAAAACGUGAAUGCAGCUGUCUCUAAUGCAUAACCCCAAAACGAUAGUGGUAAAGAGACAUCAUAGAUCGCACCAUAUCAAAUAAAGUGCGGUUACGACGUUCGGACACACCAUAACGAUGUGGUGUUCCAGGUGGUGUGAGCUGUGAAACUAUUCCACAUUGUUUUAAUUGAAGACCAAACUCGUAACUCAAAUAUUUGUCUCCGCUAUCAGAUCGCAGAAACUUUAUUUUCUUGUUACGAUGAUUUUUCCACUUCACUCUGAAAUUCUUUGAACCUUUCAACUAUUUCAGACUUAUGUUUCAUCAAGUAGAUAUACCCAUAUCUGCUCAAAUCAUCUUGUGAAGGUCAGAAAAUAACGAUACUUGCCACGAGCCUCAACACUCAUUGGAUCGCAUACAUCGGUAUGUAUUAUUUCCAAUAAGUCAGUAGCUUGUUCCAUUAUUCCGGAGAACGGAGUUUUAGUCAUCUUGCCCAAAAGGCACGGUCCGCAAGCAUCAAAUGAUUCAUAACCAAGUGAUUCCGAAAAUCCAUCUUUAUGGAGUUUCUUCAUGCGCUUUACACCGAUAUGACCCAAACGGCAGUGCCACAAAUAAGUUGCACUAUCAUUAUUAACUUUGCAUCUUUUGGCUUCAAUAUUAUGAAUGUGUGUAUCACACGAUCGAGAUCCAACAAACCAUUUUCAUUGGGUGUAUAACCAUAGAAAGUUUUAUUCAUGAAAACAGAACAACAAUUAUUCUCUAACUUACAUGAAUAACCGUAUUGCAAUAAACAUGAUCAAAUCAUAUUCAUUCUCAACGCAAACACCAAAUAACACUUAUUUAGGUUUAACACUAAUCCCGGAAGUAUAGGGAGUGUGCGAUGAUGAUCAUAUCAAUCUUGGAACUAUUUCCAACACACAUCGUCACUACACUCUUAACUAGUCUCUGUUUAUUCUGCAACUCCCGUUUCGAGUUACUAAUCUUAGCAACCGAACAAGUAUCAAAUACUUAGGGGCUACUAUAAACACUAGUAUGGAACACAUCAAUAAUCUGUAUAUCAAAUAUACCCUUGUUCACUUUGCCAUCCUUCUUAUCAACCAAAUAUUCAGGGCAUUUCCGCUUCCAGUGACCAUUUCCUUUGCAGUGUAAACACUCAGUUUCAGGCUAUGGUCCAGCUUUGGGCUUGUCUUUCCACUUGAAGUUCCCUUUCUUUCCCUUUGCCCUUCUCUUGAAACUAGUGGUCUUGUCAAUCAUCAACACUUGAUGCUCUUUCUUGAUUUCUACCUUCGUCGAUUUCAACAUCACGAAGAGCUCGGGAAUCAUUUUUUCGUCAUCCCUUGCAUACUAUAGUUCAUCACGAAGUUCUAGUAACUUAGUGAUGGUGACUAGAGAAUUCUGUCAAUCACUAUCUUAUCUGGAAGAUUAACUCCCACUUGAUUCAAGCGAUUGAAGUACCCAGACAAUCUGAGCACAUGCUCACUAGUUGAGCGAUUCUCCUCCAUCUUUUAGCUAUAGAACUUGUUGGAGACUUCAUAUCUCUCAACUCGGGUAUUUGCUUGAAAUAUUAACUUCAAUUCCUGGAACAUCUCAUAUGGUCCAUGAUGUUCAAAACAUCUUUGAAGUCCCGAUUCUAAGCCGUUAAGCAUGGUGCACAAAACUAUCAAGUAGUCAUCAUAUUGAGCUAGCCAAACGUUCAUAACGUCUACAUUUGCUCCUGCAUUAGGUCUUUCACCUAGCGGUGCAUUAAGGACAUAAUUCUUCUGUGCAGCAAUGAGGAUAAACCUCAGAUCACGGAUCCAAUCCGCAUCAUUGCUACUAACAUCUUUCAACACAGUUUUCUCUAGGAACAUAUCAAAAUAAACAUAUGAAAGCAACAACGCGAGCUAUUGAUCUAUAACACAAUUUGCAAAAUACUACCAGGACUAAGUUCAUGAUAAAUUAAAGUUCAAUUAAUCAUAUUACUAAAGAACUCCCACUUAGACAGACAUCUCUCUAGUCAUCUAAGUGAUCACGUGAUCCAAAUCAACUAAACCAUGUCCGAUCAUCACGUGAGAUGGAGUAGUUUCAAUGGUGAACAUCGCUAUGUUGAUCAUAUCUACUAUAUGAUUCACGCUCGACCUUUCGGUCUCCGUGUUCCGAGGCCAUAUCUGUAUAUGCUAGGCUCGUCAAGUAUAACCUGAGUAUUCCGCAUGUGCAACUGUUUUGCACCCGUUGUAUUUGAACGUAGAGCCUAUCACACCCGAUCAUCACGUGGUGUCUCAGCACGAAGAACUUUCGCAACGGUGCAUACUCAGGGAGAACACUUCUUGAUAAUUAGUGAUAGAUCAUCUUAAAAUGCUACCGUCAAUCAAAGCAAGAUAAGAUGCAUAAAGGAUAAACAUCACAUGCAAUCAAUAUAAGUGAUAUGAUAUGGCCAUCAUCAUCUUGUGCUUGUGAUCUCCAUCUCCGAAGCACCGUCGUGAUCACCAUCGUCACCGGCGCGACACCUUGAUCUCCAUCGUAGCAUCGUUGUCGAUUACGCCAUCUAUUGCUUCUACGACUAUCGCUACCGCUUAGUGAUAAAGUAAAGCAAUUACAGGGCGUUUCCAUUUCAUACAAUAAAGUGACAACCAUAUGGCUCCUGCCAGUUGCCGAUAACUUCGGUUACAAAACAUGAUCAUCUCAUACAAUAAAAUAUAGCAUCACGUCUUGGCCAUAUCACAUCACAACAUGCCCUGCAAAAACAAGUUAGACGUCCUCUACUUUGUUGUUGCAAAUUUUACGUGGCUGCUACGGGCUUAGCAAGAACCGUUCUUACCUACGCAUCAAAACCACAACGAUAGUUUGUCAAAUAGACUCCGUUUUAACCUUCACAAGGACCGGGCGUAGCCACACUCGGUUCAACUAAAGUUGGAGAAACAGACACCCGCCAGUCACCUGUGUGCAAAGCAUGGCGGUAAAACCAGUCUCGCGUAAGCGUACGCGUAAUGUCGGUCCGGGCCGCUUCAUCCAACAAUACCGCUGAACCAAAGUAUAACAUGCUGGUAGGCAGUAUGACUUAUAUCGUCCACAACUCACUUGUGGUCUACUCGUGCAUAUAACAUCAACGAAUAAAACCUAGGCUCUGAUGCCACUGUUGGGGAACGUAGUAAUUUCAAAAUUUUCCUACGCACAUGCAAGAUCAUGGUGAUGAUAUAGCAACGAGGGGAGAGUGUUGUCUACGUACCCUCGUAGACCGAAGCGGAAGCGUUGACGCAACGUAGAGGAAGUAGUCGUACGUCCUCCCGGUUCGACCGAUCCAAGCACCGUUACUCCGGCACCUCCGAGUUCUUGACACACGUACAGCUCGAUGACGCACCCUCGAUCUCCAAUCCAGUAGAGGCUCCGAGGGGGAGUUCCGUCAGCACAACAGCGUGGUGACUAUAUUGAUGUUCUCCUGUCGCAGGGCUUCGCCUAAGCACCGCUACAAUAUGACCGAGGUGUAAUAUCGUGGAGGGGGGCACCGCACACGGCUAAGGAACGAUCAAUGAUCAACUUGUGUGUUCUAGGGUGCCCCCCUACCCCCGUAUAUAAAGGAGGGAGGGAGGAGGUGGCCGGCCCAAGGAGGGGGCGCGCCAUGGGAGGAGGAAACCUACUCCAAGUAGGUUUCCCCUCUUUUUCCUUAUCUUAUUUGGAGGGGGAAGGAAGGAGUACUAGUAGUAGGAAGGAGUACUAGUAGUAGGAAAGGAAGAGGGGGAAGGAGAAAGGAAAGGGGGGGCCGGCCCCCUCCCCAAUUCGGAUUGGGCUUGGGGGGGCGCGCCCCCCUCCCUUGCUCCUUCUCCCUUCCUCCUACAUGGGCCCAAUAAGGCCCAUAUACCUCCCGGGGGGUUCCGGUAACCUCCCGAAGCUCCAAACUCUUCCGGAACCUUUCCGGUGUCCAAAUAUAUCCGUCCAAUAUAUCAAUCUUUAUGUCUCGACCAUUUCGAGACUCCUCGUCAUGUCCGUGAUCACAUCCGGGACUCCGAACAAACUUUGGUACAUCAAAAUACAUAAACUCAUAAUAUAACUAUCAUCGAAAACUUAAGCGUGCGGACCCUACGGUUCGAGAACGAUGUAGACAUGACCGAGACAUGUCUCUGGUCAAUAACCAAUAGUGGGACCUGGAUGCCCAUAUUGGUUCCUACAUAUUCUACGAAGAUCUUUAUCGGUCAAACCGCAUAACAGCAUACGUUGUUCCCUUUGUCAUCGGUAUGUUACUUGUCCGAGAUUUGAUCGUCGGUAUCCAAUACCUAGUUCAAUCUCGUUACCGACAAGUCUCUUUACUCAUUCUGUAAUACUUCAUCUCAUAACUAACUCAUUAGUUAUAUGCUUGCAAGGCUUAUGUGAUGAGCAUUACCGAGAGGGCCCAGAGAUACCCCUCCGACAAUCGGAGUGACAAAACCUAAUCUCGAAUUAUGCUAACUCAACAUGUACCUUCGGAGACACCUGUAGUACUCCUUGAUAAUCACCCAGUUACGUUGUGACGUUUGGUAGUACCCAAAGUGUUCCUCCGGUAAACGGGAGUUACACAAUUCUCAUAGUUACAGGAACAUGUAUAAGUCAUGAAGGAAGCAAUAGCAGAAUACUAAACGAUCAAGUGCUAAGCUAACGGGAUGGGUCAUGUCAAUCACAUCAUUCUCCUAAUGAUGUGAUCCCAUUAAUCAAAUGACAACACAUGUCUAUGGUUAGGAAACAUAAUCAUCUUUGACUAAUGAGCUAGUCAAGUAGAGGCAUACUAGUGACUAUAUGUUUGUCUAUGUAUUCACACAUGUAUCAUGUUUCCGGUUAAUACAAUUCUAGCAUGAAUAAUAAACAUUUAUCAUGAUAUGAGGAAAUAAAUAAUAACUUUAUUAUUGCCUCUAGGGCAUAUUUCCUUCACCUGGCCGCUCCAGAACGAGCGGUACUACCGCCCACUCCAAGCGGUACUACCGCUGAGGCCACCCAAGAGGCACUACCGCCCAGCAUCCGCCCUACUACCGCUCAACCCGACAAACUCCAGUGAUCGAGCGGUAUAAGCCCGGUACUACCGCCCCUCCAAGCGGUACUACCGCUCAAGCGGUACUACCACCCAUGAGUCCGGUACUACCGCCCUGCUUGUGAGCAGCCGCGGGCCUUUGGCCUUGUAUCCCUCUCCCACUUACCCCUUCGUGGCUUAGACUAUAAAUAGACCACCUCCACCUCCUUUCUAGGGUUAGAACAGAUUGAGCUUAUUUUGAGAUAGAGCUUUACUCAUCCAUACGGAUCUACUCCUCGUGAGAGACUGCGGCCUCUUCGGAGAAGAUCGAUCUUGGAUUCAAGACCCCUCGUGGGAAGAUCCGUCUAGGAUCAUCAAGACCUCCUCUUGGAGAUGAACCUUACCUUGUAUCUUUCCCUUUGUUGUUCAUGUACCCUUGUGGAUCUUGUGUGUUUGAUUGUCUAGUGGAUGUGUGAUUGGACUUGUUCUUGAGUGUUUCCCCUUGUGAUUUCUCUCCGUUCUUCCCUGUGUUCUUCGUGUUCUUCGUGGGGAUCCACUCCAAACGUGAAAAAUCGGCCUCUAGGGUUCUACCCUACAUCAUCAUCCUUCAAAAAUAUGGAGGGCCAUUAUUGACGGAAGGGAUAUUAUAUGGCGCAAGGUAUAAUCAGACGCAUCGGGGAUGGAGCGACUACACACAUAUGGGAUCACAACUGGAUUAUGAUGGAAAGCUAUAAGAGGCCAAUAACUAAGUUAGUGCAGAACCCCCCUCAGAAACAUUUUAUGUAUACACGUUAACAUUUCCCAGAUAUAUGAUUAAUAUUUUUGGAAAACUUCUAUUUUUUAUGUGUACUUUUUUAUACAUUUUGUAAUAUCAGAAAUAGUUUUUAUAGAAGGUUUAACAUUUUUCAAAUACAUGAUUACCUUUUUGUAAACUUAUAUUGUUUGACGUUUACUUUUUUUCAUAGACAUAGUGAGGGGUUAUAUCUAAGGAAUAGGCCCAAGUACAUGUAUGGCACAACCAAAUGCCCAUGUUAAUCAAGGAUGUUCCACAAGACAAAUGGGGAAACACACCAAGGCCAAUGGAGCUACAAGGCCAAGGCAUCGGAUACAAGGGGAGAGUCAACUAUGUACAGUCGGAUUACACAGCCCUUAACAGACAAGACUCAUCAGUUGGUCCACUAUUGGAAUCAGGUCAUUUGCCGUCAGCCCAGAAUAGACGCGAAGACUUUGCCGUGAGCAAGUUGACGACAAACACAAUCAGCAAAGACUAUAUCGGCAGAGAGCUAAUUUGACGUCAACUUUUCAUCGCGCUGAUGACAAAGACUUUGCCGUCAAUUAAACUAUGUGUUUGUAGUCUGUAGAGAAAACACAAACGGCAAAGAAAUUAAAAAAAUGGUCAUUUUAAAAUAAUUUUUAGAAAUCUAUAUACUGUUUUUUAAAAUGUUUAAUAUGUACCAAGAAUUAUUUCGUAAGUAUACAAAAGAUGUAUAACGUGUAUGAAAAUUACGUAGACAUCAGAACAUAUUAUAGAAAUGUUAAUCUUGUAUUUAAAAAUUUUAAAUACACAUGCAUAAAAAUGUUUUUGAUGUACAUAAAAAAAUUGUACAUAGUGUGUGAACAAAGUAUGCAUUGAAAAAACAAAAAUCUUGUUGGAAAAAAAUCUCGUGUUGUAUACGAAAAUGUAAAAGGUGUAUGAAAAUAAUUAGAUAUAUGUUUAAUGAAAAAAGGAAAGAAGGCGCAAAAAAUCCGAUUAACACCAAGAUAGGAACAAGAAAACCUGAAGAAGACCAUUGAAAAAAAGAAAUGAAUACAAGAAAGAGGAAGAAAAACAAAAAAAAUGAAGAAGCUGAUGCAGAACAGGGAACUUAGUGAAAACGAAUAAAAAUUGAUGAAAACCGAGAAGAAAAACAAGAAAACUGAAGCAAAAAUUAAGAAAAAUAUGUAAAAAAAAUGAUGAAACAUUGCGAAACAGUGAAAUACUAUGAAAACCAAAGGAAAAAAAGACUCAAAAAUAAGAACGUACAGCAAGCGAAUGAACAACAACUGAGUGAACGAGCGAACAUGCGAGAAUACGUUAAUUGUCUGGCCCAUACUUGUGGAUUCCAGAGGCGAGCCAGAAUAGGCGAGAUAUAGCUAUGACGAUUUGAUACCCUUCAUAGCUUCACGAAUGCUAUAUCUCGCUCACAGCGAAAGUAUUUUUUGUCUGGCCUGAAGGUGAAAGAAUAGCAUCAGGUCGCUGUAAGUUUUGUGAUCCUACAAUCAGAGCUCGAUAAGAUUAAAAUUCAUGUUUCUGACAACCAGUCAUUCGCUCACUCAAUUCCACGUACUAGUUUGGUUAGGUUUUUUUUUCAUUUUUUUCUGUUUUUUAUUUCUUCACUGGCUUUCUUUGGUUUUUUUAUCGGUUUUCUUUGUUUCCUUCACGUUUUACUCUUUCUUUUCCUUUUUACUGGUUUAUCUAUUCCUUUUUUCUUUGUUUCUUUCUUGGUUUUCUUUGUUUUUUCUUUCUUUUGAUGUCAACCUUUUUACAUACACAUUCAACAAUUUUCGUAUACAUCAGAAACAUUUUAUGUAUACACGUUAACAAUUCCCAGGUACAUGAUUAAUAUUUUUGGAAAACUUCUAUUUUUUAUGUGUACUUUUUGAUACAUUUUGUAUAUAUCAGAAAUAUUUUUUAUAGAAGGUUUAACAUUUUUUAAAUACAUGAUUACCUUUUUGUAAACUUAUAUUGUUUGACGUUUACUUUUUUUCAUAGACAUAGUGAGGGGUUAUAUCUAAGGAAUAGGCCCAAGUACAUAUAUGGCCCAAGUACAUUUAAUCAAGGAUGUAGUCCACAAGACAAAUGGGGAAACAGACGGGGGCCAAUGGAGCUACAAGGCCAAAGCAUCGGAUACAAGGGGAGAAUCUACAGUCGGAUUACACAACCCUUGACAGACAAGACUCAUUAGUUGGUCCGCUAUAGGAAUCGGGUAAUUUGCCGUCAGCCGAGAACAUACUCAAAGACUUUGCCGUCAGCAAGUUGAUGACAACUUUUCAUCACGUUGAUGACAAAGACUUUGCCGUCAAUUAAACUAUGUGUUUAUCGUCUAUAGAAAAAACACAAACGGCAAAGGAAAGCACCUUUGCCAUCAGCGGCUAAUCUGCAUGUGUCUUCAACAAGACUCGUCUUGUCACUAGCCUCAAACAUCACAGAUGGAAAAGAAAUUUUUUAUUUUAAAAAAUCUGCGUCGACCACCCUACUUCGCACAUGUAGCCACCGCCUGGCCGCGCUCGCUGAUCACCCACAAGUGUAGGGGAUCUAUCGUAGUCCUUUCGAUAAGUAAGAGUGUCGAACCGAACGAGGAGUAGAAGGAAAUGACAAGCGGUUUUUAGUAAGGUAUUCUCUGCAAGCACUGAAAUUAUCGGUAACAGAUAGUUUUGUGAUAAGGUAAUUCGUAACGGGUAACAAGUAACAACAGUAAAUAAAGUGCAGCAAGGUGGCACAAUCCUUUUUGUAGCAAACGACAAGCCUGGACAAAUUCUUAUAUGAAGGAAAACGCUCCCGAGGACACAUGGGAAUUAUCGUCAAGCUAGUUUUCAUCACGCUCAUAUGAUUCACGUUCAUUACUUUGAUAAUUUAAUAUGUGGAUGGACCGGUGCUUGGAUACUGCUCUUUCUUGGAUAAGCAUCCCACUUAUGAUUAACCCCUAUUGCAAGCAUCCGCAACUCAAAAGAAAUAUUAAGGUAAACCUAAUCAUAGCAUGAAACAUUGACACGGCACAUUAUAAAGAGUUCAACCCAAAUUUUGUAGUAACACUAUUAUAUUUAAAUAGUGAUUAUUCCAACACAUGGAUAAUUAAUUAAGGCACCAGGUUGCGCUUGUGACCAGGAAAGACAAACUUAUGAACUUGCAAGCAUGACAAUCAGAUCGACAUCCACACAAUGUCAAUAUGAACAUUGUCUUGAUACAACUUUAUUUGUAUUUUAUUUCAGAAUUUAAACAACUAGUUUGGGCGGGUCACACACGACGUUGUGUGACACUUUAUUUGUCACCGCUGCAUCGACAUAUCCAUCGACUAAACAACGGUGAUCCAACUAUAUAUUACUAGAGACCUUUCCUUAUCAGUAGGCACCAACUCCAGUGCCAACGCCAAAUGGCACACUAGUGGUGGUCCUAUACAACGGCACAUUGACACGGCACAUCAUUGGCAGGGUACGGAGCGCAAUGGAAGUCAUCACCUCAAGCUGAGCUAUCUGGUGUGGCUGCAAAAAGGUACCCUGUGCCAAUUGUUGUUGUUGAGGUUGUUGCCCGAGUUGCUGCUGUGACUGCUGUUGGGGUUGGGAAACGCAUUGGCCCAACUGUUGCGGUUGCUGCUGCUGAGUUUGGAUGGAACCCCGAACCUGUUGUUGUUCUUGCAGGACGAUGGAGUAGAUGAUAGCACGGAUUGCCUCAUAGCGGGAUUGCUGGGGGAUUUGCGGCAACUGCUGGCAACAUUGUUGUUGCAUCACAUGGCAACUACUCUGCUGCAACAUUUGCGACCUAGCAAGACUUUGUGGCAUUGCCACAGGGCUGCAUUGCUGCUGGAGGAAUACCUUGCAUGGGUUCAGCUGCUGCAAGAUAGAUGGAUGAACAAAUGGUAUUUGUUGUUGCGGUAGAACUAGUUGUUGUUGUUGUUGCGAAAAUGAUGGUUGUUGUGGUAGAAUUGGUUGUUGUUGUUGUUGUUGCGAAAAUGGUGGUUGUUGCGGUAGUACUGGUUGUUGUUGUUGUGAAAACGGUGGUUGUUGUUGUGAAAAUGGUGGUAGUUGUUGCUGCGAAAAUGAUGGCUGUUGCGGUAGAACUGGUUGUUGUUGCUGCGAAAAUGGUGGUUGUUGCUGUGAAAAUGGUGGUUGUUGUUGCUGUGAAAAUGGUGGUUGUUGUUGCUGCGAUAAUGGUUGUUGUUGUUGUUGUUGUUGUUGUUGUUGUUGUUGUUGUUGUUGUUGUUGUUGUUGUUGUUGUUGUUGUUGUGAACAUGGUUGCUGUUGUGGAAAUUGUUGUGGUUGUUGUUGGAUGGGUUGUUGUGGUUGUUGGUGCGAUAAUGUUUGUUGUGGUGGUAAUGGUUGUUGCUGCGAUGGUCUCUCCAAACCAGGGAUGUGGCUAUUCUCCAUUUGUGCAAUGGCACUUGUCGCCGCAACGGCGAGGAGGGCAAAGAUGAGGAAGGUCUUCAUGGUGGACUAGUGUUAACUAGUAUUUCCUGGUUUUGAUGCUUGUGUUUGUGAUGAUCUUUAUACUUCAUGCCUAUUUAUAGUAGCCAGGGCACCACCUCUUUUCUUCUUUGCAUUAGCUUUAAUAAUUCUGUUUGGAUGCAUCUAAAAUGAUUUUUGAUACAGUGUGUUAGGUUGCACUAGCUACACGCAUACUUUUGGAUUGAUCAUCAAAGUUUCUUUUUAGUUGUGCAUAUGAUCAUACACAAAGUAUAGAAAUCCUGAUGCUUGCUAAAGAUGACUUGCCUUAUUCACUUUACAUGUCACACACUUAUCUGUAUAGUAUCACUUUUGCAACCGAGUUUGGAACCUUGUAUAGGUUGUCAGCCAUAAACAAGAAAGGCAAAACUUGUGUAGGACUAAGUUGCAAUCGUGUGUGGGCUGUUAAGAUAUGCUCGAUUGUUAAAGCCUUGCGUCUGGAGGGUUCUUCUAGACUCGGUUGCUUUUCAUAAAACUAACUUUGUAUUUUCCUCUAAGAUGAUAAGAUGAAAUGACGCCUGUAGAGCAUGACAUGACUCAUUGAAUUCCCUUUACACGUAAAGGAUGGUAAUUGCUUACAAGCUACUCCUACUAGCAUAUAUCCGGUCCUAACUCUAGACACGUCAUCACCAGUUCCAUCUUUUUUUUUUAGAUAAAUCAUCAGUUCCGUGUUUUUUUUUUUUGAGACAAUCAGUUCCAUCUAUGUUUUUUUUUGAGAGAAAUAGUUCCAUCUAUGGGUGAAGGAUUUUUUUGGGGGCAAAUGAUAGAUGGGGCUGGAACAGAGGCCCCAGCCUGGAACGAGAGAUUAGGCCCAACGUAAGCGAUGUGUGUGUUAGGGCACCAAAUUCGAACUGGGCUAUAGUUUUCGGAGGCCCCAACGUCAGAAGCCCAGCCCACACUCCGCCGAUCUGCGUCGUCUUCGUCUCCCCUUCCCCGUCCUCCUCGCCGGCCGGAUCGCUCGCCGGCGCACGACGUCUCCCGGACCCCACCGCCCGCGGCCGCUCCACGUACGCGCGCGGCGGCGGAGGCGUCGGCCUCCCUCCCACCCUCCGCAUCCGGCCCCCCACCACCACCGCCACCGCCACCGCUCGAGGUACCCACUCGUUCCCCUUCCCAUUCCUCCCUACCCUCAACCUCUCUCGUAUCCUCUUCUAACAGCUCUUUUUACUUCCGUUGCAGAUGGUCUCUGAGCUCCCCCGUCGGCUGCGCGCCGUAGGCCUCCCCUCCCGGUCGACACAAGGUAUCGAUCCUGUCCGUCCGUCUCUUCCAGCGAUUCGAUUCACAUGAAUUCGAGAGGCGUGCCCAUCUCCAUGCUAGCUGCGUGGAUCAGGAGGGUCAGGAAGCAGAAUUCAGAUGCCUGACAGUGACAUACUACUACAUUUGUGGCUUUGGAAGCUGAGCAACUCCGUGCUUUAUGUGGAUGUCACUUCAAGUAAUCAUCAAAUUUCCGCCUACGCGCGCUACCCAGGUGGAGUGGAGGAGAAGCAGUUGGCAUGGGCAUUCCGUUUCUCUCCCAUGUCUGAGAAGAAAGUUCGUCUCCGGUGCAGCGAUAUCCAAGUUAGUUACAGCAUCCAGUCAUCUAUAUAAUCUCAGUGUUUAUUCUGUUUUGUACUGUCGUAUUUCAUAUGUGCAUCAGAGCAAAUGUGCUUUCUAGAGGCAUGUUGCAGCUGGCCGAGUCCCAGAUCUCGUUUCAUGUAUAUGGCCAUAGGCAGCGAUCAAUAAAAGGGUACUGGAAUUGAUCUUCUAACGUCACUGUUGUUUCUAGCUCCCUGUCUUUGUUUUUGUUGCUUCCGUCGUAUGGUUGCAAAGUUAGGCUUCAUCUGAUUUUAGUUAGUUAAUCUGAUCUCGUUAACCUGAUAAAGAGAAUUCCACCCUGCCCUUUAUUCCGCUCUUCACUGUCUCACAAUAAGGGAACAUAUUAAGCUCACCAAAUUGUGUCCCUCAAAAAUAAAAAAUAAACUCACCAAAUUGUAUCACAGGAGAUUGUCAAGUUGUGUUUUAUCAUAUCAGUAUAGUAAGUGUAUCAUUUGUCCAUAUCAACAAGGGAUAGUCAUCUGCCAGCUUAUUAUGCUCAUCUCUGAGCUCGAUCAUGCCCUUCAAUGUUAGUUAGAGGUGUCAUUAAAACAGGACAAGAAAUUAACCACUUUCCACCGGGUCUUCUCUCUUGAGCAGGAAGCAUGUGAUGCAUUCAAGAUUCGAUGAAUUCACGAAAACCAAUAUCGUGGUCCUCCCUGUGCAGCAGGUACCUGAGAUGAAUUGUAUUUUGUAAGUGCUCUGUAUGCGUGCUGUCAGCCGGCAGUGGAGGUAAUUGUUUAAUUUGCAUUCCUGCAACUUCUUGUAUUUGUAAAGAAAAUUCUUACUAUUUGCUGAGUGCACAGCCAUUGCAUUGUCACUUUUGAAAAACCGCAUUGGAUGUACUGAGAUAAAUAAUAGUAUAAUCUCUACUUGCAUACUACGAACGAGAAAUCUUCAUUCUGACUUGCAAUAAGGGAGUUUGUUUAGCUGUGCCUUAUUAGGAAAUGAAGAUACCCCCAGCUGUUAACGUGGUAUCCAAGCUAUCCUUAUUAUAUGUCAGCUCAAAAGGAAUGCCAAGUGCCGAGCUGUUGUGAGAGUUGAUGGUUGUGAUUGGUUACCAAAAAUCAAAGUCACCCACUCAAGAGAGAAAGUCAAUGCUCACGUUGGCUUCCAUUUUUCUCACACGCAAACCAAACACAUCUUGCUCACACCAUUAUCUUCUCCAUUUUGCACUGUGCUUGUGCUAAUCUGUGUAGUAUUGUUGGCAAUUUGGGAUAUGUUGGUCUCGCCAGGAGGCCUGUGCUAAUCUGUGCUAUUUCUGAAAAUAUGCUCCCCUAAUCUCCAAUUAUAUUAUGCGUAAAACCAAAAAGGUCAGACUUCUUGAGAACAUGCCAGUGCUGAUUUGUGUUUUUCCUGCUGAUAUGCACUUUAGUAUAUCAAAAUGUACACUUAAUUAGAUGUUUUAAUUUUAAAGUCACAGUUAGAGAGAGGGACAGUGCACCAACCAGCUGGUGCAAACGAAUGACCUGUGUGACGACCUGAGCGUAUUCUUGAAAAAGAAACCCGAAAUACCACCUAGAUCCAUCCACCAUUAUUGCCAGUGUUAAAAAAAAAUACAGGCGUCUUCUGGGCUCUAAAAGCCAUUUCUGGGUCUUAUCUCUUGAAGAAGCAUUUGAUGCAUUUAAGAUUCAACCAAUUAAGAAAACCAAUGUUCUGGCCUUCCAUCCGUGGCAGGAACUCAGAGAUGAAUUGUCUUUUGCACAAGUAUGCUGACACACGUCUAGUCAGUCGAGGUAAUUUUUGGAUUUGCAUUCCUGUGACCUCUGGUAUUUGGAAAAAGUAAAUCAUAUUUGCUAAGUUCACAGCCAAUGGAGCGAAAAUUUUGAAAAACUGCUUUGGAUUUACUGGCAUAAAUAUCUAGAGAGAAUUCCUUAUUAGACACUCCCUUAAAAUCAUGUUCCUUAUUUGACACUAGAAAAAAUUUCUUCCCUAUAUGACCUAUAGUCUUAAUUUCUUUCCCUAUAUGACACUCUAGUGCAUUUUGUUCACGUGAAAAGACCAUUUUACCCAUAUGUAUAAUGUGACCGCAAAUAUGUACAAGAUAAUAGUUGUUCCAAAAAAAUCAGUCGAGUUAUCCAUAUGUGACAUCAUAUAUGCUGGUAUUGUCAUGUCAGUCGAUUUACUAUUGUGCUAAGAAAUCAUGACCGAGGCCUUCGAUGGUUCAUGUGCUAAUUGACCUCAGCUAGUUGUCUAUACGUAUUUGUGUACAUAUACGUGGCCAGCUUGCCGGCCGGAGCGUAGAUAUUUAAAUACGUACGCGCACCCUGACGAUCAAGCGAAUACAUGUAUUCUAGCUUCGUAUGACCCGGUUCAUAUACAUACGUAUGUUGGCUGCACCGAACCGGGCCUACAUUCGUGCUAGCACGCAACUUCCUUCCAUACUUGCAAAUACGUGCACAUGCACUAAUGGCAUGCACGUAGGCGAUCACGGAAGCACACACAAAAAUGCUUAAAAAAUUCAUUCAUUUUUAAGAAUGCAUUUUAGUGUUAAAGCACACGUACAAAAGUACGUCAAACAAUCACACUCACAAACCAUACCGCAUGAACUAGACCCACAGCUGAAUACGUUCUAAAUACAUUGGAUGCAUGCGCUCAGGUAUACAGAAUACACAUGCAUCCCAAAAAAGACCAACGGAGGAGAUAACAUGUUCAGCUGUGCUCACUCUUAGAAACGAUUUUUUCCUAAUUAGGCUCAAUGCUACAUAUUUCUGGUCACAUUAUGUACAGGGGCAAAAAGGUCUUUUCACGUGUACAAAAUGAACUAGAGUGUCAUAUAGGGAAAGAAAUUAAGACUAUAAGUCAUAUAGGGAAGAAAUUUUUUCCCGUGUCAAAUAAGGAACACAAUUUUAAGAGAAUGUCAAAUAAGGAAUUCUCUCAAAUAUCUAAUACAAUGACCCACUUGCAGAAUUCAGCUGCGUAGCCUGACAGUGAUGUACGUACAUUUGUGGCUUUGCUAGCUGAGUAACUCUGUGCUUUAUGUGGAUGCCACUUCAAAUAAGCAUCAAAUUUGUGCCUAUGCGUGCUAUGCAGGUGGACGAGAAGCAGUUGGCAUGGACAUUCCUUUUCUCUCUGAUGUCUGGCAAGAAAGUCCGUCUUCUGUGCAGCGAUAUCCAUGUUAGUUACAAUAUCCAAUCAUCUCUAUAAUUAUAAUCUCAGUGUUUAUUCUGUUUUGUAUUGUCGUAUUUCAUAUGUGCAUCAGAGGAAAUGUGCUUUCUAGCUAGAGGCAUGUUGCAGCUGGCCGAGUCGCAGAUCUCAUUUAUAUGGCCAUAGGCGGUGACCAAUACAAGGGCACUGGAAUUUAUCUUCGAAUGCCACUGUUGUUCUAGCUCUUUGUCUUUACUUUUGUUGCUUCUGUUGUAUGGCUGCAAAGUUAGGCUUCAUCUGAUUUUAGUUAGUCAAGCGAUCUCGUUAAGAUGAUAAAAAGAAUUCCACACGAUGACACGACCCUUUAUUCCGCUCUUCACCGUCUCACAAUAACGGAACAUAUUAAGCUCAACAAAUCGUAUCCCUCAAAAAUAAAAAAGCUCACCAAAUUGUAUCGCAUACUCAUACAUAUCUUUCAUCGUCAAAUAACAGGAGAUUGUCAAGUUGUGUUUUAUCAUAUCAGUAUAUUAAGUGUAUCUUUUGUCCAUAUGAGCAAGGGAUAAUCAUCUGCCAGCUUAUUAUAUGCUCAUCUCUGAGAUCGAUCAUACCUCUUCAAUCUUAUUAGAGGUGUCAUUAAGAAAUGACAAGAAAUUAACUACUUGCCACCGGGUCUUCUCUCUUCAGCAGGAAGCAUGUGAUGCAUUCAAGAUUCACGAAAACCAAUAUUGUGGUCCUCCCUAUGCAGCAGGUACUUGUGAUGAAUUGUAUUUUGUAAGUGCACUGUAUGUGUGCUGUCAGCCAGCAGUGGAGGUAAUUGUUUAGCUUGCAUUCCUGCAACUUCUUGUAUCUGGAAAGGACACUCUUACUAUUUGCUGAGUUCACCGCCAAUGUAUCUUCACUUUGGAAAAACUGCAUUCGAUGUACCCACAUAAAUAUAUAAUAUAAUGAUGAUCUAAUAGCAAAUUAUAUGGCCAUAGGCAGUGAUGAUCAAUAAAAGGGCACUGGAAUUUAUCUUCUAAUGUAUACGUCACUAUUUUUUUAGCUCUCUGUCUUCAUUUUUGCUUCCUCUGUUGUAUGGUUAAAAAGUUAGGUUUCAGCUGAUUUUAGUUAGUUAUAAGCGGAUCUCGUUAAGCUCUUUAUCUUUAUUUUUGCUGCCUCCGUUGUAUGGUUAAAAAUUUAGGUUACAUCUGAUUUUAGUUUGUUAGGCGGAUCGCGUUAAACUGAUAAGAACUCCGUAUAGUCCUUUAUUCUGGUCUUCACUGCCUCAAAAUAACAGAACCUAUUAAGUGUCGAAAUUGUAUCUCACAAUCAUACAUAUCUUUCAUCGUUGAAUAACACAAAUUAUCAUAUCAGUACAAAAGUAUAUAUCGUUUGUCCAUAUGCACAAGAGAUAAUCAUCUGCCAGCUGAUUAUUCUUAUCUUUGAGAUCCGAUCCUGUACUCAAUGUUAAUUAGGGGUGUCAUUAAAAAAGACAAGAAAAUAACCACUUGCCCUCGGGUCUUCUCUUGUCAGCAGAAAGCAUGUGAUGCAUUCAAGUUUCAAUGAAUUCACGAAAACCAAUAUUGUGGUCCUCGAGAUGAAUUGUAUUUUGUAGGUGUACUGUAUGUGUGCUGUCACCCGUCAGUUGAGGUAAUUGUUUAAUUUGCAUUCCUGCAACCUCUUGUAUGUAUUCGGAAAGAAAAUUCUUACUAUUUUCCGAGUUCACAGCCAAUCCAUUAUCACUUCCGAAAAACUGCAUUGGAUCUACUGACGUAAAUAUAUAAUAGAGUGAUCUACUUGCAAUAUUAAGAACGAGAAAUCUUCAUUCUGACUUGCAAUAAGAGGGGUUAGUCUAGCUUUUUCCUGCUAAUAAAUGAAGGUACCCAUUACUGUCACCAGUUAAUGUGGUAUGCUAGUUGUCCUUAUUAUAUAUCAGCCCCAAAAAAGAAUGCCCAGUGCUGAGCUAUUGCAAGAUCGGAUAGUUUGUGAUUGGUUCCCAGAAAUCAAGCUCAUGCACUUGGCUCCCAGAAAGUCAACACUCACGUUCGCUUCCAGUUUCCUGACCAGCAAGACGUGCUUCUGCUAAUGUAGGCUUGUGCUCCAAAAUUCCCCAUCAAGCUGGCUCCUGCUCCCCCGAAUCCUACCCCCACCCAUCCAAAAGCUUCAAGAUCUCACAGAAAUCUCACAACUUCCGUUCGUCGGAGUAGAGCCUUCAAACAGCCCCGCCCACACAUCCACGCGGCGGCUGCUGCCAUAACUUCACCGGAGUCGCCUUCUCCUUCCGCGCCACGUCACCGGUGCCGGCCAGGCUCUGAAUCUUCUGCUGCUGCCGCCGAUACGAUGCUGGAGCUGGCAUCGACAUGCUUGUGAGGGCCACUUCUUCCGUGCUGUUACUGUGCUGCUGGUUCUGGGUGCUGCUGAUCAGGGGCAAGCUCGUGAAGGUAACUAUGCCUGCAAGAUUGGGAUUUUACUUGUAAUUCGUUCAAGAUCUACCUAUGAACGUCUUGCUCACACCAUUCUCUUCAUUAAUUUCUGCAGUGCACCUGUGUUGGAGGAGUUUCCUCCGAGAGUUCCAAUGGCAGAGCUGGUGGUCACCAUGGCGCUCCGGCCACUGGUCGCCAUGCUCAGGGACAAGGCGUCCAGCUAUCUCCUUGACCAGUACAAUGUGAUGGAGGGAAUGGAGAAGCAGCACAUGAUUCUGAAACGCAGACUUCCUAUCGUCCUGGACGUCAUCACUGACGCCGAGGAGCAGGCGACAGCCAACAGAGAAGGGGCGAAAGCCUGGCUCCAGGAGCUCAAGAGAGUAGCCUAUGAGGCAAAUGAAGUCUUCGAUGAAUUCAAAUAUGAAGCACUUCGCCGUGAAGCCAAGAAGAAUGGACACUACAAAAAGCUUGGAUUUGAUGUGAUAAAACUCUUCCCCACUCACAACCGUGUUGUCUUCGUUCAGAGAAUGGGUAGCAAGCUUUGCAGGAUUCUGGAGGAUAUCAAUGUCCUCAUUGCAGAGAUGCAUGACUUUGGGCUGAGGCAGACAUUUUUGGUGUCUAAUCAGUUGAGGCAGACACCAGUGUCCAAGGAGUGGAGACAGACAGAUUACGUCAUCAUCGACCCACAAAAGAUUGCCAGCAGAUCCAGACAUGAAGAUAAGAAUAAUAUUGUUGGUAAACUACUUGGUGAAGCUAGCAAUGCAGAUCUCACAGUAGUUCCCAUCGUUGGAAUGGGGGGCCUUGGCAAGACCACAUUAGCGCAACUCAUAUACAAUGAACCUGAAAUUCAGAAGCAUUUUCCGUUGAAGCUCUGGGUCUGCGUCUCUGAUACCUUCGAUGUGAAUUCGGUGGCUAAGAGUAUAGUUGAAGCAUCCCCCAAGAAAAAUGAUGAUACAGACAAACCACCACUGGAUAGACUUCAGAAACUGGUCAGCGGGCAAAGGUAUCUCCUUGUAUUGGAUGAUGUCUGGAAUAGAGAGGUUCAUAAGUGGGAAAGGCUGAAGGUCUGUCUUCAGCAUGGCAGCGUGGGUAGUGCUGUGUUGACAACAACCCGUGAUAAACAAGUUGCUGAAAUUAUGGGUGCAACUAGAACCUACAAUCUCAAUGUUUUGAAGGAUGACUUCAUAAAGGAGAUUAUUUUGGAUAGAGCAUUCAGUUCAGAGAAUGAAAAGCCUCCCGAGCUACUCGAGAUGGUUGGUGAGAUUGUGAAGAGAUGCCGUGGCUCUCCUUUAGCUGCAACUGCACUGGAUCUGUACUUCGUACCAAGAUCAGCGUGGAAGAAUGGAAGGCUAUAUCAUCUAGAAGCAGUAUUUGCACUGAGGAAACUGGAAUUUUGCCAAUACUCAAGCUUAGCUACAACGAUUUGCCAGCACACAUGAAGCAGUGCUUUGCUUUCUGUGCCAUAUUCCCCAAGGAUUACAAGAUUAAUGUGCAGAGGCUUAUCCAACUAUGGAUCGCAAAUGGCUUUAUCCCUGAACACAAGGAAGAUAGUCUUGAAACCAUUGGACAACUUAUUUUUGAUGAGCUUGCUUCAAGGUCAUUCUUUCUGGAUAUAGAGAAGAGUAAAGAAGACUGGGAGUAUUAUUCCAGAAAUACAUGUAAAAUCCACGAUCUUAUGCAUGAUAUUGCAAUGUCUGUUAUGGAAAAGGAAUGUGUUGCUGUGACUAUGGAUACAAGUGAAAUUGAGUGGCUUGGAGAUACUGCUCGGCAUUUGUUUUUAUCAUGUAAAGGAACAGAAGGUAGUUUGAAUGAUUCUUUGGAGAAAAGAUCUCCUGCCAUUCAAACACUGAUAUGCCAAAGUCAUAUGCGAAGCUCAUUGAAGCAUCUGUCAAAAUAUAGCUCUUUGCACGCCUUGAAGCUCUGUAUUAGAGGCAAAGAAUCAUUUCUUCUGAAAUCAAUGUAUCUGCAUCACCUGAGGUACCUUGAUCUCUCAAACAGUUCUAUCAAAUCACUUCCUGAAGAUAUAAGUAUUCUAUAUAACCUUCAAAUGUUGGACCUUUCCUACUGUUGUUAUCUUUAUCGACUUCCAAUGCAAAUGAAGCAUAUGACUUUCCUCCGUCACCUCUACACUCAUGGAUGUCAGAAGUUGAAGAGCAUGCCUCCAGAACUAGGAAAACUCACUAACCUGCAGACGUUGACAUGGUUUGUGGCAGGAGUUCCUGGCCCUGAUUGCAGUGAUGUUGCAGAGCUGCAGCAUUUAAACCUUGGUGGUUAUCUAGAGCUACGUCAGAUAGAGAAUGUUAAAGAAGCAGAGGCAAAAGUGGCAAACCUUGGAAACAAGAAGGAUCUCAGAGAACUGUCAUUAAGAUGGACUGAGGUUGGCGACAGCAAGGUGCUCGACAAGUUCAAACCUCAUGGUGGGCUGCAGGUUCUGAAGAUAUAUUCCUAUGGAGGAGAGUGCAUGGGUAUGCUGCAAAACAUGGUUGAGAUCCAUCUUUUUCAUUGUGAAAGAUUGCAAAUUUUGUUCAGAUGCAGUGCAAUCUUCACUUUUCCAAAACUGAAGGUGCUUAUGCUAAUACAUCUGUUGGAUUUUGAGAGAUGGUGGGAAAUAGAUGAGAGGCAAGAAGAACAGACAAUAUUUCCUGUGCUUGAGAAGUUGUUUAUUAGUAAUUGUGGAAAGUUGGUAGCAUUACCUGAAGCACCAUUGCUGCAAGGACCUUGUGGUCAAGGUGGUUAUACAUUGGUUUGCUCAGCAUUUCCUGCCCUAAAGGUGCUCAAAAUGAAAAACUUGGAGAGCUUUCAGAGAUGGGCUGCAGUGGAAGAGACUCAAGGAGAACACAUACUGUUUCCUUGUCUGGAGGAACUAUCAAUUGAGAAAUGCCCAAAGUUGACGGCGUUACCUGAAGCACCAUUGCUUCAAGAACCAUGUAUUGAAGGUGGUUACAGAUUGGUACGCUCAGCGUUUCCUGCCUUAAAGGUGCUCAAAAUGGAAAACUUGGAGCGGUUUCAAAGAUGGGGUGUGGUCGAAGGGACAUUGUUUCCUCAGCUUGAGAAACUAUCAGUUCAGAAGUGCCCCAAGAUGAUAGAUUUACCAGAGGCACCAAAACUCAGUGUCUUAAAAAUUAAAGAUGGUAGGCAAGAGAUCUCCGAUUUUGCAGAUAGAUAUUUUUCUUCAUUGACCAAACUGAUAUUGAAUCUAGAAAACACAGAAACAACAUCAGAGGUUGAGUGCACUUCAAUUGUAUCUGUGGACAGCAAGGAGAAAUGGAACGAGAAAUCCCCUCUUACAGUGAUGGAGCUAAGAUGCUGCAACUCAUUCUUUGGACCAGGUGCACUAGAGCCGUGGGACUAUUUUGUACACCUUGAAAAGUUGGAAAUUGAUAGAUGUGAUGUGCUUGUCCACUGGCCAGAGAAAGUGUUCCAAAGCUUGGUAUCCUUGAGGACAUUAGUGAUUACAAGCUGCGAAAAUCUGACUGGAUAUGCACAAGCUCCUCUUGAGCCAUUGGCAUCCGAAAGGAGUCAGCACCUGAGAGUUCUGGAGUCUCUUUGCUUAGAAAACUGCCCAAGUUUAGUAGAGAUGUUCAACGUCCCGACAUCUCUCAAGAAAAUGUAUAUUAAUGGGUGCAUUAAGCUUGAGUCCAUAUUCGGCAAGCAGCAGGGCAUGGCUGAGUUAGUCCAAGGAUCUUCUAGCAGUGAGGCAAUCAUGCCUGCAGCUGUAUCAGAGUUGUCAUCCUCACCCAUGAAUCACUUUUGUCCAUGCCUAGAAUAUCUACAGUUAUCUGAUUGUGGAAGCUUACCAGCGGUUCUACAUCUGCCUCUGUCCUUAAAGACCUUAGAAAUUUAUAACUGCAGUAGUAUUCAAGUCCUAUCAUGCCAGCUGGGUGGGCUCCAGAAACCAAAAGUCACUACCUCCAUAAGCAGAAGUCCUGUCAUGCCAGAGCCACCACCACCAGCAGCAGCUGCUGCAAGAGAGCAUUUACUUCCUCCCCAUCUCGAAUCUCUAGUAAUACUGAACUGUGCUGGCAUGUUGGGUGGGACUCUCCGUCUGCGUGCACCCCUCAAGAGACUGCGCAUUAUUGGCAACAGUGGGUUGACAUCGCUGGAGUGUCUGUCAGGAGAGCACCCCCCAUUGCUGGAAGUCCUUGAUCUUCAAAAGUGCAGUACCCUAGCUUCCCUGCCGAAUGAGCCGCAAGUAUACAUGUCUCUCUGGAAUCUUGAAAUUAGAGGCUGCCCUGCUAUAAAGAAGCUCCCUAGAUGCCUGCAGCAGCAACUGGGCAGCAUUGAUGACGAGUACAAAGAACUAGAUGCCCAUUAUGAAGGUAUGCUUGGAGCACGUCCUUCUAUCUUUGCCACAUUUAAUAAACAGAUGCAGUCAUCCAUUCCAUUAAAUCUACCACGCCAGCAUGUCUGUACAAGUUUGUUCUCCAUUAUUUUACUUUCGAAUGUUACAUUAGUUUGUAUGUGUUUGUUCUGACGCCAUUUGCAAUAUGUGCAGUGAUGGCACUUAAACCGAAGACAUGGAAGGAGAUGCCAAGGCUAGUCCGUGAGCGGAGGAAGGCCGCUCGAGAAGCCAAGGAGCGCCAGCAAUCCGCCAUGCAGGAGUAAACAGGUUGGAAACCAUGUAGAAAGGGCAUGGAUUCCAAUUGCUCUGAACAAUGUACAAGAUUAUGUCGUGACUGUAAUCAAUCGGCUUUGUUGAGCUUUGGCCUCUACCUAGUUCAGAUAUUUGUAAUGCGAAUCAAAUGAAUCUGCCCGGUUCAGUAGAAGUUAGGAUAAUAUACUCACAUGUGUGUCUGUGAGCUAUCUAUCGUAUCUAUCUGUUUUUGCUUUGCUUAGUUAACUGCGAAGACACUAGCCUUUAAUUGUUCAAUAAAGUUUUUCAACUGUGGCUUUUAUCUGUCGAUUUUCGUGGUUGACAGGCCUAAUCCCUGAUUGUUGCUCUUCUCUGCUCUGCUCUGCUAGGGGAAUGAGCUGUUAUUGCUUCUGCAACUUAACUGUGCCGCAGUCCGCUCUCCGUCGAGAACUGUCAGGGCCUGCGGUGUAGGGCGGCUGCUGCUUGGCGUCGAGUGGAGCAUAUCUGAAUCAACAUCCUAGGCUGAGACCAUCUCAUCUUGAUCUGGUUUGCUGUUGUCCAGUCAAGCGAGGAAACACAGGGAAGAAACAACAUAGAAAGGGCAUGGUAGUUUAUUUUAUUUUGCUUCAGAAACUGUACCAAUUUAUGUCAUGAUUGUUACCUGCUCCGUUAAACUCUGACCUUGAUCUUGUUAUUAAAGAUUCAGACACUUGCCUCGUUUAGUAGAAGCUGGGGUACUUGUAAUGUGUGCCAUAUAUAUUUCUAGUUUCAGCCAUUUCCAUAUCAAGUACAAGCUCGGAAAGGCUUAGGUGGUCUGUGAACUUUCUGGCCCUGCUUGCUUGACGCAAGUUUUACAGACAUAUAAAACAUAAGUUUAUAUAUAUAUAAUAUACAGUUAAGCAGCAGUUUCCUCGCAUGUAAGAUGGUUAAGUAGCAGCCGCAGGUAUCAGUCAGUCCGGUACUUGUUGAAUGGGAUCGACAGUUGAAUUGCUCUGCUCUGCUGCAAAACUCUGUGUUUGCCUGUGGAGGAAUGAAUAUUUCAGUUUCAGAAUUUGUGAGCUACUCCUAUUUAGUUUCUAGUCUGGUUGUGGUACUAUCUAGUUUCAGCACUGUUUAUUUAGUUUAGAAGAAAUUUACUGUUGACCUUUUUAACGUGUUUACAACACGUGCUAUUUGAAAUAUAAUUCUUUUUUUACCUGUUUCGAUACUUGUACAGAUCAAGUAGUACAAGUUGGGAGGAAAAAACCUCAGGUCCGUGAACUGUUUGGUCCUGUCUGUCUGUACAAAAUCAAGUUUGUUCGCUGUAGCCAGUAUAGUGUUGUAGAUAUCUGAAUAACUUGGUGUCUGCUUACGAGAGCAGAGGACGUGGAUGGAUGUUUGCUGCCGGCUGAUGCUGCAGGAACCGAAAGAGCCUUCUCAGUAUGCACUUCAAUGAAGAAGCAACGGACAGAUGUUCAGAUACAUCCGUUUGAGCUGACCGCUAUUUCUGGACGGAGGGAGUAUUAUGUAAGAUUUUGUGUACUUUCCCUUUAUUACUUUUGGUGCAGCUUCAGUUGAUGGUUUGCAUGCUCUUCUUAAGGAUUUACAUUCUCUUAGUGUCUUUGUUUCGUAUGUUUCUUUAGAGCCUCCUGUAGUUAAUCAGGCACUUCUCUGCUUUUAUAGACUAGUGUUAUUAUUGGUUUAUUAUUCAUGUUACUUAGGAAUUAGGGUCAAACAAGCACCUCCUGCUCUGCUGGUAGCUAGCUUAAUUCCCAGGUUUGGUAUAUAUCUAUGUUGUGAUGCAUACUCAUGUUUGUGAGCUAGUAUAUAUCUAUUUUCAGUGUCGUUUAAUGGUUCAGAGAGUGGGCUGUAACUUGUUCAGAUACUUUGUGUUAAACUGUAGAAUUGACCUGCUGCAGUAAUUUUGACAGCUGAGGUGGGAUGAGCUGCAUAUCAUUCUCUGAUUGGGAGUAACAGGUUGUUGUUGUUUGGUUCUGAUGUUGCUAAGCUGUGGUGGUGGUCACAAUUAUCUUCCUAAUCCGGCAA
rnacentral:lncRNA from 1 species